AAACCUGAGGAGUCGAAGCACCGCUUGAGUUUUGUGAUUUUGCAGAGCCAAGUGCAUGGGGCUAAACCCAGCUUGGUUUAGCUUUCUUGCAAACGUUGGCUUUAAGUUCAUCAUCUCCAUCAUAAACUCUAUAUUCCCUGCAGAGACUGCUACGUGCAAUGGGGUAUCAAGAAAAGGAACAUGAUCAAUAUGCUCUAAAACACAUUGAUCAUUCUGAAUCAACUCAUAUAAGACGUUAAUAUGUCCUUCUUGUGCAGCAUUUCUCAUCGUCUCAUCCAUGACAAAGAGUGUGUGUUGGAAGGAGGGGAUGGAAUACAAACACUAUACUACAUUAAAUACAAAACUAAUUAAUUUAACAUAAUAUUUAAGAUUAUUUAUUAAUAUAUUAAAUAUUAUCAAGUGUCGAUUCACUCAGUAUAAACACUAUUAGUACAUUAAACCCUAAACCCAAUUAGUAUAACAUGAUUUCUAUAAUUUUACCAAACAAGAAAUUAAUAUAUCCUUUACUUUUAACUAUACAAAUAAGAAAUUUCAAUCUUCCCCUAUUUUCUUUCCUUUAAUUAUAUUUAUCCACAUAUAGGCUUAAUGUAGAUUUUGUUUUAUUUUAUUUAUUUUUUACCAUUAUCCUUUAUAUUUUAUCUUUAAAAUUUUAAUUAUAUUUCAAAAUUAAUUUUAAAUAAUAUAUCAAAUAUAUUUUAAAAUUUAAUUUUUCAAAGCUUAUCUUUUUUUAAGUUUUCUUUCAAGUGUUGCACUCACACUCGUAAUCCUCACAUGGUGGAAUUGCCUACAAUAAUGAAGGAAAGAGCAAAGCACUAAGGACUACCCAAUAAUUGGGAGGCAAUGGCAUACCCUACAUAUACCAUUUACUGUCAGUGGUAAUGGAUCACUUGCCUACUUUACACGUAUUUUGUUUUCUUUCACUUUUUCUUGUCCUGCAUUAUUUGGAUUUGUGAGUAAAACUGUUGCUACUUAUUGAUCAUACUCACUAUGAAGUAUCAUCUCCCGAGAGCACACAAACUCUUCACAAGUAUCACAAGUAUCGCGUAAGGAGAAAUGUCGAAUUUUAGAUUACAUAAUAAUUUCAUCUUACCCAUCAUAAAAUUCAAAGUUUAGAGAUUAAGAAAAAUAAAAAAUAAAAUUAUAAUAACUUCUUUAUCAGAUGUGUGCAGGAGUUAUGUAAAAAAAAAAGUAUUUAUUACACAGCAAAUAAAAGAAUUUGAAAAUUAAAAAAAUUUUGGUGCUAUAUUUUUCACUUUCCACAUGAUCAUCUGGUGUGUGCAGAACAAUAAAUCUAAUCUUUACUGCUAGUCUUUCUUCUUUUUUACUCUGAAUACUCUUCUCUUGUUGCUUUUAUUGAAAUAAUGUAAUAAAACAUUGUACCAAUGGAUUGUUGAACUCUUCUACCAUCUAAUUUUUCUUAGUAUAAAUAUUAAAAUUAUAACCAUUUUAGUUGUUUAAUAUGAUCAAGUUAUAUAACUUGUGAAUACUUUUUUUUAAGGAUUUAUCUUUAAAGAAAGUAAAAUAAUAAAUUUUAGUUCAAGAUUGUUGGAUUAAUCAAAUAAAAAUUCGAUUCGAUAAUAAAAAUAUUUUUUGUCCAAUUUUAAUUGAAUUGGUGUCAUAAAUCAAAUGAACACCAAUUCAGUUGGAAAAUUACGAAAAUAUCUAUCCGUGAUUAAAAUAAGUAAUAUUAUUCUAAGGUCAUUUAGCCUUUUUAUGUAAAAAAAAUUCAGUAAAAAUAUGAAUAUAAUGGGAUUUGAAGUAAGACUCAUCUACUCGAUUAACUCAAAAUUUUUACUCUAUUCGAUCGAACAUUCACUUCUAAAUAUUACAUUUCCUUUAAUUGUGUAGCUAAUUAAGUGCUCCUUAUUUCAAAAACAUUUUUUUUUCUUUUUUGAUAGAAAUUGAUAUUUAAAAUGUAAAAAAUAAAAUAAAAUAAAAUACUGUUUGAACAUGUAUAAAUUAAUAUUGUACGCAUAAAAUUUAUAUUGAAUAAAAUUUAAUACCAAGAAAAGUAAAAAAUAAAAAUGUUAAAAUAAUAUAUUGGUGAAUCAAAUUUAAUAAUGAAUUUGUAGUUGAUAGUUAUAUACAAAAUGGAUGAUAUAAUACGUCUGAAGUCUUCCCUUGGUUGACCAUAAAAGGUUAUAGACCUUUUGAAAUCUUCCUAUUGUUGACCAUAAAAGGAGAGGUCAUCCUCUUCUGUGUUUUGUUUCCUUUAUUUGUGUGGCUAAUUAUGUGCUCUUUAUAUCCUUUCAAAACAAAGUUUUUUUCUUUUUUGGUAGAAACUACAAUAAAGAUUAUUGUAAUUUAAAAUCCAAUUAAAGUUACUAUUUGUUACGUGUAACAUUUAUUUCGAAUAAUUUUUAUUAUCGAGAAAAAAGUAAAAACAAAUAUAUGAUGUAAAAUUGUUAAUUUAAAUAUUAGCUCGAUCGAUAUUAGUAUUUUGUCAAUGUAGGGGAGUGUAGGUUUAAAUAUAUUCAAGUGUGAUUUAUCCUUAUAUUUAAACAUUUGAGAAGGGUUGGGGUGAAGUUAGAAUUUCUUUUGGGGGAGACAAACUAAAUUGUAUACUUUUAUGAGAGCUAAAAUAUAAUUUUACCAUUUUAAUAACUUAUAUCUUUAUAAUUUUUAAAAGACCAAAUAAAAAUUUUAUCAUUCUGAGGAUAAAGUACAAUUUUACUAUUUACUAACUUAAAAUUAUAUUAACUUACUAAAAUUUAAAUUUCACAUUUUUAAGGGAAUCCUGCUAGGCCCUCCCUCCUGCCACCCUUGGGAAGGUAUAAAGUGAAGCAAUAAAGAUCCAAAAUAUAUAAAUACUUAUCACACUUGACCUAUUGCUUUUCUUCAAGCAAAACAAACGCUAAUGCACAUGAAAAUGCAAAUUCACAUCCAAACUAGUGAUGCAUUCUAUAUACAACCUAGUGAAUAAAUAAAUAAAUAAUAUUUAACCACAGAGUUGUCUCUAUGUAAGUGCCUUUAUUUAGCCUCUUUGAUUAGAUAUUCUUAAAUGUUAUUUCACCACUGAAUAAUUCGAAUAACGACUUGACUUAGUAAAAUCGAACAUUAGACACAAAUUAAAACCCAAGGCAACUUUGGACAUUUGAUCCCCUUUCAAUUCUUUAACCGACCAUUCAUUUCCCCUCUUACAUGAAUCCAAAUUUCAUUUCAUCCGGGAAAAGCCAUCUUAUUCUCAACAAUGUCUUUGCCAUUUGAUACAAAAGCCUUCCGUUAGAUAGGAACAGAUUUGAUAAAUACUAAUAAUUCUCAGAUGGAGUAUUAGAACGGAAAAAUCCAUUAGAUAAUGAACUAUUGGUUCUAAGCCAUCUCUGGCUAUGAAUCAAUAAUUCGAAGUGUUUUUCUUGCGUAUUCUUGAUAAACCAGAGUUUAUAUAUAGAUGUAGGAGGACUUGUUUGGGAAGUAAGAAGUCUCUUUGACAUCUCUUCAUCUGCAAAGAAUUCUCGGUAUGAAAACACAGAGACAAAGGGCUGAUCUUUGAAUAGGAAAAAGAGUGGAUCAACAGGAUCCCAAAUGAAUUGGCUUAUUUGAAAAAAGCCUUAUUCUUUGGAAGAUCUGUUUGGGAAGUAAGAAGCCCAUUUGAUAUCUCUUCUCUUGUAACUUCAUCUUCUAUUUUUUGUUCAACUUUACCAAAAGUCUCAAGAAUUUUUUCCUCAACCUUUUUCACUUUGGCAAAACUUUCUAAGGAACGAGGUUUUAUUGUGAACGACUUUGGUUCUAAUCAAAAUAAAUUCUCAGUUUCAUUUAAGGGUUUGAUCAUUGAUGCAAAAAUGAAUUUCAAUAUUCUUUAAUAAAUUGGUUAUAGUUACCGAUGACCUAGUAACUCAAUCUCUUCUUACCUUUUCGAUAAUCAAGACAAUCGUCAUUAAUUACUUCUCUUAUUGACAAUCAAUCUUAAAACGAUCGCUUAGAAAUUUAAUUUAUCUAUAGCUUAAGAAUGAAAGAGAUUAAAUUCUAAUCAACAAAAGCACAAUCACGGUUUAUUUAAGUUAGAUUGCAUGCCCAUGUUACACAAAUAAUCAUGCAGUCGUCACAAAUAUUAGAAAUCAAUUGAUCAACUAAAUAUCUAAUUUACAAAGCAAUCAUUCUAAACUAUCAAAUACCUAUCAAUUAUUUAACAAAUCUGAACAAUUAUAAUUAAAUUAGAAAAUAUGCAAAUAUUAAACAACAAAAGGGUAAUUAUGAUGUUUGGAUUGUUUUGUUAGAUGGUGGUCAUCUUCCUAUGUUGAUUGUUGGCGUUUAGUUUCUUUUUAUUGGAUGUAUCUGAUUUGUCAAUUUUUGUCUUCUUAUUUUUAAUAUAAUAAUUUUAUUGUUGAGAAAAAAAUUUAUAAUUUUAAUACAAAUUAUCAAAUUAACUAUUAACUUUUAAAAUUAAUGGUUAGUUUUAUUUUUAAAAAGUAUUUUAGCAUUUUAUUUAUUUUUUAAUUUAAAAUCAAAUAAUUAAUUAAAUAUAUUUAAAUUGUAUUAAAUAAAAUCAAAUUAAUUUUUAUGAGUCAUAAUAUAAUUUUUUAAUAGUUUAUUUUCCUAUGUGGAACAAUUAUUGAGAGUAAAUAAUCUGAUUACAUUAUUAAAAAAUAAUAGAAUAAAUUAAAAAUUCAAACAUCUUAAAAAGUUAAAAUAAAAUUUAAUUUAAAAAUAAAUAUUAAUAUUACAAAUAUAUUUAAAUUUUCUAUCUUAAUCUUCUACUUCAAUCCAUUAUUCUCAUCAUCAUCUUUCAUCUUGAUUUUCUUCAACCUAUCAUCAUCUAGACUAGUCAUUUUUUGACCGGACAAGUCUAAUCAGCUUCGAUCAAUAUUGGACUUCUAAUGUAGUUAAUUGCUUUGGAGUUGCAAAUUACUUAACAAUAAUAACAAAUUGAAGAUUUGUAUAAAAUUGUAGUGAUAAUACUACUUAGAAAAAUAGUAUAAAAUAAAAUUAAAAUUAAUAAGAACAUACAAUUAUAAAGUGUAUUUUUUUAUUAAACAAUGAUAGGGGAAAGUAAAUAAGGGUGACUUUAAAACAAAUUUAGUACAAUAUGUAUUGCAAACUAAAUAAAUAUGUGGUGAUGAUGAAUGAUUCAAUAUUAUAAUUUUAUCUUACUAUUGAUUAAAAUGAUCUUUCGUCACUUUUCAAUGCCAUUGUCCUUUGAUUAUGACUUGAAAUUUUCUCUUCAAAAAGUUAUUAUUACUUUAACAAUUCAUUAUUUUUGAGACACUUCAAACUUAACAAUGCUAAUAAUCUCUAAUUGUUUAAUGUUAUUUAUAAUGAUAAACCUUAAUUUUAGUUUGUAUAUCACUAUAACACUAAUUAAAUGAUAAUUUAUUUAAAAUACUAUAUAUUAUUAAUAAUUAAUAUACUCAAUUAUGUAGUUUAAAUCAAUAAAAAAACUCUAUUAUACAAUAUAUAUAUAUGAUUUUAUCUAUUACUUUUAUAGAAAAUUUUAUCUAUUAUUCUUAAUUGUAUAGUUAAAACAAAUAAAAACUCUAUUAUUUAAAAAUAUUUAUUUACUUAAUGUUAUUUUAGUAAUUAAAUAAAUAUCUAAAGGUUUUUUAAUCCAUUCAAAAAAAAUUUCAAAUUUGUGCUUUUAUAUAUAUUAUAAAUUUUUAAAUUUCACAAGAUGUAUAUAUUUUUAAAAUGAAAUAUGUAAUAAUUGUUUAAUAUGACUUACUAAAUUAAAAAAAAAUUGUCAAUACAACAAAGACAAAUCGAUAACACAUGUUACAAAUAGGUUAAGAAUAAAAAUACAUAUACAUAUAACCAAGAAGAGCAUUCUGGUCUUACAAUGUGCACAAUACCACGCUUGAAGCAAAGUCAACAUAGUUGUUAACUUGAUCCUCUUCAGAUUUAGAGUUGCUAGAAUUGUUUUCAUCACUCCAUGUAAUCCACAACACCUUCUUUUUCUUCUUGAGAGUGUUAGCACACUUAACUUGAUUUAGCACACUCAACUUGAUUUUGACCAUAGCCAAAGGCUUUCAUGACAUUGGAUGUCUUUUUUCUUUUCUUUCUCAUUCUGCUCUUUGACAACAGUAGUACUUUUGCUCUUGAUCUUAGGAGUAUUAUUUGGGGUUUCAAAUUUCUUAAACUUUCUAGCUUGCUUCUUAAAGGAUUUAUUGAAAUUCUGAGUAAGAAGAGCAAUCUCUUCUUAAAGUUCUUCAAAGGUAUUGAAAAUUGACACUUCAUUGGCAUCUUGGAGUGCAAUGCUUCUCUCUCCCUUUGAUUUAACUCUCUUGAUUUCAUCUAGAUUUAGCUCGAAAGUUUGUAGAGACCCUAUUAACUCAUCAAUCUUCAAGCUCCCCCGAUUUUUAGCUUAUUCAAUAGUAGUCACCUUAAUUGAAAACCUUUCAAGUAGUGAUCUCAAGGCCUUCCUUAAGAGAAGAAAAUGUCUCUGCAGAGUUUGACCCUUGUUAACAAAAGCAAAUAAGACUCCUUACAAGACAUGAAGGGGACCAAUUUUUGGAAUAAGUAUUCGAUGGCGAACACUAUUUGUCAUUGGAAAUCGUCAAUAUGGUUUCAAAAUUUAAGAUAGCUAGAAUAAGAAUAACAGCAAAGAUGACUAUUUGUACAAGGUCGAAGAAAAUUUUUUUGGGUACAAUCCUGUAUAGCAUAUAAUAGGAUCAUCUGUAUAAUACUACAAGAGCUAGUACCGUUGACAAGCAGUAAUUAGCAACGCUGAGAUGAUGAUAGGAUAAGGAUCCAAUAGUCAAAAGAUAGAAUAUAUACUGAAGUGCGAGUGUCCAUAUGAAAGCAGCAACUAAAAGCAUGUAACAAGUCCCAAACAAGGAAAGUGUUAUAUGAACAAACAAGAAGAUUGAACGGCUCAGUAGGAGACAGGCUGUUACAACAAUUUCUGCCCAAAAGGUUAAAGUGUUGUAUAACCAAAACAUAGUGGAUACGUCUACUAAAUUUAUCAAAUCUUGUUCAUCGGUUGUAGGACUUGGGUCGGGUGCAGUGCUAUUUGAAUCUAAAGAUGUGUGAUACUUGAGUUGGUAAUUCAAGAAUUUUGACAUGCUAUCAGGAUUCUUUGUGUUAGCAGUUGAAUAAUUAGUUGUGAAGCUAGACUGUUAAAGAAGUUAGUUGUUAAAAAGCUGUUAAAGAAGUUACUUUGUUGAACAGCUUGGCAGUUUUAAUAUCCUGUUUAUAAAUAUAGAGUCAUGUGUAAUUGGAAAGAGAAGAUAAAAAAAUAAUUUUUUUUUAUUUUUGUUAGUCUGUAUUAUAAUCAAACAUGGUAUCAGAAGUCAGGUUACUUUGAUGAUCUGCCAUGGCAUUUACCAGCUCCACUGCAACCUCCACAGCUUCCCAACGAUGGUCUCCUCACCUUUUCCUAAUGGUAUGUUUGACAGCCGGUUCUUUUCAACCAAAAAUAUUAAUAUUCUUCUUGAUGAUUCUAAUUACUUGUUAUGGAAACAACAAGUGCUUCUUGCUAUCAAGACUCACAAGCUGCAGCAGUUUCUUGAUGGUCGCACGAUUCCUCCUCUCUCACAUGUUCUUGAUGAUGAUGGAGUUCUUCAUGACAAUCUAGAUUUUGGACAAUAUGAACAGUAAGAUAGUGCUCUUGCUUCUUGGCUUUUAUCGUCUAUUAGUCAGAGUGUUUUACCUCAUCUCAUAGGUAUGGAUUCAAGCUCUCAGAUCUAGAAUACUCUUGCCACCAUAUAUGGCAGCAAAACUACGUCUAGGUUAAUGUUCUAUAGACGUGCUCUUCAUUCUUAGCGAAAGGGAGAGUUAUCGAUGAAAGUUUUUUUGAUGAAAAUAAAGAACUAUUGUGAUAACCUUGCUAGUUGUGGUGAAGUUAUUAGUGAACCUGAACAUGUCACUACUAUUCUAAAUGGCUUUUCUCCUGAGUUUGAGGCUAUUGUCACAGUCAUCACAGCAAGUCAAAUCUCCUAUGGUGUUCAGGCAAUUACAACUAUGCUUCUUGACGCUGAAGCCAAAUUACAAACUACGCUGGUUGAUGUGUCUAGCUCCCCUAAUAUAGUUACUACUCAGUCAAUUAACUCUGUUGCUAGUAUUCAACCACCACUAUAUCGUCCUGCCUAUGCUUCCGGAUGUGGUCGUGGAUGUGGACGCUCAUCUAGCUCAUGUAUUCAAUGUCAACUAUAUGGGAAAAUUGGUCAUCUUGUAGGUCAUUGUUAUCAUCGAUUUGACACUACAUCAAGAGUACAGCUUAUCGACCUCCUCCAUAAGCUAACAUGUGCAUGUUUGGUAAUAGAGUAUCCAUGCCUUGGAUGCCUCCGUAUAGCUCUCCUCUACCAGUUUUUUCUCCAGUGUUGAACUCUCAAGGCAAUUGGGGUUCUUCAUUUCCACCAUCGUAACAUUGGUCACACUUAUCUCCUACAUCCACACAACAAAUACCUGUACUAUUAUCUAACUCACAAGCUUAUGUUGCCACUCCAAACACUAUAGGAGACAAUGCCUGGUAUCCUGAUUCUUGGGCUACUCAUCAUCUUACUCAUUUUGCUACUUCAAUGAGUGACAGCACUCCUUAUAAUGGUUCAGGUAUGGUAUAUAUGGGUAAUGGUGCUACUCUACCUAUUAUUUGCACUAGUCAGUCAUCUUUACUCACUUGUUCUUGUCCACUUUAUCUACGAUCUCUUUUAUUUGUGCCUAACAUCACUAAAAACUUCAUGUCUAUGUCGAAAUUUGCAAGGAACAAUCAGGUUAUGUUUGAGUUCUUUCCUAACAAGUGUCAAGUGCGUGAUUUAAGAACGAGAGAGGUGUUGCUACAAGGAUCAAUUCAUGAUGGUCUUUACAAGCUAAAUCUAUCACAUGCCUCCAAGCCUUUAUUGCUAAACUGGCUCAGUUUUUUACUAUUAAUAAAGUUGUUCCUUUGGAUGUAUGGCACUAUAGAUUAGGCCAUCCCUGUCUAGCUACACUAAAGACAGCUUUGAAUAGUUGUAAUGUGCAAUUUUCUGUUAAUAAAAUUGUUUCGUGUAUGUCUUGUCACCUGGGAAAAGAGCAUAAACAACUUUUUUCUCCUGCUGUUUCUGACUAUACCUCUCCAAAUGGUGGCUGCUGAUGUUUAGGGGCCUGCUCCAAUUUACUUAAAUGGGUUUGCUUACUAUGUAGCAUUCACAAAUGCUUAUACUCGUUAUACAUGGUUGUACUUCUUAAAGAAAAAGUCUAAUGUGGCCACAGUGUUCUAUCAGUUCCUUCAGCAAGCUGAGAGGUGUUUUGGUAACAAACUCAAGGCUCUUUAAACUGAUGGAAGAUGAGAAUUUUAGGCCUUAAGGUGGUUUUUGGCUUAAAAAGGAAUUGUUCACAGGCUCAUCUGUCCUUAUACGUUUGAACAGAAUGGUUUGGUUGAGAGGAAGCACAGACAGAUUGUUGAAAUUGACCUCUCUAUGCUUACCUAUGCUUCACUGCCUCUUUGUUACUGGCAUGAUACAUUCAGCAGUACAGUGUUUUUGAUAAAUAGGUUACCUUCUCAACACCUAGGUAAUAUCACUCCCUAUGAAAAAUUGUUUUAGUUGAAACCAAAUUAUUUGUUUCUUCGAGUGUUUGGAUGUCUCUACUUUCUUAAUAUCAGACCAUACAAUACCAAUAAGUUACAAUUCAAAUCCACACCUUAUACCUUUCUUGGAUAUUCCUCUAACCAUAAAGGCUAUAAGUGUCGCGAUGCUUUAGGAAAAAUUUAUAUAUCCCGACAUGUCACAUGUCAUGAAUAUGAGUUCCCAUUUUGAACAAGUCUAAGUCAUUCCAAAUCAUCCAGUAGUAACCCACAUUAUUCUACAACUAGCUCCAAGUUGAUCAUUGUUCCACAUCCACCACCAAUAAAUUUGACUACCAUACAACCCCAACAACCAGGAUCACAACAACUUUUCUUGAGUGACUCACCAUCACCUGUGUCUGACCCUAUUGAACCUACUGUCCCAUCUGAGUCAAGUCAACCUAGUUCCAUUAUCCCAUCUGAGUUUAGACUGGCCUCACCAAAUAUAGUCAAUACCCAUCCUAUGGUCACCCGUAGCAAAGUAGGUACCUUCAAACCUAAAAUAUACCAUGCCAAGGUACCUAAUUUAUCUGAAACUAUACCUAUUGAUGUUCAUGAGGUAAUGAUGUACCCUCAUUGGCGAGAUGCUAUCCAAAAUGAGCUAAGAGCUCUCACAAAAAAUAAUACUUGGACACUUUGUACUUUUCCUUCUUCUAGGAGAUCCAUUGGCUGCAAGUGGCUCUUCAAGGUUAAAAAGAAGCCUGAUGGGACUGUCGAAAGGUACAAAGCAAGACUCGUUGCUAAAGGGUUUUUGCAACAUGCUGGAUCAGAUUUCAAUGAUACUUUUAGUCCCGUAGUUCGUACUACUAUUGUGAGGGUGGUUCUCUGUAACACCCCUAACCCAUGUCCGUCACCGAAACAGGGUUAUGAAGCAUUACAGAACAUAACACGGUUCAAUACAUACAUUUAUCAAUAAUUAUCACAUUGUAAUUAAUAUCAUAAAAUAAUCUCUAACAUACUUAAAAUGAGCAUACAGUUAUUAAACACUCUAAAACUACAGCUAAAUAAACAUAAUUAAUUUCACACCUCACAAGGCAUUCGGUAAUAAAUCUGCAACAUUUAAACAUCUAUGACCAUGACACAUAUAAUACCAUUUCAAACAUCAAAUUCUGAUACCAUUUAUCUCAUUCAAAUAAGCAACCAAAACUAAUUCAAUAUAUGCUUCAUUCGUAACAUAAUCAUGCAAUCAUUUUUAAAUACAUUUUUAACUAAACAGAACAUACCAAAUUCACAUGUUAAUCUCACCAAAUUAGCAACUACCAAUACUAAACACAAAUGCCAAAUCAAAUCAUACCAAAACCUCAACUAUAUGUUAUACUAACUAUACUAAUUUCAUUCUUCGCAUAAUCAAUCAUAUAAACACUAAGACAUUUCUAAUAAUUUGGCCAAAUGCAUAGGUUAAUAAUAAUCCACACCAAAUAAUCAAAUUCACAUGGCAUAGAAUAGUCAUCACAUAGCAAAUAUGAACACAUACUAAUAUUAACAUCUAACCGAAUAAUUAACCAUAUGACUAUACCAAGUUUGCCGAAUCUCAAGAUAUAUUAUAAACAUCACCUACCAUUUGUCAAUUCACAUAAUAAGCUCAUUUGCAUAGCCAAAGUAACUUCCAACAACUACACCAUUUACAAACCAACUUACAUGGCUAAAACCACAACCCAAAAACCUACCACAUGAUCACUAGCCUAUACAUGCCAUAUACUAAAUUUACAAGCUUCAAAAGUACCAAAAUGAUGAUCGAUAGUGUGACGAUGGUUCUUGACGAUCCCCGAGCUCAAGCUAGCUUCGAUUAUCUAAAAAAAUAGGGAAAAAAUGCACACAAAGUAAGCUUUCAAAAGCUUAGUAAGUCAUAAACAAAUAAAUAGUCAUAAAAACAUAUAUAAUCUAUUUUAGUUAAGCCGAAUAUAACUAGUCUCAAACACAUAUAUAAACACUAUUCUCAUGUAAUUCACUUUGUCUCAUUAAACAACAUCACUUACCUUUUUCUUUCAAAGUUCAUACCAGUUUCACACAUACCUGAAUCGUUUAUCUUUUAUACCAAUUUUGCAUCGUAUCGACUUUACCCGUUAAACCAUUCGAAAUCGUUGAGGAUACUCAAAAACACAUAUAUCUCAUACAAUGGCAUAUCCCAGAUAUGGUCUUACAUGUUAUCACAUAUGGAUGUCACUGUCCCAGACAGAGUCUUAUACGAAAUCAUAUACGAUGCCACUACCCCAGACAUGGUCUUACACGUAAUCUCAUAUCGAUGCCAAUGUCUCAAACAUGGUCUUACACGAAAUCAAACCUCAAGAGUCCUAAUGUCAUGACGUUUGUAUCCUAUACUACUCCUAAGGUUCGUACAGGACUUUCGGACAUCGUAACUCUGUCAAUUCUAGCUCGUUUUCAUCUUUUCAACAUUUGAUACAAUUCAAUGAUAAUCAAACAUAAUUAACAUAAUUUAAACGCAUUUAUUUGUAUAUGAACUUACCUCGAAUACGGAAUGAAUAGAUCGGAUCGACUACUCGAUAACUUUCAAUUUCCCCUGAUCUAAAUCUAAUUUCGUUCUUUCUUAAUCUAUAUAAAUUCAAAUUUAACUUAUUUAAUUAUGUAUUCAUUCAAUUUCAUCUAAAAACACAUAAAUGGGUAUUUUGCACUUUAGCCCUAAAAUUUUACAUUUUUGCAAUUUAGUCCCUAUUUCAAAACUAUACAAAAUUUCAUCACCAAAGCAUAGUCGAAUCUUCCCUAGCUCCUUAACAGCCCAUUAAUUCCAUUUAUUUCACAUUUCAACCCCCCAAUUUACAAAUUUCAUAAUUUAAUCCAUAAUAAGCAUUUUUAUCAAAAAUCAUUUAAUAAAAUAUGAUAAUCUAUCAACAAAUAUUUAUUUUUCAUCAUCAAACAAUAAAAAGCUUCAAUAUUCAUCAAUGGAAUUUCACAAAAUCAUCAUCAAAUUCAAAAAUUAAAGCAUGGGCUAGCUAGAAUACAAAGCAACGAUCUCAAAAACGUAAAAAUCAUCAAAAAUCGGACUCAAAACAAUCUCAAUCAAGACUUCAAAGUACUGAACCUAAAAGCUUCAAAAUUGUUUCUUUUCUUUGUUAUUUUCGGCAAUGGUGGUGAAAAGAUUAACAAAAUAAUGUUUUUGUUUAAUUUAAUAACAUUAUUUACAAAGUUACUAUAAUGCCAUUAAUGAAAACAUUAAAAAAUCAUAUAAUGGAUGACCAUUUAUGUCAUUAUCCACUAACUAUGGUCUAAUCACAUCACAAGGACCUCACAUUUAAUUAAUCAUAGCAAAUAAACUCUUAAAUAAUUUAUAUGCCACUUUUGCAUUUUACGUGAUUUAGUCCUUUUAUCAAAUUAACUAACCAAUCGGUAAAAUUAAAUCACAAAAUUUUCACACAUAUCAAAUAACAUGCUGUAAACACAAAAAAUAAUAUUAAAAUAUUUUUAUAACCUCAAAUUUAUGGUUCCAAAACCACUGUUCUGAUUUAGCUUAAACCAGGUUGUUACAUUCUCUCUAUUGCUGUUAUGAAAGGGUGGUCUCUAAGACAAGUAGAUGCCAAUAAUGCCUUUCUUAAUGGCGCAUUGAUUGAAGAAAUCUAUGUGGAUCAACCCAGGGUUUGAAACUACAAAUGUCACGGGUAAUCAACUUACGUGCAGGUUAAAUAAAGCUCUGUAUGGUCUCAGACAGGCACCCCGAGCAUGGUUUAAUACGUUGAGAGAGUACUUGGUUGACCAGCUUGGUUUUCGUGCCUCUAAAGUUGAUCCUUUAGUAUUCAUACGAAUAAAUGGUGGGUUUUCUCUAUUUCUAAUGGCCUAUGUGGAUGGUAUUAUCAUCACGAGAAGUUCACCUAAGAAGAUUGACAAAGUUGUGCAUUAGCUACAUAGUAGAUUUGCCCUCAAAGACAUGGGAAAUCUUCAUUUUUUUUCUUGGUAUUGAAGUGCAUCAUAUUUCACAUGCAAUGUUUCUUACUCAAAAGAAUUAUGUUCUGGAGUUACUUCAUAAGACAGGUAUGGAGACUGUAUCACCUACCCCGACACCUAUGGUAGGCACACCAAAGUUAACUGCUACAGAUGGCACACCAUUUUCAGAUGGUCAUUUGCAUUACAACAUUAUUGGCACUCUGCAGUAUGUAUGCAUUACACGUUCAAACAUAGCCUUCUGUGUCAACAAACUGAGCCAGUACAUGAAUGCUCCACAAAAUACACACUGGCAUGCAAUGAAACGUGUGGUACGAUAUCUUAAUGGUAUUUUGGAUCAUGGACUAUACUUCAUUAAAGGUUGUUUUGAGUUAACUUUUUUAUUAUGAUGCUGAUUGGGCAUCUACAACUGAAGACAGGUGAUCUACCACUGGUUAUUGCAUUUUUCUUGGUUCUAAUCCAGUUGCUUAGUGCUCCAAUAAAUAAGUUGUUGUUUCUUGUUCUUCCUCAGAAGUAGAGUAUCGUAGUCUUGCAAACUGUGUUUUUGAGUUGCUACGGUUAAAGUAGUUGUUGACUGAAGUUGGCAUCAAUCUCCAGCAUAUACUAGUAGUGUGGUGUGACAACACCCUCACAGUAUUGAUGGUAGCCAAUCUGACUCAUCAUGCCAAGGUUAAGCACAUAAAGGUUGAUAAUCAUUUUGUUCGAGAAAAGGUUCACGAUAGUAUUCUCCAUGUAAAUUUUUGCCCUCAGCAAGUCAAAUUGCAGAUGUCCUCACCAAGCCUAUUACUCCAAAAUAAUUUUCCUUCUUUCGAGAUGCAUUACGUGUACUCCCUCCCAGUAGCAAUCAACCAAACAAUCAACACAAGAAAGAAAUGUAAGAGAAUGUUAGCAGUUGAAUAAUUAGUUGUGAAGCUAGACUGUUAAAGAAGUUAGCUGUUAAAAAGCUAUUAAAGAAGUUAGUUUGUUAAAUAGCUUAGCAGUUUUAUCCUAUCUAUAAAUAUAGACUCAUGUGUAAUUGGAAAGAGAAGAUCAAGAAAUAUGUUUUUCAUUUUUGUUAGUCUGUAUUAUAAUCAAACACUUUGGAGGGUUCAAAAUGGCAGUGUAUGUGGUUGUUAUAAUUAGCACUAUGGCUACUAAAAAUGUGACACGAACAAGGCCUUCAUCAAACCUGAGGAGUCGAAACACUUCUUGAGUUUUUUCAUUUUGCAAAGCCAAUUGCAUGGGGCUAAACCUGGCUGGAUUUAGCUUUCUUGCAAACAAUGGCUUUAAGUUCAUCAUCUCUAUCAUAAAUUCAAUAUGCCCUAUAGAGGUUGCUAUGUGCAAUGGGGUACCAAGAAAAAGAACAUGAUUAAUACACUCUAAAACAUAUUGAUCAUUUUGAAUCAACUCAUAUAAGACGUUAAUAUCUCAUUGUGCAGCAUUUCUCAUCGUCUCAUCCAUGGCAUGGUGUGUGUGUGUUGGGGGCAGGGGAUGAAAUAUGCAGGAACAGAAUACAAUAUAGAAAAGGAAAUAGAACCUUUAUUUUGUAGAAACACAUAAGUCCAACCAUAAUUUUAUACAUGACUUAAAUGAGCUAAUUUGAGAAAGUAAACAUUUUGAAAGGACUCAUGAAAUCUUAGACCAAACAAAAAGCAAGCCUAAAAGAGUGAUGAAAGAACGCUUUAGCAGAACAAAUGAUUAAGGGUUUAUUGAAGUGUUUAAUUUUUUUUCUUCUUCCGUUUUGUAACACAUAAUUAAUUUGGGUUUAUGUUUGAUAUCAAAAUCUCACUUGUUAAAAAAUAUACAAUAAUUUGGUUAAAAAAUUUAAUAAUUAUAUUUAUUUUUAAUAAUUUUUAAGAUAUUAAUUAAAUGAUAACACGUUAUAUGAAAACUCUAAAACUAGAUAUAUUUAAUUGUAAUAUAAAUAUUAUUUCGUUAUCUAGUUCACUAAUGAUAUGCAAAAUUAUAAUCCUCUCUACAUCAAAUGAUUUUUUUUCAAGAUUACUUAUAAAUAUAUUAUUAAGUGUAUCAAUAUGGUUCACUUAAAUACAAACAUUAUUUUUUACAGUUUUCUGGAUUGAAGUGCACAAUUUACCGAUGAGAUUUAUGUUGGAAGGAAUGCCAUGCCAAUUCGGUAAGUUCAUUGGUUAGUUUUUGGAAUAUGAUGCUAGUUCGGUAACAAGAGCUAUUAAGAAGUAUAUGCGUAUUAGAGAAAAAUGGAUGUUCGACAACCUUCGAAAAGAAAGAAGUGAAUAGUUGUGGACUAAAACUGGCCGACUUAUGCAUUGUUUUAGUAGGAAAAAUUUAUUCUAUUUUGUUUCUUAUGUGGGAUGUUAGGGCAUGGGGAAGGGUUUUGCCGAGUCAGAUUGUCCUUAGAAUCGCAGGAGGUGACCUUCGAAUGGGACAUAUCGUUAAAAGCGGCACCAAAGAAGGCAUUGUCAGAAGAUAGCAGAUGGUUGAGGGACGACAGUUUGGGAAGCAAUCCGAUAGGAAUAGAUAUGGAUGACAACAAAGGAGGAAGGAGUUUUGGUGAUAUCCAAAAGUCUUGGCCUUAUCAAAUAAGGGGCGGGAAAGGAGGAGAUUAUCUAGCCGCAAAAUCUAAGGUGAAUUUACAAUCCAACAAAGAAUGCUUCAAUCGUCAAAGUAGUCAAGCCCAAAUACAGGGCUUGAAAGUUAUGGGCAAAUGGAGUUGGGUUUGGACAUGAAGGAUAUUUAAAUUGAGAUUGUGGAUAGUAAGAAAAUAUGAAGAAUGCAUCAAAUGAAUAUUACUAUUUCUAGCAAAAUUCAUUCAAUGAAUUUGAGAGUCCCUUCUAAAAUAUCGGCAACUAUUUUUAAGUAAAUCGACUGAACACAGUGAAAAUCCUCAGCUAGAAUAUCUAUGAGUUGGAGCAACCACGAGACAUGAAACGUGUCAAAAAUAAUAUGAGACUUAUUAAGCCCCAACUUUUGUUUCUAAUAGAUACAGAUCCAUGCAAGACAAAUGGAACGAGUUACAAAGAUCAGUGGUGUGUCAUUGAAAGCACAAAAAAUAACCUAUCCCUAUGAAAUAACGAAAUGAAUAGUAUAUGGGAAGUAGAGUCAAAUCCUCAGAGGCUGGAUCACUACAGCUUCUUGUUUCUCAAAAUCCUGGGCACAAUCGUGCCCAAGAAAAACGUAUAAGCUAGGAAAAAAAUAAAAGAACAGAAUUAAAAAUAUGGACAAGAUGAAAUUGAAUAAAUUGAAAUUGCAAUUGUUAAAAAAAUAGAGUUGAGGGAAGGGGUUUUUCAAUUUGAGGAACUCCAACUUCUGAUUAUUUCGAUCCUCCUUGGAUUCAAUCAUAGGCUUUUAGGUGGUCAUUCUCAUGACCGAAUAAGCUAGUUAUAGUGGAAGAGGACGCCUACGACCACCAGCUCCACUUAGGAUUUUAGCCUUUAGUGGCUCAUAUUUUUUGGGAAAAAACACAAGUUUAAUGGAAUGAAAAUUUACUAGAAAAUAAAAGGAACAAAAGUUAAGAGCUUUAGAGGGAAGGAGCUUUUUACAAAAACGACGAGUGACUAUUCAUGUCACUUCAUCCCCUAUUUAUAGUACAUAAAAAACUUAAUUUGUUCCUAUUUAAACUCUAGAAGAUAAAUAAAGAUAUAAUUUGAAAUUAAAUCUAAACAAUAUCAUAAUAAUCCUAACAAUAAUCCUAAAAAUAAAAUUCAAAUUUAAAUAAAGUAUUAUGUUCAUAAAUCUCUUCUUUGAAUUUUUACCCGAAAUCUUUCACACUUUGUAUUUUCGACACCACUUCUUUCCUAUUUCGCAUGCUGGCCCAUUUUGUCUUUAAAUUCACACUUUUUGUCCCUAAAUUUUCUUUUUCCCUUAAUUUAGUCCCUACAAGUUAAAAAACCAUAAACAACUCAAAUUAAUAGGAUCAUACUCAAAAUAUAUGUAAUUAAUACAUAAAAGUAUGUCAUUUUAGAGUAUUAUCAAUCAGUCCAAUUCGUUUAAUGACAGUGGAGUUUGAAGAACUGUCGCCUCGCCAAACACCACCAGGUGGGCUAAGAGCUUGGUAGGUUGCAGCUAGAAGGAGACUUAAAAUGCCUAGUUAGACAUUACGGUCUUGGUCUGAUAUAUUAUCCAUAUUGUGAAUAAUUACUAGUGAUGCUUUGGUCACAUACUCGAUGAUUUGCUUCUCAACUUAUAAUUAAAGUAUGAAAUUACUGGAAUAAAGCUACCACGUAGAAUAGUAAUGCUUUCUUUGAUAUUAUGCCUUCGUGCAACAUCGAGUGCUAUCAAACUAUGUUGAUUGGUAGCAUGCUUAAUCGCUUUGCAGUUUAAUAGCAGUUUGACCAUCUGUUGCAUUAAGAAUUAGAGAUAUAAAAAAGCUACAAUCAAUUAAUUGUGUCCAUGAAAUAUAAAAGAACUAUGUAAUGUUAAUUAUCAAAGCGGCUGAGUCAAACCUAGGGUUGAUUACUUCUAGGAGCAAUAUGUAGUGCAGUGUUCCAUUUUUACCUUUCCUAUUUACCAAUUCCGAACAAUAGUCUUUCUUCCUAUAUGUUGGAGUUAGGACUUGAAGAACUGUUGGUGUAAGAACAAAUAGCAAUCAAGUUCAGCUAAAAACUUGAGCAACAAGAAUCAAGACUUGCAGCAGAAACAAAGCAGAAAUUCAAACAGAAAACUUAAAAUUAAAGCUAAAAGAUGGAGAUGGAGAAUAUUUGAAUAAAAACUUGAUUGAAUUCAUUCAAAAUGAACAAUGGCAUAAAUCCAAUACAUAAACCAAGCUUUUAGCUUAUCAAAAAUAGUAUGGCCACCUAACCAAUACCUACUACCACUAAUACAUUGAAACUUGAAGUAAUUAACUUGUACACAUAAACAAAGCUGAAUUAAUCAGCUCAAUCACUAUCAAUAUUACAUCAAAUAUCAACCUAACAUGGUUCAAAAUGAACUAGAUUACAUUACAUCAACUAAAAAAUACAAAAUGAAACAAAACAUCCUUAUUUGCACAUGAAAUCAGCAACUUCUGCAUGGCUUGGUCUUCAUGACAUGUGCUUGGCUGCCUUUGGUGCUGCAUGCUGACCAACCUUCAACACUCCUCCUUGGUUAGCAUGUUGCGAAUUCCCAUCUCAGCUCUCAAAUGUUGAAACCUUGAAACAUUAAGGGCCUUUGUUAGAAUGUCAGCUAAUUGCUCUUCAGAACUGCAAUGAACUAGUUUUACUUCAUGAGCUUGCUCCAUUUCCCUAACAGCAUAGAGUUUGAUGUUUAACUAGUUUGUCCUCCCAUGAAAAAUAGGGUUCUUUGCAAUUGCAACAGUAGAUUGAUUGUUACACAUUAUCUCUGGUGCUUCAUUUUGUUCAAGGUUAAGAUCGGCCAAGAUCUUUCUAAGCCAAAUGGCUUGAUUAACAGCUCCAACAGCUGCUACAUAUUCAGCUUCAACUGUAAAUUGAGCUACUACUGUCUGCUUCUUCGAACUCCAACAAAACAUGGCUGAACCAAGAUUAAAAGCAUAACCUGAGGUGCUUUUCAUAUCAUCUAUUGAACCAGCCCAAUCAAUGUUAGUGUAUCCAACUAGUUUCAAAUGUUCAGCCUUGCUAAAUAACAUGCCAUAGCUCAAGGUUCAUUUGAUGUACCUAAGAACUCUCUUGGCAGCCUUGAAAUGACUUUUAUUGCAACAAUGCAUGAAUCUUGAGAGUAAACUCACAGCAUACAUUAUGUCUGGCCUGGUAGCAGUUAAGUAUAACAAACAACCAACUAGACUUCUAUAGGUUGUUUCACAUACUCUCUCAAAAGUACCUUAGUUCGAUAGCUUCUUUCCAACAGCAACUAGUGUGCUGGUUGCUUUACAAUUCCACAUUGAGAACUUGUUUAAGGUCUUCACAGCAAAAACUUUUUGACUUAAAUAAAUUCCUUCCUGUGUUUGUGUUACUUCCAUGCGUAGGAAGUAGGACAUCAACCCCAAGUCUGACAUUUCAGACAUUUGUUGCAUUUUGAUUUUGAAAUCAACCAACAUUGCUUGGUCUCCUUCUGUCACCAAUAGGUCAUCAAUAUAUAGGGACACAAUGAGCUGUGUUUGCACUCCUGUCUUUUUGACAUACAAUGUUGGCUCACUAAUACUCCUUUCAAAUCCCAAACUGACCAGGUAUCCAUCGAUUCUACUGUACCAGGCACUUAGUGCUUGUUUUAAGCCAUACAAGGCUUUGUUUAACUUGCACACCAUUUCUUCCUUACCAGUCACCUUAAAGCCUUGAGGUUGCUCUACAUAAAUUUCUUCUUCAUGAAAUCUAUUGAGAAAAGUUGACUUUACAUCAAGCUGGUGGAUUUUCCACUGCAUUUGUGCUUAAGGCAACCAACAAUCUGAUGGUGUCAAGCCUGGCCACUGGCACAAAGGUCUCCAGGUAGUCUAGUCCAUACUUCUGACUAAACCCUUUGGCAACUAGCCUUGCCUUCAGUCUGUUCAAGCUACUAUCAGUAUUGUGCUUGACUCGAUAAACCCAUUUAACCCCAAUAAUCUUCUUAUUUGCUAGUCUUUCAACCAGUUCCCAAGUUUGAUUCUUCUCGAUCAUACUGAUUUUAUCAGCCAUUGCUUGCUUCCACCCCUGCUGACCUUCAGCCUCUUCAAAACAGCUUAGUUCUGCUAUGGCUACUUGAGCUCUUUCACAAAUAUCAGCCAAUGUUCUAGUGCCCCUGACUGGUUCAUCAUCAACAUCCAUUUCAAGACUAUCUUGAUCAAUUUCAACCUAAUAUGUUGCAAGAUCUUCAGAGACUGCCUCUGGUUCAUUCUUCUCCCAAUUCUAGCUUACGUUUUCAUUAAACACCACAUCUCUGCUUACUAGAACUUUAUUUGUUGAGGGAUCCAAAAUUCUAUAGCCCUUUUUUACUGUGCUAUAGCCUACCAGAAUACAUGCUUGAGCCUUUUUAUCCAGCUUGCUUCUCUUCACAAUUGGAACUUGUGCAUAACAUAUGCAACCAAAGGUCCUAACAUGAGCCAGUGAUGGCUUGAAUCCAAACCAAGCUUCAAAUGGAGUUUUUUGAGCUAGGGCCUUAGUUGGAAGCCUAUUUUGAAGGUAGACAGCAGUGUUUACUGCCUUAUCCCAUAAGGUUUUAGGCAAUUUUUUUUCAAACAUUAGACACAUGGCCAUAUCCAUAAAGCUUCUAUUCUUUCUUUCACUUACACCAUUCUGUUGAGGUGUAUAGAUAUUGGUGAGCUGGUGUUUGAUACCAGCUUCAUCACAAAAAGCUUGUAAUUGAACUGAGGUAUACUCAGUUCCAUUGUCUGACCUUAGUAUCUUGAGCUUGCAGCCUGUUUCAGUUUCUACAGCAUUUUUAAACUUCCAAAAUACUGAAGCCACUUCUGAUUUGUGCUUCGAGAAGUAAAUCCAGCAAAAUCUCGAGUAAUCAUCAAUAAACAGAAUAAAAUACAUGCUCCCAUUCUGACUGAGUCUUCAUGGGGCCACAAACAUCUGUAUGCACAAGCUAAAGUUUUUCUGAGGCUCUCUAGGCCUUGUUUGAAGGGAAUGGUUGUCUGGCCUGCUUUCCUAGCUAGCAUACCUCACAAACCUCAUAUUUCUCAACUGAACCAAUGAAGUUUUCAGCCAAGUCUUCUCUGGAUAGCUGGUCCAUUGAUCUGUAGUUGGCAUGACCAAGCCUUUGAUGCCAAAGCUUGGAUUCAUCAUAUGUGACUAUAUAGGCAGUGUUUGAGCCAUUUUUCCAGUCAACAACAAAGCUCUUAUCAGCCAUAAUGAUUGCCAUGAGCUUGGAUCCACUUGGAUCACUAAUUUGGCACUCCCUACCUUUGAACACUACAGAAUACCCUUUCUCUAGUAGCUGAGUUAUGCUGAGCAGAUUUCUAUCAAUUUCAAGAACCAAUAAGACAUUUGAGAUCAACUUGUUACCUAUGGGAGUGCAUAUCAGCACAUCUCCCUUACCUUCUGCCUUAAUGAAUUUGCCAUUUCCUACAUUCACCUUUGUUUUGAAACUCCUAUCAACUGACUUGAAGAUUGAAGUAUCUAGUGUCAUGUGAUUUGUACAACCACUGUCUAAGAGCCAUCCAUUUGUGACUUUUUUCUUAACAGCUGAGCAUGAAAUUGCAAAAACUUGCUCCUCAUGGUCAUUGUCUUCUUUUGCUACUCGAGCCUCAGUCUUUGGCUGUUGGGAUUGGUUCUACCUUGGUUUGCCCUUGUUUUUACAGACCUUUUCAACAUGCCCCAUCUUUUUGCAAUAUUGGCAUUGCACAUCUGGCCUAAACCAACAACCUGCUUCAGGAUGACCAGGUCUUUUGUAAUGCAUGCAUGGUUGAUCCCUCCUUCUUGUAUUUUCUGGCUUAGACUUGUCCCUCUAAGUCUUUUUGCCUUUAUAGGCAGAGCUGCUCGAGGUUGGCUUAGCUUUGGCUUUAAAGGCACCUUCUUGGUGCUCCUCCAGUCUGCUAGCCCUUCUCUGUUCUUGUGCAUACAAGGCAUUGAUUAACUCAGUUAAGGAGAUAGUUGUCAAAUCCCUUGAGCCUUCGAGAGAUGAAAUUUUUGCCUCAUACCUCUCAGGUAAGGUAAAUAUCACUUUCUCCACUAUUCUAGCUUCACUAAAUUGCUCUCCGAUGAGCGUUAUACUGUUUACCACAGCCAUGAUCCUGUCUGAAUACUGCUUGACAAUUUCUUCCUCUUUCAUCUUCAAAUUGACGAAAUCCCUUCUCAAAUUCAGUAGCUGUUGCUACCUUGUUCUUUCAGUUCCUUGAAACUCCUCUUUUAAUUUUUCCCAAGCCUGCUUUGGUGUCUCACAGGCCAUGAUCCUUGAGAAGAUCACAUCUGACACACAGUUUUGUAUGUAGGAUAUGGCAUUGUGCCUCUUUGUUAUUUCAUCAGCAUGCUGUCUUAUCUGAGCCACUGUUGGAUUGGCUCUAAAAGGUGCUGGCUCAGCAUCUGAGUUGACCACUUCCCAUAGGUCAAAUGCCUACAGGUAGGUCUUCAUUUUGACCACCCAAAUAUGAAAGCCCUCUCCAUUGAAGACUUGUGGUGCAGCUGGUGAAAAGCCUGAUGAAGCCAUGGUUUUAAGUGUUGAACUAUACCAGGUCCACUAAGAUUAUAGUUCUAGAUACCAAUUGUUGGUGUAAGAACAAAUAGCAAUCAAGUUCAGCUAAAAACUUGAACAGCAAGAAUCGAGACUUGCAGCAGAAACAAAGCAGAAAUUCAAACAGAAAACUUAAAAUUAAAGCUAAAAGAUGGAGAGUAUUUGAAUAAAAACUUGAUUGAAUUCAUUCAAAAUGAACAAUGGCAUAAAGCCAAUACAUAAACCAAGCUUUCAGCUUGUUAAAAACAGUAUGGCAACCUAACCAAUACCUACUACCACUAAUACAUUGAAACUUGAAGUAAUUAACUUGUACACAUAAAAAAAGCUCAAUUAAUCAGCUCAAUCACUAUCAAUAUUACAUCAAAUAUCAACCUAACAUAGUUCGAAAUGAACUAGAUUACAUAACAUCAACUAAGGAAUACAAAAUGAAACAAAACAUCCUUGUUUGCACAUGAAAUCAGUAGCUUCUGCAUGGCUUGGUCUUCAUGACAUGUGCUUGGCUGCCUUUGGUGCUGCAUGCUAAACUUUUGGCUUUGGUUGCUGUAUAGUACUUCCACUACACCAAAACAAGCUUUUAGCGGCGUUUUUUUUUUGCCUUUAGCAGCGCUUUUUAGCGCUACUAAAAGUAUUUGCGGCGCUUCUAGUAGCGCCGCAAAAAAUGCCACUAUUGACAGUGUCGCUAACCUUUACGGCGUUUAUUUCUAAAAACGCCGCUAAAGAACAAGACCUUUAGCGGCGCUUUUUCCACAAACGCCGCUAAAGAACAAGACCUUUAGCGGCGCUUUUUUCACAAACGCCGCUAAAGAACAAGACCUUUAACGGUGCUUCUUUCACAAAUGCCACUAAAGAAUAAGACCUUUAGCGGCGCUUUUUCCACAAACGCCGCUAAAGAACAAGACCUUUAGCGGCGCUUUUUUCACAAAUGCCGCUAAAGAACAAGACCUUUAACGGUGCUUCUUUCACAAAUGCCACUAAAGAAUAAGACCUUUAGCGACGCUUUUUCACAAACGCCGCUAAAGAACAAGACCUUUAGCAGCGCUUUUUCCACAAACGCCGCUAAAGAACAACACCUUUUAGCGGCUCUUUUUCCACAAACACCGCUAUAGAACAAGACCUUUUGCGACGCUUUUCCCAAAAACGCCGCUAAAGAACAUGACCUUUAAAAAAAUAUUUUAAUUAGAUAAUAUUUAUUUUUAUGAUAAAUAUUAUAUUAUGUUUUAUUUUUGAAACUUAAACUUUAAACUAUAUACAUUUUAAGGAUAAAAAAUAUUAAUUAAAUUAAAUUUUCUAUUAAAAUUUUAACUUUAAAACUAAAUAUAAAAAUUAAUAAAUUUAAAUUUAAAUUUAAAAUUUAAAUAUUAUGUUUAAAUAAAUGAACAAUCUAUCUCACAAUUCAUCUGAUCUAUAUUAACUCGGCCAAUUAUAAAAGAAGCUACAAAACAAGUAAUAAUUAACAAUCAUAGCUACAAAACCCUAUUUCAAUAGCACUAAAUUCAAGUUCUGACUAAGAUAAAUGACCAUGGAAUGAAACAUCAAAUAAUAUUCCACUUGAAGAAGUGCUAAGCCUUGGCUUUUCCAGCUUGAAGAGAUUGAAUCCUCUACUACACCUUCAAUAUCUAAAGGAUGCAAAACCAAAUGAUCAGAUAAACCAACAAACUUGAUAAACAAGAGAGAUGUUAAAAAUAAAAAAUAUAUAUUAGAUACAUACAUACAUAUAUAUAUCAUUAGACACGUUAAAGAUGUUAAAAAGAUGUGAACAUAUGAUAAAGACUUCUAAACUAGACACAUUACCUAGAUUUAGCAUGGGUAUAUUAGAUACAUACAUAUAUCUAUAUCUAUAUAUAAUACAAGUAUAUUAAAAAAAAUUAAAACUUCUUGUCAUAUGUUUAAAACAUCAUACCUCAUUUCUAAAUAUAUAUAAAAAAAUAGAGUGAAGAUUUAAUAAAUUAGACUAGCAAACAAUAACACCAUUAUAUGUCAUCAGUUCAGAGCAUGUAUAUACACGGUAUUAUCUAACAUAUAUGAUAGAACAUUCAGCUACAAGAUUCCAUCAGCAUGUUAGCUAGAACAAGGUAUCUGGAAAUGAACCCACAAGAUGAAAAGAUAAAUUUGAAACUUCAUCUAAUUGGGGAAAAGACAAGACCAAGUGGAUUUAAUGAAAGGCAUACGAGGAUUUAUUUAUUGGAUAAGAUACUAAUAAUAUUUGCAAUAUCUUUACUCUAGGAUAGUGUUCUUCUUUUCCAACCAAAUUUAUCCCUACUUUGUCUCUCUUUUUUUUUCCUCCCCUAGAUCUCACUGACUGGGAUUUUCUUCAUUUUCCUCCAUAUUACAAUCUGUCCUCAAACUUUAUGCCUUUAGUAGCAAUUAUUUAUUGCUUAUGUCACUUUUGAUAAAAGAACCUUUUGCCUCAAAGUACCCCUCAAACAUGUUCAGAGAAAUGCAAUCCAUUUUAAACAUUUGUUACGGGUGAUCACCCUAGUGCUAUAAUGGGAUUAAACCAGUAGGCUAAAAGAGCUUCAGCUCCCAUGUCAAAUAUUAUGCUACCAAUGAAAGAGAAAGGAGGAUCGUGCAUCAAACAGAAAAUGUGAAAAACUAUAUUAGACAAUAAUCAUACUUUAGGCAUUGUAUACGUCUCUGAUUUCCAGUUUCAUCAUAGUUCUUGAAAGCUUCAAAGAAAUUUGUGGCUGCCUCAGCCCACUGACGCUCAGCCAUAUGCAUCUUGCCACCACAUUCACGAAUUAUUCCUAUGAUCCUAGGAUGUGGUAUUGCAGACUUGACAGCAAGUGCUUUCUGGUAUAAUUGCUGCAUUAAAACCAAUAUCUCAGUCACAGCUAAGCCAUUAUAUAAAGACCAAACCAGGACAUAACUAUAUAACUUUGUAAAACAAUUAUCAGACAGAACCAAGGUUGGUUUUUCAGCUAUAAAAUAAAAUAGAACAAAGUUACAAUUAUCAGUCAGGAAGAGAAGUAGCGACCACAUGCAAUUGAGACUAAACAACAGUGAAAACUUCUCGAUUUCAGUAUUAAGGAUUAACUAAUAGUGCUUCAUGCUAAUGUAAACAAUGUCAUUGACCAGGAUCCAGAUAACCAAUCCAGACUACAAGUGAAUAUACUUUAGUAGUUUAAAUUUGAGAGUUGCUAGAAUUCUAAAAAAUAGCAAAAUCAAGACACAGGUGAACUUUCACGCCUAAAGUUCUACAUAUUUCAUAUUUUAGUUUAACAUUGCUUCACUUGAAUUCCAGAAGGAAGCAUACUUGAUAUCCGCAAAGCAGAAAAUUGGGUACAUAUUCUACCAUGUAUUUUUAUUAAAUGGUAGAUAAAUGGUGACAGCAGAAACAAUAUAAACUAGCUUUCAGUAAUAGACCUUUACAAGAGAAUUACAACUGCUUAUGUGCCCCUCCUGAAUGGCCACUUGUAAGUAAUCAUAUUUGACAUGUAACAGGCUUUUCUUCAGCUGCUCUUCAACGAUAUAAUCAACGAAAACGAAGAUAUUUAAUUAUGAAUCUGCGUUCAAAGAUAUAAUCAACGAAAACGAAGAAAUCUAAGUAAAUCUUCAUUAACUUUGAUUUACGAAGAGCAGCACUGGGGAAGAAGAAAUAGUGCAAAUCCCGACCUAGAGCGUCAACCACACAGGAAAAAAAUAUUAAAAAGCAAAUCCAGUCAACAGCUAUUACCAGACGGCGUUUAUUUCAUGUUCCAACCUUUAAACGACAACAACCAAAAAUAAAAAAUUAAUAAAGUGAUAAUUUUUCCUUUUCUCCCCCCCGGCUUUCAUCUUCUUCACAUUAUUUCCUCUUCAAUUCAUUUCAAGUGGAUUCCAAGUGGGUCAUUGGCUCUCCAACAUAUUUGACAGUCUUCUUGAAAAACGUGCCCUGGUUGAAUACCUUCUCUGCCUAUAAGAUUUACAAUAGAAACGGAAAAAAAAACACACACACACAGCUGAAAAUGCUUAGAAAAUGGAUAAGAAAUAUUAGUUACUUCUGAUUUUAACAUUCCCAGGAGAUUAAGUGAUCCAUGAUACCCAAAGACAAGCAUGGCCAGUUGAAGGAACAUGAUGCAAUAUGCAUCAACUUAAGGCAUCUGAAUCCCAAACCAAGGCAUCAACGAGCAUUUGGAACCCCUCCUCUCCUCCUAGUAUCACAAAGUUCCUGUCAAUUAUCAUUUCCUUUUCCUAUUAGAAAACAAAUCAAAACCCCCCAUACCAUAAUAAAUCAAAACUUUGCUACUCCAUAUAUAUACACAUAUAAUAUCAGAAAAAAAAUAUAGGGAAGAAGAGACCUGUUGUAUGUAAAGAUUAAGAGUCUCAUCAGAAAAAAAUAUAUAUAGGGAAGAAGAAAAAAUAGCAAUGGGCAUUGAGUUAAAAGUUUUAAAGGACGGUGUGUUUGUAAACUUGAGGGUUUUUAAUAAAAAAAGCCGCAAAAAAUUAUUUCAGUUUGAAAAAAUGACGUCGUUUUGCUGUGCUAAAAAUUUUUUAUUUUGUUUUUUUAUAAAUUGAUUUAUUUUUGUGGCGCUUUUAUAAAAAACGCCGCAAAAAAAUUAUUUCGUUUUGAACAAAAUGACGCUGUUUUGAUAUGCUAAUUUUUUUAAAAUAAAUUGAUUUAUUAUCUUUUGCGGCGUUUUUAUGAAAAACGUCGCAAAAAAUUAUUUCAGUUUGAAAAAAUGACGUCGUUUUGCUGUGCUAAAAUUUUUUUAUUGUUUUUUUAUAAAUUGAUUUAUUUUUGCGGCGCUUUUAUAAAAAACGCCGGAAAAAAUUAUUUCGUUUUGAACAAAAUGACGCCGUUUUGCUAAGCUAAAAUUUUUUUAAUAAAUUGAUUUAUUAUCUUUUGCGGCGCUUUUAUAAAAAACGCCGCAAAAAAAUUAUUUCGUUUUGAACAAAAUGACGCCGUUUUGCUAAGUUAAAAUUUUUUUAAUAAAUUGAUUUAUUAUCUUUUGCGGUGCUUUUAUAAAAAACGCCGCAAAAAAAAUUAUUUCGUUUUGAACAAAAUGACGCCAUUUUGCUAUGCUAAAAUUUUUUUUAAUAAAUUGAUUUAUUAUCUUUUGUGGCGUUUUUUAUGACAAACGCCGCAAAAAAUUAUUUCAGUUUGAAAAAAUGACGCCAUUUUGCUGUGCUAAAAAUUUUUUAUUUUUUUUAUAAAUUGAUUUAUUUUUGCUGUGCUUUUAUAAAAAACGCCGCAAAAAAAUUAUUUCAUUUUGAAAAAAAUGACGCCGUUUUGCUAUGCUAAAUUUUUUUUAAUAAAUUGAUUUAUUAUCUUUUGCGGCGUUUUACAUAAAAACGCCACAAAAAAUUAUUUCAUUUCCAACAAAAUGACGCCGUUUUGCUAUGAUAAAAAUUUUUUAUUUUGCUUUUUUUAUAAAUUGAUUUAUUUUUGCGGCGUUUUUUGAACAAAAUGACGCCGUUUUGCUAUGCUAAAUUUUUUUAAUAUAUUGAUUUAUUAUCUUUUGCGGCGUUUUUCAUAAAAACGCCACAAAAAAUUAUUUCAUUUUCAACAAAAUGACGCCGUUUUGCUAUGCUAAAAAUUUUUAUUUUGUUUUUUAUAAAUUGAUUUUUUUAUAAAAUAAAAAAACCAAGUACUCUCAAAAUAAAUAUUGUAUAUUUUAAUAAGAAAACAAUUGAUAAAAUGACUGUAAUUAAUUAUUAAGUUAGAAUUAUCCAAAUUAAAUAAUUACCUAUAUAUCUAUAUCAUUUUUAUUUUUGUUUUUUUUCCUUAUAAUUUGGUCCUCUCCAAAAUAAAUAAUUAUACCUAAAUAUCAAUAUCAAUCUAUUACUUUUUUUAACUUAUUUAUUAAUUCUAUUUAAACUAAUAUAAAAGCAUUAAUUAAUUGUAUAAAAUUUUAUCAUUUAACAAAUCUCAAGUAAACCUUAACCUUAAACCUAAAUUAACCAUUCAAUACAUAUAAAGUCUAUCUAUUAUAUAUCUCUUAAAUAAUUUAAACUAUACUCAUAAAUUCAAUAUAUUUGAUUUAUUAUUAUCUCUUUUACAAUUAUAUAAGAACAUAUUUAAAAUAUAAAUUAAAAAAUAAUUAAUCUAAACUCAAAACCUUAACCCAACCCCUAAAUCAGUAAACCUUAAAUCCCUAACUCUUAACCCUUAACGUCUAAUCCCUAAACCUUAAAUCUAAACCCUUAAUCCAUAAUCCCUAAUUCAUAAAUCCAUACUCCCUAAACCUUAAAAUAUGAACUCCUAAAUCAGCCUUAAAUCUUAAAUUAAUUAUAUACCCUAAACUAAAAAUCCUAAACGAAUUUAUUAUUAUCUCUUUUACAAUUAUAUAAGAACAUAUUUAAAAUAUAAAUUAAAAAAAUAAUUAAUCUAAACCUAAAACCCUAACCCGACCCCCUAAAUCCCUAACUUUUAACCCCUAAACCUCUAACCCUCUAACCCCAAAACCUCUAACCCUCUAACCCUUAAACCUUAAAUCCCAACCCUUAAACAAUUAUCCCUAAUCCAUAAUCUCUAAACCCAUACUCCCUAAACCUUAAAAUAUGAACUCCUAAACCGGCCUUAAAUCUUAAAUAAAUCAUAUACCCUAAACCAAAACCCUAAAUAAAUUUAUUAUCAUCUCUUUUCAAUUAUAUAAGAACAUAUUUAAAAUAUAAAUUAAAAAAAUUAAUCUAAACGCCCAAAAUCCUAACUCGACCCCUGAAUCCCUAAACCCUAAAUCCCUAACUAUUAACCCUUAAUGUCUAACCCCUAAACCCCUAACCCUCUAACCCUUAAACCUUAAAUCUCAACCCUUAAACCCUAAAACCCUAAUCCAUACUCCCUAAAUCCAUACUCCCUAAACCUUAAAAUAUGAACUCCUAAAUCAGCCUUAAAUCUUAAAUUAAUUAUAUACCCUAAACUAAAAAUCCUAAACGAAUUUAUUAUUAUCUCUUUCACAAUUAUAUAAGAACAUAUUUAAAAUAUAAAUUAAAAAAAUAAUUAAUCUAAACCUAAAACCCUAACCCGACCCCUAAAUCCCUAACUUUUAACCCCUAAUACGUCUACCCCUAAACCUCUAACCCUCUAACCCCAAAACCUCUAACCCUCUAACCCUUAAACCUUAAAUCCCAACCCUUAAACAAUAAUCCCUAAUCCAUAAUCCCUAAACCCAUACUCCCUAAACCUUAAAAUAUGAACUCCUAAAUCGGCCUUAAAUCUUAAAUAAAUCAUAUACCCUAAACCAAAACCCUAAAUAAAUUUAUUAUCAUCUCUUUUCAAUUAUAUAAGAACAUAUUUAAAAUAUAAAUUAAAAAAAUUAAUCUAAACGCCCAAAAUCCUAACUCGACCCCUGAAUCCCUAAACCUUAAAUCCCUAACUAUUAACCCUUAAUGUCUAACCCCUAAACCACUAACCCUCUAACCCUUAAACCUUAAAUCUCAACCCUUAAACCUUAAAACCUAAUCCAUACUCCCUAAAACCAUACUCCCUAAACCUUAAAAUAGUAACUCCUAAACAGGCCUUAAAUCUUAAAUAAAUCAUAUACCCCAAACCAAAAACCCUAAACUAUAGUGAAAAUUAAUUCAAUAUUUUAAAAUUAAUACUAUCUCUUUUAUGAUUAUAUAAGAAAAUUUUUAAUAAAUAAAUUAAAAAACAAUCAGUAAUCAUGUACCCAAAAAAACUUUAAAAUUAUUUUAAAUAAUAGUAUUUUAAUUUUUCUAUGUGUUUUAUUUCAAAUUAUUUCUACGUAUCAUUAUUUUUUUCUAAAGAUUUUAAAUAUUCAAUUAGAAAUAAAUUGAAUUUUAUUUAAUAUAAAUAAACCAAUUAAGAUAAAAUAUUUUUAGCGGCGCUUUUCCAAAAACGCCGCUAAAGCCCCAGCAUUAGCGGCGCUUUUCCAAAAAACGCCGCUAAAGCCCUCAGCAUUAGCAGCGCUUUUUCAAAAACGCCGCUAAAGCCCCAAGCAUUAGCAGCGCUUUUUCAAAAAAGCCGCUAAAGCCCCGAAAGGUAACAAAACGACGUCGUUGGGCUUUGGUUUUUUGCGGCAUUUUUUCGAAAAACGCCGCUAUUGCCCAUUUUUACCGGCGUUUUUCAAAAAACGCCACUAAUGCUCGAUCUUUAGUGGCGAUUUCCAUAAAGCGCCGCUAAUGCUCGAUUUUUACCUGCGUUUUUUGUCCAAGCGCCGCUAAAAGUGCCGCUAAAAGUCUGUUUUGUUCAGGUUAAGAAAUUGUUUCUUCUAUUGAUAUUAGUUUUUGUAUUAUCCAAAUUGAAGUGUCCCUCUGAUCACUGAUAUGUUCAUAGUCAAAAGGUUAAACAAAUGGCAGCCAGCUGUGUGAACAGAUGAGAAAAGAUUUAGUACUAUAAAUCAAGCAUUAGAGUGAUGAUUGUAAAAAAGAUGGUUUUGCUUAAGUGGUAAUAUGCAUAUUAUUUACUUAUUAUUUGAAGAAUCAUUUUUGUUCAUUGCAUUGUGUUUUUCUUGUUAAAUUGUAGUAAAUUACUCUCUCCAUAUAUAUGUAUAAAACUAUCAUUCAUUUUAAUUAACUAUUGUUAAACCAAAAGCAGUAGUAAAUAGAUAGCUUUUCAAGUUAAAUUAAAAUUUUUAGCUUUUGAAAGCGAGUUUGGGUAUGAAUUUUCUUCAUUUAUAGUAAUUAUAAAAGAUAAAUAUGAUAUAUAUUAAAUUAAAUUUUACAAAUAAUUUAUAUUAAUUAUUUAAAAAGUAUUUAAAAUUUAUAGUUUACAUAUCACAAUUUUUUUUUUUGAAAUGAGAUAUCUCACAAUAUUAAUAAUGGAUUACUGUAAAUUAUUUUAUUCUAUUUGUCCUAUAAUCUCAAUUGAAUAUUUAUUAAUACAAAAAAAAUUGACAUUGUAAUAAUAAUAAUACGUGAAAAUAAAAAUACGUUACAUUUGAAUUAAUUAUAAAUUUUAUUACAAUUUAAACUUGUGUAUUUCAUGUAUCAUAAUACCAUCAAUGAGUUUAUAUAUUUCAUGUAUUUUAUAUAUCAUAAUUUAAUUAUUUAAUCAAUUAUUUUUAAACAUUGUCAAACUUUUUAAAUGUAAGGACCCGACCUCUCUAAAAUGAAAUUUUUUUCAUUUAACUUCUUUAAAUUUUUUAAAAUGUUAAAUUAAUAAAUGUAAAAUUAUAUUUUGGCCCCCUAAAAUUAAUAAAAUUAUUAUUUAAUACUUUAAAAUUAUAAAAAUAUAGGCUAUUCAAAUUAUGAAAAUGCAUUUUUACUAUCGAAAAAAUUACAAUUUAAUUUCGAUUUCCCUAAAAAGAAUUUUUGACUUUGCCUCUGUUAAUUGGCUCAAUUUAGUCAUGAUCCUAUAAAAAUUAUAAAAUUCUUUUAAUUUCUUUUAUUUAUUUCUUUUCUACAAUUCUUUUUCCCUUUUCUCUUUUGUUCUUCUUGUUUCAUAUUCAUCCAAACCUUCUUACCUGUGAAAUCUUCUUUUAAUUAAUUGAAUGUAAUUUUAUUGGCUAAAAAUAUAACUUUCCUUCUUUGGGUUGUAGGAUGGUUAAAAGAUUCAUUUAGAGAUUUAUUUACUUAUUAGGUUUAUGGUGUGAUUUACUUAAAUCUUGUGUAAGUGAAUUCUUAUGUCUAUAUAACUCAUGUGUUUUGAUGUAUUGAAAACAUUUACUCUCAAUGUCAUUAGGUGAACAAUGAUAUUUUGGAUACAUGACUUAUGUAUGGUAUGACUUCACUCACAAUAGUGAAAUCAUAGUUCAAUAAAAAGAGUAAAUGAUGUUCUCUUACUAUCAUUGUAUGUAUUAUGAAAAAUGAAGCAUAAUCAUGGGUCGUUUUUUGGGGGAGAAAUGGUUUUAUCAGUAUUAGAAUGCGUAAUGAUCAUUUUAAUUGUGGAAGAUAUAAUGGUGAUGAAAUGAAAAUGGAUCGAAUUAGGUUAACGGAUUUAAUAUAAAGGAAACAUUGAUAUCUAUAAGGGUAACAUGUAUGAUAAGGUCAUUGGACAAAAAAAUUAAUUCAGUAGCUUUCGUAAUGGUUUAUUAUGGUGAGUUCACUCAUGGUAUUUUUGGUGGAUUAACUUCAUCACUAAAUAACUCUACAAUUAAUAGACGAAGAGUUGGACUUCCAGACUCUUAAUGUAAUUUAGUUAAUAAUUAAAACUUUUAAAUCGUAUAAUUAAUUUAUAAUAAAUAGUAUCUAAUUUAGUUAAUUAUUUUGUAGGUUAAAAUGUAUGGAAAAUUACCCCUAAUCAAUAAAAUUUUUAUAUUAUUUAAUUAUUUAUAUUUUAAAAAUUAGAUUUAUAUCCUAAAAUUAAAAUACUAUUAUUGCUGCAUAAAAUUCAUUUUUUUAAACUUAAAUAAUGUAUGGCAAGCCUUAGGUGAUUAUAUUUUACUGGACUCACUAGCAUUUUAUAGGCCCAUUAAGGGGUAUACGAGAGACAUAAGUUUAAAAAAUAAACCUUCAACUACUGGUUAAAUUAAGAGAAAUUAUUAUCAUCUCAGCUAACCCCGUGAUUCAUGUGAUUUUUUUUAAUUCCGAACUCUAUUCCUAAUAUAUUAAAGAUACAUAAAGAGAAUAUGGAUAAUAAAUAAGCAUAAUACAAAUAGAUUGGAAUACAAAGUCUGCAAACAUUAAGUGCUACAACGUUGACAACACUGUUUGAAGAAAAAUCUACAUAGACAAAGAAAAAACCAACAUCCCAAGGGGAUAAGAUAGAAUGCCAAUUCCGGCAUCCAAAUGGCAAGUGCUCCUUGAAAGACGACUUCCAUGAUACUGUAUGAGCAAUAUCCCAUAACUAUAAUGGUUCCUCCCCAGAAAUCAUCCUUUACGAAAAGAAAUAACCAGCAUCCGUUAAUUGCUAAUAGUAACAGUAUUGAGUCAGCAUCAGCAGGAAUUACUUGAAACAAUUGUGAAGGAGUUAACCAACAUCCCAAAAUUGGAACACUUAGUUUUGACACCCGAUCACUGUAAAACAUGACCAAUGUUAAAACAAAAAACAAUAGCUAAAAUACUCCCAUAUAACUUUAAAUGCAAAAUCUGUUGGGGCUAUGAAAGAUAUCGAUUGGUCGAAGCAUAUUGCGAAGUAAGCAAGUAGUACUUGAAUUGUUUUCUUCAAACCAUGGGGAAAAGGUUUAAGCAGGGCUAGUAUUAGGAAAAAGGUUACCAUGAACACAACAUAGGUUGGAAUAUAGAAAAGAAGAAAAUCAGUUCGAUCAAGUACUGAUUUCCCUGGUGAUGAGGUAUCGUCACCCUGCAAAACACUACCAGGUGGGCUAAGAGUGGCUUGGUAGGUUCCAGUUAGAAGCAGCCCUAAAACUACUAGUUAGGCAUUGCGGUCAUCGCUUGAUAUAUUAUCCAAAUCGUCAAAAAUUACUGAUGAUGCUUUUGCGGUAUACUUGACGAUUUGUUUCUCCCACUUAGAUUUAAUGUCUGCAACUCCUGGAAUAAAGCAACCAUGCAGAAUUCUGAUGCUCUUUCUGUUAUUAUGUUGCUCUGCAACACCCAGUGCGGUUAAAUCGGAUUGAUUGGUGGCAUGCUUGUCAGCCUUGCUACUUAAUAGUAGUUUAAGCAUCUGUUUAAUUGAUAGUUUAAGAUAAAAAAAAAAAAAAACUACAAUCAGUUAACCAUGGCUAUGGAGUACAAAAGAAUCUAUUUAAUAUUAAUUAUUAAAGCGGAUGAGUCAAACCACGGUUUGAUUAUUUCUAGCAGCUAUGUGUAAUGCAGUGUUGCCAUCUUCGUCCUUUCUAUUUACCUCUUCCUGAUAAUAGUCCUUCUUCUUAAGCAUUCGAAUUAAAAUCUGAAGAACAUCCAACCUUUUUUUUUCCGCUGCAAUAUGCAAAGCACUGCGAUUCUCAGUUGUAACAUCUCGGAUACAAUCAGGACAAGCCUUCAAAAAUGUUUCCAGCAGACUGUCAUGGUUUCCAACUUUAAUAAUGUAGUGCAACGGAGUCUCACCAUUCUUCCCUGUGACACGAACAAGAUCUUUAUCCAUUUGUAGGAAACGAAGCACCAUCUCUUUAUGCCCCUUUUCCAAUGCAAGGUGAAUGGGUUUCAAACCUUGUUGGUUUAGCUUCCUAGCAAAUGACGGCUUCAGCUUCAUCAUCUCCAUUGCGAACCCGAUGCACCCUUCAUUUGCAGCUACAUGUAAAGGAGUCUCGAUAAACUCCACUUCAUCGAAGCUCCUCAAAACAUUUCCAUCACUUUGAAUCAAUUUAUACAAUUCACUGAAAUCUUCCGUACGAGAAAUUGUUCUGAAACUUUGGUCCAUGUUUGAAACAAGGAACAAUUUCACAAUAGGAGGCAAAAAUUGAAAGGGUUAAAGAGCACUUAGAGGAAUUAAUUUAAUUUACUUCCCUUGUGUGAGGAAGAAAGAGGAGGAUGGUUUCCUUUAUAUAAGAAGUGUAUUUUUUUCAGUCCCAUCGAAAGGUGCUUAUCUUCAUGUUGGAGCUACGGUUCACUUUUAGUGUAAAACGUGGGAGAGGCUUCCACUUUCAAAGGUGCUUAUAUAAGAAUUUAUACUUUCAUUUGGUUCUUAUGACUUCUUCUUUUUCUUUUCUUUUUUUUUCUCAGUUGACGAAGGAAUUUAAUUUGUUUUGGCAUUCUAAUAAAAAAUUCAUCUAAUCCUACGGAGUAACACACGAUAUGUUAUUAUAGAGGUUAUGAGAUGCUGUAGCCUUUUUUCCGUUGUUAGUGCUUAAUUAACUCAAAUUAAUUUCUACCAAAAAAGAGAAAUUGGAAAAAGAAAAGAAAAAUGAAAAGCAUAUCUAACUUUGACAGAUCAUAUAUUUUUAAUUGCUUUUCUAACUUUAUAUGUUAUUAUAGAAUUUAAUUUAGAACCCAUUAAAACUUUGAGGGAUGCUAUCUACCCAUACUUAGUUUAAGUAUUUUAUUGAUUUAAUACCACAGACCAGACCAACACUAAUUCAUAAAUAAAUUUAUUAAAAUGUCUCUUUUUUUUUUGGUGAAAAUUAAAAUGUCUUUUUAUAUAAAAAAUAUAUUUUAUGAGGAUAUCUUUUUAUCUUUCUAUAUGAUAAAAAAAUUGAUAAUAAUAAUAGUGCACAAUAAAUAAUUAAUUUUACUAUUAUAAUCAAAACAUCAAUUUACUUUUAUAUGAAUUUUUAAUAAGUUUACUUGUUACAUAAUAUUUUUCACUCAUGGUGUUUCAUAAAAUUUUAAAGUAAAUAUUAAUAUGAUAUUUGUUGACACCAUUUUUUUUGUAUAAAAACGGGUCGACUUGGGUUUUGAAAAAAGAAACGGGAGUCGCCACCAAUCCUUUUUAAUGAGGUGUGAUUGGAUCACCUCGAAAAGUGGUUGUUUUUAAUAAACGGUUUGAUUUUAUUAAAACAACAAUUUUGGUCCGCGAAAUUUAGAAAAAUAGGUUCAGGAGUCGGUUACGCUCGAGGAAGGAUUAGCACCCUCAUAACGCCCAAAAUUGGUACCUAGUUGAUUAAUUAGUGUCUUAGUGUCGAAGAUUGAAAACUUUGAAGAGAUUUAAAAUACGAUCCUUUGUUUUAAAACUUAUAUAAAUCAAAUUACUCGUUAAGACUCUCUCAUUUCAGAAAGAGAAAAGGUCACACCCAAUGAGUAGGGUACGAUAUUUUACCUAUUCCGAAAUGAGUUUGUCUAAAACAAACUCGCACAAUAAAAUUUAAAAGGAUAUUCAAUCGUUUAAGUCAGAUGAAAAUAUUGCAACCCAAUACAUUAGGGCACAAUUUCUCAAAAUAUUAAACAUUGAAUAUUGCAUAUUUUUAGCAAAAACCCUCGUCUCGAGAAAACAAUGUGUCAUAUCCAAUGCGUUAGGCCACAACGUAUCGAAUCCUCAAUAACAAGCUUUUAUUAUUAUUAUUAUUAUUAUUAUUAUUAUUAUUUAAAGAGUAAUCUCGAUUAUUUUAGAUUCAACGAAGAAAAUCGAAACCCAAUACGUUAGGGCUCGAUUCUCUCGAAGAUUCCAAAUACCGAGCAUUGCUUAAAAUUUCCUUUUUUGAAUCUAGGUAAAAAUCAAUGUAAUGGAGUAACAAUCACAAUAAUGUAAAUAUAAAUAGCAUGAGCAAGAACAAAAAUGAUGAAGAGAUGAAUAAAAAUAAAUCAAUAAUGUAUACACAAUAUCAACUGAGUAAACAAAUAAAAUUGAAGCAUUUAAAGAAUAUAAUAAAGGUAAUAAUGGACAUGUGAAUAUAUAAAUGAACAUCAAGUAAAACAAUACUAAUAACAAAGAAAAUUAAUAAAAAACUAUAAAAUAUAAAAAUAUGUAUAUGUACAUAUAAGAAAAAAAUAUAUGUGAAUUAAAAAAAUAAAAAGUAAAUAUAAAAUAUAUGUAUUUUAAUAUGUAAAAUAUACACAUAUAAGUAUGUACAUAUAAAUAUAUACUUAUAAAAAUUUAGAAAAUAUGUAUGUAGAUAUAAAUAUAUGUAUACACAAAUUAUAAAAUAUAUAUAAAAAUAUAUGAGUAUGUAUGUAUAUAUAAGCUAAAAAAAGGUUUAUAAAGAGAUAAGUAUAUAUAUACAUAUAUGUGUAUAUAAUAAGAUAUAUAUAUAUAUAAUAAGAUAUAAAGAUAUAUAAUAAUUAUAAUAAUAAUAACAAUAAGACAAAUAUAAUCAAAAUUUAAAUAAGAAAAUAUAAAAUAAAAAUAUAACAAUAAUAUUAAACUAAUGGUAUAAUAAUAGUAAUAUAAAUAUAUAUAUAAAAGUAUAAAUAUCAUAUCAUAACGAGAAAAUAAUAAUAAUAACGAAAUGGACCAAAUUGGGAUAAAAAUAAAAUUUAAGGGCUCGAGCAGUAAUAAAAUGCGUAAAUAAGGACCAAAAUGGAAAGGUGCGAAAGGGUGAAGGACCUAAUGGGAAAUAAACCCACACUACACCAAAACAGGCUUUUUGCGGCGUUUUUAGUGGCGUUUGGAUAAAAAACGCCGCUAAAAAUCAAGCAUUAGCGGUGCUUUAGAAAAAACGCCACUAAAGAUCUAGUAUUAGCGGCGUUUUCCAAAAAACGCCGUUAAAAAUGAGCAUUAGCGGCGUUUUCCAAAAAGCGCCGCAAAAAACCUAAGCACAACAAUGUCUUUUUUUAGUUUUCGGGGCUUUAGCGGCGUUUUUGAAGAAGCGCCGCUAAUGCUUGGGGCUUUAGCGGCAUUUUUUAAAAAGCGCCGCAAAAAAUAUUUUUAAGUUUUUUGGGUACAUUAUUUAAAAUACUAUUAUUUAAAAUAACUUUUAAGUUUUUUGGGUACAUUACUGAGUGUUUUUUAAUUUACAUAUUAAAUAAUUUUUUAUAUAAUUGUAAAAUAGAUUUGUCACUAUAGUUUAAGGUUUUUGGUUUAGGGUAUAUGGAUUAGAGUUUAAGGUAUAGGGGUUACUAUUUUAAGGUUUUUGCAGAUUUUUGUUAGUGGUUUGGAUCCAAGUGUUUCUGGAUAUUUUGUUGUUGGUGGUUAGAGAUUUUUGUUGCUUGAUAGAAAUGUGUUUAACUCUGGACAUUUUGUUUGUUGAAAAACGCCGUAAAAAAAUUUAUCUAUUUUAACUAGUUUAUUUAUGUUAAUUAAAAUACAAUUUAAUUUUAAUUGAAUAUUUAAAUUCUUCAAAAAAAAUAAUGACACGUAGAAAAAAAUUAAAAGUAAAAACAUAGAAAAACAUUUGUUAAAAAUGAAAAAAUUUAAAAUAAUUUUAAAGUUUUUUGAGUACAUGAGUACUGAUUAUUUUUUAAUUUAUAUAUUAAAUAAUUUCUUAUAUAAUCAUAAAAGAGAUAGUAUUAAUUUUAAAAUAUUGAAUUAAUUAUCAUUAUAGUUUAGGGUUUAAGAUUUAGGAGUUACUAUUCUAAGGUAAUUUUUGGGAUUAUGUGUUUAGGGAUUAUGGAUUAUGGAUUAUGUGGUUUAAGGGUUGGGGUUUAAGAUUUAAGGAGUUACUAUUUCUUAUAUUAAUGAAUACAAUAAUUGGAAAGAAAAUACAUUUUGUAAUAUUUAUUUGCAUUAGAUCUUAUAAGCAAGGUUGAGAAGUGUCCUGUAGGAGUAUAGUAAAAUAUUUAAUAAAAAAAUACAUGUCCAUUUUUUAAUGUUACUUGUGGAAUAAAAAAGAUAAUCUAUUAGUGUACCAAACACUCACUUAUUUUUUAAUUUUUAAAAACAAAAAAUAAUAUUUCUAAGAAUGUCAUUAGGUUAAAUUUAAGGUCAAAACAAGAGCGAUGAUACAAGGUCUUCAAAUAGUAUGGGAGAACGAAUAUAGAAAGCUUACGUGCUUCUAGUAGAAUCCAUUUUAACCGAUUAAACGACCAAUAGCAAAUUGGGCGAGUUAUGCUUAAUACUUAGUUUGCUCAAGCGAGGCUGAAAAGUAAGAUUUCAUCACGUUUCGAGAUCUCAAAAUAAGAUUGUCGAUCGUAUGGCCAAAAUAGCUUCAAGUGGAUUGGGUAACAUACAACUAUUUUGAGAGCCUCCAGAUUCAGUAUGAAAUAUACUGAUAGUUGAGCGUAAUAUUGUUUCUUUACGUUGCUAGUAAUUUAAAAAUGUAAUCAAUUUGUACGGUAGUAAUUGCAUUAAAUGAUUUUAAGGUUUAGGGAUUAUGUGUUUAGGGAUUAGGGAUUAGGGAUUAUGGUUUAUAGUUUAAGGGUUGGGGUUAUAAGGGGUUAGGGGUUAUAAGGGGUUAGGGGUUAUGGGGUUUAAGGUUUGUAAAGCUAGAAAGGUAUUAUAUGGAGUUCAAUAAUCGCGCUCAGUGUCGAAUUGGCUGUUGAAAUGUUAAUAUUGUAAGUUAAACGCUUUAAAGUCACAUUAUGUGUGUGUGCCAUGAUCUAUAUCUGACAGAUUGGGAAGGGAAGCUAAGUGAGUCAAAUUUAAAUAUUAGAUUUAAAAAAAUUGAUAAAUAAAUAAAUUAAUGUAUCAGAUUGAUAUGGAUAGGAAUUGAAUAAUAUAAAAUCAUGAUUAACGUCUCAAUCUUUAAUAGAAAUUUGAUAUGUGAGAGAUUAAUUGCUUACAUUGAAUAAUUCUAACUUAAUAAUUAAUUACAGCCAUUUAAUCAUUUUUUCUUAUUAAAAUAUACGAUAUUUAUUUUGAGAGUACUUGAAUUUUUUUAAAAAAAUUCAAUUUAUAAAAAAAUAAUAAAUGUUUUAUAAAAUCACUUAAUUAAUAAUUUUUAACAGAUUUAAAAUAAAAUUAUUUUUUGCGACGUUUUUAUGAAAAACGCCGCAAAAGGUAAGCAAUAGCAGCGUUUUUAUAAAAAAUGCCACAAAAAAUAAUUUUACUUUAAAAUAAUUUUUAGCAGACAAAAUAAAAAAAUUUUAGCAUAACAAAAUAGCGUCGUUUUUGUACAAAAUGAAAUGAUUUUUUGCGGCCACAAAAGAUAUUCAAAUUCCCGCUCACCCCCAAAAAAAGAUUUUUGGUUACCCGCUCCUUACUCCCUCUUCUUCUCAUGUACUUAAUUCUUUUUCCCUUUUAAUCUCAAAAUUCCAUGAGUCCCUUUGCCCCCAACAUCUCGUAAUACUGUUCAAAUCCCUAAAAUGAUUCAUUGAUUUAGGGUUUUGUUUCUCUCUGAAUCAGGACAAAAGGGUUUUCCGAUCUAUACCAAAAGACCACAGGGAUUGAUCUAUGGAAUUCCUUUUUCAGCAGUGUAUUUUCUUUUUCCUUUUUCAGUUUUGUUCGAUUUUUUUUACUUAUUUUCUUUCUCUCUCCAUUGUUUCGAAGCCAGCUUCUCUUUUUUCGAAGCCAUCGGAGCUCGGUAAUUGUUCUCAGCUUCAAGUGAUUCAGCUUCGUUUGAAUCGAUUGAUCGGCAAUGUAACGGCGGAUUUCUCUCGGUUGUCUCGUUUAAAAGAGCUUGGUUUGGGUUCUAACAAGUUAAAUGGUGAAAUCCCAGAAGAAAUCGCCUUUUAGAUGGAAAUCGCCUUACAGGUAACAUACCAAAUUCAUUUUCAAACAUGUCUAAUUUGAAGUACUUGAAUUUUUCUAGAAAUAAUCUUGAAGGUGAGAAUCCAAGUGGAUUAGGUUCUUUAUUCAAUGAUAGUUCUGUAUUUUCAAUGAAUGAAAAUUUAUGUGGUAAGCCAUUGAAUAAUGACUGUAAAAAUGUAAGAAAAAAGAAACAGAGGAAGCUGAUUUUGUUGAUUGCUAUGGUCGUUGGUGGUAUUGGGCUAUUUGUCGUGUUUUGUUGCGGUUACAUUUACAGUCUUCUACAGUGGUGGAAGAGGUGGAUGACCGGAGAGAAGAAGCAGAGUACGGGUAGUGCUAGUUCGGGAGCAGAUCAAAGUCGUGGAAGUUCAACUUCUUUUCGUUGAAGUUCAACUUCGCUGAUUCAGGUACGAUUUUAGCUUUACUUUUUGUUCAAAUUUUCGUUUUACAAUUUUUUAAUAUUUUCUAAUGUUAAGGUAUGCUGAUAUAUUGCAGUAAACUUUGAGAAUAUUAGACCUCCUGUAAUGGAAGGCUUAGAUACAUUAAUCAUGGUAUGUGGCUUCUUACUUUUACCUUCUUAAACUCUAUGUUCCAUAUGCUUAGCGUCUGGAAUUUCUUAUCAUUUUGCUUGAUUUAUUCAUAGAAAGAAACAAUCUUCAAAGUCAAGUAGCCUUGAAAGCAAUGGUAUGACUUUCUUGUUGUAACCUUUGAUGAGGUUUACUCCGAUUUCACUAUCAUAUGUUAUUUUUACAAGUUGGGGCUUGCAGGUAGUUCUUCAAAUUAAACAUCACCUGCAUCUCAAUGGUUUUCUUCAAAAUCAUCAAAGAAGGUUUGUUUUGUCAUUUUAUAGUUGAUCUUCCUUUGCUGCUGAUGCUCUUGUUACUACCAUUUUAAUCAAACAACCUUCACUAAACAUUUGCUUAAGACUAGUUAUCUAGGCAAGUGAUCCUCUCUCUCUCACUCUCACUUUCACUCAGACAAGUCACUAUCAUUCAUAUAUUUUUGUUAUCAUUUUCAGGAGCUCACAUUGGACCUGAACCAAUGACCAAUAGAUUUGUUGUUGUUAUGGUAAUUCAGAAAUAUUGCUAUUCUGCAGAUCUAGCUUGGAGAGUUUCCAUUACUUGGUGGUUUUAAAAUCAAUUAUGGAAAUUGAAUCUUAAUUUUCUGUAUACUGUCUAUACUACUUUGUUUGUUGUAAUUGUGAAAUUUUGUUUUGAUCUCGUGUGUUAUGCACAUACUCUCUUUCCCUUUAUGCAGUCGGGAACUGAUGAAAGAAGUGUUCCAGGGAACACUAUUGCUGUCCAAGCAGACAUGCCAUUCAGUGGCCUCACUACUUUCGGAACUGCAUUUUUGUCGAAGUUUGAGUGUUCUCAAAUGCCACAUCUAGUUAGUUAAUUGUUCAAUUCUAGUUUGCUGCGAUAGUUAAUUUUUCUGCUUAUAUAGAAUUUAAUACCUUCUUUUCCUUUGAAUUUCCGAUCGCUUCAGAAUUUUGAAAAAUAUUCAGGUACCUCGGUAUUUUUCAAUUUCGCAUUUUAUUUCCUCCAAUCUUUGAAUUUAGUUCCAAUUAUCGUCAUUUAUUUGCUGAAUUAACUUGUAAAAUAAUUGUUAGCACCUAGGGGUUUUUUUUAUGUAAGGUUGUUUUUAAUUUUAGUUGGAGAAUAUAUUGUGGUUUGAUUGUUUGUUAGGUUUUGAUAGUCAUAGGGUUUUUAAUUCGAAUUUCUAGCUUAAGUAAGGACCUCAUUUCUUCUGCCUCAAAUUAAUUAAAUUUAAUGGUUAGUAUUUGUAAAAUUUAAUGUAAUGUAAAAUUUUUGGCAUGUUAUUAAUUGUAAAAUAUUUGGUAUUUGGGGGGUUUUUCAUUGUUACUGCAAUUAUAUAAUUGGUUUUGAUGCAGAACAUAUAUGUUUCAGCAAGUAAGUAUUAAUUUAGGGAUGGGAUACUUGUAUUUUAAGCCUGAAAAGUCAUUAAUAGGUUGAAUAAAUACUGCUUAUAAUUUUUGUUCAAUUUUUUCUUGAAUUUUGGUGAACUCCUUUAGUAAUUAUUUGGGGCUUGUUAUGUUACGAAUUGGUAUUGAGUAGAUAUGGAUAUUCUCUGAGAAUUUUUUUUACUUGCAUCAUAGCCUUUUUUAUGAUGUUUGCCUUGUGUUUACAAAGAUUUUGUAUUUUGUUUUCUACCUAGUUUUUUUUUCAUCCUGCCUAAUUUGUCGAACUUCUAGCAUUAGUGAAGUUUUUAUUCAAAUUACUUGUGUGCUACCAUAGGUGCUAUUGGCUGGGGUUUACAAGGAGCUACGUCAGGCAUGGAGGAUGCCAAAGAGCAAAUUGUACAGGUGUCCAAAAAUUCCACGCUACCAUCUCAAGAUGAGGUUGUGUUCUUAUCUUGGUUCAUUGUGGAAUAUUUGAUUGGUUAAAGAUCUUAGCUACGUACAAGAUUAAAAUUUUAUUCUCUGGAGUUCUAUAGUUACUUUUGAUUGAUUGGACUGAUUGGAAUUUUAGGUGUUCAUUUGUAAAAUUUUCAUAACUUGUUUGUUCUGUUGUUUCAGAAACUGAAUAUGACCCAUGGUUUUGCUUGGCACUUUUACGUUUUAAAUUAUCUUAACACCUUACAGUUUUCUUCUUCCUAUGGAUACCAUUACAGCUUGCAGUUGAAUGUUUCUUUUAGGUAUAUCUUGUGACAUUUUUUCUUUCUUUGUUCACCUCACUUUAUAGCCUAUUUUUUUCCCUCCUGCGUUGGAUCUUUUUUUUUUUAAAUCACAUGAUCUCAAAUUUCAAUUUCUUUUAACAUUUAUUGGAAGAAUAAUAUGGUCUCAUUUGAUUGUUUCUCCUACCUGGUUCUUGCUUCUACUCGUAUUUCUUUUUGGAUGAAUAAAUUUAUUUGUUUAAUCCUCAUCAUCCUGUACAAUAUCAUGCUUGCAAGUUUUUGCUUUCCUCCUUAUUGCAGAUUUACUAUCCUGGUAUCCCUCUGUUGUUCUUGAUGUGGAUAUUUCUUGUGAAGAAGUACUUACAUUUUGCUGUUUAUUCAUGCUUACAGGAUAGGAGCAAAUGGUUUGGAGAACUCGUAAGCACUCCUCUGUCACUCCUAAACCAGUUGUUUAAAUUAUUUUCAUAGCCUACUUUGAUUGCUGUUAUUUGUGGGAAAAUUAGUCUACAUUCUUUAAGCUGAUCUUAAACUGCUUCCUACAUUGUUUCAGCCUUGGGAAGAAAGUUUGCGGGAUGCACACGAGUUUGGAAAACUUGUUCUGUUUUAGAACUUGGAUCCAGCUUACUCUUCAGCAGAAGUGGAGGUAAUAUUUAUUAUGAAUCACAAUUAGGUUGUGUUUGAAGCAUUUUGUAUUUACACACAUAAAUUUCUGUGUUCUUUCACUUUUCCUCUCCCUACAUGUGUGGUUUGUACCUUUUAUCUUUCUUAUGAAUAAUGCAUGUUUAUAUUGCAGGAUAUAGUUUGGAAUGCCUUCAAUGAAACUUGCAGAGCAAAGAUGGUGCAGCAGACUGCGUUGUAUUUUUUAUUACUUUGCAAUGUGUAUAGUCAUAGGCAAGUUCAACUAGUCAGUAUGUUUUUCAUAUGUAUUAUUUAUUUUAGUUUUGAUUCUAAAUUUUUAUUUUUAUUUUAAUAUUUACGACAACUUCAGUUAUAACUUUUGGAUUUUAAUUGUGUUAUUAAUUUAUUAUUUUAAAUUCUAAAACUAAAUUCAUUAAUUUUUAUAUUUAGUUUUAAAGUUAAAAUUUUCAUAGAAAAUUUAAUUUAAAUAAUAUUUUUUAUUUAUUCUUAAAAAGUAUAUUUAAAGCUCAAAUUUAAAAAACAAGACGUAAUAUAAUAUUUACCAUAAAAAUAAAUAUUAUUUGAUUAAAAUAUUUUUUUAAAUAUUAUGUUUUUAGCGACAUUUUUGCUAGAAGCGUCGCUAAAGGUUUGGGUUUAUAGCGGCAUUUGUGAUAAAAGCGCCGCUAAAGGUUUCGGUCUUUAGCGGCAUUUAUGGAAAAAGCAUCGCUAAAGGUCUUGGGCUUUAGCGGCGUUUGUGGGAAAAGUGCUGCUAAAGGUCUUGGAGAAGCGCCGCUAAAGGUCUUGGUCUUUAGCGGCAUUUUUUCCGGCGCUUCUCAAAGCGCUGCAAAAACUUUUAGUGGUGCUAGAAAGCGCCGCUAAAGGUCUAAAAAAGUGCCGCUAAAAGCCUGUUUUGGUGUAGUGCCAGUUUCAGGCCACGCGUCCCCUCCCAUGGGUCCAACGAAAUGAGGACCAAAUUAAAAAUAGAGACAAAUUUGCGAUCCAAAUUAAAAAAUGAAGAAAAGUCGUAAAAGGACUAAAUCGAAUCAAACUAAAAGUGCGAAAGGGCAUAAAGUGAAAAUAACCCACCUGCACAAAAACACGUGGACCCUGGGUUGCGGGUCGGGUCGACGCGCGAGUAGGAGGCCUUAAGAACCCAAACGGUGCCGUUUUAGGGCUAUUGGAUUAGCCCUAAACGGCAUCGUAUCGCCCAGCUUAUAAAGGCUAAAUUUUUUUGUGAAAUCAGUCAUUUUCCUUUUACUUAAAAAAACUGAGUUCUCUCUCUCCCUCUUUUCUCCCUCAGUCUCAGCCCUUAAGUUCAGGCCUCCACCGCCGCCUCCAUGGCCAAUGGCCGGAGUUACGCGAAACAGGCUUCUCAGCCCUCCCUUCACGGCGUCCCAGAAGGCUAAGCCUUCUCAACCGUGGGAGCGAGAGAAAAAAGGAAGAGACUCCCUUCCCCGCUCGACUCUGGUGAUGGCGAAGGUGGGUUCCGGCCGGCCUUUGAAGCAAAUAGGUAUAUUUCUUUCCCUUUUUCGUUUCAUUUUUGUUAAAAAGAGUAGUAAAACAAACAAAAAUAAAAUAAAAUAAAAUAAAAAUAAAAAUAAAAAUAAAGAAAAUACAAAGAACGCAAGAAUAGAAAAAGAACCGGAAUCAACCUUUUUUAAUUUUUUUGAUCUGCUUUUUAUUCAUUGGUGUUGUAAAAAAAAGAAAAGAAGAAAAAAAAAAUGUUGGUAUUCGGCUAUUUUUUUGCUUUCUGCCUUUGCGUGUUCUCUUUUUGUUUUUGCAGGUGGAGCAGGUGGCUGAGUUAGUGGCGGUAGCAGGUGGUGCGGCAGUGGCAGAGGGUAGGUGGUACGGCGCCAGAGAUUAGGAGGCUAGGGUUUCUUUUUUGUAUUUAAGUAUUUUGGGCCGUUUGGGCCAUUAGGGUUUAGUUUUAGUUAGGCUUAAAUUUUGGGGUUUGGGUUAGUUUAGGUGGGUAUUGGGUUGGUAUUGGUUUUGGGUUUUGGGCCAUUGUAAGGGUUAUUUGGGCCCUGGGCAAAUUUGGGCUUGUACAAUAUUCAUCUCUAAUGGUAAUCUAAUAUUUAUCCUAAUAUUGUCAUCAGCACCAAGAAGAAGAAAACUGAAACUCUAUCUUAUUACCUAAUCGAAUUUUGAAAAAAUAAAUCUAAAAGAUUAUUUAAAAUUCUAAUUAGGUAUUAAUUUAUUGUUAUGUUAAAAUCACGCUAGAAAUGUGGAUUCAAUUAUUUAAGAGAUUAUUGAAAGUCACUUAAGUUGUUAAUAAUUAAAAUGAAAUGAUUUUUCUUUUAUUAAAAUGAAAUUUCAUGAUUUAUUUGAAAGUUGAGUUUAAGUUCAAUGGUUUAUAAUGUAAAUUAUCUAAUAUCCAUUGUAUUUAUUGUCACUAAAUGAGCAUUACAAGUUAAAAUAAGUUAAAAUCUCUAGUAGUAAUUAUUAAUAUUAAGUUUUGGUUUUUUUUCUACCUUUAAUUUAUCGGCACAUAUGGGAAAAAUAUAAUUUUUAAAUUCUUCUAAUUUUUUAAAACUUUUUAAUAAUUAAAGAAAAAAUAAAAAGAAUAGGGGUCAAAUUGACAAAUGUUGUAAAGGUUAAGGGGCUAAAUUUAUUAUUUUAUCUAGUUUUUUAACAGAGUUAAAGGAAAAAUCAACAGAGAUUGAAAAAUAGAAAGAUCAAAUUUGAGCAAAUAAAAGUAGAGUAACUAAAUCCACAUAAACUGAGAAUCCAGGGACUAUCCUUACAAUUUAACCUAAAAUGUAAAAACUUAAAUACAUAAAUAUUAUUUUAGUAAUUUCUAAACAAAGUUAGCACUUUAAUGUAAGGGUGUUCAAAUUUCGGUUAAAAUCAAAUUAAUCGAUCGAACCGAUCUAAUUCGGUUAAUCGGUCGGUUAAUUGAUCUAAUUCAGUCGAAGGUUGAUUAAUUAUUUUUUUGAAAGUUCGGUUAUCAAUUAAUUCGAUUUGAAAUCUGGUAAUUAACCGAACUUAAUAAUUAAUAAUACAAAUAAUAUUUAGUUUUAAUUCAGUUAAUUCAGAUAAUUCAAUCAAAUGAACUUUAUUACUUUUUUAAAUAUAUUUAAUACUUGUUUUAACUAAAAUAAAAAAAUAAAAAUAUAUAAAUUUCGAUUAACAUUUUUUUAAAAAAAUUUCCCUUAUUUUUUCCUACAAUCAGCCUAUGCACGUAUUUUUUUUCAUUUAUUGGUAAAUUAAUCGUUAAUAUAUCCUUUCCUUUCUCUAAUCUUCCUCUAUUUUCUUUUCAUUUUCUUUCCUUUAAUUAUAUUUAUCCAAAUAUAGGGUUAAUGUAGAAUUUUUUAUUUUAUUUUAAUUUUUACCAUUAUCCUUUAUAUUUUAUCUUUAAAAUUAAAAAUUACAUUUAAUAAAUAGUAUAGUUAUAUUUCGAAAUUAAUUUUAAAUGAUAUAUAAAUAUAUUUUAAAUAUCAAUUUAAAUUUAAAUCUCUAAAACUUAACUUUUUAAUACUUAUUAUUUCUAUUUUAUCGAACAACCUUUAAGUAUUGCACUCACACUCGCAAAUAAAUAAAUAAAUAAAUAAUGGCCUUGUGUAAUUAAGAAAGUUGAGAAUGGGUUACUCCUCACCUGGUGGAAUUGGCUACAAUAAUGGAGGAAAGAGAAAAACACUAAGGAAUACCCAAUGAUUGGGAGGCAACGGCAUACCCUACACAUACUAUUUACUGUCGGUGGUAAUGAAUCAAUUGCCUACUUUACACAUAUUUUGUUUUCUUCACUUUUUCUUGUCCUGCACUAUUUGGAUUUAUGAGUGAUGGGUGUCGAGUCUACCAAUAUAAACCUAUGCCUAAUUUGCAAUUAAAGCAGUAUAAAGAGUAGGGUCGAUCCCUCAGAGACUGGAUUUACUGAAAAUUAUUUUUCUCUCGACCAGAUUCGUGUCUGGCCAGUUGUCGUGCCCAAGAAAUUUGAGGGAGGAUAAAAAUUGAAAACCUUAAAUAAACAGAAAAAAUGCGUGGAAAGUAAAAGCUGAAAAUAAAAUAAUAAAAUCAAUUAAAUAAAUCUGAAGAAAAAUUAAUUAAAAUUAGCUCAACUUUAGGCACGGGUUUUUCCUCGUCUUUGAACCGAUCCUCGAAAUUAGAUGAACUCCUCUUUCCAAUAAGCUAGUUAUAGCUACCAAGGACGUCUCGGACACCAACUCUUCCUUGUGUAAAUUAGUUAUGGAACGUCCUAUAACUAACCCUUACCGAUCGAACAACUAACGAAACGUUUGUGAUUUAGAACUCCGGCAGCUUUGCGUUCUAGAAGAGCCUAGCUCGAACCAAUGCCCUCAACCGCGUGGGACAUUUAAAUCUGGUUACUACUUCCCUUGAAGGAACCAAAGAACAAUCCCCACUUGGCACGCCAAUGUGUUCACAAAAAACUAAUUAGACAAUCGACCCUUUUGGAAUUCCAACUGUACGUCUAACCACACUAACUCAAACAAAAUCUUUUUUUGACUUAGUGUUGAUUUGACUUUGUGAGUUGACAAAGUCAUACUCUUAACCCAGAGAAAUAAUAAGUACUGAAAAUUAAGAAUUAAAUUGCUCGGGUUUGUAACUCACGGGUCUUGACGAAGUUAACACCGACCUAAAGUUGAAAUGGGUUUAGUUGACCAAGGUUUGGGCCAUGUUGGUAUUGGGCAUAAUUGGAGAAGGUUGAAUAAAUGAAAAAGAAAUGAAAGUAAGUGGGUGAGGGUGAUGCAAGGUUUGGGUGCCAAAGCUAGAAACUAAUAGAUGAAAAAAAAUAUAAGAAAUCAAUGUCAGCCACUAAAUUUGCAAAAAAAGGAAAGAAAAGAUUGAAUUCAAAGGAUAAAAACUUGAUUGAAAACUUGAUGAAUGAAUGAACAUAGUAGCCCCUAUUUAUACUAGUAGCCUUGAACAAAUUUGCCUAAUUAAAGGCCACUAACCAUAGAAAAUUAAGGAAAAAUAUUCCCAUGAUAUAAAAAAUCCCUACAUAAUCUCCCACUAAGUCAAAACAAAAUUUCAGCUAAUUACAUCUUGGGAAAAAUUCCGUUUUGGCCCGCCUUCUUUGCUAUUUUCUUCAAUCUAGCCCAAUUGUUUCCUUUUUCUUCUAUUUAGCCACAAAUUGCACCCCUGCACAAAAUUCAAUAUAAACAUGGAAAAAUCAGUGGUGCACUCUCAUAAAUUAACCAAUUUAAUUACAUAAAAUAUGUAAUUUUAGCAUUUAAUCAAUGAGUAAAAUCGAUACUACUUAUUUUGUGCUAUAUUUUUUAGUUUUCAUAUGACGAUCAUCAAAUUCAUGCUUAUCCAAAGCUGGUGUAUGCAAAACGAUAAAGUUAAUCUUUAUUGCUAGUCUUUCUUCUUUUUACUUUUGAAUACUCUUCUCUUGUUGCUGUCGUUGAAAUAUUGUUGGAUUGUUGAUAUCUUGCUACUUUUUAAUACCAUUUAAAUUUUUUUAAUAUAAAUAUUAAAAUUAUAAUGAUUUUAGUUAUUUAAUUUAAUCGAGUUGUAUAACUUGUCAAUACUUGGAUUUUGAAAAUGAAAAUAAAAAUGAGAGUCGCCACCAAUCUUUUUUGAUGAGGUGUGAUCGGGCCACCUCAAAAAGUGGUUGUUUUUAAUAAACAAUUUGAUUUUAUUAAAAACAACGAUCUUGGUCCACAAAAUUCAGAAAAAUGGGUUCGGGAGUCGGUUACAUACGAGGAAGGAUUAGCACCCUCGUAACGCCCAAAAUUGGUACCUAGUUGAUUAUUUAGUGUCUUAGUAUCGAGAAUUAGAACACGAUCCUUUAUUGAAAUGUUAAAAUUUUUUGAGAAAAGGGCAUAUUUCACGUUAAUCGAGAAAGAGAAUUAUAUCCAGUAAGAUAGGACACAAUGUCUUUGAAUUCCUAAUGUGCGAAUGAAUGCCAAAAAUUUACUUAUUGGAAAGAUAUUUAGCUAUCUCGGAUUUGAAAAAGGGAUCAUGUCCAGUAAGUUAGGACACAAUCUUUUGGGAUCAUGCCCAGUAAGUUAGGACACGAUCUUUUCUUAAUUCCCGAGAUCGUUUAAAACUUGAGAAAAAAAGGGAUCAUGUCCAAUAAGUUAGGACAUGAUUUCUUCUUAAUUCCCGAGAUAAUGAAAACUUGUUUGAAAAUACUUGUAUUCAGAUUUAUCGAGAAAAUCGAAACCCCGUAAGUUAGGGUGUGACUUUUUCAAUUCUUAAAAUACGAAGUUUAACUUAUUUUAAAGUCGUGAUUUAUACCUUAAAUAAAGAAAUAAAACACAAUUCAAUAUGAGUAGCAAAACAAUAAUAAAUACUACGAUGUAAACAUAACGCAAGCAACCACAAAAAAAUAAUAAAUAAAUAAAUAAAAGAUGACAAAACAAUUAUGUAUGAAAUAAUAACAGCUAGGGCUAAAAUAUUUCAUAAAAAUAAUGAUUAACACAUAAAUAAAUAAAUAUAAGAUAAAACAAUAAUAACAAUACGAAAAUAAAUUAAAUUAUAAAAGUAAAAAUUUAUGUAUGUUUAUUUAUAUAUAACAAAGUUUAAAAUGAAAGAAAAGAUAUAAAUAAGUAAAUAAUAAUAUUAAUAAUAACAAAUAAUCUAAAGUUUUAAAGAGAAAAGAUAUAUAAUUAUAUAAUAAUAAUAUAUAAUAAGAUAAAUAUAUUUAAAAUUUAAAUAAGUAAAUAUAAAUAAAAUAUAGUAAUAGUAAUACUUUGAAGGUAUAAAAGGACAUAAUAAAUAAUAAAUAAUAAAAUGAUAUAAUAAGAUAAUUACAUACGCAAAGAAAAAUGCAUAUAUAUAAAAUAAAAAAUAAAGCUAAAAAUAAUACAAAACUAAUUAAUAUAUUAAUACAAUAGUAACGAAUAAAUAAAAGGAAAAUAAAACUAAUAAUAAUAAAUAAUAUUAUUAUCAAAUUAUUAGUUUUAAUAAUAAAAUAACCAAAAUACAAACAGAGGGCUAAAUUGAAUUUAAAAAAUAAAAUUUAGGGUCAAAUCACAAAUAAAUUAAAGGAGAAGGACCACGUUGAAUGCGCAAAUAACAAGAAGGGGCCAAAUGGGCAAUAAUCCCGUCCCUCCAAAACGCACAGCUUCAUUGAGGACCAAAUCGAGAGAAAGAUGAAAUUUUGUGGCAAAAUUAAAAAAUAAAAACAAGAUAGGACCCAAUUGUAAAAAGCCUCAAAAGUGAAAGGACUAGGAGCGCAAAUAACCCCUUUUAUCCAGAAACAUACGGAUCCUAGGCAGUUCGGGUCGGGUCGAUCCGAUCCAGGUCAAAACGACGCCAUUUUAGCUCCCUAUAUAAGUUAAAAAGUUUCAAAAAUAAUCAUUUUACUCUUCCUUCUAAAAAAAAUCAAAAAAAUCCUUUCUUUCCUCCCCACUCUCCAAAAAAUCCAGCCAUGGGUCCGGUGAGGGCUCCGGCCGUAGCCACUAUGCUGGACUCCAGUCGCCGGCGUCAGCGCCUCCGCGCAUGGUGGCCGGUGAAGGCAAAAAGUUGUAUUUUCUAGAUCUCGACCCCCUAAGCUCAAAUUCGUCCUCAAAAUACCCGAAAAACCAAAGAAAAAGGACCACUAGCCUUCUCAAGAACCGAUUCUGUCACCAGAGAAGAAGCCUCCGACGACAAGUACACGAAACGACACUGGUGAGAUCCUCUUCACCUUCUUUUUGUUUUAUUUUUGUAUAUAAAUAAAACCAAAAAAAAUAAAUAAAAUGAAUAAAUAAAAGUCAGUGAACGAAUAUUAAAAAGACUUUGUAAAUUCAUUUUUCUUGAUUCCUUUUUUUAUGUUCGUACAAAAAAAGAAGAAGCCCCCUAAACUUUUAUAACAUAUUUGACUUUAUAGCCAAGAGAAAGAGAAGAAAACAUGAAAGCAAAUCCCCUCUUUUUGCUACUGUUUUUGUGGUCUAUUUCUGCUUUUCUUGGUUGCGUGUUUGCAGGUGACUGUGGCGAGUUGCAGAGGGUAGGUGGGCAGAGGCAUGCGGCGGUGGCAGAAGGCCCUAGGUUCGGCGUACCUAGGGUUUGGCAUUUUCUUUCUUUUUUUUAUUUGGUGUUGGGCUAGGGUUUAUUUUAGGCUAAAUUGGGUUUGGGUCAUAUUAGGCUUGUUUGGUCAACAUUGUAAUUGGGCUUCUAUUUUUUUUUCUGGUAUUGGCCCAGGCAAAAUCUGGGUCUUACACCUUUUAUAGUUAAAAGAAAGUAAAAUAAUAAAAUUUAGUUCAAAAUUGUUGAAGUUAUAAAAUAAAAAAUCAAUUCAAAAAUAAAAAUAUCUUUUGUUCAAUUCUAAUUGAAUUGGUGUCACAAGUUAAUUAACUAUUAAAAUAAGUAAUAUUAUUCAAAGGUAUUUUUUAAAAUUUUUAUGCAAAAUUAUCAAUAAAAUAUGAAUAUAACGGGAUUUGAAGUAAGACUCGUCUACAAAUGAAUUCAAAAUUUUUACUCGAUUCGAUCAAAUAUUCACCCCUAAAUAUUACAUUUUUUGAAUCUUCAUCUUGGUGAACAUAAAAAGGAGAAGUUAUCCUUUGUGUGUAUGUGUGCUUUAGUGUUUCCUUUAAUUGUGUGGCUAAUUAAGUGCUCCUUAUUUCCUUUGAAAACAAAUUUUGAUAGAAAUGAAAAUAAAGAAUAUUGAUAUUUAAAAUGUAAAAAAUAAAAUAAAAUAUUGUUUGAACAUGUAUAAAUUAAUAUUGUACGCAUAAAAUUGAAUAAUAUUUAAUACCAAGAAAAGUAGAAAAAAAAUAUGUUAAAAUAAUAUUUUGGUGAAUCAAAUUUAAUAAUUAAUUUAUAGUUGAUAGUUAUAUACAAUAUGGAUGAUAUAAUAUCCUCUGAAAUCUUCCCUUGGUUGACCAUAAAGGGGAAGUCAUUGUUUUAUGUUUUUUGGUAUUUAUUUGUGAGCCAUACAAAUUAUACAUAAUAAUAGACCUUUUGAAGUCAUCCUCUUCCGUGUUUUGUUCCCGUUAAUUCUGUGGCUAAUUAAGUGCUCUUUAUUUCCUUUUAAAACAAAGUUUUCUUUUCCUUUUUUUUGGUAGAAAUUAAAAUAAAGAUUAUUUAUUUGAACUUUCAAAGUAUAUUUAGAAAAACCCUAAAAUUUUAAAAAUAAUAAUUAAGUCUCUUUUUUUUCAUUUAAUUAAGUACUUGAACUAUCAAAAUACAUCAAUAAGACCCUCAAACUUUUUCAGAAAAAGCAAUUAAGCCCCUACAUUUUUUUUGCACAUUCAAUUGUCAAAAUGCAUCAAAAAGGCAAUUUGACCGUUAAAGCUUACCGCCCCUAAAAUUUUCAAUUAAAGCCACAAUGUGUCACAACCACGUAGUGUGUGGCAAAAAAAUGAUAACAAAAAUUAAAAUCAAUAGAAGUUAUAAAAAUUAUUAAAUUUUAAUAAAAAUAUAAAAAUAGAAAACAUAUAAAAUAUAUAGAAAUAUAAAAAAAUUAUAAAAUUUUAUAAAGUUGUAAGAAAAUUAUAAAUAAAUAUAAAAUUCGUAAAAAAAUUAUAAAAAUUAUUAUACCAAAAGAAGCAUUUUAUAAAUUUUCUAUAAUUUUUGUUGAUUUUUAUUUUUUAUCAUUUUUCGGCACAUGUCACAUUAUGUUGCAACACGUGAGCCUUGUUCAUGCAUUUUAUAAUUUUUUUAUGAUUUUUAUAUUUAUUCUAAUUUUAAUAAAUUUUAAAUACUUUUAAAUUUUAAUAAUAUUUAUAACUUUUAUUGAUUUUUAUCUUUUAUAUACUUUUUACCACAUGUCACUCCGUGAUUAUGACACAGGAUGGCUUUAAUUGAAAAAAAUUAGGGGCAAUUAACUUUAUGAUCAUCUGUUAAAGUUUACGAUCAAAGGGCCUUUUUGAUGUAUUUUAACGGUUUGGGUGUGUAAAAAGCUCUCAAACUUUUCAAAAAAAAGCAAUUAAACCCAUCCUCUCUCUGUUUUUUUUUUGCACUCAAUUGAGCACCUGAACUAUCAAAAUGUAUCGAAAAGACCCUCAAAAUUUUUCAAAAAAGCAAUUAAGCCCCUACUCUUAUAAAAAAUUAGAAAAAAAAUUAUAAAAAAUCAUAAAAAAUAAAAAAUUGUAAAAUUUUAUAAUAAUCAUUAAAAAAUUAUAAAAUGCAUUGCUUGAUUGCUUUUUGUGAAAAAGUUUGAGGGUCUUUUUUUUAUGCAUUUUGGCAAUUCAAGUACCCAAUUGAGUGCAAAAAAAAAGAGUAGGGGCUUAAUUGCUUUUUUGGAAAAAAAAUUGAGGGCCUUUUUGAUGCAUUUUGAAAGUUCAAAUACUUAGUUAAGUGCAAAAAAAAGAAAAAAGUAGGAGCUUAAUUGUUUUUCCUUUUGAAAAAAAUUGAGGGCUUUUUACACUCUUAAACAUUUUAUAAAUGAAUUUUGAUUUUUUGUAGUUUUAUAUAUGAAAUUUUGAUUUGUUUAAAUUCUCAUAAAUUAUUAACAUAACAUCAUUUUAUAUUUAUAUAUUACAUACAUAAAUAAUUAAAUAUUCUCAUGGGCUUAUAAUGGAAAGUACAAUGAAUAUGUACCAACAGAAUGUUUGUGGUCACCACAAAUAUUCUCAUGACAUCAGCCUCCUGCUUCAACACAUACAAUGAGGAUUCCAUAUCUAAAAGUAAAAAGAAUCAUGAAAAAAAUACAAUGCAUAGUAAAUCAAUUGUACAUGUUGUGUAUUAACAUAAUAAUCUUAACCAUAUCGCUCGUUGACUUUCAUGAGACCACAUACAUUAUUGUCCACAACUUCUAAAAUUUGAAUUAUCGUACAUUUUGCAUUAAAAAAUCUCAUGGUAAUCUUAUUUUCAAGUAAGAUACACAUUAUAGGAGAUCAACUCCCCUAAAUGCAUUUUAGGUGUUAUCUUUCAUAAGCUAGUGAUUUUUUCUUGAUUAAUAUAAUCAUGCCUCAAAUCUUAAAGGUACACUUCAUUAGAGUGAGAAGUUCUAAGUUCCUUGUCGAAAUCGUUUUUUGAAAACAAAAAAUUUAGUUGUCGACUUUUAAAAAUAAAACUGGAGUCGUCACCGAUCCUUUUAUUAAGGUGUGAUCGGCCUACCUUAAAAAAAUAUUUUGGCCUACGAAUUUUGAGAAAACGAGUCCGGGAGUCAGUUACGCACGAGGAAGGGUUAGCACCCUCGUAACGCCCAAAAUCGGUACCAAAUUGAUUAUUUGAUGUCUUAGUGUCGAAAGUUAAAAAAGAUUUUAAAAUAAGCUUGAAUGAUUAAAUUUGCAAAAGGAUAACCAAUUGUUCAAGUCCUGUAAAGAAAUCGAGUCCCAAUACGUUAGGGUACGAUUCCUCAUAAUCCCCGAACUUUGAAUAUCACUUUUAUUUUAUGCGAAAAUCUUCAUUUCGAGAAAGUAACAGGCCACACCCAAUACGUUAGGGCACAACAAGUUAAGUUCCCAAAAAUGAUUUUUAUGCUCAUGCAUUUUGAAUAAAGAAUAUUCUCGGUCAUUUAAGAUUAACAAAGAAAAUCAGAACCCAAUACGUUAGGGCUCAAUUUCCCUCGAAAAUCCCAAACCUCAAAUAAUGCUUUUAUUCAAAACAAACCUUUAAAUCAAGAAAAAAAAUGAUUUUGGUAUAUCGAAAAAAACCAAGAUUUAUUUUCCAAAGGGUAUGUUAAAAAUUAAUGUACAAUAUGAAAUAAAUAUUUUAAUUUAAAAUAUAUAUAUAUACAUGUACUUACAAAAUAUGUAAACACAAGCACAAUAUACAAGUAAAUUUGAAAAAAUGUGUAUGCAUAUAUUUAACAUACAUAUACAACACAACUUAUAAUAAUCUCCAACAAUAUGCAUGUAGAUUUCAAAGAAAGUAAGUAUAUGUACAAAAAUAAGGAAAAUACAUAUGUAUUGUAAAAUAUAAGUGUACAUACAUAUAUACUUAUUUAUAAAGGCUAUGAAAACAAAAAAAAGGGAAUAUAUAUAUAUAUAUAAAUUAUGCAUGUAUUAAAAUAUGUAUAUGUAUAUAUGUACAUAUAUGAAUGCAAAAACUAUAGGAAUAAAAUAAUGUAAAAAACAAAUAUGAAAGUAUGAGGAUAUGUAUAUAUUUACAGAAUAAAACAAAUGUAUAAAUAUAUUUAUAUAAUAUAAAAUAUAUAAAAGUUAAAAGAGAUAAAAUAAAAAAAAAUAUAAAACGUAUGUAAAAUGCAUGUAUUUAUAUAAGUUUUAAGAAUAUAUAUUAUAAAGAAAUAUGUAUAUAUACUAUAUAUUAAAAAUGCGUGCAUACAUAGAGAAAUAAUAAUAAAUGAUAAUAAAUUAUAUAGUGAUAAUUUUAAAAAUUCAAAAAUUAAAAAAAAUUGCAAAAAACAAAAAAAAAUGAAAUUAAAAUUGAACGAGGACCAAUUUGAAACGCACGCAUUAUAUGAGGGGGCCCAAAUGGAAAUAAUCCCUUCCCCGAAGCGGUGCGCAGCAAUAAGGACCAAUUUGAACCAAAAAUAAAAUAUGCGGCCCAAUUUACAAAAAGAGCAAAACAGGUUUAAUCGAAGCGCGCUGCAAAAAGGAGGGACCAAUUGCGCAAAUUUCCCACCUGACGUCAGAGCGCGCGGAUCCUCCCCUUCGAGUCUGGUCACCGCGCGGGUCAGGCCUGGGAAAACGGCGCCGUUUUGAUCUGUUAUUAAAAGAGAUUUAAAAAAAAACAUUUCAGCAGAUUGAAAAGAAAAAAAAACAAGGUUCCCCCCUUUUGCUCUGCUAGGGUUUCGCACCCAAACCCCGUCGCGCCGCCAUUCGCCUGGCCAACGCUCCGAUCAUGACGGAGCCGACCACCAGGUAAGUGCUCCCCUUUUCUUUUUUAUGCUAUUUCCUUUUCUUUUUUAAUAAAAAACAUAAAAAUAGAAACAAAAAGAACAAAAAAUAGCGAGGAAAAAAACAAAGAAUCCCGAUUUCACCUUGAAAAACAAAAGAUCUGUACUUUUAAUGUUCUUUUUCUAUUUUCCCCUCUAUUUUUUUUGGUUUUUUACACUGAAUCCCCCCUUUAUAGAUUUGAUAACGACCCUUUUUAUAGCUGAAAGAAAAUAAUAAUAAAUAAAUAUAAAAAUAUUUUCCCAACGAUAUUUGUUGCUUUUGUUGCUAUUGCUGCGCUGUAUACCUCCUUUUUCGCAGGUUUGGAGGCUAAUGGGGAGUGCGCGCAUGCUGGGGAGGGUCGUGGUGCGAGAUUCGUGGCGGCGUGUGAGGGUGAGCGGCGGCGGUGCUGAACCAAAUAGGCUCUUAGGGUUUCUGUUAUUUUGUUUUUGUGUGGGCUAGGUUUUGGGUUAAUGUUUGGCCUAGGUUAAUUUGGGUUUUGGGCCUGUUUAUUGGUUUGGGCCCGGGCAUAUUUGUUUGCUUGGGCCCGGGCAUUAUUGGGCUUGUACAGCUGCCCCUCUUUGCUCAUUAUCGUGUAACGGGAAUAGAGCAAAGACUAAAAGCCCAAUUGUGCCCGGUCUUACUGAGCCUCACCUUCUUUAGUGCUUUUCUUCUUCAAGUAGCAUCAUUCCAACCUACUGCAUCUUCAGAGGUAUAGGAACUAGUGCUUUGAUCCACUCCUACUGCAUCGUCAGAGAAAUAUGAUUUGUACCUUGUAGCUUCUCAAAAGAACAAAAUUUGCUAUCUUUAGUCUGCUCUACUGUAACUUUAGGGAGAUAAGGCUUGUAGCUUCAACUUAUUCUACUGCAACUUUAAGGAUAAGUCUGAUGCGAUCUGCUCUACUACAACUUCAGAGAGAUAAGAUCCAUCAUUUUAAUCCAACCCACUGCAAUAUUAGGGAAAUAGGGUAACUGGCUUCAAUGUACUCCACUGUAAACACAGGGAGGUAAAAUCCACUAUCUUUAAUCUGCUCCACCACUGCUUAGAGAGACAAGAUCUGAAAUCUUCAACCUAUUCCACUGCUGCCCAGGGAGAUAGAAUUACUGGCUUCAAUGUACUCCACUGUAACCACAGGGAGGUAAAACCCGCCAUCUUUGAUCUGCUCCACUACUGCUUAGGGAGACAAGAUCUGAAAUCUUCAAUCUAUUCCACUGCUGUCCAGGGAAGUAGAAUUAUUGGCUUCAAUGUACUCCACUGCAACCUCAGGGAGGUAAAAUUCACCAUCUUUGAUCUGCUCCACUACUGCUUAGGGAGAAAAGAUCUGAAAUCUUCAAUCUAUUCCACUGCUGCCCAGGGAAGUAGAAUUACUGGCUUCAAUGUACUCCACUGCAACCUCAGGGAGGUAAAAUCUGCCAUCUUUGAUCUGCUCCACUACUGCUUAGGGAGACAAGAUCCAAAAUCUUCAAUCUAUUCCACUGCUGCCCAGGGAAGUAGAAUUACUGGCUUCAAUGUACUCCACUGCAACCUCAGUGAGGUAAAAUUCACCAUCUUUGAUCUGCUCCACUAUUGCUUAGGGAGACAAGAUCUGAAAUCUUCAAUCUAUUCCGCUGCUGCCCAGGGAAGUAGAAUUACUGGCUUCAAUGUUCUCCACUGUAACCACAGGGAGGUAAAAUUCGCCAUCUUUGAUCUGCUCCACUACUGCUUAGGGAGACAAGAUCCAAAAUCUUCAAUCUAUUCCACUGCUGUCCAGGGAAGUAGAAUUAUUGGCUUCAAUGUACUCCACUGCAGCCUCAGGGAGGUAAAAUCUGGCAUCUUUGAUCUGCUCCACUACUGCUUAGGGAGACAAGAUCCAAAAUCUUCAAUCUAUUCCACUGCUGCCCAGGAAAGUAGAAUUAUUGGCUUCAAUGUACUCUACUGUAACCACAGGGAGGUAAAAUCUGUCAUUUUUGAUCUGCUCCACUACUGCGUAGGGAGGAAAUAUCUGAAAUCUUCAAUCUAUUCCACUGCUGCCUAGGGAAGUAGAAUUACUGGCUUCAAUGUACUCCACUGCAACCUCAGGGAGGUAAAAUCUGCCAUCUUUGAUCUGCUCCACUACUGCUUAGGGAGAAAAGAUCCAAAAUCUUCAAUCUAUUCCACUGCUGCCUAGGGAAGUAGAAUUAUUGGCUUCAAUGUAAUCCAUUGCAACCUCAGGAAGGUAAAAUCUGCCAUCUUUGAUCUGCUCCACUACUGCUUAGGGAGACAAGAUCCAAAAUCUUCAAUCUAUUCCACUGCUGCCCAGGGAAGUAAAAUUAUUGGCUUCAAUGUACUCCACUGUAACCACAGGGAGGUAAAAUCUGCCAUAUUUGAUCUGCUCCACUACUGCUUAGGGAGGCAAGAUCUGAAAUCUUCAAUCCAUUCCGCUGCUGCCCAGGGAAGUAGAAUUACUGGCUUCAAUGUUCUCCACUGUAACCACAGGGAGGUAAAAUUCACCAUCUUUGAUCUGCUCUGCUGUCUAUACAGGAAGACAAGAUCUGCUAUAUUCAAUCUGCUUCACUGUCUCUGAGGGAGGCGAGGUUGGUGUCUUCGAUCUGCUUCACUGUCGAUGCAGGAAGGCAAAAUCUGUUAUCAUCACUGAUCUGUUCUCUGGGGAACAUGACCUGUAUAAUGAACCUAAUUAUGUCUAAUGAUUAGGAUGGCAUGAUCAAAAUGAAUCAAAUGCUCCUAACUAGGCAUGUAUGAAUGACAUUUGAAUGAAUGCAGAAUGUCAUUAAAAUGAUAUUUUAACACUUAAGUUAUCAUUACUCCAAGUUUAUUAAGGUCUUAUCGCUUAAUGUACUAUAGCGCCUUUAUACUCGACUGGUGAACCCAAUAAGCACUUGACCAGAUUGCCCCCCACUGUAAACCUCCAAGUUUGAUUCGUUGGGAUGCAAAAUUUGUACCAUCUUUUCCCGUUGUAACCCAAGAGUAAAAGAUUUGGCAUUUUCUCAAUCCUCUGCUAUCGCAAUUCAAGGAUACAAGAUGUGAAACUUUUUGGUCUCCUACACCAUUCCCAGGGUGUUGUACCAAAUGCUCAUGCACAAAUGAAGAAAUCUUCUCCAAGAACAACUUCUUCUUAUUACUCGGUGAUCAUUGCUUGUUUGUUCAUUGAAGCUUUGUCACCAACACGACAUCUUGCCAUUUUGUUCAAUUAAUACUUUAGACAAGAAAAUUCAAAGGGAUAAUCUUAAUUUAGACUCUUCUUUAUCAGAUUUCCAACCUGGUGCGUUCUAAACAAUAGUCCUGUUUGAGGUUUCUAUAUUAUUCAGAAACUUCUAGAGUAAUAUGCAAAACUUCCCUUGCGAAAGUUUUAUUAGUCCAUUAAUCAUUAUUCUAAUGCAACAUGCUUGCAGAAAGAUCAUGGAUAAGAAUAGAGUUGGCUCUGAGUAUAGCUCGGAAUGAAUAAAUUGUCAAGGACAAUAAAGAUGGAUAACAAAGAAACUGAUUUAGGAAUGCGUAUCUUGGAAAUGAAUGAAGUGUUCCAAGAAUAACAAAAAUAGUAGAAGGAUUAGGUGCCCCAGAUAUCACAGCUUGAACUUUGCUGUACAGACUUUCUGAAGACCAUUCUGAGUUUAACAUGUUCUUGGAGAUCUACAGUACUUUGUCAAUGCCCCAAGAUGUCGCCUACCAUUUCCUGCUGAUUCAGGUGUAGCAAGACCACUGUAUGCCCCAUUCUGAUCAGUAUUUGAGCUGCUCUGAUAAUUUCAAACGCCAUUUUGAUCAAUCAUUUGAGCCGCCCUUUUCGGGUUUUCAACUCAAAUUUCUUUUGGUCUAAGGCGCACUUUGCGGGUUUUCACCUUAGCCUCUCCAUUUUACUUUUUCAUUUUUCAGUUUUCAUUUUCACUUUUUCAUUUUUCAUCUCAUCAUUUUUCGACUCAAAGUACCUUUGCGGGCUUUUACCUUGGUCAUCCCCUUCUUUAAGCGGAGUAUUUCCUGACUGAAUUUGAGUUUACAGGACUUUGCAGGUUUAUCAUCCAUCUCGCUCAAGAUCAAAACUCCUUUGGAAAAGACCUUCUCUAUAACAUAAUGUUCUUCCCAACUUGGCAUCUGUUCCCCUCCAAAACAUUUCUUUGUAGAAGGAAGAUCUUCAACAUUUGGUCACCCUCGUGGAAUUCUCUGGGAUGAACCUUUUGUUAUAGGCUUGCAUAAUUCAUUUCUAGUACAUCUGACCGUGAUGAAUAACUUUUAGCCUUCUUCAUUCUAUCAAGUUCAAUUGAUCACAUUGCGAUUGGAUCUGUUCUGCUUCAUCCAACUUGCUCAGCCAAUACCCGGAGAGAAAUAAUUUCAACUUCAAUAGAAAAAAAAAUCAUGAUGAACUAAAGAGAGAGGCACUACUCCGAUAGAGUUUUCACCGCAUCAUUCAUGAUAUUGAACAUACUGCAAAUUUCUGAUAUCGUGCUGUUGUUCAGAUUGCAAUGACAGCGCUUAAACCAGGCACAUCCUGGUAUGACCAUGCGAAGACAUCUUUAAAUACUUGAAGUAACCCAACCACGUCUAGAUUUGUUUUUUCGGUCAUGCAUGUUACCUCAAGGUCACAGUCUCUAUUGUCUCAUUUGUUUCUCUUAUUGCUUUACCAUUCUCAACAAGUCAGGAGAUAAGCUACAAUUUAUGACAUCUUCAAAGUCAUGAGAUCCCUCUAAGUACAUGUCUCACCCAAAAGGUAAUUUUGAGUCUGUAGCAGCAUCACUCAUGUCAUUGAUAUUUGGGGACCCAUAGUGGGUACCAAAGAAAAUACAAAAGAAUGUAUGAAUAUGAAUGAACGAAUGAAUGGUUUGACAGAAAAAAUCCAAAAGAAUGAAGAAAAUGUAAAGACUGAAAGAACAUUUGCUUAAAGAUGAUUGCAAUAACGUAUUCAUUAAAAUAAUAAUAUUCAGACGUGAGCCUAUUUCACAAAGAAGUUCUUAUUGCUUCUAGGCUAAAAGCAACAAGUGUGUUCUGAACAUUACUCUAACAAACUCUAAAUACUACAGGGUUUCCUCUGCAGUCCAACUAUUUAGAACAUUCCCAGGUUUAUAAAGGGCAAACAUCUAAUAAGAUCUCUUCUCCAGUUGUUUCUUCGUGUUCGGCACUGAUGUGAACAUUUCCCAACAUUUCUUCAUUCAUCGCAGUCCCUUCAUUAUCCAUAUGAUUGAGUAGCGGGUUUUCUGUACUGAAUGAAUCCUCAAAUUUGACAAUGCCCAUAUUGAUAAACAUUUCGACCAGCUUUCUAAAGGCAGUGCAAUUUUCUAUAGAAUGCCCCGUAAUUCCUGCAUGAUAGUCACAUUGCGCAUUUGUGUCAUACCAUUUGGGGUACGGAGGUUGUAAAGGCUUCAAGUAGAAAGGGGAGACAACAUGUGCAUCAAAUAAACUUUGAUACAACUCCUGGUAUGACAUUGGGAUUGGUGCAAACUGAGACUUCUUAAUGUUUUGCUUUGUGCCAAACUCUUGCCUUGGGGGGAUCUGAUGGCCAGUAGUAACCGUCUUUGGUUGGUUUGCGGUAAUCGGCUUUGAAUAACUCUCGUUAUACCUACCCACACUAUUCACCUCCUUUUUCCUCUUCCUCGAGACUUUUGAAGUAUUGUUUUGGGAGUUCCACUCUUGCCCAUUCUGUUUGUAACGAUCUUCAAAUUGUUUUGAAAACUCUACUUUCGCCUAUUUUGUUUCCACUAGAUCAUCGAGGACAACAGGAUUAGUUAGAUUGCCCCUAAGAUUAGAACCUGAGCCUGUCGCGAAAUUCACCGGUGUCGAGGUAUUGGUCUGGUACUGUGGUCGAAUGUUAACAGUUACCCUUUGUGGAUAUGUGUUUGGUUGUGCUUGAAUGUUUGUUAGGGUAAAGCCUGGAAGAUAUGCAGGGCCUUCAUUAUCAUUCCCAAAGUGGACCACUGGGUUUUUUCCUUUUUCUAACCUCAUAUCCAGUAACUGGGUUAACUGGCUCAUCAAAUUUCUUUGGAUUUCUAGCAUCUGAUCCUUCAUAUCUUGUUAAAAUUUGGCCAAUUGCUCUAGCAUCUGUAUUUGCAUCAGCUCUAAUCUCUCCAUCCUUUGGUCCAUUCCUUUAGUUUCUAUUCGGGUACCGCAGGAAUGUUGGUUUUUUAGCUGAAAUAAUUUUACUCAAUUAGGGUCUUUUAAUGGUCUUUAAUGCACGUGAUGUUGUGUAAUGCAAAUGCAUGAAGUGAAUGCAAAAAGAGACGUUGAUUCUUGGUUCAAUUCUAUUGGAAAAACUUUACUAGAAAAAAAAUCUCUUUAUAUAAAGUAGAUAUAUAUACGAUUUUGCCCUUAUAGGCUGAGUCAUUCGAUCCUCUUCUUCAUUCAAGCAUUAAGAUAAAUAUCACGAACUCUUCAAAAGUGAUGUCUCUUCUAUCUCCUUUUUACUUGAUCCGGGCCGUGACUCAUUGCUCCUUUAUCGUUGUGAUGCUCGUUGGCUUCCCUUUAAAAAAAAGUUCAGCGGCUCUCGAUUAAUCUUCGUCAGCUUGAGUCUUCGGGCAACGGAACAAUAGUUGUGUAGUCCUCCAUUAAACUAUUAUCUUUCCCUUGUUGUGUUUUCUCAGAACAUAUUCGGGCAACCAUAUUAUUUUCCACUUUAUCAAGAAACCCAUUUCCUUAUGACAAGCUUUCUAAUCUAGUAAUCGAACUCAAAUCAACAUCUCUUUUCUAAGAUGCAAAUGCAAUGCAAUCAUGAUGUCAUGCAAUCAAAACAAAAUAAACACAAGUCAGUAUCACACCAAAAAGAUAUAAUCCAAUACAUACAUGAAAUAGCAAGAACAUUUAUUCAGGAAUCCACUAGGAUUUGGUAUAGCUCUACCUAGGGCAAGUUCCUAAAGCUCACUAUAUGAGGCUUAGUUUCUAGAGUAAGGGUACCCAAACCAACAGAUUCCUCGAUCCUCACCCAUUAUAGACUCAUGUGGAUCGAGUUCAGUUCAGGGGGAUACAUUUCCCUAUGGCUGCACGGAGAUGAAAAUCUCAUGAAGACAUAAGUACGGAUGUAUCCCGGAAGCGGUCCACUACCCUGCACGGAGGUGAAAACCUCACGAAGGACUAGUUUCUCGCUCCCACUUAAGAGGGUAAAACUGACCAUGUAAUGUAAAAUGCAAAUGCAAAGUUGCCAAAAUACCAUGAUAAAACAUCAAUGAGCGUGAAGGGAACUCAUGAAUUUUUUAAAAAACUUUUGAUUUUCGACACAAAGACAAAUAUAAUCAGUUUAUGGCUCGACUCUCUAAAGUCCCCAGCGGAGUCGCCAAGCUGUCGAAACCGUUUUUUGAAAACAAAAAAUUUAGUUGUCGACUUUUAAAAAUAAAACUGGAGUCGCCACCGAUCCUUUUAUUAAGGUGUGAUUCGGCCCACCUUAAAAAAAUAUUUUGGCCUACGAAUUUUGAGAAAACGAGUCCGGGAGUCAGUUACGCACGAGGAAGGGUUAGCACCCUCGUAACGCCCAAAAUCGGUACCAAAUUGAUUAUUUGAUGUCUUAGUGUCGAAAGUUAAAAAAGAUUUUAAAAUAAGCUUGAAUGAUGAAAUUUGCAAAAGGAUAACCAAUUGUUCAAGUCCUGUAAAGAAAUCGAGUCCCAAUACGUUAGGGUACGAUUCCUCAUAAUCCCCGAACUUUGAAUAUCACUUUUAUUUUAUGCGAAAAUCUUCAUUUCGAGAAAGUAACAGGCCACACCCAAUACGUUAGGGCACAACAAGUUAAGUUCCCAAAAAUGAUUUUUAUGCUCAUGCAUUUUGAAUAAAGAAUAUUCUCGGUCAUUUAAGAUUAACAAAGAAAAUCAGAACCCAAUACGUUAGGGCUCAAUUUCCCUCGAAAAUCCCAAACCUCAAAUAAUGCUUUUAUUCAAAACAAACCUUUAAAUCAAGAAAAAAAAUGAUUUUGGUAUAUCGAAAAAAACCAAGAUUUAUUUUCCAAAGGGUAUGUUAAAAAUUAAUGUACAAUAUGAAAUAAAUAUUUUAAUUUAAAAUAUAUAUAUACAUGUACUUACAAAAUAUGUAAACACAAGCACAAUAUACAAGUAAAUUUGAAAAAAUGUGUAUGCAUAUAUUUAACAUACAUAUACAACACAACUUAUAAUAAUCUCCAACAAUAUGCAUGUAGAUUUCAAAGAAAGUAAGUAUAUGUACAAAAAUAAGGAAAAUACAUAUGUAUUGUAAAAUAUAAGUGUACAUACAUAUAUACUUAUUUAUAAAGGCUAUGAAAACAAAAAAAGGGAAUAUAUAUAUAUAAUAAUUAUGCAUGUAUUAAAAUAUGUAUAUGUAUAUAUGUACAUAUAUGAAUGCAAAAACUAUAGGAAUAAAAUAAUGUAAAAAACAAAUAUGAAAGUAUGAGGAUAUGUAUAUAUUUACAGAAUAAAACAAAUGUAUAAAUAUAUAUAUAUAAUAUAAAAUAUAUAAAAGUUAAAAGAGAUAAAAAAAAUAUAAAACGUAUGUAAAAUGCAUGUAUUUAUAUAAGUUUUAAGAAUAUAUAUAUUAUAAAGAAAUAUGUAUAUAUACUAUAUAUUAAAAAUGCGUGCAUACAUAGAGAAAUAAUAAUAAAUGAUAAUAAAUUAUAUAGUGAUAAUUUUAAAAAUUCAAAAAUUAAAAAAAAUUGCAAAAAACAAAAAAAAAUGAAAUUAAAAUUGAACGAGGACCAAUUUGAAACGCACGCAUUAUAUGAGGGGGCCUAAAUGGAAAUAAUCCCUUCCCCGAAGCGGUGCGCAGCAUUAAGGACCAAUUUGAACCAAAAAUAAAAUAUGCGGCCCAAUUUACAAAAAGAUCAAAACAGGUUUAAUCGAAGCGCGCUGCAAAAAGGAGGGACCAAUUGCGCAAAUUUCCCACCUGACGUCAGAGCGCGCGGAUCCUCCCCUUCGGGUCGGGUCACCGCGCGGGUCAGGCCUGGGAAAACGACGCCGUUUUGAUCUGUUAUUAAAAGAGAUUUAAAAAAAAACAUUUCAGCAGAUUGAAAAGAAAAAAAAAACAAGGUUCCCCCCCUUUCGCUUUGCUAGGGUUUCGCACCCAAACCCCGUCGCGCCGCCAUUCGCCUGGCCAACGCUCCGUCACGACGGAGCCGGCCACCAGGUAAGCACUCCCCUUUUCUUUUUUAUGCUAUUUCCUUUUCUUUUUUAAUAAAAAAUAUAAAAAUAGAAACAAAAAGAACAGAAAAUAGCGAGGAAAAAAACAAAGAAUCCCGAUUUCACCUUGAAAAACAAAAGAUCUGUACUUUUAAUGUUCUUUUUCUAUUUUCCCCUCUAUUUUUUUGGUUUUUACACUGAAUCCCCCCUUUACAGAUUUGAUAACGACCCUUUUUAUAGCCGAAAGAAAAUAAUAAUAAAUAAAUAUAAAAAUAUUUUCCCAACGAUAUUUGUUGCUUUUGUUGCUAUUGCUGCGCUGUAUACCUCCUUUUUCGCAGGUUUGGAGGCUAAUGGGGAGUGCGCGCAUGCUGGGGAGGGUCGUGGUGCGAGAUUCGUGGCGGCGUGUGAGGGUGAGCGGCGGCGGUGUUGAAGCAAAUAGGCUCCUAGGGUUUCUGUUAUUUUGUUUUUGUGUGGGCUAGGUUUUGGGUUAAUGUUUGGGCUAGGUUAAUUUGGGUUUUGGGCCUGUUUAUUGGUUUGGGCCCAGGCAUAUUUGUUUGGUUGGGCCCGGGCAUUAUUGGGCUUGUACAUUCCUUAUUUGCAAUUUUGGUUUCUAUCAUUGUGUGCACCUUUGAUUUGAUAAAAUAUAUAUUGUUUUAUAUCCAUUCUUUACAGAUGUGUGAAUAAUUUCUAAAACUUGCAAUACUGUUACAAGUAGAGUUUUAUUUCAUUUAUAUUUCUUAUAUCUAUAAAUAUAAUUUUUUAUAAGUAUUGAUAAUAUCCCUAUUAAUCAAUAAAAUAUGUACUUCUCUCUUGCUAUUUUAUUUGUAAUUCUUUUUCUCUCCUUAUUAUUUAUUUCAUAACAGUAUUAAUAUAUUUUAAUUUUACGGUUUAUUUUUACUAAUAAUUAUUAAAAAAAAUCAAAUUGACCUUUUAAGGAAAAAUUAUAUUUUCAUCAAUAGAUGAUAUUUUUUUAGAAUAAUGAAAAUGUUAUUUGUUGACACCAUUUUUUGAUAAAAACUGGGUCGACUUGGAUUUUGAAAACAAAAACGAAAAUGGGAGUCGCCACCAAUCCUUUUUGAUAAGGUGUAAUCGGAUCACCUUGAAAAGUGGUUGUUUUUAAUAAAUGAUUUAAUUUAUUAAAACAACAAUUUUGGUCCACAAAAUUCAGAAAGACGGGUUCAGGAGUCGGUUACGUACAAGGAAGGUUAGCACCCUCGUAACACCCAAAAUUGGUACCUAGUUGAUUAGUUAAUGUCUUAGUGUCGAAGAUUGAAAACUUUAAAGAGAUUUAAAAUACGAUCCUUUAUUGAAAUGUUGCAAAUUUUUGGGAAAGAGGGCAUAUUUCACGUUAAUCGAGGAAAAUAAUCAUAUCCAGUAAGUUAGGAUACAAUAUCUUGAAUUCCCGAUGUGCGAAUGGAUGCCAAAAAUUUACUUAUUUAAAAGGUAUUUAGUUAUCUCGGAUUUAAAAAAGGGGAAUCAUGCCCAGUAAGUUAGGACACGACCCCUUCUUAAUUAUCGUUAAUUUAAAAUUACUCGCAUAAAACAAAAAUGGAAAACGCCUCCUUAUCUCGAAGUUACAAGAUGUCACAUCCAAUAAGUUAGGGCCCGACAUCUCGUAGUUUGAGAAUAAGUUUGCCUUUCAUUUUUUAUUUAAAUCUCAUUUGUUUUAAUUUUAAAAGGAUAUUCGGUUAUUUAGGACCAACGCGAGAAAAAUCGAAGCUCAGUAAGUUAGGGCACAAUUUCUCGAAUUUUCUAAAUAUGGAAUAUUGCCUUUAUUUUCAAGAUUUUACCCUUUUGAAUUUUGAGUACGAAUUAAUGGAAUAUUUAAAAACCAAAUGCGUGCAAUUUUGAUUAUAUUUGAAAAGAAAUCGUUUAAAACGAAAAGGAUGUCGUACACGAUCUGUAACAAAAUAUACAACAUACAUUUAAAAUCCAUAACAUAAUAUGCAUCAUAAAAUAUACACAUAGCAUUGAGACUAAUAAAUCCUAAUGAUAACAUGCAUGAAUAAUAAUAAUAAUAAUAAUAAUAAUAAUAAUAAUAAUAAUAAUAAUAAUAAUAAUAAUAAUAAUAAUAAUAAUGCAAAUGACAAUAUAAUAGCAACAAUAAUAACAACCACAAUAAACAUAAUACUAAUGAAUCUAAAGUUUGAAAAGUAUUUAAAGAUAUCAAAUAAAUAAAUGAUGGAAUAAAAUUGUAAUAAUAAUGACAAAAAUAGAAUAAACAAACCAAAUUCUAAAAAAAAUAAUUAAACCAAAAUAAAAUUAUUAAAACUUUGACCAAAAAAUGGAAAUAAGUAAAUAAAUAACCUUAACGGAAAUAUUAAAUAAAACUGAUUUUUUUAAAAGAAUAUAAAAUAAAAAAUAAAAUAAAAUUCGUGGUUUAAUAGGCCGAGGAUCAAAUUGCAAUCAGACUCAAAUUUCGAGGGCAAAAUCACAAAAUAAGAAAGAUAGGAUUGCGAGGGACCGAACUGAAACACGCUUGAAACGUGAGGGACUUAUAGGGAAAUAUUCCCCAGCCCUAAAAAGCGGCGUUUAACCGAGGGAGCUGCGCAUGGUCUAAGGACCGAAUUGAAUAGGGAGCAAAAUUUGCGGCCCAAUUCCAAAAUAACUAAAAGGAUUAGAUUGUGCUAUGUUGUAAAGUCGAAGGGACCGCAUGCGCAAAUAUCCCCUCAUAUCAGAAAACGUGCGGAUCCCAUGAAUGCGGGUCGGGCUUAGGCCAAACGGCGUCAUUUUGGCCACUGAUGCUAAAGUCCAAAAUGGCAUUGUAUUGACCCCAUAUAAAGACAAAAAAAAUAAAUUUAAAAAAAAUUGAAAUUUUAUUUAAAAAAACAAAAAACAGAUACCCUCUUAGUCUUCCUUGGUCUCUCUCAGCCUUUCCCUGGCCGGCCAUGGUCGCCACCGUAGCGCCGCCAUGGCCGGUGGCUGGUGCUGCGCGAGAGGGGGCUUUUAACCGCACCUUAGAUCCCACUCGAAGGCCAAGCCUUCUUGACCCAAAAGGCUGAAGGAAAAGGGAGUUUCACACCCCUUUUGGUUCGAUUUCGGUGACCCAAAAUGGCCUCCGGCGAUGGCUCGUGGGACUGUUUCGAGUAAGUUCCCCCCCUUUUCCUCCCUUUUUUAUUUCUUUGUUAAUCAUUUUUGCAUGAUUUUGUAAAAAGAAUUAGUAAAUAAUAAUAAAAUAAAAAGAAAAACAAAGAGAGAACAACAACCUUUUAGACUUCUAUUAUGCUUUUUGAUUUCUGAUGUGUGUGGAAAAAAAAAUACAGAGGUGAAAUUUGGGCUCUUAUAGCCGGAUCUAAAUAGCUCUUAAUCAUUAUUCUUUGUCGUUUUCCUAUUUGUUUGUUGUUUUUUUGUUUCUGCUGUUGCGUGUGGUGUAACAGCUCGGUUUAGACCCUAGUCGGAACAGUGGUUUUGGGACCACAAAUCCAAGUUAAAAAAAAUUUAAUAUUAAAUUUGGCAUUUGCAGUAUGUGAAUUAAUAUGUGUGAAAAUUUCGUAUGAAAAUUUAAUUGUUUGAGUGCUCAAUUUGAUAAAAGAACUUAAUCGCGUAAAAUGAAAAAGUGACUUACUAUUUGUGAAAGUGCUAUAUUGCUAUGUUCGUUUAAUGUGGAGGCCUUAAAAUGAAAUUAGGCCAUUAAAUGAUAGAAUGGACGGUAGUGGACAACUAUUUUUAUGUUUUUAUAUUAUUUCAUUUAGGUUAAAAAGGUAAAAUGACAUAUUAAUAAGAAAUAAAAUAAAACAAAAUAUAAAAUGGCCAUUAUAUUCAUCUUUAUCACCGAAUGCAUGAAAGAAAAUAAGCCAUUUUCUUAGUUUGAGGGUUCGGCAACUUGAAUAUCAAAUUCGGGUAUGUUCUUUGUUCGGUUUUUGAUAAUUUUUAUAUUUUUGUGAUCGUUGCUUCGAGUGCUAGCAAACCCAUGUUUUAAUUUUUGAAAUUGAUGAUGAAUUUGGUAUUUUCCAUUGAUGUUAGCUUGAUGUUUUUGUGGUUUGAUGAUGAAAUAUAAACUUUUGUUGAUAGAUUAUUAUGUUUAAUUAAGUGAUUUUUGAUAAAAAUGUGUAUUAAGGAUUAAAUUGAGAAAAGUGUAAAAUUCAAGGUUAAAUGUGUGAAUAAACUAAAAAUGUGGGCUGCUAGUAGUAUGGGUAGAAUUCGGCCUAACAAGGAUUUAGUGAAAUUUUGUGUAUUUUAUGUUAUUUUGAAAUAAGAACUAAAUUGAGAAAAAUGCGAAAUGUUAGGGGCUAAAAUGAAAAUUUCCAUUUAUAUGUUCUUGAAUGGAAAUUGAAUGAAAUGUUGAAUAAUUAAGUUAAUUUUGAUAUUAAUUAGAUUGGAAAAAAGUAGAAAUAGGAUUUGGAUCGGGAAAAUCAGAAGUUAUCGAUUAGUCAUUCCGGUCCGUUCACGUCCGUACGAGGUAAGUUCAUAAGUAAAUAAAUGCUAAUAAAUUUGAAUGUAUAUAUGUUAUAUGUGUUGAAUUGAUCUUUAAUAAAUAUAUGUGUAUAUGCCGAAUUGAAUUUAGAGUUGGAGAACUAGUUACGAGCUUGAAUCGAUAGAAUUACGACGUCCGAAAAGCCCCCUACGAACCAUAGGAAUAGUUAGGAUACAUAUGACAUAACAUAGGAUUCCGAUAUGUGUUAUCGUGUAAGACUAAGUCUUGGACGUUGGCAUCGGUUUGAAAUUUAUGUGUAAGACUAUGUUUGGGACAUCGGCAUCAUAUUUGAUUUUGUGUAAGACCCUGUCUGAGAUAGUGACAUCGAUAUUAAUUACAUGUAAGACCACGUCUGGGACGUUGGCAUUGUACGAGUUUUUUUUAGCUAUCCAAGUAUCCUAUUUGAUUCCGAACGGUUCAACGGGCAUUCUGAGAAAUAAAUGAGUAUAUGAAUGUGCAUCUGAAUCAGGUAUGUUGUGAUGAAUAUGAAUUUGAGCAAUGAACGUGAGUAUGAUUAUGAUCAUUCGUUAUAUAAUUUAUGUGAAAAUGAGAUGUGAAUAUUAGCAAGGGAACUAUGAACAAAUUAAUCAUAUAAGAAAUGUAGAAUUGUAAUUGUGUUUUUGCCAUAUAUGAUUUAGGUACAAAUGAUUUGUAUAUGAAAUUUUGAUAUGAAAUGUGAGUAUGAUUAAAAUGAUGAUAUAUAUGAAAUAUAUGAUAAUGAAUGAUGUGUUAUAUAUGCUCGUGGAAAGGGAGGCAUUUGAAAGGAUUCUUUUUUUUUUUUUUUUAAGAGAAGAGUGAAAAAUGAAAAAUUUUAACAAAUUUUUGGCUUUUAUAGCCUAAAUGAAACGGCGCCGUUUUAGCCCCCAUGACCCGCGCGCGAUCCGACCCGCUCCAGGGGUGAUCCGCGUGUUUUCAUGAAAUGGGUUAUUUGUGUGCGCAAUCCUUCCUCUUUGCGGUGCAUUGCAAUUCGGCCCUUUUUCAUUAUUUUCUUUUAUUUUUAAUUUAUCCCCAUAAUUUUGUUUUCGUUUUAAUUUGGUCCAUUUCAGCUCAGCAUUUUGGGGGCUUUGGUUUAUUUACCCUGUUAGCCCUUGCCUUGUCAGCGCGCGUUGCAAUUUGGUCCUUCCCGAUUUUUUUACUCUGAUUUUGCCUAAUAUUUUCGUUUUUAUUUCGAUUUAGUCCAUAUUUUAGCAAUUUUAUUAUUUAGUUGUUAUUAUUGUUAUUAUUAUUAUUAGUAUUAUUAGUAUUUCUAUUAUUAUUUAUAUUAUUGUUACUUAUUAUAUUAUUAUCAUAUGAUAGUUUAAAUAUACGUACAUGUAUAAUAUUAUUAUUAUUAUUAUUAUUUCCUUUUUAGACUUAUUUAAUAUAUAUAUAUAAAUACCUUUUUAUAUGUAUAUAUAUAUAAGUUUUUUUUCCUUUCUGUUUCUCACGAAUAUAUAUGUAUAUUUAUAUAUAUAUAUUAUAUGGUUUCUUUUAUAUCUAUUUAUAUAUAUAUAUUUAUUUAUCUUAUUUUAUUUUUUAUAUAUCUCACAUAUACAUUUUUUAUAUAUAUUUUUUAUGUAUAUAUUUUUUUAAUAUUUAUAUGAAUUUACGCAUCUUAUUUAUAUGUUACGGCUUAUUAUUCCGCAUGUUAUCAAUUUGUUCUUUUUAUUUAUUUUAGUUAUCAUUGCCCGUAUUAUUUUUAUACUUUCGUAUUCGUUAUGAUAUUGCCAUGUAUAUCAACAAUGUAAUUUGCUUUCACAUUUUUACUACGAUUUUCAUGUUUUAUUUUACUCGAUAUAACAAAAUUUGUUUUGAAUAAAUAAUAUUUCGUGUUUAGAUUCGAGAGGAUCGUACCCUAACUUAUUGGGUUUCGAUUUUCACGAUAAAUCUAAAUGCACAAAUCUUUUCAAACUCAAAUUUUAAACGAUCUCGGGAUUUUAAAAAGAAUCGCGUCCUAACUUACUGGUCGUGAUCUCAUUUUUAAAUCCGAGAUGGCUAAAAUAUCUUUUAAAUAAGUAAAUUUUAGUAUUUUUCAUUCGCGUAUCGAGAAUUCGAGACAUUGUGUCCUAACUUACUGGAUAUGGUACUCUUUCUCGAAUAACGUGAAAUAUGUUUCUUUUCCCAAAAAUUUUCAUUUUAAUACAAUGAUCGUAUUUUUAAUUUUUCCAAGUUCUCAAUUUUCGACAUCAAGACAUUAGUUAAUCAACUAGGUACCAAUUUUUGGGCGUUACGAGGGUGCUAAUCCUUCCUCGUAUGUAACCGACUCCCGAACCCGUUUUCUAAAUUUCGUGGACCAAAACCGUUGUUUUAAUAAAAUCAAUUUGUUUAUUAAAAACAACCACUUUUCACGGUGAUCCGAUCACACCUCAAAAAGGAUUGGUGGUGACUCCCGUUUUUGUUUUCAAAAUCCAAGUCGACCCCGUUUUCAAUCAAAAAAAUGGUGUCAACACCAAAGAUAUUUGGCACAAACGAUAUGGACAUCUGAGUUACAAACAUUUGGCAUUAUUGCAUAGCAAAAAAUUGAGGGCUUUUUACACCCUUAAACCUUUUAUAAAUGAUUUUUGAUUUUUUGUAAUUUUAUAUAUAAAAUUUUGAUUUGCUCAAAUUCUCAUAAAUUAUUAACAUAACAUCAUUUUAUAUUUAUAUAUUACAUGCAUAAAUAAUUAAAUUUAUUCAAUAGAAAAAUAAAUUACUGUAUUUAUUUUUUAAAAUUUAUAUAAUUAAAUAAAAAUAUAUAGAUACCUCCUUUACUAUACACAAAUUUUCAAUUAGAAGAAAAAGGCUUAGAGUUUUGGAAAUUUUAAUCAGAAAUUUUCUGAUUGGAAAAACAUAAAGGGAGAGGGUGACGGAAAUAAUUAUAGGAAUUCUCAUUUAUUCCUUUCCAACCCGGCCCCUUUAUUUAACACAUCCAUCCACACAAGAAAACCUCCUAAAAGUUCUGCAAAAAUACACAAACAAAGCUACAAAAAACUCAUACACAAGAUCAAAACCCAAACCAAUUUGCAGAAAGGUAUUAGUUUUAAAUAAAAGUCAUGUCACUUUUUAAUGUCUAAAAUUCAAGCAUAUUCAAAUAUUCAUCAUUUUAUUUUCCAAAACUCGAAGCAUAAUGGAGGAGCCUUGAAUAAAGGGUGUAUCAUCGGGCAUGUAAGCACAAUUCUUUUCUUUUUGAAAAGAUGCAAUCUCUCAUGCCUAAAAUUUAACCGGGAAAAUAUUGGAAUGAAAAAGGAAAAAAAGAAUGACAUGAACAAAUAUUAAUAAUAACAUCUUUAAAAAUCAUUAAAAAUGACUUCCAAAAUGAUCUUAAAUAAACUGGCAUCCAAAUUAAUUUAUAUCUAAAUAAUUAUUUGUCCAGAUUCAUUUGGGAUAUAAUUUAAAAUAUUAUAAAAUAUUAUUAAAAAUAUAAGUAAACUUUAUAAUAACUAUUAAUGCUUAUUUAAAAAAAAAAUUCAAACAAGAAAUACAACAAUAUUCAUAUUUGGUUAAAGUAACAUAUAUAGAGAAUCUUUGUACCUCAGGUUAGAUCGCGUUUAUACCUCAGGUUAGAUUAAGUUGUUAUAAAAUUAAAGAAAAAAAUAUAGAUAUCCUACUUGUUAGUAAAUUAAGUUGUUCAUGUUAAUUUUCUUCUACGUGACACAAGUUGUGUCACAAUUUUUGUGAAUUAAUUUGAUGGUCAGGAUACAAAUUCUCUCAGGUGUGGCCUGAGUUCGAAUUAAGUUAAUCGUGUUGUUAACUUGUAAUUCAAAAAAAAAUCUAGAAGAAAAUAAAAGAGUUGUUACAUUGACAUAUUACAAAGGGGCGUUACAAAAUUGAGAGCACCGCAUUAUGCAUAAUCGACCUAGACUAAGGAAUAGCCAACAUCCUAUUAAUGCAACAAAGUAGCUUAAGUCAAUACUAGUGAAGAAGCCAUUACUAGUAUAAACAAAACUUGCAAAUAAACAAAAGCAUACAAUAAAAAUAGUUCCUUUCCAAAAUUCAUCAUAUAAAGUAAAGAAUAUCGCCAAUCCUUGACCUACGCCCAUACCUAGUGCUGUUAUAGAAAUAAUAUUAUGAAAAUAAUUGUUAUAGAAAGAAAGGAAUAUCCAACAUCCCACUAUUAAAACACUAACUUUUGACACCCGAUUUACGAAACACAUGGACACCAUUAAAAUGAAAAGAAUUCCUGAAAAUAUAUUAAGAGUUCUAAUUGUUAUAUCGGUGGGGGCUAUGCAAGAUAUUGAUUUAUCGAAGGACACUGCAAAAAACGCUAAUAGUACUUGAAGUGCAGUCCUAAAAUUACGGGGAAAAGUUUUGAGUAGAGCUAAUGUUAGGAAUAAUGUUACGAGGAACACAAGGUAGGUUGGAAUACAGAAGAAAAAAAAUUCCGAUUGACCCAUGACUGAUGACCCUAGUACCCGUGCAUCAUAUGAUCCUUUCGACUUUGAGGUAUUUUCACCUUGCCAAACACCACCAGGUGGGCUUAGAGUGGCUUGGUAGGUUGCAGUUAGAAGCAGUCCUAAAAUGACUAGCAAGGCAUUGCGGUCAUCGGCUGAUAUAUUGUCCAUAUUUUGAAAUAUUAGCAGUGAUGCUUUUGUCACAUACUUGACAACAUGUUUCUCCAACUUAUGUUUAAGGUUUGAAAUUACUGGAAUAAAGAACCCUUGCAGAAUAGCAAUGUUUUCUCUGAUAUUAUGUUGUUGUGCAACAGCCAGUGCGGUCAACCCAACGUGAUUGGUAGCAUGCUUAUCAGCCUUGCAAUUUAAUAGUACUUUAAGCAUCUGUUCAAUUGAUAGUUUAGGAUAUAAAAAGGAUAGAAUCAAUUAAUCAUGUCUAUGAAGUAAAAACGAAAAAAGAAUCUAUGUAAUAUGAAUUACUAUAGAAGCAGUUGAGUCGAACCUUGGGUUGAUUAUGGAUAGCGGCUAUGUGAAGUGCAGUGUUUCCAUCUUUGUCUUUCCGGUUCAGCACUUCCCGAGAAUAGUCUUUCCUCUUAAGCGUUGGAAUUAGGAGUUGGAGAACGUCCAGUCUAUUGUUUUGGAUUGCAAUAUGCAAAGCAGUGCGAUUCUCAAUUGUAACAUCUUGGAUACAAUCAGGAGAAGCUUCCAGAAACGUAUCCAACAGACCAAGCUGGUUUCCAACUUUACAUAAGUAGUGCAAUGGAGUCUUACCUUUCUUUCCUCUGACGCGAAUAAGUUGUUUAUCAAUCUCCAAGAAGCGGAGUGCCAUCUCUUUAUGCCCUUUUCUAACCGCAAUGUGAAGUGGGCUCAAACCUUGGUGGUUCAGCUUUCGAGAAAAUGAUGGCUUUAAGUUCAUCAUCUCCAUUGCAAACUCGAUGCACCCUUCUUCUGCAGCUAUAUGUAAUGGAGUGUCAAUAAACUCCACCUCAUCAACACGCCUCAAAACAUUUCCAUUUCUUUGAAUUACUCUAUACAAUUCGUUAACCUUUCCAGUACGAGCGGCCUUUCUUAAAUUUUCAUCCAUGUGAGGAAGACUAAAAAUUGAAAGGUUGAAAGGGUUUAAGGUCACUUAAAACAAUUUAUUCAAAGAGAAAGAGGGUUUUUUUUUUUAAUAGAAAGAGAAUUAAAGGCAGACAAAUGCGUGUAUAUUUAUGGUCUUGAUUUUUGGGGUUUCGCCUUUAGUAGAGGAUUGUUGUAAAUAUUUUUGUUAUGACUUUCUAUUUUAAAGUUAAGAAAUGCUUUCUUCCAUUGACUUCACUUCCAAAUUUAUUUUUUGCUUUGUUUAUAUAUUCAUACUCAAGAUUCCAAUUGCUACUUUAAAUGGCAGCCACUCAUGAGAACAAGAUAACAUUAAUUUCAUGAAAAAUGCAUCAAAGAAAAUUAUUCGUAUUCUUACCAAAUGAGAAUUGAUUGUAUGAAAAAUUCCAUUUAGUUCCCUUAGAAUUUUAAUCCUUUAAAAAUUAAAAGAUAUAUGCUGUUAAAAUGAUAAAAUUACAUUUUUACUAUCGUAAAAAUAUACAAUUUAAUUUCGACUCCCAUAAAAAAAAUUUAGUUUCACCCUUGAGUCCAAUGCGCAAUGUGUUAUAAAUGGAAAUAUGACAUAAUUGUUAAUAACUCAAAAUUUGUCAUGUUAAAUCACCGAGAAUAAAUUAAUAAUAAAACAAAAAGUAGAAGCGUACAUGAAUCCAUUAAAAUCUUGAAAUUUUAUUGUUUUGAUCUUUCAAAUUAACACACAAAUAUUUUAGAAAAGGUGACUCUUCUUUCUGAAUAAAUCAAUCUUUUUAUUUCUUUAAACGUGAAGAAUUGGAUCAAAAUUAAAGUUUCGUGUAUGCCUUUAAACUACAAUCAAAGUUUCAUGUAUAUAAUGUAUAAAAUUAAAGUUUUUGUAUCAAUUUGCAUAUCUAAUCAAUGUUCAUGUACAGUUUUGAAAUUUAUCACUUUUAAUAAUUUUGAAUGUGUAUUUAAUAAUUUUGAUUUUUUAAUUCUAAAAAUAUGGUUUAAGUAAGUUUAGAAUUAAAAAAAAGAAGAAGAAGAAGAAAUUUUUGGGUAUCUUUAGGAAUUUUAGAGACCAUAAUGUGUUUUAUUUAUAUUUUUUAAAUUCUUUUAAAAAUAUUAGUUAACUAUACUUUUCAACCUCUUAAUCUCAAAUGUGGAGUUAAAAAAAUUCUAUUAUCUAUAUAUCAAAUAAUUAUCUUUAGAAUAAAAUGUAUUUAUAUGAAAUUUUUUAGAGACCAUAAUGUAUUUUAGGGUCUUUUAGAUAAUUUUAGAAUUUUAUGAAAAAACUUAACAACUUUUUGGUAUUUUAGGGUCUCAAAUGAAUAUUUGAAUGUCUAACUUUGACAGAUCAUUUAUUUUUAAUAAACUUGAGCUUUUUCCAUUUCUUUUUCUAACUUUAUAUGUUAUUAUAGAGUUUAAUUUAGAACCCAUUAAAACUUUGGGGAUGAUAUCUACCCAUACUUAUUUUAAGUAAUUUAUUGAUUUAAUACCCGAACACUAAAUAAUAAAUAAAUUUAUUAAAAUGUCCUCUUAUAUACAAAAAAAAAAAUUAUAUUUAAUGGGGAUAUCUUUAUCUUUUUAUAUGAUAAAUAAAAAAAUUGAUAAUAAUAAUGGUACAUAAUAAACAUUUAAUUUUACUACAUCAAUUUACUUUUAUAUGAAUUUUUAAUAAGUAUGUUUGUUAUAUAAUAUUUUUCACUCAUAGUGUAUCAUAAAAUUUUAAAGUAACUCAUAAUAUGAUAUUAAUCUCUAAUGUUAAUCUAAUAUUUAUCCUAAUAUUGUCAUCAGCACCAAGAAGAAGAAGAAGAAGAAAACAGAAACUCUAUCUUAUUACCUAAUCGAAUUUUGAAAAAAUAAAUCUAAAAUAUCAUUUAAAACUCUAAUUAUGUAUUAAGUUAUUGGUAUGUUAAAAUCACGAUAGAAAUGUGAAUUCUGGUUAAAAUAAGUCAACAGUAUUAUUGUAAGUGACUUAAGUUGUUAAUAAUUAAAAUGAAAUGAUGUUUUUUUAUUAAAAUGAAAGUUUAUGAUUUAUUUGAAAGUUGAGUUUAAGUUCAAUGGUUAAUAAUGUAAAUUAUUUAAUAUCCAUUGUAUUUAUUGUCCCUAAAUAAGCAUUACAAACUAAGUUAGUAAUUAUUAAUAUUAAGUUUUGGUUUUUUUUUUCUAUCUUUAAUUUAAUGGCACAUAUGGGAAAAAUAUAAUUUUUAACUUCUUCUAAUUUUUUAAAAAAUUUUAAUAAUUAAAGCAAUAAUAAUAAUAAGAAUAGGGGUCAAAUUGACAAAUAUUUUAAAUAUUGAUGGGUUAAAUUUGUUAUUAUAUCUAGCUUUUUUAAUAGAGUUAAGGGAAAAAUCAAUAGAGGGAUUAAAAAAUGAGCAAAUCAAAAAAUAGAAAGAUCAAUUUUGAGCAAAUAAAGGUAGAGUAACUAAAUCCAUACAAACUGAGAAUCCAGGGACUAUCCUUAAAAUUUAACCUAAAAAUAAAAAGAAUUAAAUACAUAAAUAUUAUUUUAGUAAUUUCUAAACAAAGUUAGCACUUUAAUGUAGUGGUGUUCAAAUUUCGGUUAAAAACGAAUUAAUUGAUCGAACCGAUCUAAUUCGGUUAGUCAGUCGGUUAACUGAUCUAAUUCGGUUGGAGGUCGAUUAAUAAUUUUUUAAAAGUUCGGUUAUUAGUUAAUUCGGGUUGAAAUCGAGUAAUUAACUGAACUUAAUAAUUAAUAAUACAAAUUAUAUGUAGUUUUAAUUUAGUUAAUUCAGUCAAAUAAACAUUAUCAAUCUGUGCCUUUUAUAUAUUUAAUACUUGUUUUAACCAAAAAAUAUAUAUAAUUUUCAAUUAAUUUUUUUAAAAAAAUUUCCCGUAAUUUUUCCUACAAUCAGUAUGCAUAUAAUUUUUUUUUUUAUUUUUUGGAUUUAUUGGUAAAUUAAUCGUUAAUAUAUCCUUUCCUUUCUUUAAUCUUCUCCUAUUUUCUUUUCAUUUUCUUUCCAUUAAUUAUAUUUAUCCAAAUAUAUCCAAAUAUAGGGUUAAUGUAGAAUUUUUUUUAUUUUAAUUUUUACCAUUAUCCAUUAUCGUAAAUAAGGGCCUUCUGUAAUUAAGAAAGUUGAGAAUGGGUUACUCCGCACCUGGUGGAACUGGCUACAAUAAUGAAGGAAAGAGAAAAACAUCAAGGAAUAUCCAAUAGUUGGGAGGCAAUGGCAUGCCCUACACAUACUAUUUACUGUCAGUGGUAAUGGAUCAAUUGCCCACUUUACACGUAUUUUGUUUUCUUCACUUUUUCUUGUCCUGCAUUAUUUGGAUUUGUGAGUAAAACCGAUACACUUACUUGGAGAGAAGUGUAUGAAGUAUCAUCUCUUGAGAGAGCUCAUAAACUCUUCACAAGCAUCACGUAAGGGAAAAUGUAGAAUUUUAGAUUACAUAAUUUUUUUUAUCUUAUCCAUUAUAAAAUUUGGAGUUUGGAGAUUAAGAAAUGUGAAAAAUAAAAUUCUAAUAAUUUCUCUAUUAAAGGUGAGCACAAGUUAUAUAAAAAAGGUAUUGAUUACACAUCCAACAAAAGAGUUAAUAAAAGAUUUUGAAAAUUAAAAAUUAUUAAAAAAAAUUGUGAGCUAUAUUUUUCAGUUUUUAGAUGACGAUCAUCAAAUUCAUGCUUAUCCAUAGGUGGUGUAUGCAGAACGAUAAAGCUAAUCUUGACUGCUAGUCUUUCUUCUUUUUUACUUUUGAAUACUCUUCCCUUGUUGCUUUCAUUGAAAUAAUGUCGGAUUGUACUCUUGAAUACCAUUUAAAUUUUUUUAGUAUAAAUAUUAAAAUUAUAACGAUUUUAGUUAUUUAAUUUGAUCGAGUUAUAUAACUUGUCAAUAUCUUUUAUAGUCAAAAGAAAGUAAAAUAAUAAAGUUUAGUUCAAAAUGAGUGAAGUUAUAAAAUAAAAAAAUCAAUUCAGAAAUAAAAAUUUCUAAUUGAAUUGAUGUCACAAGUCAAUUAGGUAUUAAAAUAAGUAAUAUUAUUUAAAGGUACUUUUUAAACUUUUUAUACAAAAUUAUCAAUAAAAAUAUGAAUAUAAUGAGAUUUGAAGUAAAACUCGUCUACAAAUGAAUUCAAAAUUUUUACUCAAUUCGAUUGAAUAUUCACGCUUAAAUAUUAGGUCUUUUGAAUUUUCAUGUUGGUGAACAUAAAAAGGAGAAGUUAUCCUUUGUGUGUAUGUGUGCUUUAGUGUUUCCUGUAAUUAUGUGGCUAAUUAAGUGCUCUUUAUUUCCUUUGAAAACAAAGUUUGUUUUUAUUUUGAUAGAAAUGAAAAUAAAGAAUAUUGAUAUUUAGAAUGCAAAAAAAUAAAAUAAAAUAUUGUUUGAACAUGUAUAAAUUAAUAUGUACGCAUAUAUAAAAUUUAUAUUGAAUAAUAUUUAAUACCAAGAAAAGUAGAAAAAAAUAUGUUAAAAUAUUAUUUUGGUGAAUCAAAUUUAAUAAUUAAUUUAUAGUUCAUAGUUAUAUACAAUAUGGAUGAUAUAAUAUCUUCUGAAGCCUUCCCUUGGUUGACCAUAAAAGGAGAAGUCAUUGUUUUAUGUUUUUUGGUAUUUAUUUGUGAGCCUUACAAAUUAUAUAUAAUAAUAGACCUUUUGAAGUCAUCCUCUUCUGUGCUUUGUUCCCUUUAAUUCUGUGGCUAAUUAAGUGCUCCUUAUUUCCUUUCAAAACAAAGUUUUCUUUUCCCUUUUAUUUUUUGGUAGAAAUUAAAAUAAAGAUUAUUGUAAUUUAAAAUCCAAUUAAAAUUACUAUUUAUUACGUGUAACAUUUACAUCGAAUAAGUUUUACUACCAAUAAAAAAAUAAAGAUAAUUGCUAAUUUGAAUCUUAACUUAAUCGGUAUUAAUAUGUAGGAAGACAUGGGUUGAAAUAUGUUAAAUAUGAUUAAUAAAGAUAAUUAUUAAAAUUACUAUUUGUUCCCUUCUAUAAUUAAUAAAGUUGUGGUAAAAAUUGGCUACAACAAUGAAGGAGAAAAACACUAAGGAAUAUCCAAUAAUUGGGAGGCAAUGUUAUUUACUGUCAGUGGUGAUGGAUCAAUUGCCUGCAGGUAUUUUGUUUUCUUGGCUUUUUCUUGUUCUGUAUUAUUUGGAUUUGUAAGUAAAAGGAAUACUACUUAUUGAUCCCACUCACUCAAUAAUUUGUUAUAUAUUAUUAAUAAUUCAUAUACUCAAUUAUGUAGUUUAAAUCAAUAAAAGUACGUUCCAUUUUUUUUAAGAAGAAGAAAAUAGCACUAAGCAAUUACAUCAAACCAAUCAAACAUGUGUAAAGACAUUACUUUCGAAUUGAAAAAUUUCUUGUACUAAAUUUGGGAUCUACAAAUAACAACGCAAUUCAUCUAUUAUUCUUAACUGUAUAGUUAAAAUGAAUAAAAACUCUAUUAUUUUAAAAAAUUAUUUACUUAAUGUCAUUUUAGUAAUUAAAUGAAUAUCUAAAGGGUAUUUUAGUCGAUUCAAUUUUUUUUCCUAACCCCGUGCUUUUACAUAUAUUAUAAAUUUUUAAAUUUCAUAAGAUAUAUUUAAAAAAAUAAUGAAAUAUGUAAUAUUUUUUUAAUAAGACUUGCUAAAUUAAAAAAUAUAUAGUCAAUACAACAAAGACAAAUCAACACAACAAUGGCUUUAGGCCCGACAGUAAUAGAAUAUUAUGAUACAUUGACAAUUGAUAUUGUCACAACUCAAGCACGACAUAUCUGGAGUGAUUGCAAACAUUUAAUAUGAUAUGAAAAUUAGCCCUGGAUGGUCCAAAGCGGGGAGAAAAAAUCGACAAAAGAAUAUUAGGGGUAUCGAAAAUGAGAUUAUAUAGAUUUGUUCAUGUCAUGGUAUAAUAUAAAAAAUAUUUGGUAUUGAUAGAUUGUAUAAAAUAAUUGUUUAGAUCAAGAAUCAGAUCAAAGUGGAGUUAAUCGAGAAAAAGUUAAAAUUGUUGAUUAGUCCCUAAAGAAUCAACUUGUUUGGUGUUUUGAUUAGGUAAGUUCAUAUGAUAUUUAUUUACUUAGGUUGUUAUGUUUUUUUUUAAUUUUUAUAUGCAUGUUUGACUGUGAAUUAAUUAGUUGUGAAUUGUUAUGAAAGACUAGAAUUGAAUUGAAUUGAAAUGUGACCUUUUUAUGUGUAAAAGAUGUCUGUGUUAACUUAGUAAAUGUUAGGAUAUGAUUGACAUGGCAAUAGGAUCUUGUGCAUGCUUCUACGAGAUUUAUUCAAAUGUUAUUGAUGUUCUCGAGGCUAUGGUGACAGCUUUGAAGGAAGAUAUCGAUGAGCUUAAGGGGGAGCUCAAGACUUUCAAGGCUGCCUUGAGUAAUGAAAUGUUGGCUUUAAAGUCGAAGCAACAAGCAAUGGAUGUGACCAAACCGAAAGCGUUUAAGGGGGCAAGGUCCACAAGUGAAGUGAACAACUUUCUUUGGGCCAUAGAGUAAUACUUCCGUGUGAUGAGCAUCGAGGACAAUGCCAUAAAGGUAAAUACUGUUGCUAUGUAUUUUACUGACGUUGCUUUGUUAUAAUGGUGACGUAGGUCCACAGAUGUGAGAUGCGGUGGGAUUGAGAUUGGGACUUGGGAGGAGUUCUAAAAUGAGUUCAAAGCACAAUUUUAUCCAGAGUAUGCCGAGGAUGAGGCUUGGGCAAAGUUGUGUCGGCUUACGCAACGAGGAACAGUUAGGGAGUAUGUGUGGGAGUUUAGUAAACCCAUACUACCCAUACUCCAGAUUUCUGAUUUAAGUGAGAAGGAAGCAUUUUCUCCUUCACGGAUAGGUUGAAAUUAUGGCCAAAGCAAGAGUUACAACGUCGAGGAGUUCAAGAACUUACCAACGCCAUGAUGGCAGCGGAGUCCUUAGUGGAACAUGUUCCGAGAAGAGACAGGUUUGAAUCUUUCAAGCCCAAUGGGAGAGGCAAUGGUAGGAACCAUGAGGUAGAUGAAAAGAGAUAUAGUGAUGAUGGCAAUAGUAGUAGUAAAAACGGUGGUAAUAGAAAAUCACGAAAUAGGAAGUGGAAACCUAAUAGCCCAAAUAAAAAGAGGAGAAAGUUGAGAUGCUAACUUUGUAAAUGACCACAUAUGAAUAAGGACUACCUAAAGGUAUCUUCGUUUUUGGCUAUCAAGAAGAAUGAUGAGCCGGAGGUAGCAAAAUCUAUUAAGAAAAAAACAUCGAAGGUCAAUUCGAUGGUGCUCAUUCCUAAGAAAAGGGAUGGUAGAGAAGGGUUGAUGUUCGUAGACAUCAACAUUGCAGGUCAGAAGAGGACUCCUCUUAUUGAUACGGAAGCAUUGGACUUGUUCAUAUCGAAAAAGGCUGUGAAGAAACUUGGUCUCUCGAUUAGAAAAUCGAAUAAAAAGACCAAGAUGGUAAAUUCCAAGGAUGCCUCAACUAUGGGAGUAGUUUGUAAUGUGGAGCUACAAAUCGACGAAUGGAAAGGUAAUGAAGAAUUUGAGGCAAUUGAUUAUUAUGCCGGUGCAUCGUGAUAUGAAAGUUGGGAAAAAGGUAUUGUCGUCAAUCCAACUAGUUGAGGAUGUUUUGUAUGGAAGGAACAUUGACUUGAUAAAACAAAAUUUUACAAAAGCCACUUUGGAAGUGUUAGUGGCGCAAGAGAUCGAUAUGAAGCCUGUAGUGUCAAUUGUGGAGCUGACACCUUUAGGAAAGAUGGGUUGUGCAUCGGGCUUCGAGGAAAAAUGAAUGAUACAGAAACAGAAAGGAUGAGUAAAUGCUGUGAGUAAGGUACAUUGCGAACACUUUGAUAGUGUUUUGAAUUCUGACUUGUUGGCUUACCAAAAUUGUAAGAGCCCAUUAAAAGUUCAUAAGCAAAGAGGCCGUUGGAUUGUAGGCGAUACGAAGCUAAGAUGUGAGAAUAAAAAAGAUUCAAAAGGGAGCAAAUUAAAAUUGGGGCAAAUAAAAGCGGAAACUUCUUGCCAACGAGAUGUACCAAUGAGUGCAACGGUUCAAGUUAAGAGGUGACGGAAGAAGCCAAGACACAACGAGGGUGUUGUGAGAAUGGGUAGGGGAGAAUGUCACGGGCCAAAGUGUGAAACCUAUGACCAUGGCACAAGAUGUACCCCAUGGAGGUCUAUUGAUAAGAUGUGGAUCAUUUAACCCACAAGAACUGGCCAGAUUUAAAGAACUAUUGGAGAAGCUUAUUAGAUUGAAGCCUGGUUGGCCUAAUAAAGAAGAUAUGGCAAUAUAGGCUAUAUUUAGUAAAUAUGGGAAUCAUAUAUUGUAGAUCUGAUUUGAUAUGAUGUAAUCUUGUAAAUCCCUAAAAUCAAGGGAUAGACUAAUCUCGUCUGUCGAUGUAAUUUGGUCUUGAUUGUAAAUUUUGGGGGAGCUUAACAAUAAAUAGAGAAUUUCCCCCUCACUUGUAAAUCAUCCAUUGUUUCACUAUUCUUAAGAGUAAUAGAAUAUUGAAAGCAUUUACUCAAACACCUCUCGUGCAUUUUUUUUGUGGCUUUCUGUCGUUCUUUGCGACUUUUUGGCAUAAAUUGUUUCAGCUAUACAAAUUGGUGCCUUGGAGGAAUUUUAAAGGAAUCCUCACUUGUGUUUAGGCUAACUUAGGCGAGUUUGGACAAAUGGAUUGCCUAAAGCUGCACGAAUUGUGAGACGAAAGAUCUAGCCCAGUGACACUUGGACAUAGUAUUAAAUUAGUAGUCAAUUUAGGACAUUGGAGUCCAAUCUGCCUUUCAAGGUCAAGUCCAACUCUGUCUCAUUUGUGUUUUUACAAAUGAUCUAGUUGUUUUUUGACAUGCAGAUAUUGAACAGGCUAGGAUAAUUGUGUCAAUAUUGGAGUGGUUCUGAAUUAUUCAAGCCAUAAAAUCAAUAAGAGGAAGUCAAAUGUUUUUUUUUCUUUAGAGGGUUGAAGAUGAGAUAAAAGAUCGAAUUUGUGAGGUACAUGGGUUUUAAAGAGUAUCAGACUUUGGAACUUAUUUGGGUGUGCCCUUAUUUCAUUGAAGAGUAACUAACAGCUCCUUGAGACUUGUGGUGGAUAAGGUUCAAGCUAAGCUGCAAUGCUGGGAUGUAACACCCCUUACCCGUGUUCCUUACCGAAACAGAGUAUGAGGUAUUAUUAGAACUCAAACACUUAUAUUUUUUUUAUAAAAAUUUCAGCAACAUUUCUGCUUAUUUUUACAUAAAACCCCCUGCAAAUUUCCAAAGAUAAUUUCAAACAACUUCAAUAUUUCCAACCAAUUACAGUUAUACGUUCAGGCAUAAUUUAUUCAUUAAUAAACACCAACAUAUUAAAUCGAACAAUACUAUAUAUAUACAUAUUUAUACCACAUUACAUAAAGUCAUCUAUACUUGCCAUAUUUCAAAAGUGUUAAUGCCAAAAUACCAAAAAGUUGAUGAUAGUAUGGAUGAUUUCCUGACUUCGUCCAAGUUCUGAGCUGGCUGAUGUCACUAUAAUCAGGGAAAAUAAACACGAGUAAGCAUAUAGCUUAGUAAGUAAACAUAUGAAAAAUAAAUAAAUUCCUCACAUGAUUACAAAGUAACAUAAUUUUAACCACACAUAAAUUUCAUUGUUUGCUCAACUUCCAGCAAGCUAUUUUUCUGCGUCACCAUCACCAAUUUAUUUUUAUCUAGAGCUAAAGGGAUCAAAAUUAAGUUAUGUAAAUUUUUACAAAAACUAGACUCACAUACCUUUUUACCAUAAAAUUUUUAGAAUUUUUUAUUUAGCCAAUUAGUACAGUUUAUUCUUUAAACCUUCCCCUGUUUCAUUGCCCGACAGUUCUGACCUCUCCUUACUUAAAUUUACUUAUCUCUCUGUAAAAAAUUUAAAAAAUGUUCUUGUUUCUUUAUCUUAAAAAUAUACUCAUUAAGGAAUUCAAGCAUGUAAAUUUCAAGCCAUAAUUAUUUUUGUACAAUUUUUGGUGAUUUUCCAAAGAUGGAAUAGGGGAUUUCGAAAUCAAUCUAACUCUAUCUCAAUAAAAUUUAAAUAUCCCCAAAUAUACAAUCCUUUGAUUGCUCUAUUUCUUUCAUAUGAAAAUAGACUCAUUCAGCUUCAAUUUCAUAUAUUACUCAGCCUCUAAUUCAUUUUCCACCAUUUACGGUGAUUUUUCAAAAUUUCCCAACUGUUGUUAUACAAAACUGUUUUACAUUUAAAUUUGCUCUUUUGAAGUUUUGGUAUUUCCUUUCACCUUACACAUGGGAUGAUUAAAUAUUGAACCCAAUAUUCCUCACAUAACCUUGUCCACCAUAUAUAAAUAUUCACCUUUCCAAUUUUCCCGUUGAACACUCGGAAUAUUAUCCGUUAUCGGUGGAUUCAGCACUUAGAAACCACCAGUGAUUCGGGAAAUCAGCACUUAGCAACCCCUUUCACAUUCAAAAAUACGGUGGAAUCAGCACUUAGCAACCCCUUUCACAUUUACGAUACGGUGGGAUCAGCACUUAGCAACCACCAAUAAUUCAGGGAAUCAGCACUUAGCAACCCCCUUCACAUUUAAAAUACGGUGGAAUCAGCACUUAGCAACCACCAAUGAUUCGGGGAAUCAGUACUUAGCAACCCCCUUUAUAUUCAAUGUACUCCGGCCUCUUCCGAGUGUUCAACUGAAAACCGUGUUUUUCAACACUUUACCACCUUUCCCAACUUAACCACAUUUUUAGGAUCUUUGUCAAGUAAUUAUUUUAUAUUCAAUUAAAUCUCAACAAAUAUUAUCUAAUAUCAAAAUAAUGCAUUAAUUCACAUGUUUACUUACCUCGGUGCAAAAUAUCGUAAUUUUGUAAUUUACUCCACUACCUUCUCUUUUCCCCGUUUGAGGUAGUCUUCUCGUCUUUCUUGAUUAUGAGCUUGAGAAAGUGAAGAAACCCUAGCUAUGAUGUCUUCCAAGUUUUGGCAACAACUUAAUGAAGAUGUACACCAUUUUUCCAUCUUUUUCCCAUUUUAAUUCUAUUUAUUUACUAAUGACUAAAAUGCCCCCAUUUAAAAAAAUCUAUUUCACCCAUUUCUUAUGUCUAUUUUUGUCCAUCAAUUAACUAAUGGUCUAAUUAACACAUAAGGACCCCCAAUUUAUAAUUUCAUAACAAUUAGACACUUCUAACAUGUAGAACUCAACUUUUGCACUUUUUACAAUUUAGUCCUUUUGACUAAAUUAAGUGCCCAAACGUCGAAAUUUUCACGAAAUAUUUUCGUGAAAUUGUAUACCAUAAAAAUAUAAUAAUAAUUAUAUUUUCCCUCGUCGGAUUUGUGGUCCCGAAACCACUGUUUCGAUUAAGCCUAAAAUCGGGCUGUUAUAUGGGAAGCUAGACAAUUAAUCUUUAGCAAGAAGAGUUACUCUAGCUCAAUUGGUUCUACUUUAAAUUCCCAGCUAUUUCUUACAGUCCAUGAUGAUUUUGCAAAAGAUUUGUGAAGAGAUUGAACGCAUGGUUCAAAGCUUUAUUUGGGGUUCCUCUAGCGAAGAGAAGAAGUUGGCCCUAGUAAUUUGGAAAUCUAUUUAUCAACCUCACUCUUGUGGUGGCAUUGGGUUAACAUAAAUGAGGGAUCAAAACACUUCAUUUAUGUUUAAAUUGUGCUUUAACUUAGCUUCUAAUUCCUCUGCCUUUUAGGUAUGUGUACUUUGAUCUAAGAAUGGGAUGAAUAAGGACUUGCCAGAUGAUAUUUAUAAGGAUAGAUGUUCUUUCUUAUGGAAGGGGAUAUCUAAAGUUUGGCCUCUAUUACAAGAAAGUCUUUUCUAGUCAAUAAGGCAAUGGGAAUAAGAUUAUGUGCUGGUGCGAUCAUUGGAUUCUAGGUGUUUGACCUCUGAUUAAUCAAAUUCCUUCUCAUUUUAAUCUGGAUUUGGAGUGCACUCUAAAGGAGUUGGUAGUAGAGGAUAGGUCGUGGAACCUUGAUAUUUUUAGAUUGUAGAUUCCAAUGAAAAGUAUUAAAUUCAUAGUUAGUAUUCCUCCUCCACAUGAUUCAGCGAGACUUGACAAGAUUGCUUGGAUGGGCACCCCCAAUAGGUUCUUUUACUCUAAAAAACGCUUAAAGGAAAUUAAGCAAUAGAUCAUGGGAUCCUUAUAAUGGUUAUUGGAAUAUUUCAUGGAAAUUCAAGGGAUCUCAAAGAGUUAGAUUCUUUAUCUGGCUUGUUUUCAAGCAGAGGUUACUCACUAACAUGGAAUGAGUGAGACAUGGUAUUGGGUCGACUGGCUCGUGUGCCUUAUGUGGACAUAACUCAAAAUAUAUAUUACAUGCCAUCAAAGAGUGUGCGCUUGCAAAGAAGGUGUAGAGAUAGAUAAUAUAACCGGAUAAGAGAUGAGUUUUUCUCAAGCAACUUGAAUGAGUGGCUUGAAACAAAUUUGCAAAAUCAUCACAGUUGAGGGGUGGGUGAUGUGGAAUGGAGAAGUCAAUUUGAUCUCAUUGUAUGGUGCAUUUGGAAAAAUAGAAAUAUUGUUGUCUUCCAGGGAAAGUAAUACAGUGCAUGCAAAACUGCAAAAAUCUCAUAUAGUUGGGCUAAGCAAUUUGUCUCUUUUCAUAAUGGUGGAUAGGCCAAGAGGCAAAAAGCCAGUUCAGUAAUCCCUUGGAAGGAUAGUUGGGUUCAGUUAAAUGUUGAUGGUGUUGUAAAUGUGGAAUCCGGUUCUGCUGCAUCUAGCGAAAUCUUAAAUGAUCAAGAAGGUAAGUGGAUUUUAGGCUAUAAGAGGUACUUGGGAAACUAUUCAGUUCUUGAGGCUGAACUUUGGAGAAUUUUAGAUGGUCUGAAUGCUUUGCUAAGUAGAAAGUUUGAUAAAUUCCUGAUUCAAACUGAUAGUAUAGAAGCUGUGAAGGCUCCUCAAAUAUUCACCAAGACAUCUUUGAACUCUGCAUUGAUCAGGCGGAUUCAACAACUUUUGUUGAAGGUUGGGAAUUGGCUUCUAUGAUAUGUGCUAGAGAAAGCAACAAGGACACGGAUUGCAUAGCUAAAAUGGCUUUUGAUAGAGUAGAUGGCUUGUUUUUUAUGGAAGAACCUCCAAGGGGAAUAUCCAAUACCUUAAGUUAAUGUAGUUUGCUUAUUUUUAUUCACAAAAAAAAAAAAGAUAGCAACAAAACGACUAGAAUAAAAUAAAAAAUAUUUUACAUUGAAAUAUUACAAACGGGUGUUACAAAAUUGAGUGCACUGCAUUAUGCAUAAUCGACCUAGACUAAGAAAUUGCCAGCAUCCCAUUAAUGCAACAAGGUAUUUGAAGUCAAUACUAGUACCAAAGAAAACACAAACACUUACAAAUAAACAAUAGCAUACAAUUAAAAUGGUUCCUUUACAGAAUUCAUCAUAUAAAAUAAGGAAUAACAACAAUCCUUGACCUACACCCAUACCUAUUUCACUUCUUCCUAGACAUAAAUAUAAAAUUGAAGGGAGUAUCCAACAUCCCACUAUUGAAACACUAAUUUUUGACACCCGACAUACGAUACACAUGGACACCAUUAAAAGGAAAAGAAUUCCUGAAAAUAUAUUAAGAAUUACAUAUGUUAAAUUGGUGGGAGCUAUGUCAGAUAUUGAUUCAUCGAAGGACACUGCAAGAAACGCUAAUAGUACUUGAAGUGCAGUCCUAAAACCAUGGGGAAAAGUUUUGAGUAGAGCUAGUGUUAGGAAUAAUGUUACGAGGAACACAAGGUAGGUUAGAAUAUAGAAGAGAAGAAAAUCCAUUUGACCCAUGACUGAUUUACCUAGUACCAUUUCAUCAUAUGAUCCUUUGGACUUUGAGGUAUUUUCACCUUGCCAAACACCACCAGGUGGGCUUAGAGUGGCUUGGUAGGUUGCAGUUAGAAGCAGUCCUAAAAUGACUAGCAAGGCAUUGCGGUCAUCGGCUGAUAUGUUGUCCAUAUUUUGAAAAAUUAGUAGUGAUGCCUUUGUCACGUACUUGACAACUUGUUCCUCCAACUUACGUUUAAAGUUUGAAACUACUGGAAUAAAGCAGCCUUUCAGAAUAGCAAUGUUUUCUCUGUAAUUAUGUUGUUGUGCAAUUCCCAGUGCGGUCAAACCAACUUGAUUGGUAGCAUGCUUAUCAGCCUUGCAAUUUAAUAGUAGUUUAAGCAUCUGUUCAAUUGAUAGUUUAGGAUAUAAAAAGGCUACAAUCAAUUAAUCAUGUCUUUGAAGUAAAAAAAGAAAAAGAAAAAGAAUCUAUGUAAUAUGAAUUACUAUCGAAGCAGUUGAGUCGAACCUUGGGUUGAUUAUGGAUAGCGGCUAUGUGAAGUGCAGUGUUUCCAUCUUUGUCUUUCCGGUUCACCACUUCCCAAUAAUAGUCUUUCCUCUUAAGCGUUGGAAUUAGGAGUUGGAGAACGUCCAGUCUAUUGUUUUGGAUUGCAAUAUGCAAAGCAGUGCGAUUCUCAAUUGUAACAUCUUGGAGACAAUCAGGAGAAGCUUCCAGAAAUGGAUCCAACAGACCAAGCUGGUUUCCAACUUUACAUAAGUAGUGCAAUGGAGUCUUACCUUUCUUUCCUCUGACACGAACAAGAUGUUUAUCAAUCUCCAAGAAGCGGAGUGCCAUCUCUUUAUGCCCUUUUCUAACUGCAAUGUGAAGUGGGCUCAAACCUUGGUGGUUAAGCUUUCGAGCAAAUGAUGGCUUUAAGUUCAUCAUCUCCAUUGCAAACUCAAUGCACCCUUCUUCUGCAGCUAUAUGUAAUGGAGUCUCGAUAAACUCCACCUCAUCAAAAUGCCUCAAAACAUUUCCAUUUCUUUGAAUUACUGUAUACAAUUCAUUAACCUUUCCUGUACGAGCAGCCUGUCUUAAACUUUCAUCCAUGUGAGGAAGACUAAAAAUUGAAUGGUUGAAAGGGUUUAAGGUCACUUAGAGCAACUUAUUCAAAGAGAGAGUUUUUAUUUUUUUUAAAAAAAGAGUGAGGCAGACAAAUGGUGUAUAUUUAUGGUCUUGAUUUUGAGGUUUCGCCUUUAGUAGAGGAUUAUUGUAAAUAAUUUUGUUAUCAAUGGCUUUUUAUUUCAAGGUUAAGAAAUGCUUUCUUCCAUUGACUUCACUUCCAGAUUGAUCUUUUACUGUGUAUAGGUUCAUAGUCAAAGGUGCAAUUCCUACUAUAAAUUUCCUGAAAAACACGUCGAAGAAAAUUAUUCCUAUUCUUCUCGUUUAUAACUUAAAAUAUAUAUUUAUUCAACUCUUUGAGUUUGAGUUAUUAAUCGUGUUAUUGUUAAGGUUUUUAUUCUAAUCUUAUAAUUCAUCAAAAAAUAUAUAUAUUUAUUCAUAUAUAUUUAUCUAUAUGAAGUUUUUAUUUAAAUUAGUGUCACAAAUUAAUUAGACAUCAACUUAAUUAGGUAAUUAUAAAAGUAUAAGUUCAUUACAAAAUAAUUUGCUAUUUUGAGAGUGUUUUAAUUUUUUAUAAAAAAAACAUAUAUAAUAAAAUUUAAACUUAAAACGCUAUAAAUAUUUCUAUUUUACUAUUUUAAUUAAAAUUUCAUUUCAUUUUUAUAUAAUCUUUUAUAAAUAUAUUUAUUCUAUAUUCUGUUAGUCAAUUUCAUUAGGAUAUCCCAUAAUUUAAUACAUUGUUGCAUAUGAAUGGAUGAAAUAAAUACACGUAAACCUGACGUAAACCUGUGAUCAUGAAAUGAAUACACGAAAACUUUCCAAUUAAGUCACUAAUUCGUUAGUAGAUAUUAAACAUGAUGUAAUUGAUUUUGCCGACAGCAAUCAAAUUUCCUAGUAAAGUCGUUGUGGUUGGUGAAGAACAGCCAUCGGACCAUUCAUUUCAUAAACUUUGAAAAUUCCAAUUAAGUAAAUAAAUUAUUAAAAUAAUAAAAAAUAUUGAUUCACAUUCAAUUGAUUUUUAAUUCUGUUUCUAUUGAUUCUCCAACCAAUUAGUCUUAUAUCUCUCUUUGUAUUGGUACCUUAAUGGCACAAUUCUACUUAAGUAAUUAUAUCUCUAUGUUGAAAAGCGUUAAUUUAUUAAUUGAAGUUUAAACUUGAUAAUUAUUUUCACAUUAAGUGUAAAAGAUAUUUUUUUAGGUAGAGAUGAAGCAAUGCAAAAAAAUUGAAUAAGAUAUUUUGGAGGAAGACAGAGAAAAAGACUAAAACAUCAUUGACUGUCGUACAAUUAAAAAACCUAUAAAGUAACCUUUAAAGAUGGAAAUAAUUUUAAAACACAAAAUUAUAACUUAACCUAAUAACAUCUGUCCCUAAUUCUUUUCAUAAACUUGGAAAUUGUUUUCUUCAUUUUAUAAGAUGUUAAGGUUUUUUAUGGGAGUUUUUUAAAAUUGGAUCAAUGUUGGUACCAAUCAAGUCAUUAAUUUAUGAGUUGAAUUAGUUUGAUUAAAUAAAUUAUUAAAAUAAUAAAAGGAAUUUGAUUCAAUUGACUUUUAAUAUGAUCUAUAUUAAUUUCUGAGUCAAUUAGUUUGUUAUUUCUCUUUGAAUCAGUACCCCAUCCAACUCGGUUUUGUUCAAGUAACCACGUCUCUAUGUUGAAAAGCAUUAAUGCACUAAUCGAAAUCUGAACUUAAUAACUGUUCUCACAUUAAGGUAUAGAAGGUUCUCUCGGUGAAGAGAUGAAACAUUGCAAAAAAUUGAAUAAGAUAUUUUGAAAGAAAGCGAAGAGAAAGACUGAAACAUAUUCAGUAACAUUAAGCAUUGUACAAGUAAAAAAAUAAAGUAAAUAAUUUUAAAACACAAAAUUAUAACUUUAAAAGAAAUUAAAACUCACAAUAAAAUAACAAGAUUAUAAAGUAAACUUUAAAAUGUACUAAUUAAUUAAAUUAAAUUACUUAUUAUAAAAAAUUUAAAGUAAAUUACUAGUGGUAAUUUUUUAAUGUUAGACAUGUUGCAUAUGAUUUUAUAUUUUUAAUUUAUUAAAUAAUAUAUUUUAUAAUUUUAAAUAUAUAUUUAUGCUAAUAAACGAGGAUUAGUUUAAUUUAUACUAAAGAUAAAUUAGUUUGAAAAAAUUAAAAGAAUAAAAUAGCAUUUUAAAAUUAAUGAAAAAAAUGAACUAAUACAUAUACAACUAGUAAAAUAAUAUAUAAAUUUAAAACUAUAUAGGAAAAUAAAUGAAAAACAUAUUUACACUGAAUUAUAGAUUACAUUUAACAAUAACAACUAAAAAAUAUUAUGUAAAUUUAAUUUUUUUUUCAAAAGAAUACACAAAACAUUGUUCAUCUGCACAAAAUAAAUAAUGGAUAAAUAAAAGAAUAAAUUUAAAAUUACUUGCUUCACAUAAUACAGUUACUUUAUAUAAAUUAGUAUUAUUUAAUAUAUGUGCUUUAUUUAAAUUUAUAUAGAGAUCUCACCUUUGUAACUAAAAAAUAAAACACUCACCUCUAAAUUUCCUCUUGAGAAUUUAGGUUGUAAACACAACUUGUUUACUCUCAAUUGCACUCAUACAAUUAGUUCCUCAAUUAAUAAAUAAAGUGCUCUCAAUAUAGUCUCUUUUAAAACCUAUACAAACCUCAACAUAUAUAGAAGUGUUUUGGUUUACUAACAUACUCGAUAUUGAUUACAAUAUAACCCCUUAAAAUCAACAUCUACAAAAUAGAAAAAAAGUAAUAUAUUAAUAAAGUCCAAUAAAGUGUGAUCUGAUGGAGAUGUAGUCUUCAAUGUAAACAACAACUCAAUCCGAAAGAUUCUCUAAACAAAGGGUUGUAAUUGUUCAAUUCAAUCUAAUCUUCACAAUGCAAAGAAUUAGUUCUCAUAAUUAGGCUUCUAUAUCUUCAAAGUAUCAACAUAGUUAAUAGUCUAAAGAUUUUAUGCCAUAGGAUUGUCAACUCCAAAUAUAGCAAGUACAAUUGUAUUAUUGCAAGGAUGGAUGACAAUAGGCACUACCAAGUGCUUCUCAUAAUGCUUCUUUACAAUUUGUCUCAACAAUUUCCCCAUUUGAAAAUUUUUUGAACAAAAUUCAAUUCAAACCAAGAAGUUAACUAGAAUUUCAUGUGAUGAUCUGAUGGUCAAGGGUGUUUACCGUUCCAAGUAUGACUUGGGUUUGAGUCGUGUUAGUCGCGUUUGUUGUCCGCGCUUUCCCUGUUAUUAUAAUUUACUGAAAAAAAAUUUACCAUUUUUUUACAAGCAUAAAUUAUGUUAAUAUUAUGGUUGAACUCACUGCAUAUUAAUUCGAUCUAACCUAAAAACAUUUGUCCAUAAUUUAAUUUUAUUUAUAUAAUACUUAAAACUAUCAUAAUUCCUUCUCUUCUUAAAAAAAGAAAAGGAUAAAUGCGUUUUAAUGUACUAUUGACCAUGCCAGAAAUGGUGUCGUUCCUAAUCCAAGCACGAGCUUUCUCUGGAUCUUCUUCCUCCUCUGGUCCAUAAUCACAGCCGUCCUCCUCUGAAUUGGAGCUUUUUUUUUGGGGGGGGGGGGUGUUACUCGUAAAGCACGUUUAGUUAAGAUUCGUGUGUUACUGUUGAAGUUGUUAAGAAAUGUGUUUUUGUUUUGAAUAUGAUAUAUAUAUGUACAUAUCAGAAAAAAAAAAUUUAGCAUACCCGAGGUCUGUUUCUGAUAGCUGCAACGUGUAAAACAGUGUUGCCUUCGAUGUCUUCCCAACUCAUUGGUUCUUUCUCCCAACGUUGGGCAGCUUCAUGGCGGCUCCUUAUAAGCCACCCCACCAAGACUUGGAAAGCUUCAAACAUGUCUUUUACUGAAAUAUGGAAAACAGUCACGUCUUCAAUAGCCUCGGGAGAAACGUCAAGAAACUUGAACAAAAGAUCAGCAUCUCCGGUCCGAACGCCAUGAUACAGGGGAGUGAGGCCCCACUUCCCUUUGACACGAAUAAGGCCUUCAUCAAACUUGAGGAAUCGAAGCACCGCUUGAAUUCUAUUAUUCUGCAGAGCCAAGUGCAUGGGGGUAAACCCAGCUUGGUAUAGUUUUCUUGCAAACGAUGGCUUUAAGUUGAUCAUCUCCAUCAUAAAAUCAAUAUGCCCUGCAGAGGCUGCCACAUGUAAUGGAGAAUGAAAAAAGGCACAUCAUCAAUACGCUGUAAAACAAAUGGAUAACUCGCAAUAUCUCCGGUUCGUGCAGCCUCUAUCAUCGUCGAAUUCAUAGCUUGGAUAUCUAUUAUUUUAAGUAUUUUAAUUAAAUAAAUUUUAUAUGGUUAAAAUAUCUAUAAGUGUUUGUAUUAUUCGAAAAUUUAAAAUAUAUAUAUUUUUUAAAAAUUUAGUUCUUUUAUUUUAAAUAUUUCAAAAUUUGAGUCAAAUUAUUAUCAUUGUUAAUUUUUAUUUGUUAAAUUUGUUGGUGUUUGAAAAAAAAUCAUUUCUUAUCCAUUAAAACUGCAAGUCAAUUAUUAUGCAUCGGUAAAUCCAUUAAAACUGUUCAGCUCAACAGAUAAGAAAAAACUCCUACAUCCCCAAAUCACUACAUCACACCACAACAUGAUUUAUGCCUAAGGGGAAGUGUUAAAGGCAAUUCUAGUUUCCAUCUACAGCGGCAGUUGCAACUUGAGCCAUUGCAGUAAUUUGUGCUUGUGAUGAAGUUGGUUCAGCAUGCAGCAAACUCAACAGCAUGCAGGCCAUGAAGACCAAGUCAUGCAGGAGCUGCUGGAACGAGCUGAACUAUUCCUAUUUUGUUCAUCUUGUAAUCUUAAGUUAAUGUAAUGUACUUUAGUUCAUUUAGAACUAUGUUAGGUUUAUGAUUGAUGUAAUUUUGAUGACAAUUGAGCUGUUAAGUUAGCUUUGUUUAAGUGUGCAAGCUUAGUUUUUUAAGUUUCAAUGUAUUAGUGGUAGUAGGUGAUGAUUAGGUAUCAUUAUGUAGAUUUUGACAAGCAAAUUGCUUGGUUUAUGUAUUGGCAUUAUGCCAUUGUUCAACCUAUGAAUGAAGUUUUAGUUUGUUCAUCAAUUUCUCCCUUCAUUCUUCUUAGCUUUUCUUCCUUUCUCUUGCUCGAAUUCUUUUGUUUGCUCAACAAGUCUCGAGACUUGCUUAACAAGUCUACACUGAAUCUGUUAGUUUCAGUUACAGCACCAACAAUUGGUAUCUAGAGCCUAUUUCUUAAGGGAUCUGUUACACAAAUCCAUGGCUUCAUCAAGCUUUUCACCAGCUGCACCUCAAGUCUUCAAUGGAGAAGGCUAUCACAUAUGGGUGGUCAAAAUGAAGACCUACCUGCAGGCUUUCGAUCUGUGGGAGGUGGUCAACACUGAUGUUGAACCAGAGCCACUUAGAGCUAAUCCAACAGUGGCUCAGAUCAGGCAGCAUGCUGAUGAAAGGACCAAGAGGCACAAGGCUAUGUCUUGCAUCCAAAACUCAGUGUCUGAUGUGAUUUUCACAAGGAUUAUGGCCUAUGAAUCACCAAAACAGGCCUGGGACAAGUUGCAGGAAGAGUUUCAAGGGACAGAGAGGACAAGGCAGCAACAGUUGUUAAACUUGAGGAGAGAUUUCGAGAAUUUGAAGAUGAAGGAAGAAGAAACUGUCAAGCAAUAUUCUGACAGGAUUAUGGCUGUGGUUAACAGCAUCAGGCUCCUUGGAGAGCAGUUCAAUGAAGCUAGGAUAGUGGAGAAGGUUAUAGCAACUCUGCCUGAGAGGUAUGAGGCAAAAAUCUCAUCUCUCGAGGACUCAAGGGACCUGUCCACCAUCUCCCUGACAGAGUUGAUCAAUGCUCUAUAUGCUCAAGAGCAGAGGAGAGCAAGCAGACUGGAGGAGCACCAAGAAGGUGCCUUUCAGGUAAGAACAAAUACUGCCUACAAAGGCAAGAAGGCCUGGAGAGACAAGCCAAAGGAUGAUGCUGCAAGGAGAGAAGGUCAGACUUGCAAGCACUGCAGAAAGGCUGGUCAUUCAGAAGAAAAAUGCUGGUUUAAUCCAGAUGCUGUGUGUCAGCAUUGUAAGAAAAAAGGUCAUGUUGAGAGAGUCUGUAAGACCAAGGCCAAGUCAAGGCGCAAUCAGUCUCAACAGAUGAAAGCUGAGGCUCGAGUAGCUAAGGAGGACAGUGACCAAGAGGAGCAAGUCUUUACUGUGUCAUGCUCAGCUGCUCAGGAAAGGUCCUCAUCUGGUUGGCUCCUAGACAGUGGAUGCACCAACCACAUGACACCUGAUGCUGCAAUCUUCAAGUCUUUAGACAGAAGCUUUAGAACUAAAGUCAAGAUAGGAAAUGGUCAUUUUAUUCAAGCUGAAGGCAAGGGUGAUGUUCUGAUAUGCACCCUUACAGGUACCAAAGUGAUUUCAAAUGUGCUGUUGGUGCCUGAAAUUGACAGAAACCUGCUCAGCAUAGCUCAGUUGCUGGAAAAAGGUUACUCAGUUGUGUUUAAAGACCACCAAUGCCAAAUCAGUGAUCCAAGUGGAUCCAAACUGAUGGCAGUCCCUAUGGCUGAUAAGAGCUUUGUGGUUGACUGGACAAAAAAGUCAGACAUUGCCUACACAGCCACUUCAGAUGAAUCCAAGCUGUGGCAUCAAAGACUGGGACAUGCCAACUUCAGAUCGAUGGCCCGAAUGAUCAGAGAAGACCUGGCUGAAAAUUUCAUCAACUCAGUGGACCAUGAUGAUGUAUGUGAAGUAUGUCAGCUAGGAAAGCAGGCCAGACUCCCAUUUCCCUCGAAUCAAGCCUGGAGAGCCUCUGAAAAACUCCAACUGGUGCAUACUGAUGUGUGUGGCCCUAUGAAGACUGAGUCAUUAAGUGGAAACAGGUAUUUCAUACUGUUCAUUGAUGAUUUCUCGAGAUAUUAUUGGAUUUACUUCUUAAAACAGAAAUCAGAGGUGGCCACUGUGUUUUGGAAGUUCAAAACUGCUGCUGAGACUGAAACAGGCUGCAAGGUGAAGACCAUAAGGUCUGAUAAUGGGACUGAGUACACCUCAGCUCAGUUCCAAGCCUUUUGUGAUAAGGCAGGCAUCAAACAUCAACUUACCAACACAUAUACACCUCAGCAGAAUGGGGUAAGUGAAAGGAAGAAUAGGAGUUUGAUGGAUAUGGCCAGGUGCUUGAUGAUUCAGAAGAAUCUGCCUAAAGCACUAUGGGCAGAAGCAGUUAACACUGCAACAUACAUUCAAAAUAGACUUCCAACCAAGGCUUUGGAUCAAAAGACCCCAUUCGAGGCCUGGUUUAGCUUCAAGCCAUCACUGACUCAUCUGAAGGUCUUUGGAUGCAUCUGUUAUACACAUAUACCUGCUGUUAAAAGGGACAAAUUGUCUGAAAGGGCUCGACCUGGUGUUUUGGUGGGGUAUAGCACUGUUAAGAAGGGCUAUAGGAUUUUAGAUCCUUCAACAAACAAAGUGUCAGUAAGCAGGGAUGUGGUAUUUGAUGAGAGGUCAUGUUGGAACUGGGAAAGACAUGAACCUGAAGAAGUUUCUGAAGAACUUGCAGCAGACCAAGCUGAGCCAGACCAAAAUGUCCCUGAAAUGGAUAUUGAUGAUGAACCAGUCAGAGGAACAAGGUCAUUGGCUGAGAUUUAUGAAAGGGCUCAUGUAGCCAUAGCUGAACCAAGCAACUUUGAAGAGGCUGAGGCUCAGCAAGGGUGGAAGCAGGCAAUGGCUGAGGAAAUCAGCAUUGAUUGAGAAGAACCAGACCUGGGAAUUGGUUGAAAGGCCAGUCAAAAGGAAGGUGAUUGGGGUGAAAUGGGUGUACAAAGCCAAGCAGAAUGCUGAUGGUACCUUGAACAAGCUGAAAGCAAGGCUAGUUGUCAAGGGGUUCAGUCAGAGGUAUGGCUUGGACUACCUGGAGACCUUUGCACCAGUGGCCAGGCUCGACACCAUCAGACUGCUGAUUGCCUUAGCAGCACAGCUCGAAUGGAAGAUCCAUCAACUUGAUGUGAAAUCAGCCUUUCUGAAUGGUUUCUUAGAUGAAGACAUCUAUGUUGAACAACCACAAGGGUUUGAAAUAGCUGGCAGAGAGCAUAUGAUCUACAAACUGAAGAAGGCCCUAUAUGGAUUAAAACAGGCUCCAAGGGCUUGGUAUAGCAGAAUCGAUGGCUACUUGACUGAUCUGGGAUUCGAUCGAAGCAAGAGUGAGCCAACACUAUAUGUCAAGAAACAAGGGACACAAAUACAGCUCAUUGUGUCCCUGUAUGUUGAUGAUCUUCUGGUGACAGGAGGAGAUCGAGUAGUGCUGGUCGAUUUCAAGACCAAGAUACAGGAAGUGUUUGAAAUGUCUGAUCUUGGGGAGAUGUCCUAUUUUCUUGGAAUAGAGGUGUCUCAAGUACAGAAUGAGAUAUUUUUAAGCCAGAGAAGCUUUGCCACAAAGAUUCUGACCAGGUUCUCCAUGCAAAACAGCAAGGCAACUAAAACACCUGUUGCUGUUGGAGAAAAACUAUCGAGCCAAGGUGAUUUUGAGAAAGUUUGUGAAACAACCUACAGGAGUCUAGUUGGUUGCUUGCUAUACUUGACUGCCACUAGACCAGACAUCAUGUAUGCUGUAGGAUUGCUCUCAAGGUUCUUGCAUUGCUGCAAUGAGAAGCAUUUCCAAGCUGCAAAGAGAGUGCUGAGAUAUAUCAAAGGCACUUUAAACUAUGGUUUGAAGUACAGCAAAGAAGAAAAUCUGAAGCUGGUUGGCUACACUGAUAGUGACUGGGCUGGCUCGAUAAAUGACAUGAAAAGCACCUCAGGGUAUGCUUUUAACCUUGGUUCAGCCAUGUUUUGUUGGAGCUCAAAGAAGCAAAGUCUUGUAGCUCAAUCUACUGCUGAAGCAGAGUAUGUGGCAACAGCAAGUGCUGUCAACCAAGCCAUAUGGCUAAGGAAAAUAUUGGCUGACUUGAAUGUGCAUCAAAAGAAAGCUACUGAGAUCUUUUGUGACAACCAAUCUGCAGUAGCAAUUGCUAAAAAUCCAGUGUUCCAUGGAAGAACAAAACAUUUCAGCAUCAAGUUGCAUAUUGUUCGAGAAAUGGAGCAAGCUCAGGAAGUAAAGCUGAUCCACUGUAAUUCAGAGGAUCAACUUGCUGACAUUUUAACCAAAUCUCUUAGUGCCACAAGGUUCGAAUAUCUAAGAAAGAAGCUAGGUGUUUGCUCCAUGCAAACCAAGGAGGAGUGAUGAAGUUGGUUCAGCAUGCAGCAAACUCAACAGCAUGCAGGCCAUGAAGACCAAGUCAUGCAGGAGCUGCUGGAACGAGCUGAACUAUUCCUAUUUUAUUCAUCUUGUAAUCUUAAGUUAAUGUAAUGUACUUUAGUUCAUUUAGAACUAUGUUAGGUUUAUGAUUGAUGUAAUUUUGAUGACAAUUGAGCUGUUAAGUCAGCUUUGUUUAAGUGUGCAAGCUUAGUUUUUCAAGUUUCAAUGUAUUAGUGGUAGUAGGUGAUGAUUAGGUAUCAUUAUGCAGAUUUUGACAAGCAAAUUGCUUGGUUUAUGUAUUGGCAUUAUGCCAUUGUUCAACCUAUGAAUGAAGUUUUAGUUUGUUCAUCAAUUUCUCCCUUCAUUCUUCUUAGCUUUUCUUCCUUUCUCUUGCUCGAAUUCUUUUGUUUGCUCAACAAGUCUGGAGACUUGCUUAACAAGUCUGCACUGAAUCUGUUAGUUUCAGUUACAGCACCAACAGCUUGCAUAUUUUUGAGAUGUAACAUGUUAGACUUUUGACUGUGAUCUCUGUGUCAGAUGUGCAAGAUCAAGUCAACAAGAACCAAAUCGGAAUCCUUAAAUACAAUCCAAGUUCCCUAGUUUUAAGGAGAUCAUAUCAUAUCAUGUGUAAGCUUGUGUUAAUAGAAAAGCAAGAUGUUUACUGCUUAUUUUAGGCGUUGUUUUUCUGACUGCUCAUUGUUCUGCUGUAUUUUGCUGUAAUAGAAAUACAUUCCCACUUAUAAUUAUUAUUACAAUGAACAAUACAAUUAUACAAUAACAGCAACGCCAAUUAUGGUCCUCAUUGAACUACAACUUGGCUACAUACGAAACAAACAGAUAUUCAUACUUUUAUAUCAUAAAUGCUGAUGGUGUUGUAAAUGUGAAAUCCGGUUCUAUUGCAUCUAACGAAAUCUUAAAUGAUCAAGGAGGUAAGUGGAUUUUAGGCUAUAAGAGGUACUUGGAAAAUAUUCAGUUCUUGAGGCUGAACUUUGGAGAAUUUUAAAUUAUCUGAAUGCUUUGCUAAGUAGAAAGUUUGAUAAAGUCCUGAUUCAGACUAAUAGUAUAAAAGCUGUGAAGGUUACUCAAAUAUUCACCAAGACAUUUUUGAACUCUUUAUUGAUCAGGCAGAUUCAACAACUUUUGUUGAAUGUUGAGAAUUGACUUCUACGAUAUGUGCUAGAGAAAGCAACAAGGACACGAAUUGCAUAGCUAAAAUGGCUUUUAAUAGAGAAGAUGGCUUGUUUUUUAUGAAAAACCUCCAAGGGGAAUAUCCAAUACCUUAAGUUAAUGUAAUUUGCUUAUUUUUAUUCACAGAAAAAAAAAGAAUAGCAACAAAAAGACUAGAAUAAAAUAAAAAAUAUGUUACAUUGACAUAUUACAAACGGGUAUUACAAAAUUGAGUGCACUGCAUUAUGCAUAAUCGACCUAGACUAAGAAAUUGCCAGCAUACUAUUAACGCAACAACGUAUUUGAAGUCAAUACUAGUACUAAAGACAACACAAACACUUACAAAUAAACAAUAGCAUACAAUUAAAAUGGUUCCUUUACAGAAUUCAUCAUAUAAAAUAAGGAAUAACAACAAUCCUUGACCUACACCCAUACCUAUUUCACUUCUUCCUAGACAUAAAUAUAAAAUUGAAGGGAGUAUCCAACAUCCCACUAUUGAAACACUAAUUUUUGACACCCGACAUACGAUACACAUGGACACCAUUAAAAGGAAAAGAAUUCCUGAAAAUAUAUUCAAAAUUACAUAUGUUAAAUUGGUGGGAGCUAUGUCAGAUAUUGAUUCAUCGAAGGACACUGCAAGAAACGCUAAUAGUACUUGAAGUGCAGUCCUAAAACCACGGGGAAAAGUUUUGAGUAGAGCUAGUGUUAGGAAUAAUGUUACGAGGAACACAAGGUAGGUUGGAAUAUAGAAGAGAAGAAAAUCCAUUUGACCCAUGACUGAUUUCCCUAGUACCAUUGCAUCAUAUGAUCCUUUGGACUUUGAGGUAUUUUCACCUUGCCAAACACCACCAGGUGGGCUUAGAGUGGCUUGAUAGGUUGCAGUUAGAAGCAGUCCUAAAAUGAUUAGCAAGGCAUUGCGGUCAUCGGCUGAUAUGUUGUCCAUAUUUUGAAAAGUUAGUAGUGAUGCCUUUGUCACAUACUUGACAACUUGUUCCUCCAACUUACGUUUAAAGUUUGAAACUACUGGAAUAAAGCAGCCCUUCAGAAUAGCAAUGUUUUCUCUGUUAUUAUGUUGUUGUGCAAUACUCAGUGCGGUCAAACCAACUUGAUUGGUAGCAUGCUUAUCAGCCUUGCAAUUUAAUAGUAGUUUAAGCAUCUGUUCAAUUGAUAGUUUAGGAUAUAAAAAGGCUACAAUCAAUUAAUCAUGUCUUUGAAGUAAAAAAAGAAAAAGAAUCUAUGUAAUAUAAAUUACUAUCGAAGCAGUUGAGUCGAACCUUGGGUUGAUUAUGGAUAGCGGCUAUGUGAAGUGCAGUAUUUCCAUCUUUGUCUUUCCGGUUCACCACUUCCCAAUAAUAGUCUUUCCUCUUAAGCGUUGGAAUUAGGAGUUGGAGAACGUCCAGUCUAUUGUUUUGGAUAGCAAUAUGCAAAGCAGUGCGAUUCUCUAUUGUAACAUCUUGGAGACAAUCAGGAGAAGCUUCCAGAAAUGGAUCCAACAGACCAAGCUGGUUUCCAACUUUACAUAAGUAGUGCAAUGGAGUCUUACCUUUCUUUCCUCUGACACGAACAAGAUGUGUAUCAAUCUCCAAGAAGCGGAGUGCCAUCUCUUUAUGCCCUUUUCUAACUGCAAUGUGAAGUGGGCUCAAACCUUGGUGGUUAAGCUUUCGAGCAAAUGAUGGCUUUAAGUUCAUCAUCUCCAUUGCAAACUCAAUGCACCCUUCUUCUGCAGCUAUAUGUAAUGGAGUCUCGAUAAACUCCACCUCAUCAAAAUGCCUCAAAACAUUUCCAUUUCUUUGAAUUACUGUAUACAAUCCAUUAAGCUUUCCUGUACGAGCAGCCUGUCUUAAACUUUCAUCCAUGUGAGGAAGACUAAAAAUUGAAUGGUUGAAAGGGUUUAAGGUCACUUAGAGCAACUUAUUCAAAGAGAGUUUUUUUUUUUUAAAUAGAGUGAGGCAGACAAAUGGUGUAUAUUUAUGGUCUUGAUUUUGAGGUUUCGCCUUUAGUAGAGGAUUAUUGUAAAUAAUUUUGUUUUCAAUGGCUUUUUAUUUCAAGGUUAAGAAAUAAUGCUUUCGUCCAUUGACUUCACUUCCAAAUUGAUUUUUUUUCUUUGUGUAUAUGUUCAUAGUCAAAAGUCCAAUUCCUACUUUAAAACGUGAUGAUAUUAAUUUCCCGAAAAAUAAGUCAAAGAAAAUUAUUCGUAUUCUUCUCAUUUAUAAUUAAAAAUAUAUAAUUAUUCAAAUCCUGUGUUCGCAUUAACUUUGAAUCGCAUUAAUCGCGUUAUUAUUAAUAUUUUACUCUCUUCUUGCAAUUCAUAAAAAAUAUAUAUAUUUAUUCAUAUAUUUUUAUCAAAUAUAUAUCUAUAUACGAAUCUUCUAUCUAAAUUUGUAUUCUAAAUUAAUUGGACAUCAACUUAAUUAUGUGAUUAUAAAAAUAUCAAUUCAUUACAAAAUAACAUGCUAUUUUAAGAUUGUUUUAAUCUCUCUUUUUUUAAACCAUAUAAUAAAAUUUAAACUUAAAACGCUAUAAAUAUUUCUAUUUUACUAUUUUAAUUAAAAUUUCUUUUAAUUUUUAUAUAAUCUUUUAUAAAUAUAUUUAUUCUAUAAUUCUGUUAUUCAAUUUCAUUAGGGAUAUACCAUAAUUUAAUAUAUAUUAUAAAUAAAUUAUUAAAAAAAUAAAAAUAUUGGUUCAGAUUCAAUUGAUUUUUAAUCUUGUUUGUAUUGAUUCUUGAACUAAUUAGGUUUUUUUUUUAUCUCUCUUUAUAUUGGUACUCGACUCUACUCAUGUAAUUAUACCUCUAUGUUGAAAAGUGUUAAUGCAUUAAUUAAAGUUUGAUCUUGAUAAUUAUUUUUACAUUAGGAUAUAAAGGUUUUUUUUUUUGUUGAAUAAGAUAUUUUGGAAGAAGACAGAGAAAAAGACUACAGCAUCAUUGAAGGUCAUACAAUUAAAAAAACUAUAAAGUAAGCUUCAAAGACGGAAAUAAUUUUAAAACAAAAUUAUAAAAGAACAUCUGUCCAUAAUACUUUUCAUAAACUUGGAAAUUAUUUUCUUCAUUUUAUAAGAUGUUAAGGUUUUUUCUUUUUUGGGAGUUUUUAAAAAUUGGAUCAAUGUUGGUACCAAUGAAGUCACUAGUUUAUGAGUUGAAGUAGUUUGAUUAAAUAAAUUAUUAAAAUAAUAAAAAGAAUUUGGUUCAAUUGACUUUUAAUUUAAUCUAUAUUGAUUUCUGAGUCAAUUAGUUUGUUAUUUUUCUUUGAAUCAAUACCCCAACCAACUCGAUUUUGUUCAGGUAACCAUGUCUUUAUGUUAAAAAGCAUUAAUGCACUAAUCAGAGUCUGAAUUUAGUAACUAUUCUCACAUUCAGGUAUAGAAGGUUCUUUUAGCGAAGAGAUGAAACAUUGCAAAAAAUUGAAUAAGAUAUUUUGAAAGAAACCAGAGAGGAAGACUGAAACAUAUUCAAUAAAAUUGAGCAUUGAGCAUUGUACAAGUAAAAGAACUUUAAAACACAAAAUUAUAACUUUAAAAAAUAUUAAAACUCACAAUAAAAUAACAAGAUUAUAAAGUAAACUUUAAAAUGCACUAAUUAAUUAAAUUAAGUUACAUAUUAUAGAAAACGGUGUCGUUCCUAACCCAAACACGAGCUUUCUCUGGAUCUUCUUCCUCCUCUGAUCCAUAAUCACAGCCGUGCUCCACUGAAUUGGAGCUUUUUUUUUUUUUUUUGGCGUGUUACUCGUAAAGCACUUUUAGUUAAGAUUCGUGUGUUACUGUUGAAGUUGUUAAGAAAUGUGUUUUUGUUUUGAAUAUGAUAUAUACGUACAUAUCAGAAAAAAAAAAAUUAGCAUACCCGAGGUCUGUUUCUGAUAGCCGCAACGUGUAAAACAGUUUUCCCUUCCAUGUCUGCCCAACUUAUUGGUUCUUUCUCCCAACGUUGGGCAGCUUCAUGGCGGCUCCUUAUAAGCCACCUCACCAAGACUUGGAAAGCUUCAAACUUGUCUUUUACUGAAAUAUGGAAAACAGGCACGUCUUCAAUACCCUUGGGACAAACCUCAAGAAACUUGAACAAAAGAUCAGCAUCUCCGGUCCGAACGACAUGAUGCAGAGGAGUGAGGCCCCCCUUCCCUUUGACACGAAUGAAAUAAAUACACGUACACAUGUCUAAUACGCGUAAACAUGAUUUAAAUGGUUUUGCCGACAGCAAUCAAAUUUCCUAGUAAAGUCUUUGUGGUUGGUGAAGAACAGCCAUCGGACCAUACUUUUCAUAAACUUGAAAAUUCCAAUUAAGUCACUAAUUCAUUAGUUGAAUUAGUUUCAUAAAUAAAUUAUUAAAAUAAUAAAAAAUAUUGGUUCAUAUUCAAUUAAUUAGUUUUAUAUCUCUCUUUGUAUUGGUACCCCAAUCGGCGUAAUUCUACUUAAGUAAUCAUAUCUCUAUGUUGAAAAGUGUUAAUGCACUAACUGAAGUUUAAACUUGGUACGUAAUUGUUUUCACAUUAGGGUGUAAAAGUUUUUUUUUUUUUUUAGGUAGAGACAAAGCAUUGCAAAAAAAUUGAAUAAAAUAUUUUGAAAGAAGGCAAAGAAAAAGACUAAAGCAUCAUUGACGGUCGUACAAUUAAAAAAACUAUAAAGUAACCUUUAAAGAUGGAAAUAAUUUUAAAAAACAAAAUUAUAACUUAACCUAGGAACACCUGUCCAUAAUUCUUUUCAUAAACUUGGAAAUUAUUUAUAAGAUGUUAGGUUUUUUAUGGGAGUUUUUUAAAAUUAGAUCAAUGUUGGUACCAAUCAAGUCAUUAAUUCAUGAAUUGAAUUAGUCUGAUUAAAUAAAUUAUUAAAAUUAUAAAAGGAAUUUGGUUCAAUUGACUUUUAGUCUGAUCUAUAUUAAUUUCUGAGUCAAUUAAUUUGUUAUUUCUCUUUGAAUCAGUACCCCAACCAACUCGAUUUUGUUCAAGUAACCAUGUCUCUAUGUUGAAAAGCAUUAAUGCACUAAUCAAAAUCUAAACAUAACAACUAUUCUCACAUUGAGGUAUAGAAGGUUAUUUCGGUAAAGAGAUGAAAUAUUGCAAAAAUUUGAAUAAGAUAUUUUGAAAGAAAGCGAAGAGAAAGACCGAAACAUAUUUAACAUUAAGCUUUGCACAAGUAAAAAAUAAAUAAACUAAAUAAUUUUAAAACACAAAAUUAUAACUUUAAAAAAAUUAAAAUUCACAAUAAAAUAACAAGAUUAUAAAGUAAACUUUAAAAUGCACUAAUUAAUUAAAUUAAGUUACUUUUUAUAAAAAAAAUUCAAAGUAAAUUACUCGUAGUAAUUUUUUAAUGUUAGGUAUGUUGCAUAUGAUUUUAUAUUUUUAAUUUAUUAAAUAUUAUAUUUUUACAAAUUCAAAUAUGUAUUUAUGCUAAUUAAACGAGGUUUAAUUUAAUUUAUACUAAAGAUAAAUUAGUUUGAAAAAAUAUUAAGAGAAUAAAAUAGCAUUUUAAAAUUAAUGAAAAAAAUGAACUAAUACAUAUACAACUAUUAAAAUAAUAUACAAAUUUAAAACUAUAUAAAAAAAUAAAUGGAAAACAUAUUUACACUUAAUUAAAGAUCACAUUUAAUAAUAACAACUAAAAAAUAUUAUUUAAAUUUUGUUUUUCAAAAGAAUACACGAAACAUUUUUCAUCUGCACCAAACGAAUAAUGGACAAAUAAAAAAAUGAAUUUAAAAUUACUUGCUUCGCAUAAUACGGUUACUUUAUUUAAAUUUGUAUUGUUUAAUAUAGGUGAUUUAUUUAAAUUUCUAUAGAGAUUUCACCUUCGUACUUAAAAAAAUAAAACACUCACCCCUAAAUUUCCUCUUGACAAUUUAGGUUGUAAACACAACUUGUUUACUCUCAAUUGCACUCACACAAUUAGUUCCUCAAUUAAUGAAUAAAGUGCUCUCAAUAUAGUCUCUUUUAAAACCUAUACAAACCUCAACUUAUAUAGAAGUGUUUUGGUUUACUAACAUACUCGAUAUUGAUUACAAUAUAACCCCUUAAAAUCAACACCUACAAAAUAGAAAAAAAGAAAUAUAUUAUAAAGUCCAAUAAAGUCUGAUCUAUGGAUAUAUAGUCUUCAAUGUAAACAACAACUCAAUCCGAAAGAUUCUCUAUAAACAGAGGAUUGUAAUUGUUCAAACCAAUCCAAUCUUCACAAUGCAAAUAAUUAGUUCUCAUAAUUAGGCUUCUAUAUCUUCAAAAUAUCAACAUAGUUAAUAGCCCAAAGAUUUUAAGCCGAGGAUUGUCAACUCCAAAUAUAGCAAGUACAAUUGUACUAUUGCAAGGAUGGAUGACAAUGGGAUCUACCAAGUGCUGCUCAUAAUGCUUCUUUACAAUUUGUCUCAACAAUUUCCCCAUUUGAAUUUUUUUUUGAACAAAAUCCAAUUCAAACCAAGAAGUUAACUAGAAUUUUAUGUGAUGAUAUGAUGGUUAAGGGUGUUUACCGUUCCAGAUAUGGCUUGAGUUUGAGUCUUGUUAGUUGCGUUUUUUGUCCAGGCUUUCCCUGUUAUUAUAAUUCACUAAAAAAAUUUUACUGAUUUUUGACAAGUAUAAAUUAUGUUAAUAUCAUGGUUGAACUCAUUGCAUAUUUGAUUCUAAACAUCUCUCCGGUCCGAACGACAUGAUGCAGAGGAGUGAGGCCCCCCUUCCCUUUGACACGAAUAAGGCCUUCAUCAAACUUGAGGAGUCGAAGCACCGCUUGAGUUCUGUUAUUCUGCAGAGCCAAGUGCAUGGGGGUCAACCCAGCUUGGUAUAGUUUUCUUGCAAACGAUGGCUUUAAGUUGAUCAUCUCCAUCAGAAAAUCAAUAUGCCCUGCAGAGGCUGCCACAUGUAAUGGAGAAUGAAAAAAGGCACAUCAUCAAUACGCUGUAAAACAAAUGGAUGACUCGCAAUAUCUCCUGUUCGUGCAGCCUCUAUCAUCGUCGAAUUCAUAGCUUGGAAGAAGGGGGGCAGUCAAUUGUGAGACAAAUGGAAACUGAUAAAAAUUUUCAAGAAACACAGAAAAAAGAAGCAGAAGACAAUAUAGAAAAGGAAAUAUGGAAUGUCAAAAUUUGGAUCUAAAACGAAAAUCCGACUUAAGUAUAGCGUCUCAUAUUUGAUAAAAGAAAUCUUCAUUUCUUAAGUCUUAUUCGACUUAAAGCUUGUGUCACAUUCUUUAAACUUUGAUAUCUAUUAUUUCAAGUAUUUUAAUUAAAUAAAUUAAUAAAUUUAAGUGUUUGUGUAAUAGGCCCAAUUUGCUUGGGCCCAGACGAAAACCAAACAAAAAUAAAAAAUAACAAUUCCAGUCCAUUUACAGUAAAUUUAAACUCAAAAUAACAAUGGCCCGAACAGCCCAAUAAGAAUGAAAACCCACUAUGAAAUUGGAUGUAUAUUCUAAGUUUAAAGAAAUGAAAGGCAGUAGUGCGAACAAAAAGCCACAAGCGAUGCUGUUCUGUUUCUUUUAUGAGAAUUAUCGGGAAGCAUUUUUCUUUCUGAAAAGCUUGGGGGUUCCACCAUGUCAAAAGAAUUUUAUCAUUUAGAGUUGGGAAGCUUUUUUUGUGUUUCUUUUUGAAGAAUUCAUUGGAAAGCUUUUUUCCUUUUGAAGGAUUAUAAAUUUAGUAGUGAAAAAAUAUUACAAAACUCCUAAAUAAUUUUAGAUACACAUAUUUUAUCACUAAGCUUUAAAUAAAGUUUGUCUUUCUCACCCAUGUUAUUGUUAAAGAAAUAUAAAGUGACCCGGAACAGCGAAGAUUCCUUAAUUUAAUUGAAAUUUAUAUAACUUAUGUGAAAUAUGAUUUGAAUUAUGUAUGAAAAUUACAAGUAAUUUAAAGGAUAACUAAGAAAAAGAGAGAGCAAAGAUUAUACAUUAAUGCUUCUAUACUUAAAAGAUACAUAGAAAAUAAGAAACAAUUUGUGUAAAACGUGGGAUAGGUUUCACUCGAAAUUAUAGGAGACGUUUCUUUCACAUACUACAAAUGGAUAGAAGAAAUAGAUGUAUAAUGACUUAUUUGAUAUUCUAAUUUUAUAAAUUAAAAAGUCAUUUUAAUCAUUUGUCUAAUUUUUGUUUUUUUUUUUAGUUCUUUAACUUGUAUUAUUUGUCAAAUCACCUCAAAAUAGAUAUAAAAAUUUACAAAUAUGACAUAAACAUAGAUUGUCACAUAGAUGCUACAUUAGUAAUUAAUUAUUUUUUAAAUAUACAAAAUAUAAAAGCUAUAAAAAGUAUUAAAAAGUAUAAUUUUUAAUAAAUUAAUUAAUUGCUAAAUGCGUUCUGUCAAAAAAGUUAAAAGAUAUUAAUUUCUCUAUCUAUUUUGAAGUGAUUUGACAAAUAAUACAAGUUUAAUGAUCAAAAGAGACGAAAAAUUAAAUAGAUGACUAAAAUAAUUUUUUUUUUUGUAAAAUUGAAAGAUCAAAUAAACCAUUAUAUCUAAAAUAAACAAAAUCAACAACUAAAAUCACAUUGCCAUUUAGAUAAUUUAGGAUGUUACAACAUUGAUGCAUAAUCUACAAUUUAGAGCUAAGAUUAUACAUUACUUGUAUACUUAAAUUCACUUUUAGUUCAUCUAAUCAAAUUAUAAGUGAAAUAAACCUAUUCAAAGAAUAAUUCGCAAAAAUAUUUAGAAGAUAACGUCACAUUGACAUACUAGAAAUAAAUGUUACAACAUUGAGUGCACUGUAUUAUGUAUAAUCGACAUAAACUAAGUUAUAGCCAACAUUCUAUCUAUCUAAUUGGGUAUCUCAAGGUAUUACCAUCACUAAUGAAAGCAUUAAUACCUAUAAAUAAACUAUAGCAUACUACUAAAUUGGUUCAUUUCAAGAAUUCAUCAUAUAAAAAAAAGGAAUAACAGCAAUUUUUGAGCUGCGCCUAUACUUAAUUUUUUGCCUAAACAUAAAUAUAAAAUUGAAAGGAAUAUUCAACAUCCCACUAUUGAAACAUUAAGUUUGACACUUGAUAUUCGACACACAUGAAUACCAUUAAAACGAAAUGAAUUCUUGAAAAUAUAUUUUACGUGUGUUGAAUGGGUGGAGCCCAUAACAGAUAUUGAUUCAUCGAAGCACACUGCAAGCAACACAAGUAGUAUUUGAAAUAUAACAAUGAAGGCAUAGGUGCUAGUCAAAUGAAGUAGGUCUUUCAUGUUGGAAAUUAUAGAUUGUAAAUUUAAUUAUUGAUGAGCAUUUAUUCAAAUUUAGAAAGUGAUAUAUUUUUAUGAGAAAUAUUUUUUUUAAAUAUGUCUAACGGUUAUGAUUCUAUAAAAUAGUAUUUCUUAAAUGCAUAUAAAUAGAAAUCGCAAUUACAAUCAAUCUUAUUUUCAAAAAUUAAAGUAAGAAUAUUCCUCUAUUUUACAAUGGAUUUGUCAUGUUCAUGAAAUACAAAAGAAUCUAUGUAAUAUUAAUUAUAAAAGCGGAUGAGUCAAACCUCGGGUUGAUUAUUUCUAGCAUGCAGCAAUGUGUAGUGCAGUGUUGACAUUUUUGUCUUUCCUGUUUACCACUUCCCAGCAACAGUCUUUCUUCCCAAGUUUUGGAGUUAGGACUUGAAGAACGUCUAAUUGAUUGUUCUUCGUUGCAAUCUGCGAAGCGGUGCAAUUCGCUGUUGUAACAUCUCGGAUACUAUUAGGACAAGUCUUCAGAAAUGUAUCUAACAGGCCAUCGUGGCUUCCAGCUUUACAAAUGUAAUGCAAAGGAGUCACACCAUUUUCCCCUCUAACACGAACAAGAUCGUUAUCGGUUUCUAUGAGACGCAACGCCAUCUCUUGAUGCCCUUUCUCGACAGCAAGGUGAGUAGGGCUCAAGCCUUGGUGGUUUAGCUUCCUGGCAAAGGAUGGCUUUAAACUCAUAAUCUCCAUUGCAAACUCAAUGCACCCUUCGUCUACAGCAAUGUGUAAUGGAGUAUUGACAAACUCCACCUCAUCAGAGCGCUUCAAAACAUUUCCAUCUCUCUCGAUUAAUGUAUACAACUAACAUUUCCUGCUCGAGCAGCUCUUUCCAAUAUGUUAUCCAUAACAGGAGGAAGGAUCAACUGAAAGGCUAAUGUGAUAUGUUCAGAGUCAAAGGUUUAAAUAAAUGGGAGGCAGUAGGUGAACGAGGAAGGCUAAUGUAUACAAUUAGCUUACUGUACGAAAAGAAGUCAUUCGUUCUUUUCGUUUUAUAUGAAAAGCCUACUGUAUCAAAUACAAUUAGCUUACGAAAAUAGUGGAAAGUUACAUAUGAAAAUCAAGUAUACUUGAGUGAUAUUUCAUUUUCUCGGAAAAAAAAUUGUUAGGCAAUUCUAAUGGCUUUGGUUCAGACUUUCAAUUGGUUGCUUUACUUUCAAUGGCUUUGGUUGACACUUUCAAUUGGUUGCUUUACAUUUAAGUCAAACUGAAGCUUUGGUUAAGCAUGAAAUUGGACACUACCUAAAACAUAGCAAAUUGCAUGCUCCCAACCUCAACCUGGUUUUUCUAAACAUAAUUUAUUUAAUAUAUAUGUUAAAAUAGUUAAAUAUAGUAUUUAAAUUUGAAAUUAUAAGGAUGAGUAAAUAUUUUUGUAAAAUAAAUAAUACCUCUUUCAAAUAAGUAAUAAAUAAUACUUGUGAAACCCAUGUAAUUAGCCAAUUGUAAUUAGUUUAUUGCAAACCAAUGAACUAAAAACAUGUGAAAAAAUAAUACUUCUACACUACACCAAAACAGGCUUUUAGCGGCAUUUUCAGCAGCGUUUAGACAAAAAACGCCGCUAAAAAUCGAUCAUUAGCGGCGCAUUACGUAAAACGCCGCUAAAGAUUGAGCAUUAGCGGCACUUUCAGGAAAGCGCCGCUAAAAAUGAGCAUUAGCGGCGUUUUUUUGUAAAACGCCGCAAAAAACCUAAGCCCAACAGCAUUGUUUUCAACCUUUCGGGGCUUUAGCGGCGUUUUUAAAAAAAGCGCUGCUAAUGCUCAGAUCUUUAGCGGCGUUUUUGACAAAGCGCCGCUAAUGCUUAGAUCUUUAGCGGCGUUUUUCAAAAAGCGCCGCUAAUUCUCAGAUCUUUAGCGUCGUUUUUGAAAAAGCGUCGCUAUCAAAUCUUUAGCAGUGUUUUUGGAAAAGCGCCGUUAAUACUCAGAUCUUUAGCGGCGUUUUUGGAAAAGCGCCGCUAAUGCUCGGGGCUUUAGCGGCGUUUUUUAAAAAGUGCCGCAAAAACAUUUUAACUGUCUAUUUACUAUUUAAUUUGUUUAUUUAUAUUAAUUAAAAUUCAAUUUAUUUUUAAUUGAAUAUUUGUUAAAAAUGGAUAAAUUUGAAAUAAUAACACGUAGAAAUAAUUUGAAAUAAAAAAAUAUAGAAAAAUAUUUGUUAAAAAUGGAGAAAUUAAAAUACUAUUAUUUAAAAUAAUUUUAAAUUUUUUUGGGUACAUAAUUGAUUGAUUUUUAAUUUAUAUAUUAAAUAAUUUCAAAUAUAAUUGUAAAAGAUACGAUAGUAUUAAUUUUAAAAUAUUUAAUUUAAUUAUCAUUAUAGUUUAGGGUUUAAUAUAUAUGGUUUAGAGUGUAUAUAUAUGUUUAAUUUAGGAUUUAGGGCCGGUUUAAGAGUUACAAUUUUAAGGUUUAUAGAUUAUGGAAUUAGAGAUUAUGGAUUAGGGAUUUUGAUUUAAGGGUUGUGAUUUAAGGUUUAUGGGUUAGAGGUUAGGGGUUAGAGGUUAAGAGUUAUGAUUUAGGGUUUAUGGAUUCAAUGUCAGGUUAGGGUUUAGGGUAUAGAUUAAUUAAUGUGUUUUAAUUUAUAUAUUAAUAAUGUUUAGGGUUAGGGUUAGGGAUUCGGGGUCAGGUUAGGGUUUAAUGUUUAGAUUAAUUAGUGUUUUUUAAUUUAUAUAUCAAAUAAGGUUUAGGGGUUAGUGUCUAAGGGUUUGGGGUUAGUGUUUAAAGGUUUAGGAUUAAGAGUUAGUGAUUUAGGGUUUAGAGAUUCGAGGUCAAGUUAGGGUUUAAGGUUUAGAUUAAUUAGUAUUUUUAAUUUAUAUAUUAAAUAAGUUCUUAUAUAAUUGUAAAAGAGACAAUAAUAAAUUGUAAAGAUUAUUAAUCUAACCAUUUGAUAUAUUUGAAUAUUAGAUUUAAAAAAAUUAAUAAAAAAAUGUAACAAAUUGAUACAGAUAGGUAACUAUCUAUUUUGGAUAUAUAGGACCAAAUUAUAACAAAUAAAAAUAAAAGACAAAAACUAAAAUCAUUCCACAUCGAGCAUCUAGCAAAAGAAUUACAUUUUAGUUAGGAAGAAAUAUCUCUAAUAAAAAGCGUCGCUAAAAGUCAAUAUUAUAGCGCCGUUUGUAAUAGAAGCGCCGCUAAAGGUCUUGGUCUUUAGCGGCGUUUGUGGGAAAAGUGCCGCUAAAGGUCUUGGUCUUUAGCGGCGUUUUUGGGAGAAGUGUCGCUAAAGGUAUUGGUCUUUAGUGGCGUUUGUGGGAGAAGCGCUGCUAAAGGUCUUAGUCUUUAGCGGCGCUUGUGGGAGAAGCGCCGCUAAAGGUCUUGGUCUUUAGCGGCGUUUGUGGGAGACGCACCGCUAAAGGUCUUGGUCUUUAGCGGCGUUUUUUUCUAUAAACGCCGCUAAAGUUAGCGACGCCAUCUUUAGCGGCGUUUUUUUGGCGCUUCUCAAAGCGUCGCAAAUACUUUUAGCGGCACUAAAAAGCACCGCUAAAGGCCUAAAAAAGCGCCGCUAAAAGCCUGUUUUGGUGUAGUGCUAUUAAAUGUAUUAUUAAUGUUAUUAAUUAAAGGGUUUUUUUUUUGCCAUUAAGUCUUUGGCUAUGCUAGUAAGGUUAAAACAUGGGAUUUUGAAUGUUCAAGAUCGAAAUUCACUCUUUGUAAACCAUGUAUGAGUUUUAUUAGAGGAUUAAUUGUUCGGGCUACAUUAUGGGUCGAAUUUAAGCAGUAUGUUAACAUAUUUUAUGUUUAUCCAAGUUCAGGCUAACUCUAAAUAUAAGCUUAAAAUUUUGUCCAAGUUUACACAUACUUGUAAAUAACUAACCGAAGCCCAUUUGCGGCCACCCAUAUUAUUAUUUUUUAAAUUUGUUUGAAAUAUUUAUAUUAUUUUUAGUUUAAUAUUUAAUAAUUUUAUAUAGUUUUUCAUUUAUUAAAAUUUUAUAUGCAUCCAACUAACAAUUUUUAAUGCUUACAAUUAAUAUGAUAUAUUACUAUAGAUUGAAUUUUAAUGUGUUACAAAUUACAUAUUAUAUAAAAAUAACAUAAUAUAAUAUAUUAAAAACUAUAGAAAAUGAAUCGGACUAGUCGGGAUUAGAAGGUCAGGCCUUGAAUGUUUGAGCUCAACCCCGACACAUUUUAAACAUGUUUAUUUUUUGAUUUGUUUGUUCAAACCUUUUUUUUUACUGUUCAAAAUUUUGAGUGAGUCUUUUAGCUUGAACAUGUAAUUCAAUCCUUGAACAAGUUUGUGUUUUAUCUAAACUUAUUUUUACUUAAAUAUGGUUACGUGUGAAUUAUGUCUAGAAUUAUUCAAAUCGAGAUUAUUUUUCAUCUGCAAUUUUUGAUUUGAAUGUAUUGUAUAUUCUUUUUAAUUAUCAGUGAGAAUGAUCGUAUUUGCACCAUUUCUAAAUUUUUUUAGAGCUCUAACCAUUUUAAUUAUCACUUAACUAAUAAUACAAUUAUAUAUCAAUCAAAAUUUAAAUUUAACUUUAUAAAUAGCAUCCAAUAGUUAAACAUAUCAGUCAGAUAGCAAAUAAAAUAGAGUACUAAGAAACAAUUGAGCAUUAAAGCAAUGAUUCUUCAAACAAUACAAUAGAAUUAUAAUGAUUUUAUAAAGAAAAAACUUAUUUUAAUCUAAUUUUAGUUCAUUAUUUCAAAUUAUUAAAUGGGUUUUAAUAUUAAUUAAUUUCUUUUGUUUAUUAUUAAAAAAGCUAUAUGCUAGGGGUAGAAGAGAGUUAAUAAUAAGAGAAAUAUUAUUUUAAUAUAAUUAAUUAUUUAGAACGACUUUCACAAAAUAAAUUUAACGAAAAAUGAAAAUUUGUAGAAAUUAUUUUAAAAAAAGAAUAUAUGUCAAUUUUCUUUCACCUGAAAAUCUAAUCGAAUUAUAAACGAAAUAAACCCAUUCAAAAAAUAACAACAAAAAUGUUAUAUUGACAUAUUACAAAAGGGUAUUACAAAAUUGGGUGCACCGUAUUAUACAUAAUAGACCUAGAUUAAGGAAUAACCAGCAUCCUAUUAAUGCAACAAAGUAUGGGAAAGUCAAUAUCAUUACCUAAUAAAGCAUCAACACUUACAAAUAAACAAUAGCAUACAACAAAAAAGGUUCCUUUCCAGAAUUCAUCGUAUAAAAUAAAGAAUAACAACAAUCCUUGACCUACACUCAUAUCUAUUCCACUUUCCACAAAAAAGUAUAAAAUUGAAGGGAAUAUCCAAUAUCCUACUAUUGAAACACUAAUUUUUGACACUCGACAUACGAUACACAUGGACACCAUUAAAAGGAAAAGAAUUCCUGAAAAUAUAUUAAUAAUUGCAUAUGUUAAAUAGGUGGGGGCUAACUCAGAUAUUGAUUCAUCGCAGGACACUGCAAGAAACGCUAAUAAUACUUGAAGUGCACUCCUAAAAUCAUGUGGAAAAGUUUUGAGUAAAGCUAGUGUUAGGAAUAAUGUUACGAGGAACACAAGGUAGGUUGGAAUAUAGAAGAGAAGAAAAUGCGUUUGACCCAUGACUGAUUUCCCUAGUACCAUUGGAUCAUAUGAUCCUUUGGACUUUGAGGUAUUUUCACCUUGCCAAACAACACCAGGUGGGCUUAGAGUGGCUUGGUAGGUUGCGGUUAGAAGCAGUCCUAAAAUGACUAGCAAGGCAUUGCGGUCAUCGGCUGAUAUAUUGUCCAUAUUUUUAAAAAUUAGUAGUGAUGCUUUUGUCACAUACUUGACAACUUGUUUCUCCAACUUACGUUGUAAGUUUGAAACUACUGGAAUAAAGCAGCCUUUCAGUAUAGCAAUGUUUUCUCUGUUGUUAUGUUGUUGUGCAAUACCCAGUGCGGUCAAACCAACUUGAUUGGUAGCAUGCUUAUCAGCCUUGCAAUUUAAUAGUAUUUUAAGCAUCUGUUCAAUUGAUAGUUUAGGAUAUAAAAAGGCUAGAAUCAAUUAAUCAUGUCUAUGAAGUAAAAAAAGAAUCUAUGUAAUAUGAAUUACUAUCGAAGGAGUUGAGUCGAACCGUGGGUUGGUUAUGGAUAGCGGCUAUGUGUAGUGCAGUGUUGCCAUCUUUGUCUUUCCGGUUCACCACUUCCCAGUAAUAGUCUUUCCUCUUAAGCGUUGGAAUUAGGAGUUGGAGAACGUCCAGUCUAUUGUUUUCGAUUGCAAUAUGCAAAGCAGUGCGAUUCUCAAUUGUAACAUCUUGGAUACAAUCAGGAGAAGCUUCCAGAAACGUAUCCAACAGACCAAGCUGGUUUCCAACUUUACAUUAGUAGUGCAAUGGAGUCUUACCUUUCUUUCCUCUGACACGAACAAGAUGUUUAUCAAUCUCCAAGAAGCGGAGCGCCAUCUCUUAUGCCCUUUUCUAACAGCAGUGUGAAGUGGGCUCAAACCUUGGUGGUUUAGCUUCCGAGCAAAUGAUGGCCUUAAGUUCAUCAUCUCCAUUGCAAACUCGAUGCACCCUUCUUCUGCAGCUAUAUGUAAUGGAGUGUCGAUAAACUCCACCUCAUCAACACGCCUCAAAACAUUUCCAUUUCUUUGAAUUACUCUAUGCAAUUCGUUAACCUUUCCAGUACGAGCAGCCUUUCUUAAAUUUUCAUCCAUGUGAGGAAGACUAAAAAUUGGAAGGUUGAAAGGGUUUAAGAUCACUUAGAGCAAUUUAUUCAAAGAGAAAGAGAGAGUUAAAGGCAGACAAAUGUGUGUAUAUUUCUGGUCUUGAUUUUUGAGGUUUCGCCUUUAGUAGAGGAACACUUUUGGUCAUGUUAUAGUUUAUUGAAAGAGCUUAAGCCCACUUACGGUGUUUAUAACUAGAAUGAGUGAAGACUUAGGUGCUCUGUCAAAUGAAGUAGGUCAAGACUUCGCUGCAGCUUUGUUUAUAAAGAAAGCAUAAAAAGGAAGCCUUACAUUUGGCCAAAUUUUAAUUGAUAUGCUUGCCAUUUCAUGUUGUCUUAAUCCAGAAAAGCUACCUCUCAGAUUAUUAUUUAUGUUAUAAAACCUGUUAACACAGAUCAGUACUCAACAAUUUUGUUCAUAUUAUAGUUUUAUUUCUUUAGGCUCAAUCUCACACUUUCAAAACAAAUUACCUAUUUCCUCUUUUUUAUCAGAUUGAAUUUUUAAAUCGAAAAAUGCAUCGAAUAUACUUUUUAACUCAUAAAUAUAGGGUGGUUAAAGGUUGAUGAGUCAACCCAUUUUGUACAUAUAUCAUAUGGCCACUCUUCUCACACUAUUUUAUUUUAUAUAUCAUAUUAUCACUAGACGAAUUUUAGAAAAAAAAAUCAUGAAAUAUCAAUUUUUUCUAAAAAAGUUCAAUUAAAAAAUGAGAGUACACGUUAAUUUUUUUUUGAAUUACGAAUUAAUUAAAAAAUUAUUAUAUCACAUUUAAAAAAAUUUUAAAAUAUUUUUAAAUUAUAAUUUAUAGAGUUUAUAUUGAUGAAUUUCUCCUUUUCACCUAUGAUUUUUUUUCCCAAAAGGACUUUUCACAUAAAAUUUGUUUGUUAUUAUUUUUCUUGUUAUUGUUUUAAAAUUAUUCCUAUUGCUUUUAUGGACGUCUAUAUUUUUGGCGAUGUCAUGAUUUAAACCAACAAAGGAACAAUAGAAAAGACAGAAAUUGAAGGGUAUAAGAAAAUAGAAAAAAGGCUGCUUUUUAAAUUUGUUUUGGAUAUUUGGAGGAGUUUAAGGAUUUCAAAUUUUAAAAAAUAAAUUUAUUCGAAUAAAAAUAUUGAAUAAUUUCCAAAUUUAUGAAGAAUUUUAAGAGAGGAUUUCGCUUGGCUCAAAUUCUUCUUUUUGUUUAAAUCUAAUAUAUUUUCGAUAUUUUAUUUCAUUAAACAUAUUUAUAGAUUUACAAAUCCAAUGAUUUACAUACUAAAUAUUCUUGUAUUAUUUUAUUUUUAAUAUAUAUAAUUAUUCCUUUUAAUAAUUAGUUUUUAAUUCAAACAAUUAGGAUUGCUAACAUUUUAAAUUAAUAAAUUAAAUUUUUUUAAAAUUUUAAAAUUAUUCAAUCAAACACGCGUUGAAAUAUUUAGUAUUAAUGUAUUAAAAAUAUACUUAAAUAAAUGAAAAAUGAUUGUAUAAAACUAUGAUACAAACUAUUCUUUAUCUUUUUCUAAUAAAAAAUAACAAUUACCGAAAUUAUUAUUUGCUAAUAAAUGGUGGGAUAAGACUUGAAAUUAAUGUUGAAGUUGAAGAUAUUGAAAUCAAAUGGAGCUUUAUUUUGGGUUAAUUGUAGGUUGGACAAGUUAGAGAGUUACAACAUUUAUUAAACUGUUUUAUGCAUAUAUAAUCGACAAAAAUGAAGUAAAAACCAGCAUCCUAGUAAUAUAAUAGGGUAUCUGGAGCUAAUACCAUCAACACCAUUAUCAAUACCAAUCAAAGAAUCUAUUCUAAAGAAUAAACCAUAACCUACAACUAAAAUAAUUCCUUUUAAGUACUCAUCGUAUAGAAAAAAGGACAACAAAAAUUCUUAAAUUACACCUCCAACUAUUUCUCCACCUAAAAUGGAAAAAAAAGAAAAAAAAAUCAAACAUCCCACUAUUAAAACACUGAAUUUUGACACCUGAUAUGUGAUGCACAUAAACACCAUUAAAAUGAAAAUAAUUGUUGAAAAUAUACAAAGAAUUCCCGAUGUUAGAAAGGUAGGGUCUAUGAAAGAUAUUGAUUGAUCGAAGCACAUUGCAAGAAAGGCAAGUAGUACUUGAAGUGCUGUCCUGAAACCAUGGGGAAAUGGUUUAAGCAGGGCUAGUAUUAGGAAAAAGGUUACUAUGAAGACAAUAUAAGUUGGAAUAUAGAAAUGAAGAAAACUAGAUUGAUCCAUGACUGAUUUCCCUGGUACUGUUGAAUCAUAUGAUCCUUUGGACGUUGAGGUAUUUUCACCUUACCAAACACCACCAGGGGGGCUUAGACUGGCUUGGUAAGUUGCAGCUAGAAGUACUCCUAAAAUUACUAGUAAGGCAUUGCGGUCCUCCCCUGAUAUAUUAUCCAUAUUGUGAAAAAUUAGUGAUGAUGCCUUUGUCACAUGCUUGACGAUUUGUUUCUCCAAUUUACAUUUAAAGUUUGAAACUUCUGGAAUAAAGCAACCACGCAGAAUAGUAAUGCUUUCCCUAUUAUGUUGUUGUUGUGCUACAUCCAUUACCGUCCAACCAGCCUGGUUGUUGGCAUGCUUAUCGGCUUUGCAGUUUAAUAGUAGUUUAAGCUCUGUUCAAAAAGGCUACGUUUAGUUAAUCCUACGUAUGAAAUACAAAAGAACCUAAUCAAUACGGACUGCUAUUGAAGUAGAUGAGUCAAACCUCGGGUUGAUUAUGGAAAGCAGCUAACUGCAGUGCAGUGUUUCCAUCUUCAUCUAUUUGGUUCACCACUUCCCGAUAAUAGUCUGUCUUCCAAAGUGUUCGAAUUAGGACUUGGAGAACAUCCAGUCUGUUGUUUUCUACAGCAAUAUGCAAAGCAUUGCGAUUCUCAAUUGGAACAUAUUGUAUACAUUGAGGACAAAUCUCUAAAAUUCUAUCCAACAUGCCAUCAUGAUUUCCAGCUUCACUUAAGAAGUGCAAGGGAGUCUUACCGUUCUUUCCUUUGACACGAACAAGAUCAUUAUCCAUUUCCAAGAAACGUAGAGCCAUCUCUUUAUGCCCUUGUUUAACUGCAAUGUGAAGUGGGCUCAGGCCCUGUUGGUUUAGCUUCCUAGCAAAUGCUGGCUUUAAGUUCAUCAUUUCCAUUGCAAACCUAAUGCAUCCUUCUUCUGCAGCAAUGUGUAAAGGAGUGUCGACAAACUCCACCUCAUCAAAGUGCCUCAAAACAUUUCCAUCUCUUUGAAUUAAAUUGUACAAAUCAGUAACAUUUCCUGUACGAGCUGCUGUUCUCAACCUUUCAUCCAUGUGAGGUGGAAGGACCAAUUGACAGAAGAAAAUUUGAAAGAGCUUAAGCCCACUUACAAGGUUUACUAGAAUGAGUAAAGACUAAGGUGCUCUGUGAAAUGAAGUAGGUCUUUCACAUGUUCAUACUCGAAAGUUUAAAAUAGGAAACAUUUAUCAAGAAUUUUCUGCAGCUUUGUUUAUAAAGAAAGCAGAAAAAGGAAUCUUUCAAGUCCGCCUGCUUAUUAUUUUAAAGAAAGUUACAUUUGUCCAAAUUUUAAUUGAUCUUCUUGCCAUUGGCUAAGCAGCCUCUCAUAUUAUUAUUUAUGUAUUUAGGUUAGUUUAAAAUUUUUAAAAUUUUAUAUUACUGAAGGUAAAAUUGUAUUACCUUCUUAAAAAUAAUAAUAAUUUAAUUUAAUCUUUUAAAAUUUAUAAAGAUAUAAACAAUUAAAAUGAUGAAAUUAAAUUUUUACUAUCGUAAAAAUUAUAAUUUAAUUUCGAUUUCUCUUAAAAAAAUUAUACCAAAUAAGUUUUUUAAUUCAUAAAAUAUGAUCGUUAAAGGUUGGCGAGUGAACCAUUUUGUACAUAUAUCAUAUCACAUGGCCACUCUCGUGAUACUAUUUUAUUUUAUAUAUCAUAUUAUAAUGGUGUUUUUGGAUCACUAGAGGAAUGUUAGAAAAAAAAUCAUAAAAAUAUCAAUUUAAAAAAAAAACAAAUCUAUUAAAAAAUGAGAGUACACAUUAAUCUUUUUAAUUACGCAUUGAUUAAACAAUUAUUAAAUGACAUUUUAUAAAAAAAUUUAAAAUACAUUUAAAUUAACUAUAAUUUAUUUACACACACAAAAAAAAAAAAAAACUAUAAUUCAUAGAGUCUACAUUAAAGAGUGAGUUAGUAUAGGAAAGGUUAUAGCAAUGGAUGUUUAAUCUUUUUGGUGCUGUGAUCUAAGCCAACAAAGGAACAAUAGAAAAGACAGAAAUUGAGCGAUAAAGUAUAUACAUAUUUAUUAUGUUUUUGAAGGUUUCAUUAACCUGGAGUUAUUAUAUUAUAAAACUUUGCAUACUUUAAGGUUAAAAACUUGUGUUCAUCCAUGUGAUCUAGUUUUAUCCAAUGAUAAAACUAUGCCUUUUGUAUGCCCAUACUCCAAAUGUAAACAAAUAGCAUCUACAAUAAACUUCAUACUUCACUAGCAUUGUAUAUCCCCUCCACCGCCACCCCUGUGGCUAUCAAUAAGUUCAGAAUUAAGUAGCUGUGGUUUUCUCUUGUAAGGAUGAGAACACAAGUUUCAAUCUAAAAAAUAUUAUUUGUUGUGUUAAGAUAUAAUAAAUCUGUUAAAGAAGUAGUUACAGAUUAGCUGAGUUGUCAGCUAUAUUGUUAAGAGAAGCAGUUAGUUAGAGAGUCUAUAAAUGUUCACGAUUGGCAUUGUAUUGAAUCAAGUUAGAAGUCUAAAUUCAGAAUUGAAAACAUUGUUCAUUAAGAAUUCUUUAGUUUCUUAGAACUUACCUAUAUUUCUUCAUGGUAUCAAUCGCCUGGUGAUCCUCUGCCAUGGCUACCACGAAUUCUGCUACUUCUGAUUCUGUAGAACCGCAAGUGUCUGCGUUUGUUGCUGAUCGAGUUGUAAAUUCAUUUCCUCGUCAUGAGGUUGUGAAGCUAGAUGAAGGCACCUUUGUUCAGUGGAAACAACAGGUGCGUUUUAUUGUUAAUGGUUACAAUUUGUUUGGAUUUCUUGAUGAAUCGGUUUCUCCUCAGCUGCGAUUCAUGCAAGCACCGGAUGGUGCCCUUGUGGUGAAUUCGACAGCCUCUGUUUAUCACCAACAGGGUAAUUUGAUUACAUCCUGGCUUCUAUCAACAAUCAAUUCUUCGAUCUUGUCUUCUUUUACAAAUGUGCAAACCGCUUCGGAUGUGUGGACGACGGCGUUGGCCUUGUUUGCAGCGGACACAGAUCUGAAACAGUCCCGCCUGAGACAUGAUCUUCAUUCCAUCAAGAAGGGAAAUCUGUCCAUCCGAGAUUAUGUUGGAUGUGUGCUCUUUUGGAGGCCUCUGAUUCUUCGAUCUCGGUGGCGGAACGAACGACGGUGUUUCUUCCCGGUCUUCCCUCGGAGUUUGACGCCGUGGUGUCGUCUGCUACACUGUCUUCGACCUCUCUUCCUUUCCAGCGUCUUGUCGAUGCGCUGAUCGAGUAUGAAAAUCGUCAGGUGCAAGCGGCUAAAGAAGUUGUUUAUGCCGCGAAUUUAGUGGAAGACUCGUCACCGGUUGUGGAUGUUUCAUCACGUGGGGGACGUUCGGUGGUGCGUGGCCGUGGUCGGAGCUUUCGGCCUCGGCUUCAGUGUCAGAUCUACUCAAGGUUCAGUCACGUUGCUCAACGGUGCUAUUACCGGUACCAUCAUGAAGACGCAUCUCCGGUGCAAUUUCCGUCGUCGACUCCUCCUGCUACUGGGUUUUGUGACUAGCCUUCACAGCAAAAUACAAGGCCUAGAAUUUCUAAUGUUGGUCAAAAUGGUUAUGGGUCUGGUCAACAUGGUGAUAAUGGUCAAAAUUGGUUUGUUGAUGGACCAUUUAAUACACAGCAGUGGGGGCCGCAUGAACUUCAAAAUGUUGGGCUCAAUAAUGGUUGGCCUAGGCAAAAUAUUGAUGAGGGCCGUAUGUUUAGGCCUCCAUAUUAUGGGCCGAAUGUUCUUGGGCCUAAUCAUGGGCCGAAUGAAGGAUUAGACAGGAGAUUUGGGCCUACUCAUGAUAAUGGGCCGAAUGAUGUUGGGCCGAAUGCUUCUUUAUUAGCACCUAACCCUGUUUCGAAUAAUGUGCAGCUUGACCCGGCUAAGCCAUCCGGUAAUGUUGGUGUUCCGUGGCGUACUAAACCACGAGCCUGUGUGUUUUCAGUGUCCAAUAUUUGUUUUGGGCUUCCUAGAUUGGGAGAUCUUCAUGCGUCUGACUAUUCUGAUUUGUCUAUCUCCGGUUCGCAUAUAAACUCCACACAACAUGGGAUUAGUAGAGAUGGCUCUGACUCUCCGGUUCCUGGGCCAGCUAGCACUACAUCCUGGUAUCCUGAUUCGGGUGCUAGUAAUCACGUGUGUCAAGAUCCUUCUGCACUGCGUGAUGCUGUUCCAUAUUCAGGUACGUCCUCUCUUUUAAUAGGUGAUGGUACGCCUGCUAUGAUAUCGUUUGUUGGUCAGGGUGUUUUGUCUACACAGUCUAGGUUACUUCGGUUAUUUAAUGUUUUGUGUGUUUCAGCUAUUCGAAAAAAUUUAUUGUCAGUAUCACAAUUUGCAACUGAUAAUGGUGUUUUAUUUGAGUUUCACUCCAUUUAUUAUGUGAUUAAGGACAACAUGACACAGGAGAUUUUGCUGACGGGCUGUAUACAUAAUGGGCUAUAUCAGUUUUCUAUAUCAGAUGCUUCUAUUCCUGUUACAUUUCAUCUGUCUACUGCUCAGGUUGAAAUUCCAACUCGGACUGCCGACAAUGAGUUUUGUUUACUAUGGCAUAAGCGUCUUGGCCAUCCAUCAUCGAAUGUUGUUAAGAAUGUUCUUGAUAAAUGUCAUUUCAAUUUGAAUAAAGUUGCGAUAAGCGAUGUUUGUACUGCUUGUAAAAAAGGAAAGUUUCAUAAGUUGUCGUUUCUUGUUUCUAGUACUGAAUAUACUGAUCCCUUCUCUUUGGUUAUUUCGGAUUUGUGGGGACCUGCCUCAAUUGCUUCUGGUAACAAUUGGUAUUAUGUGUCGUUUAUCGAUAUGAGUUUUCGGUUUACUUGGGUGUAUUUGAUUAGGCAAAAAUCUCAGGCUGUGACUUACUUUAUUCGGUUUCAGAAACUUAUUCAGAAUCAGUUUGGCAAGACCAUCAAACAGUUCCAAAGUGACUAGGGCGGGGAGUAUCGAGCAUUUGCUUCAGUUCUGGCCUCUCAAGGUAUCAUCCAUUGCAUUUCAUGUCCUCAUGCCUCUGAACAAAAUGGUGUUGCUGAGCAUAAACAUAGACAUAUUAUGGAAAUGAGACUCACUCUUUUAGCUCAAGCUGGUCUUUCAAUAGAGUUCUAGGCGUAUGCCUUUACAUGUGCUGUUCAUUUAAUAAAUCGUCUUCCCACACCAGUUCUGAAUUGUAGGACUCCGUAUAGAGCUCUGUAUGGGACUGAACCUAUCUAUGAUCAUCUACGUAUUUUUGGAUGUUGCUGCUAUCCGUAUUUACGCCAUUUUCAGCGGCACAAGUUAGAGUUUAGGUCUCAACCGUGCACGUUCUUGGGUUACAGCUCUUGUCACAAAGGGUAUCAAUGCCUUUUGCCUGAUGGUCGAAUUAUUAUCUCGCGUCAUGUAGAGUUUGAUGAAUCAAGGUUUCCCUCUCCAACGUCUCUAUCACGGUCUACUCGGGAGGUGAGUACUAUACCUACAUGUUUUCCUGUACUUAAGACUAAACCAUUGUGUCAAAGGAACUCAGUAACUAGUCCUAUUUGUCCGAGUACGGUGCAUGGGUCUUCGAUUCCUCAGAAUGGAGUAGAUAAUAGUCCGGAAAAUACUAAUGGUUCUAAUACUCCCUCUUUAACUAGGUCUUCGAUUCCUCAGAAUGGAGUAGAUAAUUCUCAAAAUAAUUUUUCUUCCUCUGGUGAUUUGUCUCCUACACCUGUGGUUCCAGUUCCAUUUGUUCCUACAGGACCAGAGGUUUCUGUUCCUAACAUGAAUGUUCAUUCCAUGACCACUCGGUCAAAGGCUGGUAUUUUUAAACCUAAAGUUCUUGCUGUUGAAGUUGUAGAACCAUCAACGAUUGAGAAAGCUUUUACUAGCCCUGAAUGGCAGACUACUGCUCAAUCUAAGUAUGAUGCCUUAAUCCGUAAUGGUACCUAGGAACUUGUCCCUGUGCCAUCAGGUAGGAAAGUCAUUGGCUGCAAAUGGCUAUUUAAGGUCAAGAAAAACCCGGAUGGUACGGUUGAAAGGUACAAAGCAUGUUUGGUUGCGAAAGGUUGUUCUCAAGUUCCGGGUUGUGAUUUUCAAGAGACGUUUAGUCCAGUGGUAAAACUUGCCACUAUUCGAGUUAUCCUAUCGGUCACGGUCACUAAAGGAUGGUCGCUUCGACAGGUUGAUGUCGAUAAUGCCUUUUUAAAUGGUGAUGUUGAUAAUGAAGUGUUUAUGCAACAACCCCCAGGAUAUGUUCACCUUGGCUUUGAUGGGAGACCCUUGGUCUGUCGAUUAAAAAAGGCUUUAUAUGGAUUGCGUCAGGCUCCACAAGCAUGGUUUGAGAAGUUGAGAUCGUUUCUUCUAACCGUUGGGUUUAUUGGUUCAAAGUCAGAUGCGUCGCUAAUUGUUCAUAUCUGUUCUGACUCUACUCUCUAUGUUCUUGUGUAUGUUGAUGACAUAAUCAUAACUGGUAAUCUGUCGUCAUCUAUUGACUGGUUUGUGAAGCUGCUGAAUGAUGAGUUCUCGUUAAAAGGCAUGGGUGAUCUUCAUUAUUUUCUGGGUAUUGAGGUUACUAGGUCCUCCUCUGGGUGUCUUCAUCUUUGUCAAAAGAAGUACAUCCGAGAUAUGUUGGAGCGUAGUGGUUUAUCUAAUGCUAAAAGUGUCCACACGCCCAUGAUUAGCUCGUCACAUUUGUCUAAAAAUGAUGGUGAUCCUCUUUCCGAUCCAAUUGCGUAUAGGAGCCUGGCUGGUGCAUUACAAUAUGUUGUUAUUACUAGGCUUGAUAUUGCAUAUGCGGUAAACAGGAUUUGUCAGUUUAUGCAUAGUCCUACCAUAGUUCAUAUGGUUGCUCUUAAGAGGAUAUUGAGGUACUUGUCUGGUACUCUUGAAUUUGGGAUUGUUUUUAGUCGUUUUGAUUCACUAUCUCUAGUUGGUUUUUCGGAUGCCAACUGGGGGUUGGAUUUCGAUUAUCGGCGUUCUACUUCAGGAUAUUGUGUGUUUUUUGGGUUCAACCCUGUCUCGUGGUCCUCUAAAAAACAGCAAGUGGUGUCUCGGUCUACGGCUGAGGCUGAAUACCGAAGUCUUGCUGCAAUCACCAGUGAUGUUUUGUGGUUACUCUCGUUGCUUCAGGAGCUACAUAUUAGGUCUGUUAAUCCGCCUAAUAUCUGGUGUAACAGUUCCAGUGCCGUAGUAGUUGCUACCAAUCUUAUGUUACACUCCAAAUUUAAACACGUGGAGUUAAAUCUGUUCUUUGUUCGUGAAAAGGUUGCUGCUGGUUCUGUUCUGGUCAGGGAAGUUCCUGCGUCCGAUCAAGUUGCUGAUGUCUUAACUAAACCACUCUCAGUUUCGUAUUUCACUCGAUUUAGGAAUUUUCUUCGGGUCGUUUCGGUGGGGAAGAUGGAUGCAUGUUAAGAUAUAAUAAAUCUAUUAAAGAAGUAGUUACAGAUUAGCUGAGUUGUCAGCUAUACUGUUAAGAGAAGCAGUUAGUUAGAGAGUCUAUAAAUGUUCAAGAUUGGCAUUGUAUUGAAUCAAGUUAGAAGUCUAAAUUCAGAAUUGAAAACAUUGUUCAUUAAGAAUUCUUUAGUUUCUUAGAACUUACCUAUAUUUCUUCAUGUUGGAAUGAUUUUAUAGCUACCAAGUUUCAAUUAAUGAGAUCUGUUGAAAUUUUUUUUUUGGUUAUGAAAAUAAAAAUACACAUGUAUAAUAUGUUUAGUGAACACAUUUAAAAUUAAUUUGUAAAAAUUAUUUAGACAUCUGUUGAAACAGAUACAAAAUAUACUAAAGGUGCGACUGAAACAGAAUGAAACUUUAGACUUGUCUUAAUUUUCGAUUAGAAAAUUGAAGUGUUACAACGGUUAGUACACCACUUUAUGCAUAAUCUACAUGAAUUACGGAAUAACCAGCAUCCUCAAGCUAAGAUCAUUGAAACCAUUUUUAUCAACCAUAGCAAUCACAACCAACAAACUAUAACCUACACUUAAAACGGUUCCUUUCAGAAACUCAUCAUAUAAGAAACGAAAUAACAACAAUUCUUGAAUUAUACCUAAAUUUAUUUGUAAAUUAUCUAAAGCCAAAAUAGAAGUCCAAGGAAAUAAUCAACUUUCUACUAUUGAAACACUGAAUUCUGACAACCGGUAUGCAGUACACGAACGCAAUUAUUGAAAUUAUAUGGAUAAGUUUAGAUGCUAAAGGGGGAGUAGGUAUAUAUAAAAGAUAUUGAUUGAUUGAUUGAAGCAUAAGUAGUACUUGAAGCCUCACAUUGUGCUUCCCAUCUGUUGAGACAGUUACGUAAACAAUAAUUCGUGUAAUGAUGUAAUUAGUGUUCAUUGCCCUUGGGGCUGCACAAGUCACAUAAUUUGCUAUAUUUGGGUUUAAUUAUGGAGACAAGCCAGUAACUAAAUUUUGGUUCCAAAGUUCACGGGUAUUGAAACAUGGGCCCUCAAGCAGUCGAUUGUUGGGAUUGUGAGGUUGGGGAUGGUUGAAAAUAGAAAUCUUGGGAUUUUUCAGUGCCGUCCAAAGGUGUUUAUCUUCAUGUUGGAGCUACGGUUCACUUUUAGUGUAAAACAUGGGAGAGGUUUCCACUUUCAAAGGUGCUUAUAUAAGAAUUUAUACUUUCAUUCGGUUCUUAUGACUUCUUUUUUAAAGUAAAUCCUAAUAUGAUAUUAAUCUCUAAUGUUAAUCUAAUAUUUAUCCUAAUAUUGUCGUCAACACCAAGAAGAAGAAGAAGAAAAAGAAAACAGAAACUCUAUCUUAUUACCUAAUGGAAUUUUGAAAAAAAAUAAAUCUAAAAAAUUAUUUAAAAUUCUAAUUAGGUAUUAAUUUAUUGGUAUGUUAAAAUAAUUUAACAGUGUUAUUGUAACUGACUUAAGUUGUUAAUAAUUAAAAUGAAAUGAUUUUUUUUUAUUAAAAUGAAAGUUUAUAAUGUAAAUUAUCUAAUAUCCAUUGUAUUUAUUUUCACUAAAUGAGAAUUACAAGUUAAAAUAAGUUAAAAUCUUUAAUAGUAAUUAUUAAUAUUAAGUAUUUUUUUUAUCUUUAAUUUAUUGGCACAUAUGGGAAAGAUAUAAUUUUUAUAUUCUUUUAAUUUUUUAAAAACUUUUUAUAAUUAAAGCAAAAAAAUAAAAAGAAUAGGGGUCAAAUUGAUAAAUGUUGUAAAGGUUAAGGGGCUAAAUUUGUUAUUGUAUCUAAUUUUUUAACAGAGUUAAUAGAAAAAUGAACAAAGGGAUUGAAAAUGAGCAAAUUGAAAAGUAGAAAGAUCAAUUUUGAGCAAAUAAAAGUAGAGAAACCAAAUCUACACAAACUGAGAAUCCAGGGCUAUCCUUACAAUCUAACCUAAAAUAUAAAAAAUUAAAUACAUAAAUAUUAUUUUAGUAAUUUCUAAACAAAGUUAGCACUUUAAUGUAGGGGUGUUCAAAUUUCAGUUAAAAUCGAAUUAAUCGAUUGAACCAAUCUAAUUCGGUUAAUCAGUCGGUCAAUUAAUCUAAUUCGGUCGGAGGCCAAUUAAUGAUUUUUUGAAAAUUCGAUUGUCGGUUAAUUCGAUUUGAAAUUAGGUAAUUAACUGAAUUUAAUAAUUAAUAACACAAUUAUAUGUAUUUUUAAUUCAAUUAAUUCGGAUAAUUCAAUCAAAUGAACCUUAUCAAAUUAUUUUUUAUUUAUUUAAUAUUUAUUUUAACUAAAAAAAAAUACAAAUUUCGAUUAACUGUUUUUAAAAAAAAUUCCCGUAAUGUUUCCUAGCGUAUGCAGGUAAAUUUUUUUUUAUUUUUUUUCAUUUAUUGGUAAAUUAAUGGUUAAUAAAUCCUUUCAUUCUUUAAUCUUCCCCCAUUUUCUUUCCUUUAAUUAUAUUUAUCCAAAUAUAGGGUUAAUGUAGAAUUUUUAUUUUAUUUUAAUUUUUACCAUUAUCCUUUAUAUUUUAUCUUUAAAAUUAAAAAUUACAUUUAAUAAAUAGUAUAAUUAUAUUUCGAAAUAAAUUUUAAAUGAUAUAUAAAUAUAUUUUAAAUUUAAUUCUCAAAAACUUAACUUUUUAAUAUUUAAUUUUUCUAUUUAUCCAACAACGUUUAAGUAUUGCACUCACACUCGUAAAUAAAUAAAUAAAUAAAUAAAUGAAGGCCUUUUGUAAUUAAGAAAGUUGAGAAUGGGUUGCUCCUCAUAUGGUGGAAUUGGCUACAAUAAUGAAGGAAGGAAUAUCCAAUAAUUGGGAGGCAAUGGCAUGCCCUACACAUACUUUUUACUGUCUGUGGUAAUGGAUCAAUUGCACCUAUUUUGUUUUCUUCACUUGUUCUUGUCCUGCAUUAUUUGGAUUUGUGAGUAAAUUAACCGAGACAACUUAUUCAUCAGACUUACUUGGAGAGAAGUGUACGAAGUAUCAUCUCUCGAGAGAGCACACAAACUCUUCAUAUAUAGGUAUCACUUAAGGAGAAAUGUAAAAUUUUAGAUUACAUUAUCUUUUUUAUCGAUCUUACCCAUUAUAUAUAAAAUUUGGGAUUUAGAGAUUAAGAAAAAUGAAAAAUAAAAUUUUAAUAAUUUCUUUAUUCGCACGAGUUAUAUUAAAAAAAAUUAUUUAUUACACAUCCAGUAAAAGAGUGAAUAAAAGAUUUUGAAAAUUAAAAAUUAUUAAAAGAAUUGUGAGCUUUAUUUUUCAGUUUCCACAUGACGAUGGUCAAAUUCAUGCUUAUCCAAACCUGCAGGUGUAUGCAGAACGAUAAAGCUAAUCUUGACUGCUAGUCUUUCUUCUUUUUUACUUUUGAAUACUCUUCUCUUGUUGCUUUCAUUGAAAUAAUGUUGGACUGUAAUCUUGAAUACCAUUUAAAAUUUUUUUAUUAUAAAUAUUAAAAUUAUAACAUUUUAGUUAUUUAAUUUAAUCAAAUAUUAUAACUUGUUGAAAUCAUAAAAUAAAAAAUCAAUUCAAAAACAAAAAUCUCUUUUGUUCAAUUCUAAUUGAAUUGGUGUCUCUAAUCAAUUGGACAUCAAUUCGAUUAGGGAAUUACGAAAAUAUCUUUUCAUAUUUAAAAUAAUUAAUAUUAUUCGAAAGUAUUUUAAUCUUUUUAUGCAAACUUAUCAAUAAAAACAUGAAUCUAAUGGGAUUUGACGUAAGACUCAUCUAUAGAUGAAUUCAAAAUUUUUACUCGAUUCAAUCGAACAAUCACCUCUAAAUAUUACACAUUUUGAAUCUUCAUGUUGGUAAAGAUAAAGUGGAGAAGUUAUCUUUUGUGUGUAUGUGUGUUUUAGUAUUUCCUUUAAUUGUGUGGCUAAUUAAGUGCCUUUAAUGACACUUUUAAGCAAUCAUAUCCAUUUUAUUUAUGAAGGAACUUUGUGGUCAUGAUCGGGAGAUCCGAAUUUAGCAUAUUUACAGAGAAAGAAAUCUUGUUUCAGAUUUCUUGGCCCAUACGGGAUCUGGCUCCGGCUUUGAUCGAAGUUUACUACGAGAGCCACCUGGAAAUGCUCUCUCAACUUCAACUACACUAUGUGAUUAUAUUGCUGGUUCUUUGCCCUAGCGCCUCUGUUCGUUUGUGGGUAAUUAGUUGUUGUUAAGGCUUUUGCCUCUUUCUAAUUUUAUUAAAAAAAAAAAGGAAAAAACUUGGCACGAUGGAUCCAUCUUAGCUAAUAAAAAACUUCAAUCACCGAAUUGUACGAAAUUCUAACUUAAAUUUAAAUGUAACAACCAGAAUCAUUCAUCAAUCCACAAUAUCAACCAAUCUCAAUUCAAACACAAAAAUAACGAGUGAAAAAAAUAGUUCAACCCAUAAACAUUGACCACAAAGGGAAAUUUGAAACACUUACCACCAUCCCCUAUCAGAAAGUCUUUCCCCCAUUCAACAACUAGAAAUCAGAGCUCACCAAAAUGUCUAUUCUUUUCAAUCUGAACCGACUCUACAAUCACAUAUUGCUCAUGGUCAUCAGCCUAUAAAGCCAGGAGCAUUAUUAACUUCUAAAUCCAAAACACUAAUAUCAGCAACCAACCCUACAAUGAUAGUCUAAUUGACUCAUUUAAACAAGUUUCGUUUGUCAAUCUACAUUCCGUAUUUGGUAAUCUCCAAUAUUGUCUCGGAAUUUAGGAUAGCUGGAACAAGAAUACCAGCAAAGAUGCAAAGGGAAACGACUUGUAGGAGGAGGAAGAACCUUCUUUUGGGUACAAACCUGUAUAGCAUAUAAUAGGAUGUCCUGUAUAACGUCACGAGAGCCAGUACCGUUGCCAAGCAGUAAUUAGCAAUGCUGAGACGAGGAUAGGAAACGGAUCCAGGAGUCGAAAGAGAGAACAAAUACUCAAGUGCGAGUGUCCGUAUGGAAACAGCAACUAAAAGCAUGUAACAGGUCCCAAACAAGGAAAGUGUUAUGAGAAUAAACAAGCAGAUUGAACGGCUGGGUAGGAGAUAGGCUGUUAAAACAGUUGCUGCCCAAAAAGUUAAAGUGUUGUAUAACCAAAACAUUGUGGACACGUCUAGUAUAUUUUUAAAUUUUUCUUCUUCAGCGGGUGGAGGAGUUGGUGCGGGUCCAGUGCUGGUUGAACCUACAGAUGCGUCAUACCUGAGAUGGAAAUUCCGGGAAUUUGAAAUGGUAUCAGGCUGCUUUGGAGGGUUCAAAGUGGCAGUGUAUGUGGCUGUUAUAAUUAGCACUGUGACCACUAAAAAUGUGUUACGCAUCUCAUGUGGGAUUCCCUUCUUUCCACGACUUGCCAUUGUUGCAAAUUUUUGAAGAACUGACACCUUUCCUUUUAAAGAUUCGAUGUGGACUGAGGUUUUGGGAAGCGAGGAACCACUCAAACCUCCUGCUUUGCUUAUCAUGUCUUUAAUGGACUCCUUAUAGUCCACUUUCCCUUCAACCAAUGGGUAUUGUGAUGGGAUAUCAAGUGCAGUCAAUCCCUCCGCAUUUUUGGCAUUGAUAUGGUCACCACACAAGCGUUCCAGCAGUACUUUUACCACCUGUUAAUUAGAAUAUUCAUACAAGAGUAACCUUUGAGUAUAUAUAUAUACAUAAAUAAUUUCACUAGCAAAAUUAUCAUACCUGAGGUCUGUUUCUGAUAGCAGCGACAUGUAAAACAGUGUUGCCAUCAAUGUCUGCCCAACUCAGUAGUUCUUUCUCCCAACGGUUGGCAGCUUUAUGGCGGCUCCUUAUAAGCCACCCCACCAAGACUUGGAAAGCUUCAAACCUGUCAUUUUUUACGGCAAGAUGGAAAACCGUCUCAUCUCGAACAGUCACAUCUUCAAUAGCCUCGGGGCAAACCUCAAGGAACUUGAUCAAAAAAUCAACAUUUCCAUUUUGAACCACAUGAUGCAAAGGAGUGAAGCCCUCCCGCCCUUUGACACGAACAAGGCCUUCAUCAAACCUGAGAAGUCGAAGCACUGCUUGAGUGUGUUGAUUUUGCAGAGCCAAGUGCAUGGGGCUAAACCCAGCUUGGUUUAGCUUUCUUGCAAACGAUGGCUUUAAGUUGAUCAUCUCCAUCAUAAAAUCAAUAUGCCCUGCAGAGGCUGCUACAUGCAAAGGAGUAUGGAAAAAAGGUACAUCAUCGAUACGCUGAAAAACAUAUGGAUCAUUCAGAAUUAACUCAUACAAGAUGUUUAUGUCUCCUGUUUGUGCAGCACCUAUCAUCCUCUCAUCCAUAGCAAGGUGCGGAAAUUUGCAGAAUAUAGAAAUGGAGUGAAGAAAAAACGCUUUAGCAGACGAUGUGAUUAUGUUAAGGAUAUACUGAAGUGUUUUAUUAUUUUUUCCAGAUGGAGUGUGUGAUAUUUUAUAGCACUUAAUUAUUUUGGAUUUAUAUGUGAUGUCAGCCACUACACGUAUACAUGUGAAUGUCACCUAUUAGAAAGAAAUAGUAAUUAUAUUUAGUAAUUAAAUUCAUAUUUAAUAUAUAUUUUUAAUCUAAUUUUUUAACUCAAUUUAAUUUUAGUUAAAACGUUUAAAAACAUUUAUUUAAUUUAAUUUCUUUAAUAUAUUAAAUAAAUUGAAUUAGAGAAUAUAUUAAAUAUGGAUGAAUACUAUAUCAUACUAAUUUUAUGUCUCUAAAAAUUAAUAAGGUGUCAUUAUUUUAUUGGUGCUUAAAAAAUUAAAAUAUUUAGAAUCAUCCUAAUAUAAGUUAUUCUAUUAAUAAUAAUAUUUGGUACUUCCACGAGUAAGUUCAAUAGUUUGACAAAUGUCUUAUAAAAGUAUAGUAAAAUAUUAAAAAAAAUUAUUUAGUGACUUAAUUUUUUAAGAACAUUUGAUAAUUUAUAAAGAAAAUAAAUAAUAAUUUUUUUCAAUAAAAAAGUGUGAAAAAAUGAUAAGUAGAUAAUAACUAUUAUCACUUACAACAUGUUUGGAUUAAAAAGAUAGAAAAAAGGAGGGAAAAUUAAGUAAAAUGAGGGAAAGAAAAUUCGGUUUCUUUGUUUAAGUUAAGUAAAUAUCGUAUCAUUAGAUUUUAUAUUUUAGGGUCUGUUUGAUUGAAGGAAUUGAUUUUCCGAAAAAUCAUUUUUAACUUUUCCAGCGUUUGAUUGGCGGAAAAUAUUUUCCAUUUGGAAAAUGAACUCCAAAACAUGGAAAAAUGGGUUACAUUUUAGGGAAAAUGUCUUACCCUUUCAAUUUCCGUAAGACAUUUUCCGUGCUCUCCUCUCUAUCUCCUCCUUCAUUCCUUCCUUCAUUUCCGGUAAAAAAUUGUUACUGUUUAUCGAUUUUCUAGUAACUUGUUUUUUUAAUUAUUCAAUACUUAUUUUUUUAACACAAUUACAAAUAAUUUAUUUGAUACUAAUUUUUUUCAAUUUAUAAUGAUUAAUAUUGUAGCUUAAUAAUUGAGUAUUAUUAUAAAUAAAUCAUUGCAAUAUAUGUAAAAAUAAUUUAAAAUAUAAAAAUUUAUUAAUAUAUAUCAAUAUAUGUAAAAACAAUUUUUUCAAAAAAUAUUUACCAGAAAUCUGCCAAACAGCCGAAAAUAUUUUACACAGAUUCAAUCAAACACCAGAAAAUAUUUUCCAGUAAAUCAUUUUACAGAAAAGUAAAAUAUUUUCCCGAAAUCAAUUUACGGAAAAUAUUUUACUGGCAAUCAAACAGACCCUUAGAUUAUUAUCUCUUCUUCUUCUUCUUUUAACUUGUAACCAUCUUAUUUUUAUUUUCUAUUUGUUUAGGUUACUAGAAAUAUUUAAUUUUAAAUUUGUUUGAUAUAUAUUUUUAAAAAUUUUAACAAUAUUUUUUAUUAACUAUUUUGUUAAAUUAUUAGGAAUCCUUCAUUUGUAAUUUGGUUAAGAUAUAUUUUUUAGUUUGAUCAAAUAAGCUUAUUUAAAAAAAAAAGAGAGAAUAUACCAAUAUAUUAUUGGUUAACAUUUUAAUUAUUAUUUUAUAUAGACUAUUGAUAUUGUUCUAUAAUUUUAAUUUGCUGUGAUUUAAUUUUGUUAUUAUAUAUUAUUUAUGAACUGUUAAAAUUAAAAAAUAAAAGUAAAAUAAUUCAUUUUCUUUCCUUUUCACAGUUUAGCAAAACAAGUCCACAAGGUCGCCCCAUUCAACAAAAAUUAAAUUGUUUAAAUAUAUAUAUGUAUAUAGGGACUAGUUUUAACAAAUAAAAAAUAUAGAAAAACUACAUUAAAAAAAUAGAGAAUGGAGGAAAACAGAGGGAGAAGCAGAAGACAAUAAAAAAUAAAGGAAAGUUAAAAGAACAUAAAAAAAUUAAAUUGAAUUGCUCAAAACGAAAAAAAUAUGGGGAUCAGUUGUAUAAAUCACCCUAAAUUUUUUGUUUGAAAGAUGAUUUAACAUGUCACAUCAGCUUAUCGUUAUAUGGUUAACGGAAAUUAACAGCUCAGUGACUAAAAUGUUACAACGCGAUAACGUAAGUGACUAAAAUGUAACAUUUCAAACAUAAAUGACUAAAAUGUAAGCAAAAGUGACUAUUUUAAUAAUUUACCCUUACAUUUAUCCAAACAUACGCUUAAUGUAAACAUUUUUCAAUUAUUUUUAUUUUAUUUUAUUUUUAACCAUUAUCCUUUAUCCUUACUUUAAAAAGUAUAAUUAAUAAAUAGUAUAAUUAUUUUUCAAAAUUAAUUUUAAGUAAUACACCAAAUAGAUUUUAUAACUUAAAUUUAAUAUUUAAGUUUAUAAUAUUUUUUUAUCAAACAACAUUUACUCCUAAGUAAAUAAAUAAAUAAAGGCCUUGUGUAAUUAAGAAAGUUGAGAAAGGGUUAAUCCUCACAUGGAAAAAAUUGGCUACAAUAAUGAAGGAAAGAGAAAAACACUAAGGAAUAUCCAAUAAUUGGGAGGCAAUAUGUCAAUUAUGAGCAUACCCCAUACUGUCAAUGGUGAUGGAUGAAUUGUCUACUAUACAUGGAUUUUGUUUUCCUUUUUUUUUUCCUUUUUUUGUUCUUGUCCUGUAUUAUUUGGAUUUGAGAUCCCAAGCUAUGUAUGUCAUCACAUUUUAAAUAUAUAUAUAUUUAUUAUGUAUUGAGUAUCAGUUUUAUUGGUAUAAAUAUUAUUGUUAAUGUAUGAGAAUAUAGAUUCAAGUGUGCACUACACCAAAACAGGCUUUUAACGGCACUUUUAGCGGCGUUUUGAGCGAAGACGCUGCUAAAAAUCGAAAAAUAGCAGCGUUUUAGGAAAAGCGCCGCUAAAGAGUGAGCAUUAGCGGCGUUUAUAAAAAAUGCCGCAAAUAAUACACCCAAACAGUGCCGUUUUAUGUCCUUUCGGGGGAAUUAGUGGCGUUUUUUGUAAAGCGCCGCUAAGGCUAAGACUUUUAGUGGUGUUUUUUGAAAAUCGUCGCUAAUCUAGGUGUUUUAGCGGCGUUUUUUGUUUAUGCGCCGCAAAAAUAAUUUAUCUUAAUUGAACUAUUAUUUAUAUUGUUUAAAUCAAAUUAAACAUAUUUCUAAUAGAAUAUUUAAAAUCUUCAAUAAAAAAUAACAAGUAUAAAUAAUUCGAAAUAAAACACAUGGAAAAAUUAAAAUAGUAUUAUUUAAAAUAAUUUUAAAGUUUGUUGGGUACAUUACUGAUUGUUUUUUAAUUUAUAUAUUAAAAAUUUGAAAUUAUUAUCGUAAUUAAAAGAGAUAGUAUUAAUUUAAAUUUAAAAUAUUGAAUUAAGCGUAUCACUAUAGUUAAUAUAGGGUUUUAGGUUUUAGGGGUAUAUAUAUAUGAUAUUAUUAAUUUAAGAUUUUAAGUCGGUUUAGGGGUUACUAUUUUAAGGUUAUUAUUAUAAUUGAUCAGGAGUAUAUAUAUAAUAUUUGAUUUAAGGAUAUGGUUUAAGGGCUGAGAUAUAAUGUUUAGGGGUUAGGGUUGGGGUUAGCACUUAAGGGUUAUUAAUUAGGAGUUAAUUAAGGAUUUAGGGUUUAGCUAGGGGUUGGGUUAGGGAACGUAGGGUUUUAGAUUAAUUAGUAUUGCCAAAUUAUAUAUUAAAUAUGUUCUUAUAUAUAUAAUUGUAAAAGAGGUAAUAAUAAAUUUGUUUAGGAUUUUUCGGUUCGGUAUAUGAUUUGGUUUCGGUAUAUUAUUAAUUUAAAUACGAAUUUGAAUAGUAAUGCUCAAAUAUAUAAUUCAUGAAUAACACUUAAAUACUUAAAUAAAUUUGUGAAUUUGAAUUGAAAUCAUCCAAAAAUAUGCAUAUACCUGAGUCGGUAUCUUUCCUAUUUUGAUCACUUCAAUAAAAAAAAUCCCAUAUAUAUAUAUAUUUAGUACUCCUUAAUUAUUUGUUUUCAUUAAUUUAUCUAUUUGAUGAAGGUCAAUAUAAUAAAUUAGUUAAUUAGACAAAUUUAUUCAUUUAUCAAUAAAAUAAAAUAUUAUAAAUUUCAAAUUUUAUACAAAAAUAAAUAAAUAUUAUAAAGAUAAUAUUGUUUAUUGCUACUUUAUACAAAAAGUUUUUAGUAUUAAUUAUUCUUUAAUCAAUUAUAACUAUUUUAUGAUAUUUAUUAAAGAUUUAGGGAUUAUUUUGGAUGGCCGUGCUAUUUUAAAGAUUAGGGGUACAGAUUUAGGGUUUGGGAUAUAAGAGUUAUCUAGGGGUUUAGGGGUUACAAGUUACAAUUUAGGGGUUAAAGAUUUAGGGUUUAGGGGUUUAGGGGUCGGAUAAGGAUUUUAGGUUAGUUUAGAUUAAUUUCUUUAAAUAAUAUUUUAAAAAAUCAAUCUAAAGUAUCAAUUGAUAUAUUUAAAUAUUAUUUUAAAUAGAAUUCAUAAAUAAGUUAAAAAUAUAUAUUGAUAUAUAUUAUAUGGAUAUGGUUAUAUAUUUAGGUAUAAUUAUUUAUUUUGGAAAUAUAUAUAUAUAGGACCAAAUACAUAAGAAAUGAAGUAAAAAAAACAAAAAAUUUCAAAACGGCGCCAUUUUUGAAUGAAUAGUUAAACUUUUAGUGGCGUUUUAACUGUUAAACGCCGCAAAUAUGGGAAAGCAGUCAUGGCGUUUGUACAAGAAACGCCGCAAAAGUGUCUUUAAAAUUGAGUAAACGACACCGUUUGUCUACACGAUUUUUAACUUAUAAAAAGUUUAGAAUUAUUUACUUGAAACGUCACCAUUUGGCUUGUUGUACGUUAAGUAUUAGUGGCGUUUUUACAAAAACGCCACAAAAUGUACAAUUUGAGAACAAAAAAACAGCGUCGUUUCUGCAUACAGGUUUAAAUUUUUAUGGCGUUUUCGCAAAAACGCAGGAAAUUUAGGAAGCAAUAGCGGCGUUUUUCAGUAAACGCCGAAAAGGGUAUUAAAAUAAUGUCUAAACGGCGCCGUUUCUGUACAUGAUUUGUAACUUAGAAAAAUUUUAGAAUUAUUUAUUCAAAACAUCAAUUAAGUAUUCGUGGCAUUUUUACACAAAACGCAACUAAUAAUACAAUUUGAGACUAGCAAAACGGCGCCAUUUCUGUUUAAAACUUGAACUUUUAGUGGCGAUUUUAUAUCAAACGCCGCAAAUGGGUUUUAAAAAAAUGGGUAAACGACGUCGUUUCUAUACAGUAUAUUUUACUUUGACAAAUUUUAGUGGCAUUUGUGCUUAAAACGCCAGAAAUAAUGCAAUUCCAGACCACGAAAACGGUGUCGUUUCUGUUCACAGCUGUAAUACGUAGUGGCGUUUUUAGGAAAACGCCGGAAAUGUGGAAGAAGUUGCGGCGUUUGUACCUAAAACGCCGCAAAACGGUGUUAAUAUAAUGGCUAAACGACAUCGUUUCCGUAACCGAUUUUUAACUUAUAAAAAUCUUAGAAUAAUAUAUUUAAAACGUCACCGUUUGGCUUAAAAUAGAUUAAGCAUACAGGUUUAAAUUUUUAUGGCAUUUUCGUAAAAACACAGGAAAUUUAGGAAGCAAUAGCGGCGUUUUUCAGUAAACGCCGCAAAAGGGUAUUAAAAUAAUGUCUAAACGGCGCCGUUUCUGUACAUGAUUUGUAACUUAGAAAAAUUUUAGAAUUAUUUAUUCAAAACAUCAAUUAAGUAUUCAUGGCGUUUUUACACAAAACGUAACUAAUAAUACAAUUUGAGACUAGCAAAACGGCGCCAUUUCUGUUUAAAACUUGAACUUUUAGUGGCGAUUUUAUAUCAAACGCCGCAAAUGGGUUUUAAAAAAAUGGGUAAACGGCGUCGUUUCUGUACAGUAUAUUUUACUUUGACAAAUUUUAGUGGCAUUUGUGCUUAAAACGCCAGAAAUAAUGCAAUUCCAGACCACGAAAACGGUGUCGUUUCUAUUCACAGCUGUAAUAUGAAGUGGCGUUUUUAGGAAAACGCCGGAAAUAUGGAAGAAGUUGCGGCGUUUGUACCUAAAACGCCGCAAAACGAUGUUAAUAUAAUGGCUAAACGACAUCAUUUCCGUAACCGAUUUUUAACUUAUAAAAAUCUUAGAAUAAUAUAUUUAAAACGUCACCGUUUGGCUUAAAAUAGAUUAAGUAUAAGUGGCGGUUUUUAUUAAAUGCCACAAAAAAUGAAAUUUCAGAGUAACAGAACGGCGCCGUUUCUGUUAAAAGGUUUACUUUUUUGUGGCGUUUGGUCUAUAAACACCAGAAAUUUGGAAUAAGUAGUGGCAUUUUUUCAAGAAACGCCGCAAAGGUGUUUUAAUAUUUUUUCUCAACGAUGUCGUUUCCGCAGAUGUUCUUUAACUUAGCAUUUACACUCGACAAAGCACAGAAAGCAAAAGCCAAGUGCAGAGGCCGAUUGGGAAGGGGAAAAAACCUAAGAAAAAAAUCUAAGGAAGAGAGGGGAGGAGAAAUCAGAAAUCAUCAAAGAGGAAGCAACGAUUGCGUCAUUCUUGACAGUAGUUGCAGAAUUUCUGGUUAAAAGGUAUGCGUUUAAUCCUUCUGAAGAACAUCGUCUUGAUUUAGGGUAAUUUUAGGUGCAUUGUGUUUUGCGAAUUUGGGGUUUAGGAAAAAAAUUUAGAUUUUGAGGUUUGCGGUUUAGGUUAAAACACCAUUCUUGUUUGGGAAUUUGGGGAACUUGUAAAUUAUUUAUUUAGCAAUUUAAAUAGAAGGGUUUAUUUAGGAAAAUUUUGUGUAUUUAGGGGUUGCCUGAAUACAAAUAUGGGUCCUCAACACAGCCUGUUGUUUCUCCAUUACAGCGAUUUUUGGAGAAGCAUAAAAGGGUAAGGACAGCCCUUCUGGUUGUGGUAGUAUUUGGUGCUUCUAUGGUCAUCUUUAUGGCUGUGGAUUCUAGAGUUUAAUCUCGGUUCCUCUUAAACAUAUGUGGCAACUAGGACAAUAAACAAAACUAUUAAUCAUGACAGUAUAUAUGAUUGUGGAUGGUGCUGGUGAGCUUGAAAAUACAUUCCCUUUAAUAGCUCUACUAAUAUUUUGCAUAUGGACUAGACAAGAGAUACCAAUAAAUAACUCGUCUGGUCUUACACCUGAAAGACUCAAAUUAACACAGAUUUAAACCCAAGCUAGCUGGUGAAGGUUAAACAAACCAUUUUCCUAAAAUUUUCUUGGCUGAGCCAUUAUUCGGACCAUGCAAUCAUUGUUGCAAUAGUGCAUAAUUAUGUUUGAUUCGUUUAGUGUGCUUAUUUCUCAGCUGGACAUAGUUGAUCUCCCAUGACAGAGUUAUGGAUAAUGAUAUCAGAAGUUCUUUAAUGAACAUAGUGGUGUCAUCGUAACUUCCACAUUACUUUGAUAACUUUAAUUGGUUGCAUUAUUCCUCCUAUCUAUAGUAUAUUGUUUGUGGUGGAUGGUUUGACAUGUCUCAGUGCUGAUAUUUCAUUAUUCAAAUAAGAUUUUUAAUUUUGGAUUUUGUUAUAUUUAAGCUUUAUACUAAUUUUUUCCUAGUACUAACUUACUUAUGUUUUCCUUUUUAUUUUUAUUUUUUGCAGUAGUUUGCUUCGAAGUCCAGGAAAUUGAGGUAUUUAUUCCUAUGUUUCCCACCUUGGUUUUCUUAAAAAAACACCUCCAAAUGUUUAAAUUUUGGAUUUUGUUAUAUUUUAUCUAUGUACUUUAAUUAUUAUUUUUGAGUUUUAAAAGGGAGUUUUAAUUAAGAAUUUUUUUUUAAGUUGUGGGUAUCGGUUUUAAUUAUCAUUUUUGAUUUAUAUGUUGCUAGCUCAAUUUGCAUGUUACUUUGCCAAAUUUUUCCAUAACUGCAAGGUAUAAAUUAUGAUUGUAAAUCUUGUACGUAUUUUUUACCCAAGCAAAAACAAUUACGCAAAUUAUUAAAAUUCUUAAAUCACUUUAUAUAUUGGAGUAAGUGAAUAAAUUAUGGGCGAAUAGUGGAUUUGUUUUAAAGUGAACAAAUUAUCGAUUUUCAAUUUUAUGCCAAUUAAUAAAUUAUCGACGUUAGUUCUCAUUUAUGCGAUUGAAUGUUAAUGUUUAAUAAUAUAUGAUUAUUCAAUAAAUUGAUCGAUUAAUUGAUUGAAUGUCAAUGAAUUAUCAAUUUUUGUAAGUUAAUUUGGUUAAAUUUAUUACUUAAAUACAUUACUUACUAAAAUACAUUACUUACUAAAAUUUGUUUAAAUUUAUUACUUAAAUAUGUUACUUAAAUACAUUACUUACUAAAAUUUAAGUAUAUAUUACAUUACUUACAUAACUUGUUAAAAUAUAUUAUAAUUUUAAAAAUAAUUAUAAUUAAGAUACAUAAAAGUGCUAUACUUACAUCAUACAUUAUUUACACAACCAAAAAUUGAAAUUUACAAGAACUUACAUAACUUGUUAAUAUUUAUAUAAACUUACAUAACUAUCACAUAAACUUACAUAAUAUAUAACUUACAUGUUACCUUACAUAAUACAUAACUUAUAUAAAAUUUUUAUAUAAACUUACAUAAUACAUUAUUUACAUAUUAACUUACAUAAGUUAUCUACAAGCUUGUGGUUAAACUUGCAUAACUUACAUAAUAACAUAACAACUUACAUAAUAUAUAACUUACAUGUUACCUUACAUAAUACAUAACUUAUAUAAAAUUUUUAUAUAAACUUACAUAAUACAUUAUUUACAUAUUAACUUACAUAAGUUAUCUACAAGCUUGUGGUUAAACUGGCAUAACUUACAUAAUAACAUAACAACUUACAUAAUACAUAGCAUAGAUAACUUACAUAACUUACAUAAUACAAAACUUACAUAACUUAAAUAUCUUACACAACUUACAUAACGUACAUAAUACAUAACUUACAUAAUACAUAAUAACUUAUAACUUACAUAACAUACAUUACUUUGAUAACUUACAUAACUUACAUAAUACACAACUUGUUAAGCUUACUUAAUACAUAACUUACAUAAUACAUAAUAACUUAUAACUUACAUAACAUACAUUACUUUGAUAACUUACAUAACUUACAUAAUACACAACUUGUUAAGCUUACUUAAUACAUAACUUACAUAACUUAUACACGUACAUAACUUACAUAAUUUACUUAAUACAUAAAUAUAUAUCAUAUGAUAUACUUACAUAACUCAUUUAUACUUACCACUCAACAACUUACCCUUGUAAUUUCUGGUGAAAAUCAGACGUCAAGAAAUAAGAAAUGGACCGGUCUUGGAUGAAUUUAUCAAGGGUAAGCGACGAUUAUCGAAAUGGAGUACAGACUUUUCUAAAUUUUGCAUUUCAAUAUGCAAGCCAGGAGAACAUGAUUCUUUGCCCGUGUAAGAAGUGUGUCAACAUAAACUGGCAUUAUCGUGAAGUUGUAUACGAGCAUCUAAUUGUUGAUGGGUUUGUUCAGGGUUAUAAACAAUGGUUUUUUCAUGGAGAAUGCCCGCCUAGUACUUCCUCAUCAAGGAUGGAUGUAUCUUAUGACAGUACUACUUACCAUCAGUCUGUUAGAGGGGAUGACAUAGAAGGGAUGUUGCGGGAAGCAUUUAAUAUUCACAACCAUGGUUUACAGUCGUUCCCAGCCGACUUUGUGGCACCUGAUGAUUGUAAUAUCGAUGGAAAUGCUUUUACCGAACCCGGAAAAAGUGUACAUCAUGAAGAGCCGAAUGGAGAAGUGGCGAAGUUCUACGCGCUACUUAAUGACAUGAAUGAAGAACUGUUUGAGGGAUCAAAAUUCUCGAAAUUGUCUUUCUGUAUUCGUCUUUUUCAGUUAAAGUGUUUGGGAGGGUGGACCGGGAACUCUUUAACAAUGUUGUUAGAGUUUCUGAGAGAGAUGUUUCCGUUUGCAAAAAUCCCUCAAUCAUGCAAAGAUAUGAAGAAAAUGAUAAAAAAUUUAGGUCUUGGGUACAACAAAAUCCAUAGUUGCCCGAAUGACUGCAUGUUGUAUUGGGGCGAUCGAAGAAACCAGCAAUGCUGUCACAUAUGCGGCCAAUCACGUUGGAUAAAUAGAAACAUAGAAGAUGGGAACGAUGAUGAAUAUGAUGCACUGGUAAGAAAGAAGCCGGUCAAGAUUUUGCGGUAUUUUCCGCUCAUACCAAGGCUUCAAAGGCUUUUCAUGUCAUCGAAGACAGCGGAGUCUAUGACAUGGCACCAUGAUGGACGAACCGAUGAUGGGAAUAUGAGGCAUUCGGCAGAUUCUUUAGCUUGGAAAUCAUUUGACAAUAAAUUUCCAAGCUUUGCAAGUGAUCCUAGGAGUGUAAGGCUUGGCUUAGCAUCUGAUGGAUUUAAUCCGUACAAGAUCAUGAGUAUUGUGUACAGUACUUGGCCAGUAGUGCUUGUUCCUUACAAUCUGCCUCCGUGGAUUUGCAUGAAGCAAUCUUCCCUUAUCUUAUCUAUGAUUAUCCCUGGAGAGAAAGGGCCCGGGAAUGAUAUCGACAUUUAUUUACAGCCACUUAUUGAAGAGUUAAAACAAUUGUGGGCUGGUGUCGAGACAUACGAUGUGCUGAGAAAUGAGAACUUUAAUCUACGUGCAGCUUUGAUGUGGACCAUUAAUGACUUUCCCCCUUAUGCCAAUUUAUUCGGUUGGAGUACAAAGGGUCGUUAUGCGUGUCCUUGUUGUGCUGCACAAACAUGUUCGCAAUGGUUGUACAAUGGGAAGAAGUUCUCUUAUAUGGGGCAUCGUCGGUGGUUACCGAAAAAUCAUAGAUUUAGAUUUCAGAGUUCUGUAUUUAACGGUACUGAAGAGUUCAGAGAAGCUCCUUCGCAGACCAGUGGCUCUGAAAUCUUGUUCAUGUUGGAAGAUAUGAAUUUCAUUUAUGGAAAGAUGAACCAACCGCCAAACACGCAAAGAAAUAGAAGAUCAAACGAUGAAGCUGAUGAUGACUCUGAUGAAGAGGACGAUCCUAAUGAGGCGGACUUGUGGAAAAAAAGAAGUAUUUUUUUUGAGUUGCCUUAUUGGGAGCAUCACCUUUUACGACAUAAUCUUGAUGUUAUGCAGAUUGAGAAAAAUGUCUGCGAGAACAUUGUGGGUACAAUUUUGAAUGUCGACGGAAAAUCAAAAGACAAUCUUCAGAGUCGACUUGAUUUAGUACAAAUAGGAAUCCGACCUGAUCUUCAUCCCAAUCCACUUCCGAAUGGAAAAUAUCGGUUGCCGCCAUCUAUUUUUUCAAUGUCGAAGACGGAAAAAGAAGUGUUCUGCACAGUGUUGAAGGAUAUAAAGGUUCCAGAUGCGUAUGCAUCAAAUAUAUCUCGAUGUGUUAGUGUUAAAGAUCGAAGAUUAUAUUCGCUAAAAUCACAUGACUAUCACAUCUUGAUGCAAGAUUUACUGCCAGUGGCUCUACGAUGUUGUAUGUCCAAGAAGGUGACGUCUUGUAUAAUUGAACUAUCCAACAUAAUGAAAGCCAUUUGUGGCAAAGUUUUGGAUGUUCAAGAACUUCAGAAGGUACAGGAUCGAGCCGCUUUGACUUUAUGCAACAUGGAGAAAAUAUUCCCACCUUCCUUCUUCACCAUUAUGGUUCACUUGAUAAUCCAUCUCCCGCACAAAGCAAUUCUUGGCGGACCCGUUUUCUAUCGAUGGAUGUAUCCCAUAGAAAGGUGUUAAUUAAAAUUUUUAAAAUUUUCCUUCAUUCACCUCUAUGCCUUUAGUUUCAAUAAUUAAGAAAUGUUAUAUAUUGUGUUUAGGUUUCUAUCCAAAUUAAAGUCUUACUGCCGCAACAAGCGAUAUCCAAAAGGAUCAAUUGCAGAAGGCUACUUGGCAGAAGAAUGUAUGACCUUCUGCUCAAGAUAUUUGGAAGAUGUUGAAACAAGGUUAAACAGACCAAAUAGGAAUGCUGGACUCACGGACCAUAACUUAGCCGAUACUUAUUUGUUCCAAAGUUUUGGAAAACCAAUCGGUAAAGUUGAAAUUGCAGAAUUAGAUCAUUUAUCGUGGGUACAAGCACAUCGAUAUGUUCUGUUUCACCACGAAUCAUUGGAACCUUUACGGAAGUAAGUUCUACAAAUUUGAUAAAUAUUUAUCAAACUAAUAACUGUUUAUCUUCUAACAAAGUGAACAUUUUUUUAACAUAGUGAGUACAAACAAAUAUUGAGAUCUCGUUCGCGCUCCCGAAGAACACAACAUCGAGAUAUCAAUAAGUUAUUUAUAGAAUCUUUUUAUGAAUGGUUAAGCCAAACGGUAUGCAGUUCGAGCUUCCGUUUACAAAUAAUAAAAUCCGUUUUCUUAUAACAUUUUUAAUUACUCAGUUUACUUUCCAUUCAAUAGGUUUGGAGUGGGAAGAACGUAAAGACGAAGUUAAAUGGCUCUCCCAAGGUCCAAAUCGAGUGGUUAAAAGAUAUAGUGCGUUCCUCAUCAACGGAUUCAGAUUUCAUACAAAAUAUCGCGAGAGGUUGAGGAGAACGCAAAAUUGUGGAAUAGUUGUCAAUUCUGCAAUUACAAGUUAUGCUAGUGCAAGAGACAAUAAUCCUGUCGCGGGAAAUGUGGAAUAUUUCAGACAUCUUACUGACAUAAUUGAGUUGGAUUACUACGGCAAAUGGAAAGUUGUCUUAUUUCGUGGUGAUUGGGCCGAUGUUAAUACAGCUCGUGGAAUUAAGCAAGAUCAAUUUGGUUUUACAAUGGUGAACUUUGACCGAUUGAUUCACACAGGACAACAACUGAUAGAUGAGCCGUAUGUAUUCUCAUCUCAAGUCAAACAAGUUUUUUACUCAAAAGAUCCAACUGAUGAGAGUUGGUACGUUGUACUCCGUAACAUCCCAAGAGACUUGUUUGACAUGGGCAGUGGAAGUAGAGAUAACAUCGACGACAGAUCAGAAACUUUGCCCUUUCCAGAACAAAACUUAAACGAUAAUAUCCCUAGUACUAGUGCACAAUUUCAAUGUGUUCGUCAGGAUACCGAUGAAGAUAUUUACGAAUAAUGAUGUAGUAAGAUUUUACGAUUGUUUAAUUAUAAGUUUUUUUUCAUAAUUUAAAUAUUGGUCUUAUUAUAUAUUUCAACUGUUUUAUAUGUGAUGUUAUUGUUGUAAUUAGUUAUUAAGUUGUCAACUAUUUUAUGUGUAUUGUAGAUAAAAUGCCUAGAAGAAAAAUUCUAAGGGGAAGCAUUGUUCAAAAUGAUCCAAACACGAUAGAAACAAAUAGUACUGAACAACAGACAGCAAUUGGAUCUUCGAAUGUUCCGAUUACAGCUGAUGAUCCUACAGAAGUUCAAAGUAAUUUUACAUUUAAUUUACAUGCGUGUUGACUUAUAGUUGCUUUUUUUCAAAUUCUUAUAUUAUAAUAUACCAUUUGUAGCUGAAAAUGGUGGGACGCGCAGAGGUCGAGGACGUACGCUACUUAGAGAGUUAUACGAGUUAGAUCCAGUCGAGCGUGUCAAAGUUGGACGAAACAGUUUUGGUCAGCCUGUUAGAUCAGAAGCUCGACUUUUAGCAGGAUACAUGGGCAUUUUAGCACGAAAUCCGAAUAUGUUACCUAUCAACUACGACUCAUGGCAUCAAAUGCCCGGUAGCAAAAAAAACCAAGCCGUCGAUAAUAUUAAGGUAACAAAAUGUUAAUGUCAUCUGUAAUGCUUGGGAAAUAGUUUCAUUUAUAUUUACUUUAUUAACUUGUGUUUUUUGUUUUUUGUAGACGAGGUUUGCUUUAGAGGUCUCGGAUGCUUAUGUAAAGAAGGCAUUGGGAAAAAGAUGGAGAGACAAUAAAAGUACUUUGAAGAGAAAUUAUUAUAAGACAAAAACAACCCUCGAUGAGAAAUUGCAAAAUGUCCCGCCGGGUAUGUUGAGGUACCAAUGGGAAGAUACGGUUAGAUUUUGGCAUUCGAAGAAAGGCGAGGUAUGACGUACUUCCAAACUAUUGUAAUUAUUUUGGUAAAUAGUAUUUUCUAUUUACGUACUAAAAAGUUCAUAACGUAGGAUCGUGAACAAGUUGGAAAAAGUAGCAGGCAGAAACAAAAAUUCACCCACACAGCCGGGUCGAGAAGUUUUACAUGUGUAGCUGAGGCGGAGGUAUUUUUAAUUUUUUAAUAUUGUCGAAUAUGUAUAACUUUCUAUUAAAUAAUAUUUUUACUACUAUAUUGUAAGAACUGUCGUUCGGUCAAAAAGUUGGACGCCUUCAACUUUUUGAAAUUACACAUAGGAAGAAAGAUGGAUCUCCCAUGACUCCUGAAGCUGGUGAAAUAAUGAUACGUUUACUUAAUACGAUUUGACUUGUUUUAGUUAUUUAUAGUGUUUAUUUUCUAAUGGUUUAAUUCAUUGCUUGUAAUGCGACUAUUGUUAUGUUGCAUAUGUUUUUUAAUAUAUAAUAUUGCGUUCCUAACUAUGUGAUUUAUUUAUUAGGAAAAACUAAAGGAUAAAAAGGUUGAGUACGAAGCGAUUGCUUCUAGUGAUAGUUCUGUUCAUCUUGAAAACAUUGAUAAUCGGAUUAUUACUGAAGUUUUGGGUCCUAAAAGGUAUGGUCAGGUUCGAUUUCAAGGAUCUUUUGUUAGCCCAACCCAAUAUUUUGGAUCCAGCUCCCACCAAUACAUGGCUUUAGGGAGUCAGGCUCAAGCUGAAGUUCAGAGGUUAAAAGACCAGAUCGCUCAGAUGCAAGCGACCACAGUUGAGGUUCAAAGGAAAUAUGAAGAACUCCAGCUACAACUUAAAGCAGAGGCGGCAGCGAGGGAAGCAGCGGCUGCAGCGAGGGAAGCAGAGGCUGCAGCGAGAGAAGCAGAGCAGACCAAAAAGUACGACGAACUCCAGCAACAGCUUCAGAUUAUGAUGAAGAUGUUUCAGUCGCAACUUCCGCCUUCAUAGUGUAUGGCAUAAAUAUUUUUAUCAUUUUAACAUUUAACAUUUUUGCAAAAUAAUAUGAAUUCACUUUUAUUUAUUGAUAUUAAUAUUAUUUUAUUCGUUUAAUUUGAAAUAUUAUAUAAAUUUAUUGCUUUUGGCUGUUUUAGAUCUGGUUGCUUUUGAUUUGUUGUUACAGGAGGGCUGAAAAAAUGAAAAAUUUAAUAAAAAAAUCCCAAAAAUAGUGGCGUUUUUGUAUAAAAACGCCGCUAAAGAACAUGGUCUUUAGUGGCGUUUUUACCAAAGCGCCCCUAAAGAACAUGGUCUUUAGUGGCGUUUUUUACUAAGCGCCGCUAAAGAACAUGGUCUUUAGCGGCGUUUUUUUGUAAACGCUGCAAAUGUUUGCGAUGUUUUCCUUAGUGGCAUUUUUUGCGGCGCUUGUGGAAGCGCCGCAAAUACCUUUAGUGGCGUUAAAAAGCGCCGCUAAAGGCCUAAAAAAAUGCCGCUAAAGACUUGUUUUGGUGUAGUGGUGUUAAAACGCAUUAUCCUCUUAUUUAUGAAUUAGGAAGUAGUUAUUGGUAGUUCUAGACAUUGCGUAGAAAAUAAUAGAUAUGAUGAGAAUCUAUAUUGAAACUUUUCGAAAAAAUAUAUUUAUUACACAUGAACUAAAAGAAAUUUCUUUAUGGGUAGUUCAAGAAUAUUGUUGAAGCUAUAAAAUAAAAAUUCAAUUGGAUAAUAGAAAUCUCUUUUGUUUAACAAAAUAUUAAUCAUUGAUUGAGUUAAUAUUAUGAGUCAAUCGGACACCAAUUUAAUUAAGAAAUUACGAAAAUAUCAUUCCAUAAUUAAAAUAAAUUAUAUUAUUUGAGGAUAUUUUAAUAUUUUUAUGUCAAAAAAAUCAAUAAAAAUAUAUAUUUAUUUUUCACAAAUAUAUUAUUCUAUCAAUUUUCAUCAACCAAAAAAAAAGUAAUUAAAGUAAAAUUUACCUUUGAUAUACCAGAUGAUUUCAAAGAGAAUGAUUAUAUCAAUGAGUUUAACAAUUAAAAAAUAUAUUUUUUUCAAAGAUUUUAUAAUAUAAAAAAUUUUAAAAAUUUUAUAUAAAAAUUAAAUAAAUAUUUUAAAUGAUAUUUGGACCAAUUUUAAUAAUUAGUUUAUAAUUUAGAGUUGUAGAUAAUAUGGCUGAUAUAUAUAAUGUCUUGGUCAAGUCAUGGUUUUAUAUAUGUUUAUUUGUGAGCCCUACACUCGCAUCAAAUUUAGAUAUCACAAACAUGAUUUAAAACAUUACUAGCUGUGAGCAAUUUAAAGAAAUUUAAUUUCUUUUUUACAAUUUUAAGUUAAUCAAUUAUUUGAUUUUUUUAGGGGCGAAUUCAGAAAAGUUUUUUAGAGGCCGAAAUGAAUUUUUAAUUUUUAAUAGUCUAUAUCUUUAUAUUUUUAAAGGAUUAAAUUAAAAUUUUAUAAUUUUAAGGGGGGCAAAAUGUAAUUUUAUCUCUACUAAUUUAAAACUUUAAGAUUUUUUAAAGGACCUAAAUAAUAAUUUUUCAUUUUAAGGGGGCCGGGGCCCCUACCAACCCUUUAGAUUUGCCUCUGAUAUAUAUAUAUUAUUUAUGUUUUGUAACUCAAAAUUUAGUCAUAUUAUCAAUAAUAUUUUAAUAUGAAAAAUUUACUUUUUAAAAAAAACUUAUUUAACUUGUCUCAAUUAAAUUAAAAAAAUUAAAAUCAAAUUAGAAUAAUAAAAUAAUACCUAUUUACGCGAUUGAAUCUAAUACUCACCUCUCAAUAUUACACCUUUUGAAUCUUCCUAGAUCAUAAAAGGAGAAGUUAUCCUUGGCGUGUGUGUUUUAGUGCUCCUUAUUUCCUUUAAAAACAAAGUUUAUUUAUUCCUUUUUUAUAGAAAUGAAUUGAUAUUUAAACUGCAAAAGAAGAACCACUAUUUGAACAUGUAUAAAUUAAUAUUGUACGCAAAUAUAAACUUUAAUACCAAUUAGAGAAGUAAAAUAAGAUAUUGGUGAAUCAAAUUUAUUAAAUAAUUUAUAUACAGAAUGGAUGAUAUAAUAUUUCUGAAGUCUUCCCUUGGUUGACCAUAAAAGGAGAAGUCAUUGUUUUGUUUUUUGGUAUUUAUUUGUGACCCCUACACACACAUCAAAAUCACAUAUCAUAAACAUUGAUUUAGAAUUAAACUAUAUAAUAUUAGACCUUUUGUAAUCUUCCUAUUGUUGACCAUAAAAGGAGAAGUCAUCCUCUUCUGUCUUUUCUCCCCUUUAACUCUGUGGCUAAUUAUGUCAAAACAAGGUUUUUUUUUCCCUUCUUUGGUAGGAAUUAAAUUAAUAAAGAUUAUUGUAAUUUAAAAUCCAAUUAAAGUUACUAUUUGAACUGGUAUGAAUUAAUAUUGUUAUGUCUAACAUUUAUAUCCAAUAAUUUUUACUAUAGAGAAAAGAAGUAAGAAAAUAAUAUAUGAUGUAAAAUUGUUAAUUUGAGUCUUAACACAGUCGGUAUUUGUAUGUUGUUUAUGUAAUUUUUCUUUCUAGUUAAAGGUUGGAGAGGAGUUAGGGUGAAGCUAGAAAUUUCUUUUUUGGGAGACGAAAUUAAGCUGUAUAUUUUUACGAGAGUUAAAAUACAAUUUUACCAUUUCAAUAGCUUAUAUCUUUACAAUUUUUAAUGGACUAAAGCAAUAUUUUAUCAUUUUUAGGGCUAAAGUACAAUUUUACUAUUUAUUAACUUAAAAUUUUAUAAACUUAAUUUAAAGGGUUAAAUUUUAAAUUUCACAUUUUAAGGGAAGGGAUAAAAACCCUGCUAGGCUCCCCUCUUGCCGCCCCUGAGAGGAUAUAAAGUAAAGCCAUAAGGGUCUAAAAUAUAUGAAUUAUGAGUACUUAUUACACUUGACCAAUUGCUUUUCUUCAAACAAAACAAAAACUAAUGCACAUGAAAAUGCAAAUUCACAUGCAACCUAGAUAUGCAUUCUAUAUACAAUGCAAUGCAAUAAAUAAAUAAACAAAUAUUAUUUAACUAUGGAGUUGCCUCUCCGUAAGCACCUUUGUUUAACAUUUUUGGCUAGAUGUUUUUAAAUGUUAUUUCACCACAGAAUGAUUCGGAUAACAUCUUGACUUAAUAAAAUUGAACAUUAGGAACAACUUAAAAGUCGAGGGAACUUGAGAGUUUUGAUCCCCUUUUGGUUCUUUAACCAACCAUUCUCACCCCUAAUUAUAAUUCCAAUACAGUAAAAGUACGUGAUUGAGUUGAAUGGAUGGUGGUUGUUUGACAUAACAUGUAGAAAGUGAAAAAAUAGUUAAAAAUAAAUCAAGUAUUAAAACUAAAAGUUUAUGAAAGAAAUAAUUUUUUUUCGUUUCCAGGCUUUUACAAAAUCGUGUAGAUUAUUCAUUUUCUUUCUUUUGCUUUUCUUUUCUGACGAAUAAAAUUUAACAAAUGAUAAAAUUGAUCUAAUGUUAUAUAUUUGGUUUAAAAUUUAUGUAACAUAUUAGUAUUUUAAUUAUUUUUCAAAUGUUAUAUAUUUGUUUUAUAAUGGAAACUAAAGUUCGCAUUUAUUUUUUUUUAGGUUUUUUAGGGUGAGUUUAGAUAGGCGGUGCAUUUAUCUACGGUUAGUAUAAAAAUAAAAAUAACGGUAAUAUUAUAUAUUAUAGAGAUAUUAUGGUGUGAGACAAAAAAUAAAUUAAAUACACCGCACCCUACUAUCUAUCCAAACUUAAUUUUAUUAUUUAAAAAUAUAAAUAUUUAAGAUAAAUAGAUAAGUGGGAAAUAUUGAAUGGAAUAAAGUAAUUGAAGCAAUCAAUUGCUAUAUCAUUUCACACACUUUCCCAAAGCCACAUAAGGGGAGAGAAGGGGCCACGCAGCCCUCCUAAAUAGUUGAAAAUAAAUCAAGUAUUAAAACUAAAAGUUUAUGAAAGAAAUUCUAGUAUUAUCAAUUUUUCGUGAGGCUCAAAGCUAUUUGGAACAAAAAUAAAAUCAAUAUGUAUAGGCUUAACAAAAUAGCUAUUAUCUUGCAUUGUUAUUUCAUCCUAACCUCUUCCCUCAUAACUUCAUCUUCUAUUUUCUGUUCGACUUUAUCAAAAGUCUCAAGAAUUUCCUCCCCGUCCUUUUUAACUUCAACGAAACUUUCUAGGGAAGGAAGCUCUAUCGUGAAUGACUUCGGUUCUAGUCAAAGUAAAAUAUAGUUUUUUUAGGUUUUUCGACUAUUUAUGCAUCAAACUUUUAGGACAUUUUGGACAUCUUCCUAAUGUUUUUGGGCUUUAAUCUGUGAAAUAAAUUUAGAUAAAUCUUUCAAGUCACAUCAACAUUUUAUUAAUGAUUUAAUAAAUUAUUAAUAAAAAGAUUUAGGAUUAAUGUACAAAUUUGUCACUAUACUUCAAUUUGAUUGAUAUUUGAUAUUGAAUUUUAUUGCUUUACUUUAAUUUAAUUGAAUUUUGCCACUAAGAUUUUUUUAUUGAAUUUUCUAUUCAAUUUAAUUUUAAAAUAACUUGAAGGCUAAAUUGAAUAAAAAUAGUUUUAUAUUUCGCUUUUAUAUUUAAUAAUUAUCCUCUCAUCCAUGGCAAGGUGCGGAAAUUUGCAGAAUAUAGAAAUGGAGUGAAGAAAAACCGCUUUAGCAGAGGAUAUGAUUAUGUUAAGGAUAUACUGAAGUGUUUGAUUAUUUUUUCCAGAUGAAGUGUUUGACAUUUUAUAUCACUUAAUUAUUUUGGAUUUAUAUGUGAUGUCAGCCUCUACACGUAUACACGUGAAUGUCACCUAUUAGAAAGAAAUAGUAAUUAAAUUCAUAUUUAAUAUAUAUUUUUGAUCUAAUUUUUUUUAAUUCAAUUUAAUUUUAGUUAAAACGUUUAAAAACAUUUAUUUAAUCUAAUUUCUUUAAUAUAUUAAAUAAAUUGGAUUAGAAAAUAUAUUAAAUAUGAAUGAAUACUAUAUCUCUAAAAAUUAAUAUAUUAUUAUUUUAUUGGUGCUUAAAAAAAUUAAAAUAUUUAGAAUCAUUUUAAUAUAAGUUAUUCCCUUGAUAAUAAUAUUUGGUAUUUACACGAGUAAGUUCAAUAGUUGACAAAUAUUUUAUAUAAGUAUAAUAAAAUAUUUAAAAAAAUUAUUUAGUGACUUAAUUUUUUAAGAAUAUUUGAUAAUUCAUAAAGAAAAUAAAUAAUAUUUUAAAAAAAGAGUGAAAAAUGAUAAGUAGAUAAUAUCUAUUAUCACUUACAACAUGUUUGGAUUAAAAAGAAGAAAAAGGGAGGGAAAAUUAAGUAAAUUGAGGGAAAGAAAAUUCGGUUUCUUUGUUUAAGUUAAGUAAAGUUGUUAAUUUUUUAUUAGAUUUUAUAUUUUAGAUUAUUAUCUCUUCUUCUUCUUUUUUUAGCUUGUAACAGCCUUAUUUUUAUUUUCUAUUUGUUUAGGUUACUAGAAAUAUUUAAUUUUAAAUUUGUUUGAUAUAUAUUUUUAAAAAUUUUAACAAUAUUUUUUAUUAACUAUUUUGUUAAAUUAUUAGGAAUCCUUCAUUUGUAAUUUGGUUAAGAUAUUUUUUUUUUUAGUUUGAUAAAAUAAGCUUAUUAAAAAAAAAGAGAAUAUACCAAUAUAUUAUUGGUUAACAUUUUAAUUAUUAUUUUAUAUAGAAUAUUGAUAUUUUUCUAUAAUUUUAAUUUGCUGUGAUUUAAUUUUGUUAUUAUAUAUUAUUUAUGAACUGUUAAAAUUAAAAAAAAUAAAAGUAAAAUAAUUCAUUUUCUUUCCUUUUCAUAGUUUAGCAAAACAAGUCCACAAGCUCGCCUCAUUUGAAAAAAAAAUUAAAUUGUUUAAAUAUAUUUAUCUAUAUAUAUAUAGGGACUAGUUUUAACAAAUGAAAAACAUAAAAACUACAUUAGAAGAAAUGGGGAAGGGAAGAAAACAAAAGGAGAAGCAGAAGAGAAUGAAAUAUAAAGGAAAGUUAAAAGAACAUAAAAAAAUUAAAUUAAAUUGCUCAAAACGAAAAAAAUAUGGGGAUUAGUUGCAUAAAUCAUCCUAAAAUUUUUGUUUGAAAGAUGAUUUAACAUGUCACAUCAGCUUAUUGUUACACGGUUAACAAAAAUUAAUAGCUCAGUGACUAAAAUGUUAUAACGUGAUAACGUAAGUGACUAAAAUGUAACAUUUCAAACAUAAAUAACUAAAAUGUAAGCAAAAGUGGCUAUUUUAAUAGUUUACCCUAACAUUUAUCCAAACAUAAGCUUAAUGUAAACAUUUUUUCAAUUCUUUUUAUUUUAUUUUAUUUUUUACCAUUAUCCUUUAUCCUUAUUUUAGAAAAAAGUAGAAUUAUUUUUCAAAAUUAAUUUUAAGCAAUACAUCAAAUAGAUUUUAUAACUUAAAUGUAAUAUUUAAUUUUAUAAUAUUUUUUUAUCAAACAACAUUUACUCCUAAGUAAAUAAAUAAAUAAAGGCCUUGUGUAAUUAAGAAAGUUGAGAAAGGGCUAAUCCUCACAUGGUAAAAAUUGGCUACAAUAAUGAAGGAAAGAGAAAAACACUUAGGAAUGUGAAUGAGCAUACCCCACACACAUACUAUUUACUGUCAACGGUGAUGGAUGAAUUGUCUACUAUACAUGGAUUUUUUUUUUUUUUUGGUUCUUGUCCUGUAUUAUUUGGGUUUGUGAUCCCAUGUAAAAUUCCAGUCACUAUUUCAUAGCAUUUAAAAAAAAUUAUUUAUUAUCAAUUGAGUAUUAGCUUGAUUGGUAUAAGUAUUAUUGUCAAUGUAUGAGAACAUAGGUUCGAGUGUAUUAAAGCUUAUUAUCUUUUUAUUUAUGGAUUAGAAAGUGAUUAUUGGUAGUUCUAAACAUUGUGUUGAAAAGAAUAGACAUAAUCAGAAUUUAUGUUGAAAUUUUUCAAAAACAAUUAUUUAUUACACAUUAAUUAAAAGAAAUCUCUUUAUGGGCAGUUCAAGAUUGUGAAGUUAUAAAAUAAAAAAUUCGAUACGAAAACAAAAAUCUCUUUUGUUUAACAAAAUAUUAAUCAUUGAUUGAGUUAAUAUUAUGAGUCAAUCAAACAUCAAUUUAAUCAAGAAAUUACGAAAAUAUUAUUUUAUAAUUAAAAUAAAUUAUAUUAUUUGAGGAUAUUUUAAUAUUUUAUGUCAAAAAAAUCAAUAAAAAUAUGAAUAUGAUGGGAUUUGAAAUAAAAUCUUGAAUUUACCACUCAACCAAAACUUUAUUUUAUCAUAUUUUAUACAUUUUUAUUUUAAUACGCACAAUUUAUUAACUUCAUCAGUUGUAUAUAUAUUAAUAAAUUUAUUGAUUGAGUUAAUAUCACAAGUCAACUCGACACUAACUGACAAUUGACGACAACACUUUGAUAGACAGUUGUAUUGCGUUUAAUUAGUAUUUUUAAUUUGAUGUAUUUAUAUGUUUAAAUUUUAUUUUUGCUCCCAAAUUAAUUUAAUUUUUUAUUUUAAUGCCAUACAUAUUUUAUAUAUUCUUAUAAUUAAUUAUCUUGAAACCAUAUGUUUCAUUAUUUACUUCUUUCUUUUAAGCAUGCAUCUGUGUUUCAAAUCUAAACAUGGUUGAUUAUGUUAAUUAAUGUUACAAAUUGAGAAAUUUAUUAAAAGUAUUGAAAUCUUCACAUCUAACCUACUUUUAUCAUGUUUGGAAGAUGCUAUUGAUCUUCUUCAAGUGGUUUUUCACAAAUAUAUUAUUCUAUCAAUUUUCAUCAACCAAAAAAAAAAGUAAUUGAAGUAAAAUUUACCUUUGAUAUACCAGAUGAUUUCAAAGAGAAUGAUUAUAUCAAUGAGUUUAACAAUUAAAAAAUAUAUUUUUUCAAAGAUUUUAUAAUAUCAAAUAUUUUAAAAAUUUUAUAUAAACUUAAAUAAAUAUUUUAAAUGAUACAAUUCGACCAAUUUUAGUAAUUAGUUUAUAAUUUAGAGUUGUAGAUAAUAUGGCUGAUAUAUAUAAUGUCUUGGUCAAGUCAUGGUUUUAUAUAUGUUUAUUUGUGAGCCCUACACUCGCAUCAAAUUUAGAUAUCACAAACAUGAUUUAAAACAUUACUAGCUGUGAGCAAUUUAAAGAAAUUUAAUUUCUUUUUUACAAUUUUAAGUUAAUCAAUUAUUUGAUUUUUUUUAGGGGGCCGAAAUGAAUUUUUAAUUUUUAAUGGUCUAUAUCUUUAUAUUUUUUAAAGGAUUAAAUUAAAAUUUUUAUAAUUUUAGGGGGGUCAAAGUGUAAUUUUACCUCUACUAAUUUAAAACUUUAAAAUUUUUUAAAAGACCUAAAUAGUAAUUUUUCAUUUUAAGGGGGCCGGAGCCUUACCAACCCUUUAGAUUUGCCUCUGAUAUAUAUAUUAUGUAUGUUCUUUAAAUCAAAAUUCAGUCAUAUUAUCAAUAAUAUUUUAAUAUGGAAAAUUUACUUUUUAAAAAAUUUAUCUUGAACAAACUUAUUUAGCUUAACUCAAUUAAAUUAAAAAAAUUUAAAUCAAAUUAAAAUAAUAAAAUAAUACUCAUUUACUCGAUUCGAUCUAGUACUCACCUCUCAAUAUUACACCUUUUGAAUCUUCCAUGACAGAAGUUAUCCUUAGUGCUCCUUAUUUCCUUUAAAAACAAAGUUUAUUUUUUCCUUUUUUAUAGAAAUGAAUUGAGAUUUAAACUGCAAAAGAAGAACCACUAUUUGAACAUGUAUAAAUAAUUUAUAGUUGAUAGUUAUAUACAGAAUGGAUGAUAUAAUAUUUCUGAAGUUUUCCCUUGGGAGAAGUCAUUGUUUUAUGUUUUUUGGUAUUUAUUUGUGACUCCUACAAAUUAUAUAUAAGAAAUUCUAGUAUUAUCAAUUUUUUGGAGGCUCAAAGCUAUUUGGAUCAAAAAUAAAAUCAAUGUGUAUAGGCUUAACAAAAUAGCUAUCAUCUCAUCCUAACCUCUUCCCUCAUAACUCCAUCUUCUAUUUUCUGUUAGACUUUGAGAGUUCAAUUACGAAAAGGGAAGUGUUUUUUUCGGCUCUUAAUGUAAUUGAUAGUAGGCUAGGAAAUAAAGAUUAUUCGUUUGUUUGUUUAAGCCUGAUUUUGACUUGUUUACUAUAAUUAAAUUAUCACUUCAAUAUAUUUUUAUCAGUUUGAUUUAUGUACUUUCAUUCUAUGUACUUCGUUAUCUUAUUUAUAUUUUUUAGAAAAAAAAUUUUCUAUCUAAUUAAAUGCUGUCACCUAUGAAAAAAUUUAAAAUUCCACUGAAGUAUAUAAAAAUUCAUAAAAAUCGUAAAAAAAGCAUAGAACUCUAAAGAAAUUAAUAAAAUUUUAUAAGCACAAAUUUCCAAAAUUAAAAUUAAAAUAUUUUAUUAAAAUUUUUAAAUUUUUUAAAGUUUCAUAUAUUUAUUGUUUAAAAAUUAUAUCAUUUUCAAAAAAAGAUUAUGAAUUUUUUUAGGUAUUUUAAAAAUAUUUUUCUAAGUCUUAAGAUUUUAUUUUUUGCAUUUUAUGAUUUCUUUUUUGGAUUUUUAAUGGUUUUUAAAAUUUUAUAAUAUUUUCUAAAAUGUUUUAACUAUUUUGGUCGUCCAGGUUUUGUGAAUGAAGCGAAGGGUAUCUUUAUUGUGGUGAACUUUUAAUUUACUCAAAACGAAGUGAUUUAUUACGUUGUGUGAUUUGCAGAUAAGUGUUAAAUAUGAAAUGUGUAAGGCCCAAUAUUUGCCCGGCCCGUAAUAAAUAAACCAAAUCAAAAUUUAAAAAGUCCAAAGUCCAAAAUUACAAAAAUCUAUCAGACCCAAAAUAUAAAUCGAGCCCAUUUAUAAAUGGCCCAGUACAAACCCAAAUUACAGCUAGCCCAAUAGCCAAAAUCAGCCCAGAUUUUUUCAUUUUGCAGAAACCCUAAACAGUUUCAGAGGUACCAGGCGCCGCAGCCAAGCCCUCGCACAUGCCCCACGAACCACGCUUCCAGCGCCUCUCCCCACAUACACCUAGCCACGUCCCUGACACCGUACGGCCGUACCUGCAGCAAACGCAAACGAAAAACGCAGCAGAGAAAGAAAUUGUAUUUUUCAUUUUUAUUAUUUUAAAACGAAGGGAUAUAAAACAGGAGAAACCUUUUGUAUUUGAGGGGGGAUUGAUACGCAAUAUCAACACACGCAUAUUGUAUCAGAAAAACGAAAUCAAUACAGAAGAAAGGUUUUCUUUUUCUCUUUUCUCGAUUGGGUUCCUUUUUCUUUGGCUUUUCUUUUUUCUGUUUUGCUGUUAGCCCUAUACAUAAGCAUAUACAUAUAAUAAAAGGGAAAGGAAGUACUUACCUCGGUGACCCUGUCGUCGUUCUCAUCGGUUUCGUGGAUACCAAAGAGGCUAGGUAUGGUUUUAGCCUGAGAACGGCGCAAGGGGAGAGGGGAAAGGCAAAGUUUUUUUUCUGCUAUUUUUUUAGUGGCCGAAUAACCUUGUUUAGGGUUUUAAAAUUGGUUUUUUUUGGGUGUUGAAACGGUGUCGUUUGGGGCCUGAAUCAGUGGCCACCAAAACGACGUCGUAUUUGUAUACCCGCACGUCCAACCCGACCCGGACCAGCUAGAUUCGCGCGUUUUGGCCUCUGGUGGUAUAUUUUCGCACUUAGUCCCUUGCCUUUAAAGCGCAUCCAAAUCAAUCUUUUUAUUUUUUUAGAUUUUGCCUGAUAUGUCACUGUUGUUUCAUUUUGGUCCCUUCUGCCAAUAUGCGUUUUGAAGGGCAGGGAAUAUUUCCCAUUUAAUCCCUCAUGUAAUGCGCAGGCUUCAUUUUGCCUUUUAAUUUCCUUUUAAUUUAUUUUCUUUUUUCGAUUAAGCAUUAAAUCCAUUUUAAUCUCUAUUUUAGUUUGUUCAUAUUAAUUAAUUUAAAUAUUUUGGUUCUGUUUUCUUUAAUAUAUUUCAGUUUAAUCUAAUGUUAUUUUAAUAAUUCAACUUAUUAGUAUAAAUUCAUUAUUGGUAUUAUUUAAAUCUAUUGAACCAUUAUUCUAAAAGUUUUCUUUCGUGUGUUAUUUUAAGUUUUCAUAUAUUAUUAUUAAAAUUUAAUACUUAUUAUUUUUAUGAUAACUAAAUAUAAUUUGUACAAUUCUAUAGUUUUAUAAUAUUUAUUUUUAAAUUUAUUGGGAUACUAUUAUUUUAUGAAGUAUUUGUUUUUAACUAUAUUUUUCAUUUAUUUCAAACUUUCAUGUGUAUAUAUAUUAUUUUAAACUUAUUUUAAUAUAUAAUUUCCCUUCUUUUAUGUUACUUUUUUUGUUUUUGUUAUUUAAAAAAAAACUUGUUACAUUUUAUUUAAUUCGCUUGUUACCCUUUUUUAAUAUUAACUUUUUAAUUCAUUUUGCUUGCUAAUAUGGAUGUUAGUAUUUGCAUAAUGUAGGAUAUAAAAUUGUUGCUCUUUUGUAUAUGAUAUUGUUUAUUCAUAUAUUAAAUUUUUGUUAUUCAUUAGUGUAUGCUUUAGUUUACGAAUAAUCAAUUCGCAUAGUACAUUAUUAUACGAUCGUUUUUAUUUAUUCAAAAGAUUACAAAUUACAAAGUUAUUCUAUUCAAAAACUUUCAAAAAUACUCGAAGUUUGAAAUCCUCGAGAGAAUUGAGCCCUAACGUAUUGGGUUCCAAUUUUUUUCGUCGAGUCUAAAUAAUUGAACAUUUUUUAACAUACAAAUUUCAAAUAACCCAUUCUCGGGAAUUCAACACGUUGUGUCCUAACGUAUUGGAUAUGACAUGUUAUUUUCUCGAGACGAGGAUUUUAAAAAAAUAAUAAAUAAAGGCAAUGUUCGGUAUUUGGAAAUUUGGUGAAAUCGAACCCUAACUUACUGGGUUUUGAUCUUCUCUUUUGGCCCAAAUAAUUAGAUAUCCUUCUCAAAAUGCAUAGUUUUAAAAAUCAAAUUUAACUUCAAAAUAAAAGGAUUGUAUUUUAAAUUUUUUUUCAAAAUCUCGACAUUAAGACAUUGAACAAUCAAUUUGGUACCAAUUUUGGGCGUAUCGAGGGUGCUAAUCCUUCCUCGUGCGUAACCGACUCCCGAACCUAUUUUUUUGAAUUUCGUAGACCAAAACCGUUGUUUUAAUAAAAUCAAAUCGUUUAUUAAAAACAACCACUUUUUAAGGUGAUCCGAUCACACCUUAUCAAAAAAAGAUUGGUGGCGACUCCCUUUUUCCGUUUCCGUUUUCAAAAUCCAAGUCGACCCCGUUUUCAACAAAGAAAUGGUGUCUACAAAAUGAAUUGUUGAAUUUGAAAACAAUGGUUUAAUAUUGCAGGGAUUUCCAGCAUUAUCAUAAAUUUUAGUGAAUUUAGAGACGAAAUCAGAGUUCCACUGAGUUUUGUUCAAAUCUGGGGAUUUCAUCGUCAUAUAGGGUCGAUUUGGAUAUCUAGGAUACAAAGCUUCAUAUCAUUGAUGUUCGGUGGCCAUGGGUAUAUGUUGAUUUUGAGUUUAUCGUUGCCCCAUAAGUUGGUUGCACUAAAAAAAAAGGGUAUUACCAAUGCUAAAAAUUGUUACUAAAAUUUUAUUGUAGCAAUAAAAGUUGUUGCGGGAUUGUUGUGUAUAUUUUCGUUGUUUAAAGUAUACGCAACUCUACUCAAUUAUGUAAUAUCUACUCUUAAAUAUGGUCUAUUUAACUACAUAUUUAAGCACAUCAAACACAAAUUAAUAAUUUAGAAAUAUCAAACCAAGAAUUAAUCACACAUAAUUGGGAACAAUAAACUAAGUAUUUAUUGCAUAAAAUAAAAAAAAUGAUAGAAUCCAUCAUAGGGUUCAUUUCCCUAGGUAUUUAGAAAAUUAGUUCAAGCUUGAAAAUAAAAACAUCCAAGAUAUAGUAUAACCGAAAGAAAUAAAAAAAUUCAUGAUAAUCUCCUAGGAAAUCAACUGAGAAUCUUCAAUCUUGACGUAAAUUUGUUUUCAAGAUGGCUUCAAUGGCAUUUUUCGAGUUGCUUUCUUGAAUAUUUUAUGACGGCUCUCUCAUAUACUUUCUUAAUUUUUCACAUAUACGUUUCAUAAUGCCCCAAAAAUCUAAAAAUCUUGAUUUUACAUUGUUUGUGUGGCAAUUCCAUGAAAUUGACAUAGCCUACCACACACUCGUGUGGGUCACAUGACUAUGUGGUUUGCUCAUGUGAAAUUUAGAAAAUGUAAAAGAUUCCCUAUGCACCAUCUAUUAUGAGUCUACUAUAUGCUCAAAUAUGUAUGCAUCCGUAUAUUGCAUAUAUUGUUGGGAUGUUAGGCAAACAUUUAAGCAACUCUAGUAUAGGCCAUUAGAUAACAACCAAGAGGGUUAUGAGGUAUCUUUAGAAAACAAAAUAUUACAUGCUCACAUAUUGGAUGUUUGAUAAGUUAGAGAACAUCAAGUAUACAAACUCCAAUUUUGAUGAAAUAUUGAUGCAAAAUUUUGUCACUAGAGUGCAAAUUGUAACAAUAGUUAGUAGUCUUUUAUUCCAAUUGUACAAGCCCAAAUUUGCCCGAGGCCCAAAAACCCAAUACACCCAAACCUCAGCCUAAUUACAAAUUUAACUCAGCAGACCCAACCCAACACCGAUGACCAAACCUCAAUCCAAUAGCACCUAGCCCAACAAGAUUAAACCCAAACCCGAGGCCCAAUAUCCAACCCAAAAAAAAUGAAGGCCCAGUAGCCCAAAAUGUUUGAGACUUUUUCAGAAAAAAUGAAACCCUAGCCUACUGCCUAACCCUAGCCGCCUCUGCCUCCUCUGACAUCUUCUAGUCUGGCUGCCGCUCGUAGCCUCUGCCACCGCCACCUCUGACGCCGAGCCGCCCAUCAAUCACCUACUCCAUCAACGUCAACACCUGCAAACAAGAGAAAAAGCAAUAGCAAAUAAUAGCAAAAAUAUUGUAAAAAAAUGGCUAUAAAGCCAUAACCACCACUGUAAACGGGGUUCUUCCCCCCCCGAUUUUUGUAUAAAAAAAUAUUAGCAGGGAAAUAAAGGAAAAAAGAUUGAAGGUGAUUUUUUCUUUUCUUUUCUUUUCGGUUUUGUAGACCUGUUUUUCUGUUCUCUUUUCUUUUUUCGUUUACACGUAUGUAAAUAAAGGUAGUAAAUAAAAGGAUAGAAUGAAGACUUACCCAUUUCGCCUUUCGGUUACGCCGCCGUCGGGGUCUGCUCAUAAUUGAAAUCGGCCCGAAAGAUCGAGUUAGGGGGUCCUUUGUCUUAAUUUUUGGGCCAAACGAAUCUAGCCUUCGAUUGGGUCUUAAAACGGGGACUAGAAUGCCCAUUUUGCGCAACGCCGGCCACCGUCCACGGUGGCGCUAUGGCGGUGCUAAGAAGACCCAAAGGCCGAACGUUUGAGAGGGAUGAGGAAAGGUUUUUUUUUGUUUUUUUUUUAAAUUAGUGGCCGAAAUGUUUUUUUUGAAGAAAAUAUGGCUUAAAUACCAUUUUCGAAAUAACAUCGUUUCAAUUUGGCCCUCCAGAUGCCAAAACGGCGUCGUUUUGAAAGGGGCCGGUUCUACUCGACCCGUUUGGCCAGGAUCCGCGUGUUUUAGCCUUGAGGGGUUAUUUAUGCGGGGAGUCCCUCCGCUUUUGCAGCGUAGCCGAUAUGAUCCUUUUUGGUCUUUUUGUUAUUUGGCCCGCGAAUUUUACCUCUAUUUCGAUUUGGUCCUUAGACCAUGUGCUGCCCCUAGUCGAAACGCAGCAUUUUAGGACUGGGAAAUAUUUCCCCACAAGUCCCUCACGCUUUAAGCGCGUUUUACUUCAGUCCUGCACUAUUCCUUUUGUUUGUUUGCAUAUUUAAACCCCGAAGUUCGUUUCAAGUUUUAAUUUAGUCCUUUUGUAUUUUGUUUAUUUUCUUAUUAAGUAAUAAAUUUGAUGUUAUACUGUUAUUAUUAAUUAUAAUAAAUAUUAUUUGCUCAUUUUUACCUUUAGAAUUUCAAAAUUUAUCAUAUAUAUUUGUAUAUACUUAUUUUGAUAUUUUGAUAUUUUAUAAUUUAUAUCUAUAUAUCUAUAUACAUAUUUAUACAUAUAUACACAUACCUAUAUGUUUUAUAUUUUCAUAUAGUUUUUAUAUACAUAUAUAUUCUUAUAUGCACAUGCUUAUGUUUUUUUAUACUUUAUAUAUAUACACCUAAACAUGCAUAUUUUUUUAUAUGUACAUACAUUCAUAUAUUUUAUAAUUUAAGUACAUAUACAUAUAUAUGUACAUAAACUUUAUUAUUAUUAUUUUUUUUGUAAUUUAUAUUGUUAUUAAUUGUUUUAUUUGAUAUUUAUUUAUUUGCUCAUCUUUAUUUUUAUGAAAUGCUUUAGUUCUUUUUACAUUAUUUUUAUGAAAUGCUUUAGUUCUUUUUACUUACUCAUUAUUUCAUGUAUAAUUGUUUUUUUUAUAUAUGUGUCCUUUUUAUUGUUGCUCGUAUUAUUUUACUUACAUUAUCAUAAUUGUCAUUCCAUUACGUCAAUUUUCACCCAAAUUCAAAAAAAGAAAUUUUAAAAAUAUAAAUAAUACUCGGUAUUUGGGAUCUUCGAGAGAAUCGAGCCCUAACGUAUUGGGUUCCGAUUUUCUUCGUUGAAUCUAAAUAAUCGAGACUACUCUUUUUUAUAUAUAAAAAAACAUAAAUAAAAGCUCAUUAUCGGGAAUUCAAUACGUUGUGUCCUAACGCAUUGGAUAUGAUACAUUGUUUUCUCGAGAUGAGGAUUUUUCUAAAAAAAUAAAAAUAAGGCAAUGUUUUGAGUUUGGGAAAUUCAAGAAAACGUGCCCUAAUGUGCUGGGUUUCGAUUUCUCGUUUAGCCAAAUAUUCUCUUAAAUCUUAAUCUAUGUCAUUUAAGUUUUUUUAGGAUCGUAUUUUAAAUCUCUUUAAAAUUUUCAGUUUUUCGACACUAAGAUAUUAAGUGAUCAACUAGGUACCAAUUUUGGGCGUAUUGAGGGUGCUAAUCCUUCCUCGUGCAUAACCGACUCCCGAACCCAUUUUUCUGAAUUUCGUGGACCAAACUUGUUGUUUUAAUAAAAUCAAAUCAUUUAUUAAAACAACCACUUUUUGAGGUGAUCCGAUCACACCUUAUCAAAAAAGAUUGGUGGCGACUCCCACUUUCGUUUUCAUUUUUCAAAACCCAAGUCGACCCCGUUUUAUCAAAAAAAUGGUGCCAACAGCUUGGCGACUCCACUGGGGACCCAAGAACGAGAGUCAAGCCACGAGUUGAUUAUUUUUUUAUUUUUUUGUCGAAAAUCAAAAAAUUAGUUUAAACAUACGAUCCUUUCGUUGCAUUUCAUUCGUCUUUAUUAUGAUCUUCAUCAUUAUAGUUUAUAAUUGUUGUGUUAGUUUAAGUUUUGGUAUCAAUUUGUACAUUGCAUUGCAUAACCGUUGGUCACACCCUUCUUAGUGGGAGUGAGAAACUACGCUUUCGUGAGGUUUUCACCUCUGCAUAGGAUAGUGAAUCGCUUCUGGUAUAUAUCCGUACCUAUGUUUUCGUGAGAUUUUCAUCUCCGCAUGGCCAUAGGGAAAUGUAUUCCCCUGAACUGAACUCAGUCUGCAUGAGCCUAUAAUGGGUCAGGACCGAGGAAUCUGCUGGUUCAAGUACCCCUUACUUUAGAGCCGAACCGCAUGUAAUGAGCCCUAGGAGCCUACCCUAGGUAGAACCACACCAAAUACCUAGAGGUCACCUGAAAACUUGGUUUAAAUUUACGAUCAUUUUGUUGUAUUUCGUCCGUUUUGGUAUGAUUUUCAUUACUUCGAUUUGUAAUUACUCUAUUGGUUUGAAUUCUCGAUAUGUUUCUGCGCAUUGCAUUACAUGACCACUCAGUUACACCCUUUUAAGUUGGAGUGAGAAGCUACUCCUUUGUGAGGUUUUCACCUCCGUGCAGGAUAGUGGAUCACUUUUGGGAUACAUCUGUACCUAUGUCUUCGUGAGAUUUUCAUCUCCGUGCAGCCAUAGGGAAAUGUAUUCCCCUGAACCGAACUCGGUCCGUAUGAGCCUAUAAUGGGUGAAGAUCGAGGAAUCGGCUGGUUUGGGUACCCUUUCUUUAGAACCAAACCACAUGUAGAAGACCUUAGGAGCCCACCCUAGGUAUAACUACUUUGAACCCCUAGUAGUUACCCGAAUAGGUGCUCUUUUUGUUUUUUUUUCUUGUUUACUUUUGCUUUGUACUAACCUGUUUUGUUUUGGUUAUAACUGCAUUGCAUUUUCAUCAUAGAAAAGAGGUGUUGAUUCAAAUUUGAUUGCUAAAUAGAAAAGCUUGUCAUGGAAAACGAAUUUCUUGAUAAAGUAGAAUAUGAUGCGACUGUCUGAUUAUGGACUAAUUAAACACAACAAGAGAAGGUUAGAAGUUUGUGGAGGAAUAUACGACUAUGCUUCACUGCCUGAGGAUUCAAACCGACAAAGAUCAUUCGAGAGUGGUCACGAAACUAAAGAGCAUCGUAAGGGAGCAAUGGGUCGUGGCUCAGAUCAAUCAAAAAAGAAGAUAGUAAAGGUAAAUUUUGGGAAAUUCGCAAGAUUUGAUCCUAACAUCUGGAUAUGAAGAAAAGAUCAAUGUCUUCGCCAGGAAUAUGGGGGCAAAGCAGCAGAUGUAAUCUAUUUUAUGUAAAGAAAUUUAUUCUCUAGAAAAGUUGUUCUAAUGGAAUUGAAUUAGGAAUCAAUGCCUCUCUUUCUUUUUGCAUUCAUUUCACGCAUUUGUAUUAUAUAACAUCACAUGCAUUAAGGACCAUCAAAAGACUCUAAUUGAGUAAAAUGAUUUCAGCUAAUCUAGAGAACCAACACCCUUACGGAAUCCGAGCAAAAACUAAAAGAAUGGACCAAAGAUUGGAGAGAUUAAAACAAAGGCAAAUACAGAUGCAAGAGCAAUUUACCAAAUUUCAACAAGAUAUGAAGGAUCAGAUGCUAGAAGUCCAAAGAAAUCUGAUGAGUCAGUUAACCCAGUUAUUGGAUAGAGGGUUAGAAAAAGGAAAAAACCCAGUGGUCCAUUUUGGAGAUAAUGAUGAAGACCCUGCUCAUUUUCUAGGUUUUACCCCAACAAACAUCCAAGCACAACUAAAUGCAUGUCCACAAAAGGUAAAUGUUAACAUCUGACCACAAUACCAGACCAGUACCUCGACACCGGUGAAUUUCACGACAGGCUCAGGUUACAACCUUAGGGGAAAUCUAACUAGUCCCGUUGUCCUUGAUGAUCUAGCGGGAACAAAACAGGUGAGAGUAGAGCUCUCAAAACCAUUUGGAGAUCGUUACAAACAGAAAGGGCAAGAGUGGAAUCCUCAAAUCAAUACUUCGAGGGCCCCGAGGAAGAGGAAAGAUGACGUGAAUGAUGUGAGUAGGUAUAAUGAGGGUUAUUCAAAGCUGAUUACAACAAGCCAGAAAAGGACGGUUGAUUCUAGCCAUCAGAUCUCCCAGAGCAAGAAUUCGGCACAAAGUAAAACAUUGAGAAGUCCAAAUUUGUACCAAUCUCAAUGUCAUUUCGGGAGCUGUAUCAUAAUUUAUUUAACGCACACAUUGCCUCCCCUUUCUACUUGAAGCCUUUACAACCUCCGUACCCCAAAUGGUACGACACGAAUGCACAAUGUGACUAUCAUGCAGGAAUUACGGGGCAUUCAAUAAAAGAUUGCGUUGCCUUUAAAAAGGUGGUUGAAAGGCUCAUCAGUAUAGGCAUUGUCAAGUUCGAUACAAAAAAAUCUGCUGCCUAAUCAUAUUGAUAAUCGGGGUGAAUGCGAUGAAUGAGGAAAUAUUGGGAAACGUUCAAAUUAACGCUGUGCGAAGAAACAACUGAAGAAGGGACCUUGUUAGAUAUUUACCCGUACAUACUUAGGGGUGUUUUGAGCAAUGAGACUGUGGAAGAGAUCCCUGUAUUUUGUAGAGCUAAUUCGGAGUAAUAUCCAAAACACGCUUAUUGCUUUAAGCCUAGGGGCAAUAAGAAUCCUUUUGUGAGAUAGGCUUAUGUCCAACAUCUUUAUUUCAAUAAAAUGCAUCUUUGUUUCUCACUUCGAGCAAAUUUUUAUUCUUAGAUUCUUUUAUUCUUUGGAUAUACUUUCGUCCCUAUAAUAGGUCUUCAGAUAUCAAUGAUAUGAGCGACACUGCUAUUGACUCAGAACCUCCUUUUGAGCAAGAUAUGUGUCCAGAUUAAACUUCAAAACUUUGGAGAUAACUAAGACUGUAGCUUAUCUCUUAGUUUGUUAAGGACGGGAGAACAAGAUCCUACCUUACAAAGAAUCAAUGGAAGCCAUGGCCUUUCUCUAGAUGGGGCACGGAUGUCAUUAGGCCAAUCUCGUCUAAGGUUUUUGACGGCUAUCUUUAUAGUCAUCGAUUACUUAACUAAGUGGGCAGAAGUUGCUUCAUAUGUCAAUGUCGCAAAGUUAACAGUCUGUAAAUUCUUGAAAAAUCAUAUGUUAGUAUGGAAUGUCAAAAAGGAACAUAUCUGACAAUACACUAAAAGUGAACAACGACACAAUAUCAGAAGUUUGCAGUCUGUUCAAGGUUAACACAUUUUGCCCUAGAAUGUACGGUGCAGUGGGAGCAAAAACAAAACAAAAAAGAGGAAAAAUUACUGCAGGGGCAACACAUUGGCUUAGCGCAGUUUUGCUCAUUGAGGUCAAGAUUCCUUCCCUCCGAGUGUUGGAUCAGAUCCCGAUUGAAGAGAAAUGUUCAAAGUUAUCCGUCUGGGUCAAAUACACCAAAAAUAAAAGAUGCGAGCUCAUCAAAGAAGGUUCACCCUAAAGAGUUCCAUGAAUAGAACCUAACAUCGAAGAAAAUCCUCCCCAUACAAAAGGGACUUUAUAAGAAAGAGGAUCUGGAAAAGUGUUGAUUUCGACCAGAAAGGAUAGCAAGGACUUACCUAAUCCUACGAGUGCGGAUUCAAUCAAAGAAUGUAAAAAAAACAAACAAACAAACGAAAAGAAAAAGAAAAGAAAAGAAGAAUGAAAAAAGAAAAAGGAGAGGCCAAGAUGAAAACCCGCAAAGGGCGCCUUGAGACCAAAGGGGUUUUGAAUUGAAAACCCAGGAAUGGGUAGUUCAAAUUUUGAUCAAAGGUGGGGCAUGCGGUGGCCUUGUCCUCUCUGAAUUAGCAAGAAGGUGAGACGCUACAUCUCAGGCUAUCAACAAAGUCUUUUAGGACUUCUAGACACAUAUCAAGUUCAAAAGAGUCCUCAAGAAGCUUAUACAGAAAAGCUCAUGUUGCGAUAUCUGGGGCACCUGUUUCCAUUUUAUUCAUUUUUAUUUUGGCAAAAUAUGCCAUCUUGAUUAAUUUAUUCUCAUUUCGUAUCUUAGCAAAUUUACUAUCUUGAUUAUUUAUUUCGAGCUUUGUUCUCAAUAAAAUUUCAUCUUGUCCAUUGUGAUAAUCCUUUUCAUCUUAUUCAUUUUGAAUCUUAGCAAAAUUCGCUGUUCUGCUUAAUUUAUUUGUUUAGAGCUCUGCUCUCAAUAAAAUUUCAUCUUUCCCACUAUGAUAAUCUUUUUCAUCUUAUCUUAGCAAAAUUUGUUAUCUUGAUUAAUUUAUUCAUUUUGAGCUUUGUUCUUAAUAAAAUUUCAUCUUAUCCAUAUUGAUAAUCUUUUUCAAGCAUUUUACAUUGAAAUAACGAUUAAUUGACUGAAUAUUCAAGCAAAAGAAGUUUUGCAUAUUACUCUGAAAGUUUCUAAAUAAUACAGGAACCUGAAAUAGGACUAUUGUUUAGAGCAUACCAAUAAAGGGUGAAAUGUCUAAGAAGGAAAAGUCUAAAUUAAGACUAUCCUUUCGAAUUUUGUUGUCCAAGCAUGAAUUGAACAAAACGAAAAAAUGUCGAGAUGGUGACAAAGUUUCAAUGAACAAACGAGCAAUGAUCACCGAGUUAUAAAAAGAGGUUUUUGGAAGAAAAAAUUCCACAAUCGUGCAUAAACAUUUGGUAUGACACCUUGGGAAUGGUGUAGAAGACUAAAGAGAUUCAGAUACUGUAUCCCUGAAUUACAGUGGGAGAGGAUUGAGAAAAGUCAGAUCUUAUACUCAGUGGGAGGAAGAUGGCUCGAAUUUUAUGCCCCAAAAUUACCAUGGACUUAACCUUGAAGAUUACAACGGAUUGAACUCUGAAGAUUACAGUAGGGGGCAAUCUGGCUAAGUAAGAGAUGAGUGUUACCAGUCGAGCAAGAUAGCAUUCUGAUAUGUUGGUAAUAAAACCUUAUUGAAUAACGAGCAAUAACAACCCUAACAUUAAAAAGGGAUCAUUCUCAUGACAUUCUGCAUUCAUGCAAAUAUAAUUCACAUACACACCUAGUUAGGAGCAUUUGAUUCGUUCUGAUCAUAAUAUCCUAAUCAUUAGGCAUAAAUAGAUUCAUAAAAUGGACUUUACAGGUCAUGUUCCCCAGAGAACAUAUUAAUAAAGUUACCCAUACCCCUGAAGUUGCAAUGGGAUGAAUUGAAGUUGUCAUGUCAAGUCUUAUCUCUCAGAAAUUAUAGAGGAGUGGACUAGAGAUAGCAGAUCUUAUCUUCCUGUAUUUGGCAGCGAAGUAGAUCGUAGAUAGCAGAUCUUGUCUUCCUGUAUUUGGCAGCGAAGUAGAUCGUAGAUAGCGGAUCUUGUUUUCCUGUAUUUGGCAGCAGAGUAGAUCAUAGAUAGCAGAUCUUGUCUUCUUAUAUUUGGCAGCGGAGUAGAUCGAAGAUAGCAGAUCUUGCCUUCCUGUAUUUGGCAGCGAAGCGUAGAUAGCAGAUCUUGUCUUUUUGUAUUUAGCAGCGAAGUAGAUCGUAGAUAGCAGAUCUUGUCUUCCUGUAUUUGGUAGAGGAGUAGAUCAUAGAUGGCAGAUCUUGUCUUCCUGUAUUUGGCAGUAGAGUAGAUCGAAGAUAGCAGAUAUUGUCUUCCUAUAUUUGGCAGCGAAGUAGAUUGAAGAUAGCAGAUCUUGUCUUCCUGUAUUUGGCAAUAGAGUAGAUCGUAGAUAGUAGAUCUUGUCUUCCUGUAUUUGGCAGUGGAGUUGGUUAAAAAUUACAGAUUCUAUCACCUUAAGCAGUAGUGGAGCAGAUUAAAAGGAUGGAUCUUAUCUCUUCGAAGUUGUAGUAGAGCAGAUCGCAUCAAACUUUAUUGAAGCUACAAGUCUUAUCUCACUGAGGUUGCAGUAGAAUAGACUGAAGAUAGCAUAUAUUAUCUCUCUGGAGUUACAGUAGAGCAGACCACGAUGAUUUUAUCUCCCUAAAGUUGCAAUGGAGUGUACCAAAAUAAUAAAUCCUAUACCUCUGAAGUUGCAGUAGGUCGGACUAAAUCUACCAUAACAAAUCCUAUCUCCCUGAAGAUGCAGUGGAGCAAAUUGAAGACCGACUACAAGUCUUAUCUCCCUGAAGUUGUAGUGGAGCAGACUGUCGAUAACGGAUCUUAUCAUAUUAAAACCUUAUCUUCUUGAAGUUACGUGAAGCAGGUUGAAGCAACAAGUCUUAUCUCCCUGACGUUGCAGUAGAGUAGAUUAAAACCACGAAUCUCGUCCCCCUGAAGUUGCAAUAGAAUGGAUUGAAGCUACGAGCUGUAUCUCUCUGAAGUGCAGUGGAGUGGAUUGAAGCAACAAGACACAGUGGAUUGGAAUGAGGCUACCUGAAGAAGAGAAGCACUAGAAGAAGUCAAGACUCGGCGAGACCGGGUAAAUUUGGUCUUUCUUGGUCUUUGCUCUAUUCUCGUUAUACGACAACGAGGAAAGAGGGGCAGCUGUACAAGCCCAAAUUUGCCCGGGGCCCAAGAACCCAAUGCACCCAAACCUCAGCCUAAUUACAAAUUUAAAUCAGCAGACCCAACCCACCUAAACACCAACCCAACACCCAUAACCCAAACCUCAAUCCAAUAACACCUAGCCCAACAAGAUUAAACCCAAACCCGAGGCCCAAUAUCCAACCAAAAAAAAAUGAAGGCCCAGUAGCCCAAAAUGUUUGAGACUUUUUCAGAAAAAAUGAAACCCUAGCCUACUGCCUAACCCUAGCCGCCUCUGCCUCCUCUAACAUCUUCUAGUAUGGCCGCCGCUCGUAGCCUCUGCCACCACCACCUCUGACGCCGAGCCACCCGUCAAUCACCUACUCCAUCAACGUCAACACCUGCAAACAAGAGAAAAAGCAAUAGCAAAUAAUAGCAAAAAUAUUGUAAAAAAUGGCUAUAAAGCCAUAACCACCACUGUAAAUGGGGUACUCCCUCCCCCCCCCCCCCCCCGAUUUUUGUAUAAAAAAAUAUUAGCAGGGAAAUAAAGAAAAAAAGAUUGAAGGUGAUUUUUUCUUUUCUUUUCUUUUCGGUUUUGUAGACCCGUUUUUCUGUUCUCUUUUCUUUUUUCGUUUACACGUAUGUAAAUAAAGGUAGUAAAUAAAAGGAAAGAAUGAAGACUUACCCAUUUCGCUUUUCAGUUGCGCCGCCGUCGGGGUCUACUCAUCGUUGAAAUCGACCCCGAAAGGUCGAGUUAGGGGGUCCUUCGUCUUGAUUUUUGGGCCAAACGAAUAUAGCCUUCGAUUGGGUCUUAAAACGGGGACUAGAAUGCCCAUUUUGCGCAACGCCGGCCACCGUCCACGGUGGCGCUAUGGCGGCGCUAAGAAGACCCAAAGGCCGAACGUUUGAGAGGGAUGAGGAAAGGUUUUUUUUUGUUUUUUUUAAAUUAGUGGCUGAAAUGUUUUAUAUUUUCAUAUAGUUUUUAUAUACAUAUAUAUAUUCUUAUAUGCACAUACUUAUGUUUUUUUAUACUUUAUAUAUAUAUACACCUAAACAUGCAUAUUUUUUUAUAUGUACAUACAUUCAUAUAUUUUAUAAUUUAUAAUUUAAGUACAUAUAUAUAUAUACAUAAACAUUAUUUUUUUUUGUAAUUUAUAUUUUUAUUAAUUGUUUUAUUUGAUAUUUAUUUAUUUGCUUAUCAUUAUUUUUAUGAAAUGCUUUAGUUCUUUUUACUUCUCAUUAUUUCAUGUAUAAUUUUUUUUAUAUAUGUGUCCUUUUUAUUGUUGCUCGUAUUAUUUUACUUACAUUAUCAUAAUUGUCAUUCCAUUACGUUAAUUUUCACCCAGAUUCAAAAAAAGAAAUUUUAAAAAUAUAAGUAAUACUCGGUAUUUGGGAUCUUCGAGAGAAUCGAGUCCUAACGUAUUGGGUUCCGAUUUUCUUCGUUGAAUCUAAAUAAUUGAGACUACUCUUUUUAUAUAUAUAUAAAAAAAACAUAAAUAAAAGCUCAUUAUUGGGAAUUCAAUACGUUGUGUCCUAACGCAUUGGAUAUGAUACAUUGUUUUCUCGAGAUGAGGAUUUUUCUAAAAAAAUAAAAAUAAGGCAAUGUUUUGAGUUUGGGAAAUUCGAGAAAACGUGCCCUAAUGUGCUGGGUUUCGAUUUCUCGUUUAGCCAAAUAUUCUCUUAAAUCUUAAUCUAUGUCAUUUAAGUUUUUUUAGGAUCGUAUUUUAAAUCUCUUUAAAGUUUUCAGUUUUUCGACGCUAAGACAUUAAGUAAUCAACUAGGUACCAAUUUUGGGCGUAUCGAGGGUGCUAAUCCUCCUCGUGCGUAACCGACUCCCAAACCCGUUUUUCUGAAUUUCGUGGACCAAACUUGUUGUUUUAAUAAAAUCAAAUCAUUUAUUAAAACAACCACUUUUUGAGGUGAUCCGAUCACACCUUAUCAAAAAAGAUUGGUGGCGACUCCCACUUUCGUUUUCAUUUUUCAAAACCCAAGUCGACCCCUUUUUAUCAAAAAAAUGGUGUCAACAACAAUAACAAUAGAAGCACAUCAAAGUCAAAGCACAUAGGCUUUAAGUUCAUUGUUAUUAUAAUAAAAGUUCAGGGUGGUUAGAUGUCUAUAAAGUAUAUUGAGACGAACUCCAUGAUUACGGAUUCGCUUAUUAAGUGACUACCACCCAAAGUUUUUUUCCUGAGCACACUGUUGAUAUGGGUGUAAUGUCAUUUAAGGAUAUUUGAUUUUAGUAGGAGUUUGUACUUUUAAAUGUUUUUAUGUUAUAAACACAUUUUCAAUUAUUUUAGUUUACGAAUAUUAAGUUUAUUUUUUAUAGAAAUAAAGUUUAUUUGGUAAAGUUUGAUCUCACUAAGGUUAAUAAGGACCAGUUAGAAUAUGCAUGUUUGAAUCAUAUUACAUAUAAUUUUCAUGUUACACAUCCAUACUUGAUCUAUGUCAUUUGGUUGUGCUAAUAUAUGUGAUUAGGGAUGGAUUUAAUUAUGAUAUAUGUAACAAAAGUUGCAUUCGUUCUAUGUUAACAUAAUUAAUGGACGAGAUUGUUCGAAAUAUCUUUUGGAUAUGAUAGUAAAAUUUUGAGCUCAUAAGAUUAUAUAAUGACAUGUAAUUAUAAAGUAAUCGGUAUAUAUCAAAAGUCUUUCCCACAUUCAUCAACUAGAAAUCAGAGCUCACCAAAUGUCUAUUCUUUUCAAUCUGAACCGACUCUACAAUCACUUAUUGCUCAUGGUCAUCAGCCUAUAAACCCAGGAGCAUUGUUAACUUCUAAAUCCAAAACACUAAUAUCAGCAUCCAACCCUACAAUGAUAGUAUUAUUGACUCAUUUAAACAAGUUUCCUUUGUCAAUCUAUAUUCCGUAUUUGGUAAUCUCCAGUAUGAAUUCAGAAUUUAGGAUAGCUGGAAUAAGAAUAGCAGCAAAGAUGCAAAGGGAAACGACUUGUAGGAGGAGGAAGAACCUUCUUUUGGGUACAGACCUGUAUAGCAUAUAAUAGGAUGUCCUGUAUAAUGUCACGAGAGCUAGUACCGUUGCCAAGCAGUAAUUAGUAAUGCUGAGUCUAGAAUAGGAAACGGAUCCAGGAGUCGAAAGAGAGAAAAAAUACUGAAGUUCGAGUGUCCGUAUGGAAACAGCAACUAAAAGCAUGUAACAGGUCCCAAACAAGGAAAGUGUUAUGAGAAUAAACAAGCAGAUUGAACGGCUGGGUAGGAGAUAGGCAGUUAAAACAGUUGCUGCCCAAAAGGUUAAAGUGUUGUAUAACCAAAACAUUGUGGACACGUCUAGUAUAUUUUUUAAAUCUUCUUUUUCAGCGGGUGGAGGACUUGGUACGGGUCCAGUGCUGGUUGAACCUAAAGAUGCGUCAUACAUGAGAUGGAAAUUCUGGGAAUUUGAAAUGGUAUCAGGCUGCUUUGGAGGGUUCAAAGUGGCAGUAUAUGUGGCUGUUAUAAUUAGCACUGUGACUACUAAAAAUGUGUUACGCAUCUCAUAUGGGAUUCCCUUCUUUCCACGACUUGCUAUUGUUGCAAAAUUUUGAAGAACUGACACCUUUCCUUUUAAAUAUGCGAUGUGGAAUGAAGAGAUGGAGGUUUUGGGAAGCGAGGAAGAGGAACCACUCAAACCUCCUGCUUUGCUUAUCAUGUCUUUAAUGGACUCCUUAUAGUCCACUUUCUCUUCAUCCAAUGUGUAUUGUGAUGGGAUAUCAAGUGCAGUCAAUCCCUCCGCAUUUUUGGCAUUGAUAUGGUCACCACACAAGCGUUCCAGCAGUACUUUUACCACCUGUUAAUUAGAAUAUUCAUACAAGUAACCUUUGAGUAUAUAUAUACAUAAAAAAUUUCACUAGCAAAAUUAUCAUACCUGAGGUCUAUUUCUGAUAGCAGCAACAUGUAAAACAGUGUUGCCAUCAAUGUCUGCCCAACUCAGUAGUUCUUUCUCCCAACGGCUGGCAGCUUUAUGGCGGCUCCUUAUAAGCCACCCCACCAAGACUUGGAAAGCUUCAAACCUGUCAUUUUUUACGGCAAGAUGGAAAACCGUCUCAUCUCGAACAGUCAUAUCUUCAAUAGCCUCGGGGCAAACCUCAAGGAACUUGAUCAAAAAAUCAACAUUUCCAUUUUGAACCACAUCAUGCAAAGGAGUCAAGCCCUCCCGCCCUUUGACACGAACAAGGCCUUCAUCAAACCUGAGGAGUCGAAGCACUGUUUGAGUUUUUUGAUUUUGCAGAGCCAAGUGCAUGGGGCUAAACCCAGCUUGGUUUAGCUUUCUUGCAAACGAUGGCUUUAAGUUGAUCAUCUCCAUCAUAAAAUCAAUAUGCCCUGCAGAGGCUGCUACAUGCAAAGGAGUAUGGAAAAAAGGUACAUCAUCGAUACGCUGUAAAGCAUAUGGAUCAUUCAGAAUUAACUCAUACAAGAUGUUUAUGUCUCCUGUUUGUGCAGCCCCCUUCAUCUUCUCAUCCAUAGCAAGGUGCGGAAAUUUGCAGAAUAUAGAAAUGGAGUGAAGAAAAAACGCUUUAGCAGAGGAUAUGAUUAUGUUAAGGAUACAAUGAAGUGUUUGAUUAUUUUUUCCAGAUGAAGUGUUUGACAUUUUAUAGCACUUUAAUGAUUUUGGAUUUAUAUGUGAUGUCAGCCUCUACACGUAUACAGGUGAAUUGUUGCCUAUUAGAAAGAAAUAGUAAUUAAAUUCAUAUUUAAUAUAUAUUUUUAAUCUAAUUUUUUUAAUUCAAUUUAAUUUUAGUUAAAACGUUUAAAAACAUUUAUUUAAUCUAAUUUCUUUAAUAUAUUAAAUAAAAUGGAUUAGAGAAUAUAUUGAAUAUGGAUGAAUACUAUAUCAUACUAAUUUUAUGUCUCUAAAAAUUAAUAAGGUGUUAUUAUUUUAUUGGUGCUUAAAAAUUUAAAAUAUUUAGAAUCAUUCUAAUAUAAGUUAUUCUUUUAAUAAUAAUAUUUGGUACUUCCACGACAAGUUCAAUGGUUGACAAAUAUCUUAUAAAAGUAUUAUAAAAUAUUUAAAAAAUAUAUUAUUUAGUGACUUAAUUUUUUAAGAACAUUUGAUAAUUCAUAAAGAAAAUAAAUAAUAUUUUUUUCCAAUAAAAAAGGUGGGAAAAAUGAUAAGUAGAUAAGAGCUACCAUCACUUACAACAUGUUUGGACUAAAAAGAAGAAAAAAGGAGGGAAAAUUAAGUAAAAUGAGUAAAGAAAAUUUGGUUUUUUUUGUUUAAGUUAAGUAAAGUUGUUUAUUUUUUAUCGUAUUAUUAGAUUUUAUUUUUUAGAUUAUUAUCUCUUUUUCUUCUUUUGUUGACUCUUUUUCAUUAGUUUGUUAUUUCUCUAUGAAUCAGUAUCCCAACCAACUCAAUUUUGUUCAGGUAACCAUGUCUAUAUGUUUAAAAGCAUUAAUGCACUAAUCGAAAUCUGAACGUAAUAACUGUUCUCACAUUGAGGUAUAGAAGGUUCUUUUGGUGAAAAGAUGAAGCAUUGCAAAAAAAAAAAAAAAUUGAAUAAGAUAUUUUGAAAGAAAGCGGAGAGGAAGACUAAAAUAUAUUUAGUAACAUUAAGCAUCGUACAAGUAAAAAAAAAAUAAAGUAAAUAAUUUUAAAACACAAAAUUAUAACUUUAAAAAAGAUAAAACUCACAAUAAAAUAACAAGAUUAUAAAGUAAACUUUAAAAUGCACUAAUUAAUUAAAUUAAAUUACUUAUUAUAAAAAAAUCAAAGUAAAUUACUAGUAGUAAUUUUUUAAUCUUAGGUAUGUUGCAUAUAAUUUUAUAUUUUUUAUUUUUUAAAUAAUAUAUUUUUAUAAUUUUAAAUAUAUAUUUAUGCUAAUUAAACGAGGAUUCUCGUCGUGACAUCGCUAGCUAACUUUUGUAAGUGCCUAUAAACUGAUAAGUGCUAGCUAAAAGUGACAUAUUUUAACAUCAUUCUUAAUACAUUUUGGGUGAUUAUUUGAUGUUAAUUGUGAAUUUUAUACUCCUAAUACUUUAAAUUCAUGUAUUAAUGCUUAAUAGAGCACUUGAGAGCAAAAGGAGUAAAAAAUGAGCGAAAAAUGAAAUUUCGAAGCAAGUUACAGGAGCCACACGAGCUAGACCAUUCCACACAGCCAUGUAAGCCACACGGGCGUGUAGUAGGCCAUUUAGUUUUUACAGGACUUGUGACAUUUAGAUUGAUAGUGAUAGAUGAAAUCUAGGUGGAUUCUUUCCUGUGUAUUGUUUUGCUUCUUGGUUGUUAAUCGAUUAUUUUCUUAUUUUUUUCUUUAUUGCGUUCAUUGGUAAUUAAAUUAGUUAAUUUUAGUUUUAAUAAAUCACUCAAAUUAUUCGAUUAAAUAAUGGAAAAAAGAGUAAUUACCAGUACUUUUAGUCUUCUUGGAAUGAUAUCUUUGCUCCCCAUAGCUAUACUAUUAAUUGAUAGGUGCGCAUGCCUUAGUCAAAUUUUAGUUAGUUUCACGAAACAUUACAAAUUGUCUGAUAAAUGCGAGGCACAUCCCACACUUUCCAUUAUCAAUUUAACGAAUUCAAAUGUUGGUGCCUAAUUAAAAACUUUUCAAAUUGGGUGACUAAAUCAGGAACGAGGGCAUAGUUGAGUGACAUUUUGUAUAGUUUACCCUUAAUUUUUUUAAAAAUUUAAAAAAAUAUUUUUUUUAUAAUUUUUAUACUGUUUAAUAUAACUUUAAUAGUUUUUAAUUUUUAAAAAUAAUUUUAUAUUUUUUGAAUUUUUUAAAUUAAAAAAUAAAUUAAUUGCUUACAUGACAAUUUAAUGUAUGUCAUGUCAACAAAGUUAACAAACGUUAACUUUUCUAUUCAUUUUGGGGCGAUUUGAUAAACCAGCUUAGUUUAGCUUUCUAGCAAACGACGACUUUAAGUUCAUCUCCAUCAUAAACUCAAAAUGCCCUGCAAAGGCUGCUACGUGCAAUGGGGUAUCAAGAAAAGGAACAUGAUCAAUACGCUCUAAAACAUAUUGAUCAUUCUGAGUCAACUCAUAUAAGACGUUAAUAUGUCCUUGUGCAGUCUUUCUCAUCGUGUCAUCCACGGCAAGGUGUGUGUGUGUUGGGGGGAGAGGAUGAAAUAUGCCGGAACAUAAGAGUCCAACCAAUUGAGAAGGUACACAUAUAUUGAAAGGACCGAUGAAAUCUUAGACCGCACAAAACGGAAGCUAAAGGAUUGAUGAAAGAACGCUUUAGCAGAAGGAUAAUAUUGAAGUGUUUGAUUUUUCUUCUUCCUGUUGUAAUGUUUGACGUUUUGUUUGAUACCAAAUCCCACUUGUUAAAAAAUAUACAAUAAUUAUAUAUUUUUUAAUGAUUUUUUAGAUAUUAAAUAAAUGGUAACACGUCAUAAUAAAACUCUAAAACUAGAUGCAUUUAAUUUUAAUAUAAAUAUUAUAUCAAUGUAUCAAUAUGGUUGACCUAAAUACAAAUAGUUGAUUAAUUAAUAAAAAAAUAUUUAUUGAAUUAUUUAAAUAUUAUCUAAACUAAUUUAAUUUUUAAUUUUCAACCCUAUAAAACAUUUCACCAUCAUUUUUAACAAUAAUACCUAAUAUUUUAAAUUAACAAACCACAACCUUUUAAAUAUUAAUUAUCUUGAAAUUCAACUUUUUAGAAGUUAUUUUUUAACCGUCAACAACGUCAAACUGGCACUAAAAUCUUCCACUCACACUUGUAAAUUAAUAAAAGGACUCCGGUAAUCAAGGGACUUGAGAAUUUAAUCCAGUAUGAAUCUCCGUCACUCACGUAUUUGCUGUCAAUAGUGAUGGAUGAAUACGAAUUUUGUCCCAUAUACUGCUUGGAUUUAUAACCCCAAGCAAUGCAAGUGGUAAUAUUGUAGGGAUUUUCAACAUUAUCAUAAAUUUUAGGGAGGAAUUAAGUGAAUUCAGAGACGAAAUUAGAUGCCCAUUGAGUUUUGUUCAAAUCUAGGGAUUUCAUCGUCAUAUAGGGUCGAUUUUGAUAGCUAUUUUUAGCAACAACUUGAUUUAAUUAAUUAAAUUAAUUAUGAUUAGUUAAGUUUAAUUUAAGUAUAAAAGUUAAAAUUAAAUGAAAAACAAAACAUUUUUCUCUUCAUCUUCUUCUCCACUGUUUCUAGGGUUUUGGAGCUUUCUACUUUAGCCCUCAAUUUGGUAAAUAAUUUCAAGUUUUUUUUAUUAUAAAUUUUACAUUUUUGAAAUCGUAAGAGCUUGAUUUGAUUUAACUAAACCAUAUUCUAUUUUUGCAAAACCGUUAAAAUUUUCAAACAGGAAAUGUUGAUCUUUUGAUCAAGUUACUUAAGGUUUGUCCUGAGGCUAUUGCAGAUGUGACUGUUCGAGAUGAGACAAUAUUCCAUCUUGCUGUGAAAAACGACAUGUUUGAAGCUUCCAAGUCUUGGUGGGGUGCUUAUGAGAAGCUUCCAUGAGCCUGCCCAAUGGAAGAAACAACUGCUGAGUUGGCCAGACAUCGAUGGCAACACUGUUUUACACAUUGCAACUAUUAGAAACAGACCUUGGGUAUAUGCUCAUUUUUGUCAUUAAGUCAGUUACUGAUGUGCAUAUAUGCAUGAUAAAAGGGUUACUUAUAGGAAUAUUCUAAUUGAUAGGUGGCAAAACUAUUGCUGAAACACAUGCCGUGACCAAAUCAAUGCCAAAUAUUUGGAGGGAUUGACAGCACUAGAUAUCCAAUCUCAGUACCCAUCGAAUGAAAGGCAAGCAGAUAGGAUUAUAGAUGCUAAGAAAAGCAGGAGGUUUGAGUGGUUCCUCUUCCUCACUUCCAAUACCUUCAUCCCUUCAUUCCUAAUCGAAUCUUUAAAAGACAAGAUGCACGGUCUCAAAAAUGGGCAACUUCUGAAUUUCCACAAUACUUACAUUAAGAGUACUUAUCAGAAUUUCCAGCACCACUACCACCACUACCUUUUGCAGCAACUUCUGAUCCACUACUGGCACCACUCUUCUUCCCUUUCCACUUCUAGUCCUUUCCUUCUUCACCCUGCUACAUCUUAGCCUUCAAUGCUUCCUUCCUGCCUCAUUAGUCUCUUCUACUACUGUGCUUGUAAAGCACUGAUCAACUCGACUACUCUCAGUUGAGUCAAGUCAUUUGUGUUCUCCAAAGAAGUAAUUGUUCCUUCAUACUUCUCAAGCACAGAGAUUAGUAUUUUCUACAUUAGUCUACAAUCAGAGAGAUUAGUCACUACAAUAAAAUAGACUUUUAGCGGCAUUUUUAAGCGCCGCUAAAAGUAUUAGCAGCGCUUUAACAAGUGCCGCAAAAAAUGCCGCUAUAGACAACGCCGCUAAUUUUAGCGGUGUUUAUGUGAAAAAACACUGCUAAAGAUCAUGACCUUUAGCGGCGCUUCUACCACAAACGCCACUAUAAAGAAUGACUUUCAUGAUUUUUUUAAAAAAAUAUUUUAAUUAAAUAAUAUUUAUUUCUAUGAUAAAUAUUAUAUUAUGUUUUAUUUUUGAAAUUUAAACUUUAAACUAUAUGCUUUUAAGGAUAAAAAACAAAAUUUCUAUUAAAAUUUUAACUUUAAAAAACAAAAUUUCUAUUAAAAUUUUAACUUUAAAGCUAAAUAUAAAAAUUAAUGAAUUUAAAUUUAGAAUUAAAAUAUUAUGUUUAAAUAAAUGAGCAAUCUACCUCACAGCUCAUCUGAUCUAUAUUAACUCGGCCAAAUAUAAAAGAAGCUACAAAACACGUAAUAAUUAACAAUCAUGGUUAAAGAAGCUAGUACACAAGGUAGCUACAAAACCCUGUUUCAAUAACACCAAAUUCAAGUUCCGACUAAGAUAAAAGACCAUGACGAUGUGCUUGUUUCCUUCUAUAUAUCUUUGGGAAGAAUUCCUUCAAGAAAUCAUCCAUGGAAGUCACUCCACCUGCAGUCAAUAUUAAAAGAUAAACAGUGUCAUCAUCUUGAAAUAAGUAUCUUAUUGAGCUCUUUUGAAUCAAAUAACAUAAAUCUUCUAACAAAAAGAAACAAAUACAUAAUCUAUAAUGCAAAUAGCUUAGGAAUCAUUGAUAAUUCCCAAAUACCAAAUAAUAUAUGAAGAUUAUAUUUUGACGAUUAAAGAAAAUAUGUAGAGAGGGUUCUUCUCAAGACAUCAUUUUGAUUGAAAAGCAAAUCAGUAAAUCUGGAAGAUAGGAUACAAAUCUAAAAAGAUUUCAGCAAUUGCUAAUACUUAAUAUAAAUGAAUAGAAUUCAUAAACAGGCUGAAAAAAAUGCCACGAAUGCUCAUUUUUAGCGGCGUUUUUUCAAAAAUCGCCGCAAAUGCUCAAUCUUUAGUGGCGAUUUCCAUAAAGCGCUGCUAAUGCUCAAUUUUUAUCGGUGUUUUUUGUCCAAGUGCUGCUAAAAGCCUGUUUUGGUGUAGUGAGUCCCGAAACCCUUACCUUAUUAGCAAUAUCUAUCAACUUGUUUGAGUAUUCUUUGAUUGACUCAAAAUCUUUUAUUUGUAGCCUAUCGAAUUCCCUGGUCAAGUUCAACACCUUCAUGAUCUAGAACCUCUUAUCUCCUUGAUACUCAACCUUGAGGUAGUAUCUCCUUUAUUGAUCCAAAAAUAAUAAUUCUAUUGAAUAUGGCUAGUGAAACAACAACAUAAAGGCAAACCUUUACAUUUGCUUUCCAAGUGGUUCUUUCUUUGUGCAGUUUGAUCUGGUUCAUAGUUGGAUUUUUGGAAAGUGGAACCACCUCAUAGUCUUCCUCGAUAACUUCCCAAUAAUCACAACCCUCCAUGUAUGCUUGCAUUCUCAUAGCCUAUGCUUGAUAGUUCUUUCCAUCAAACACAUGUGGGGUUAAGACAGACAUAUUGCUUGAUCUUGAUUCCAUUUUUCUCAAUUCCUUACAAGUGUAUCUCUCAAUUUUUGUCUUAGGAUUCUCAUAAGGCCUCUCUCACAGGUCCCUCAAGAAAAAGAGGCUCUCGAUACCACUAUUGUUUCAAUGGAGAACUAACUAAAGGCACAAAAAUUGAAAAUGGAGAAAGUUGAUUAAAAUUUAUUAACCAAGCAAUGCUUAUUUACAUGACUCAAGCAAUGCUUAUUAAAUCAAUUUUUUAUUAUUUUUAGGGGCCAAAGUGUAAUUUUACCAUUACUAAUUUAGAAUUUUAUAAAUUAUAAAGGGUCUAACUGAAAAUUUUUCCAUUUCAGGAGGGCUGAGGGCCCUGCCACCCCCCUUGGCUUCGCCACUGAUAUUAGUUCUCGUGGUAUUAUACUAGAUAGCCAGUUAUAUACUAUAUAGGUUUGUACCCAAAAGAAAAAUAUCUUCCUCCUUAUGGCAUACUAGUUCAUAUGCUUUUAUUUUUAAGAAUUUAAACUAUCCUUAAUCAUAUAGUCCGCUAUAUCAUUCAGUCAUCACUCUCUUCACCGCUCAUUUAUCUUAUUUUUUAUUUGAUUUAAGAUUUCGUACAUCGAAAUUUCCUUUGACCUUUCAAGAAGUUUUAUUUUCUAAAAUUAGUGCGUUUUAAUCACCUAUAAAAUCAAAAUUUUUAUUCAAGUUGCAGUUGAUUUGGACUGGAUGUACAUUAUCUAUGGCUUUGGGAUACUUGGAAGUUUCCUACGACCUUCGAAGAAAUCUGUUUUUUGAGACAAGAGUGAUCGAGUCAUGUAUAAAUUUUGGUCAGGUUCCUGUGUUUUGCAAAUUUCCUUUCCUACAUUCUCUUCUGGUUCUUUUUUCUGUGUUUCGUUGCAAAUUUCCUUAGUUUUCAAUUUUCAAUUAUCUGAAGAUUAACUGCUCAAUUUAUUACCCCCAAAAGAAAAGUUAUGGAUGAGAGGAUGAUAGAGGCUGCCCAAACAGGAGAUUUUAACCUCUUGUAUGAGUUGAUUCUGAAUGAUCCAUAUGUUUUAGAGCGUAUUGAUGAUGUGCCUUUUUUCCAUACACCAUUGCAUGUAGCUGCCUCUGUUGGGCAUAUUGAGUUUAUGAUGGAGAUGAUCAAAUUAAAGCCAACGUUUGCAAGAAAGCUAUGUAGGAACAAUGGCAGCAGCAAGCAUCAAACAAAGUUUCAAAUCUGUAUUUGUAAGACUGAAGCAAGAAGAAUCGAAGCAAAGAAAAAGCAAAGCAAUGAACACAAUUGAAUACUCAGCAAAGUUGUAACUGAACAUUACAUUUUUCAUUCAAGAUUUGAAUAUAUAAAAGAGCUACAAAUUUUGGUUCAUUUGACAGAUACCUAAUGACAUAACUAUUCCCACUUAAACUAAACUAAUACAAGCUUAAGUCAAAUACAAAAUAAGCUGACAUAUCAGCUUUUACAUCAUCAAUCCAAUCAUAAACUUAAUCCAACUAACUAUUAAAGCUAGUUACAAUCAAACUAAACUAAGUUACAUCAAAACAAAACAGCAAUAUCAGUUGCUUCAUUUGGUCUGAAAACCAUUCGUGCAUACCAAGCAAAAUGAGCUGAGCUCGAUAGCUGCUGGUCUCGAUAGUAGCAUGCUUCCGGCUCCAUGUUGCAUUGCAGUCCAGCUUUCAACACUCCUCCUUGGACUGUAUGCAACACAUUCCAAUUGCAUUUCUCAAAGAUUCAAAUCGAGCAGCCCCCAAGGACUUGGUCAUUAUGUCAGCCAAUUGUGUCCCUGAGCUGCAAUGCACAAGGCUGACUUCCUUUGCUUGUUCAGCCUCUCUAACAAAAUGCAGCUUGAUUUUAAAAUGCUUUGUCUUACCAUGGAACACAGGGUUCUUGGCUAUUGCAACUGCAGACUGAUUAUCCACCCAAAUUUCAGUUGCUUCAUCUUGAGUUUCAUUAAGGUCAUGAAGCAGCUUCCUUAGCCAAAUGGCCUGAUUAACUGCUCCUGCUGCAGCAAUGUAUUCUACUUCAGCUGUGGACUGAGCAACAGUUUGCUGCUUUUUUGAACUCCAGCAAAACAUCCCCGAUCCAAGUGUAAAGAAGUGUCCUGAGGUACUCUUCAUGUCAUCGAGGGAUCCUGCCCAGUCACUAUCAGAGUAGCCUUCUAGUUUCAGUUGGUUCCCACUUUCAAACAUUACACCAAAACUAGCAGUGCCCUUGAUGUAUCUAAGGACCCUCUUUGCUGCCUUCAAAUGUGCCUCAUUGCAACAAUGCAUAAAUCUCGAUAACAGACUGACACCAAACAUGAUGUCUGGCCUGGUUGCUGUUAGAUACAACAGACAACCAACUAGGCUUCGAUAGUGCCUCUCAUCAACCCUCUGCUGAUCACCACUGCUAGUCAGCUUUUCUCCUUGGGCCACAGGUGUGCUGACUGCUUUACAAUUAUGCAUGCAGAAUUUGUCUAGGAUCUUCAAAGCAAAUGAGUGUUGGCUGAUGAAGAUACCUCGAUCAGACUGGUGAACUUCCAUGCCAAGGAAGUAAGUCAUGAUCCCCAAGUCUGUCAUUUCAAACACUUGCUGCAUUUGGACUUUGAACUCAUCAAUGAGCUCAAUUUUGCUCCCUGUCACAAGCAAAUCAUCCACAUACAAGGAGACAAUCAGCAAGGUUUCAUGUUUUGACCUUUUAACAUACAGAGUAGGCUCACUAAGGCUCUUUACAAAUCCAAGUUUGGUCAGGUAAGCAUCAACUCUGUCAUACCAGGCCCUUGGUGCCUGUUUCAGGCCAUAGAGGGCCUUUCUCAACUUAUACACUUUGUCUUCAUGUCCAACAACUUCAAAACCUUCAGGUUGUUCGAUGAAGAUCUCCUGACUGUAGCAAAAGUUUGUAUCCAGUCUUGCCACUGGAGCAAAAGUUUCUAGGUAGUCAACACCAUACUGCUGACUGUAGCCCUUCACCACAAGCCUGGCCUUGUGCUUGUUCAGUGAGCCAUCAGCAUUGUACUUGGCCCGGUACACCCAUUUAACUCCUAUGACCCUCUUGUGUUCUGGUCUGCUCACCAACUCCCAAGUCUGAUUUUUGUUGAUCAUUUCCAACUCAGCUUCCAUAGCUUUCAUCCAGCUUCUGUUCUUAGCAGCCUCUUCAAAGUCUGAGGGCUCAAUCACAGCAACAUUGCACCUCUGAUAGACAUCAGCCAAAGUUCUGGUGCCCCUCACUGGUAUAUCAUCGACAGCAUCAUUACUUGGUCCUUUUACUGCAGGUUCAGCAACCAAGUCUAACUGGUCCAAUUCAGACAAGUCAGCCUCAACACCAUUCCAAUUCCACACCUUUUCCUCAUCAAACUUUACAUCCCUGCUGACUAAAACCUUCUUUGCUGUAGGAUCAUACACUCUAUAGCCUUUCUUGUUGCUGCUGUAGCCAACAAAGAUUCCUGGAGUUGCUCUGCUCUCAAGCUUGGUCCUUUUCUCUACUGGAAUAAGUGCAUAACAUACACAGCCAAACACUUUUAAGUGUGUUACCACAGGUUUGACUCCAUGCCAAGCCUCAAAAGGAGUCUUAUCCUUGACUGCUCUAGUUGGCAGUCUGUUGAGCAGAUACACUGAGGUGUUGACUGCCUCAGCCCAAAACUGACUUGGAAGCUUGCCUUGAAACAAGAGGCACCUGGCCAUGUUCAGUACAGUCUUAUUCUUUCUCUCACAGACUUCAUUCUGUUGAGGAGUAUAGACUGUUGUGAGCUGAUGGUAAAUCCCAGCACUGUCACAAAGCUUCUGAAAUCUCUCAGACACAUAUUCAGAACCAUUAUCAGUCCUCAAGGCUCUAAUUUUGCAGCCUGACUGAUUUUCAGCAUAAGCCUUGAAUUUACAGAAGGCUUCAAACACUUCUGACUUUUGCUUCAAGAAGUAGACCCAACACAACCUUGUUAAAUCAUCUAUAAACAGGGCAAAGUACCUGUUCUCACUGAUUGAAGGUGUUCUCAUAGGGCCACAAACAUCAGAGUGCACCAAUUCGAGCUUGUCUUGAGCUCUCCAAGCACUGUCAGCAGGAAAAGGCAGUCUAGCCUGCUUACCAAGCUGACAAACCUCACAAACAUUCCCACUAACUUCAAAUUUUGUAAUGUCAUCAACCAAAUUCAGCCUAUGUAACAGAUCGAUGGAUCUAAAAUUUGCAUGGCCUAGUCUCCUAUGCCACAAGUCAGUGCUUUCAACAAGGCUGGUGUAUGCCUUUCUUUCUAUUUGGCUAACAUCCAGCAUGAAGCACCUAUCAGUCAUAGAGACUGUGACUAACUCCAGACCAUUCAUGUCUUGAACAAUACAGCAACCAUCCUUAAAAACCAAUGUAUAGCCCUUUUCAACUAAUUGGCCUACACUAAGUAAAUUCUGGUCUAAGUCAGGUACAAAAAACACAUCUGAGAUCAGCUUGUUACCUGAACCAGUGCUAAUCAACACACUGCCCUUGCCUUUAGCCUCAAUCAGUCUACCAUCUCCAAUUCUAAUCCUCGAGUGGAAGCUUCUGUCUAGGCUUUUGAACAGCUUCUCAUCUGCUGCAAUAUGGUGUGAGCAGCCACUGUCUAGUAGCCAAUCAUUGCUGGCCUUGGUUGUGCCAACAAAACAAGUUACUGUGAACACUUGCUCCUCCUGAGCUUGAAUGUCCUCAGCAGGUCUAGCUUGUUGCAGAGCAGCCUCCCUUGGUUUGCCCUUGCACACCUUCUCCACAUGGCCAAACUGCUUGCAUUUUCUACACUGAAUAUCUGGCCUAAACCAGCAAUACUUUUCUGAAUGUGUUGUCUUCUUGCAAUGAACACAUGGUGGGAACACCCUUUUUGCUUCAUCUAUUCCUGACUUGACCCUUCUAUUGUGCCAAUGCUGCUUGCCUUUUGCACUCACACUCGAGCCUUCACUGGCUUUAGCCUGGAAAGCAGCUUCAGGAUUCUCCUCCUGCCUAUUUGCCCUCCUUUGCUCAAGUGCAUACAGGAAGUUUAUCAGCUCAGACAAAGAAAUGGCUGAUAAGUCCCUCGAGUCCUCAAGUGAAGAGAUUUUAGACUCAAAUUUCUCAGGGAGAGUUGUAAUAACCUUUUCAACAACUCUGCUCUCUGUGAAGUCCACUCCCAGGAGCCUAAUGCUGUUGAAAAUGGCCAUUAUCCUGUCUGAGUACUGCUUGAUGGUCUCAGACUCCUUCAUCCUCAAAUUUUCAAAGUCUCUCCUGAGGUUGAUCACUUGCUGUUGCCUUGUCUUAUCAGUCCCCAUGAACUCCUCCUUCAGCUUCUCCCAAGCCUGCUUUGGUGAGUCACAGGCCAUGAUGCGAGUAAAUAUCACAUCAGAGACUCCAUUUUGCAAGCAGGCCAUAGCCUUAUGCUUCUUGGCUCGCUCCUCAGUAUGUUGCCUCAUCUGUGCAAUGGUGGGAUUGGCUCUCAAUGGAGGUGGUUCAGCAUCAUUCUCGAUCACACUCCAAAGAUCAUGUGCUUGGAGAUAAGUCUUCAUUUUAACUAUCCAAAUGUGAUAGUUUUCUCCAGUGAACACUGGUGGAGGUGGUAGAGUGAAACUCAUUCUGCUAGACUGAAUCCAAAUGCUUCGAUCUUACCAAAUUUUGAACUUGCUGUUGGUUUUGAUUCAAACACAACAGAUUGCAUACAAAGGCCCCUCAAAGACUCGGGCUCAUGAUACCAUUUGUACGAACAAUGGCAACAGCAAGCAUCAAACAAAGUUUCAAAUCUGUAUUUGUAAGACUGAAGCAAGAAGAAUCGAAGCAAAGAAAAAGCAAAGAAAUGAACACAAUUGAAUACUCAGCAAAGUUGUAACUGAACAUUACAUUUUUCAUUCAAGAUUUGAAUAUAUAAAAGAGCUACAAAUUUUGGUUCAUUUGACAGAUACCUAAUGACAUAACUACUCCCACUUAAACUAAACUAAUACAAGCUUAAGUCAAAUACAAAAUAAGCUGACAUAUCAGCUUUUACAUCAUCAAUCCAAUCACAAACUUAAUCCAACUAACUAUUAAAGCUAGUUACAAUCAAACUAAACUAAGUUACAUCAAAACAAAACAGCAAUAUCAGUUGCUUCAUUUGGUCUGAAAACCAUUCGUGCAUACCAAGCAAAAUGAGCUUAGCUCGAUAGCUGCUGGUCUCGAUAGUAGCAUGCUUCCGGCUCCAUGUUGCAUUGCAGUCCAGCUUUCAACAAGCUAAACCAAGCUGGGUUUAGCCCCAUGCACUUGGCUCUGCAAAAUGACAGAACUCAUGCAGUGCUUCGACUCCUCAGGUUUGAUGAAGGACUUGUUCGUGUUAAAGGGAGGGAGGACCUCACUCCUCUGCAUCAUGUGGUUCAAAAUGAAAACUUGAAUCUUUUGAAAAAGUUUCUUGAGGUUUGUCCUGAGGCUAUUGAAGAUAUGACUGUUCGAGAUGAGACGGUUUUCCAUCUUGCUGUGAAAAACGACAUGUUCGAAGCUUUUCAAGUCUUGGUGGGGUGGCUUAUGAGAAGCUGGUAUGAGUCUCCCCGAUGGGAGAAAGAAUUACUUAGUUGGCCAGACAUUGAUGGCAACACUGUUUUACACAUUGCAGCUAUCAGAAACAGACCUCGGGUAUAUGCUAAUUUUUGUCAUUAAGUCAGUUAUUGAUGAGUAUAUAUGUAUGAUAAAAGGGUUACUUAUAUGAAUAUUUUAUUAACAGGUGGUAAACGUAUUGCUGGAACACAUGAGGCGAGACCAAAUCAAUGCCAAAAAUUUGGAGGGAUUGACAGCACUAGAUAUCCAAUCACAGUACCCAUGGAAUGAAAGGCAAGCGGAUAAGAUUAUAGAUAUGCUAAGCUAAGCUGGAGGUUUCCCAAUACCUCCAUCUCUUCAUUCCACAUCGAAUCUUUAAAAGACAAGAUGUCACGGUCUCAAAAAUGGGCAACAAGAGCAGGUCGAGGAAAGAAGGGUAUGGGACAUGAGAUGCGCAACACAUUUCUAGUAGUGACAGUGCUAAUUAUAAUAACCACAUACGAAGCCUCUUUAAACCCUCCAAAGAAGCCUAAUGACAGUCCAUCCAUGAAAUACCAAGUCUCUUCAAGUCAAGAUGAGCCUCUCAAUUCCCACACAUUUUUGCAUAAAACCGACUUCAAUACUGCUCCCAUACCCAGUCCCUCCGCAAUUGACGUUUUGGAUCUAGAUGAUUGGACAUUUAAAUACUCCUCAUUUUUGUUUUGCAACACGUUCACCUUUUGGGUAGCAGUGUUCUUAACAGCACUUCUCCUACCACCUCAUUCAUUCUCUUCCUUGAUUCUCCUAACACUUUCCUUCUUUGGGAGAUCUUACAUGAAUUUAUUUGAUGUUUCCGCAUGGUCAUGGGGAUAUUCAUAUGAGUUUUCCAAUGAAAACGCACACUUAUUAUAUGUUGUAGCCUCCUUUUGUAAUGUUUUCUUCUCAACAUUGCUAGUUUUCCUUGGAUCAUACCAGACAAUAUUUUAUGUUUGCAGUAGGGUAAACAUUACCAAGCAAAAAUUCUUCUUCCUCCUACUAGUCGUUGUCAUUGGCUGCAUGCAGGUUUUUAUGUUUGCUUAGCUUAGUGAUGUGAUGGCCAUUGAUAAAUAAAAUCAAGGUUGGUGAAUGUACCAUUUCAUUCCAUUGAUAAAAGAAGUUUAAGUUUUAGAGUUGUUAUAUAUAUAUAUAUCAUCUAUCUUGCUCCACAUAUAAAUAUGGAGUGCAAAUCUGUUAAAUACUUAAAUGUGAUAGACUAAAACAUCAUUCUAAUAUAUUAAAUUUAAAAUAUUUUGAUAUUAUUAAAAGAAAUGAUUAAAUUAUUUUAACAUAUAAUAUCUUUUUUUAAGAGUAUUGAUUUUAUUUUUAGCUUUAAAAAAUACAAGUAAAAACAAAAUUUAAUUAACAAAAUUUUUUAUACAAUGCCUCAAAUUUAUGUUUUCUUUACACUAAUAGUAAUAUCGAUACUAACUAAAUUAAAAUUCAAUCGAUAAAUAAUUUAAAUUAUUAAUAAAUUAAAAUCUAUAUUAUACUUUAAAAUAUUUAUGAUAUAAAAAUAUAUUAAUAUAAUACCGACAUAUUGAUUAUUGAUUGUCGUGUUUAAUUAAGACUAGUAUAGCGUCUUAAGGUCAGAUGGGACUAUUGAAGAAACUUUUACCUCUAAGUGCCAAUUCGUUUGGAAUAAGAAAAAACAAUAAAAAGUGCCAGUACUUGUUUCUUUUCUUCUUUCUGUUUAAGACUUCUAUGGCUUGGGACCAUACCAGAAUUGUAUGUUCUACUUUUAAUUCUAGGACGACGUGAGUACAAAUUAAAUAUUUUUGUAUUGGUAACAAUAUUGAUCAUAAUCGAUUAAAAUAUUAAAUUUUACACUAAAGAACUUAAUAGAAAGAAUGUUGAUGAUGCUAACAACUAAACUUGAAUUUUUAAAUUUGAAAAUUAGAAAGAUUAAAUCUUAAAAGUAAAAGUAGAUGGACUAAUUAAAUUUCUAAUGUAUAAAGUGUAUAAGGAGUAAGGACUUAAAGUAUAUUUUAACACUUAAAUUUUUAUUUUAUAAUUUCAGACAAUCAAAUAAUUAAUCCAAUAUAAAACUUGGACGAAAAAAUUCUAUUUUCUUUUAAGCAUGUCGAAUUUAUUUCAAGCCUUCAAACAAACAAGCAAAGAAAAAAUAAAAUCAAAAGAAGAUAUCAAGUUGUCACUAGAUAACAAUUCUAGGUAGGAUUGGACCGAUGAGGUUCCGGUCCACAAUGAGCAAAACGGUGAGAGUGAUCCGAUUAAGUGAAGAAAUUUGAGAAGGGGGGGAGGGGGAACUUUCGUCGUUGUAAAGUGAAAAAGCUAAGGGAGUGAUUACAAUUUGAUUAUUAUUUCAUAUGCAAAUUCAAUUUUAAUUUAAAAUAACUUGAAGGCUAAAUUCAAUAAAAAAAUACUUUUAUAUUUCACUUUAAUAUUUAACAAUAAUAAGUUAAUUAAUAUAAUAUUAAAUUUAAAUAAAAUGGUUAUUUUAUAAAAUAAUUGUUUUUUCAUUUAUGAUAUAUGGACUUUUAUUUCUCAAGUUUUUAUAAAAUAAGGCUGUUAGGGUUGUUGCGUAUGUAUGCAUGUGUGUAUGCCUUGCAUGGGUGACAUUAGCAAACAAUAUCCCUCAGUUAGUAUAUAAGCUGAGCGAUAGUUGCUGAAAUGUGUGAGUUCCGGAAUAAUAAAAGUUCAAGUUUAUGCUUCUAUUUACUUUCUUGGCAAGUUUUCUCAGCUGCCAAACAGCUACAUAUGAUCGUUUGAUGUUCUUAACUAUCGACUUGUUGGAGUUUAGAGAAGUUGAGAGAGCAAAUAAAGAGAAAAAAAAGGAAAAUAUUUGCUUUCAAAAUUUUUCAUUAUUAUUAUUUUUACACAUGUAAUACAAUAUAUGGGUGUAGUGGUUACAGAUAAUUCAACAAGUCCUACUAAUACACCUUAAAAAUAUAAACCUAAAAUUUAUACAGAAACUGAUUAGGUAAAAUCAAUACCUAAAAAUAUCAAUUCAAUACUAACUCUGCUUGCUUUAACAAGUAAUCUCAGCAAAUAAAUUAAUUACAAAACAUUUAUAUCAGCAAAGGUGAACCCUACCAGCAUUACAACUAGUGGUUCACCAAAAACUUUACUAGCUCAUACUUUGAUGAGCUCCCAGCUUCAAUUGAACUCGCACUUUUUGUUCAACUCACAGCUUCACCGGAAGAAUUCGCCACUGCAUGCCACUUCACAACACGAUUGCAAGAAAGCUAAACCAAGCUGGGCUUAGCCCUCUGCUCUUGGCUCCUCAAAAUGACAAAACUCAAGCGGUGCUUCGACUCCUCAAGUUGACAAAGGCCUUUGUUCGUGUGAAAGGGAGGACGGCCUCACUCCUUUGCACCAAGUUGUUCAAACUGGAAAGGUUGAUCUUUUGUUCAAGUUUCUUGAGGUUUGUCCUGAGGCUAUUGAAGAUCUGACUGUUCCAGAUGAAACGGUUUUCCAUCUUGCCGUAAAAACCAGCAUGUUUUAAGCUUUUGAGCUCUUGGUGGGUGGCUUAUAAGAAGCCGCCAUGGAGCUGCCAAAUGUUGGGAGAAAGAACUACUUAGUUGGCCAGACAUUGAUGACAGUACUGUUCUGCACGUUGCAGUUUUAAACUCACCUCAGGUAUGCUAAUUUUGUUAGUUAAUUCAAUUAUUAAAUAUACAUAUAAUAGGGUUAUAUAUUUGAUUUUUUUUUAACUAACAGGUGAUAAAAGUAUUGCUGGAACAUUUGUGUCGACAUCAUAUCAAUGCCAAAAAUUUGGAUGGAUUCACUGCCCUAGAUAUCGAACCAGAGUUACCAGAAUGGCCAUUGGAUGAAGGGCAAGUGGAUAAUCGGGACUCCAUUAAAGAUAUGCUAAGCAAAGCAGGAGUUUGAGUGGUUCUUCGCUACCUAUGAGGCUCCGGUCUACAAUGGGAAAAACGGUGAGAGUGGUCCAAUUGUGUUGUCCUUAUUUGGGACCUGUUGCCCGCUUUUAGUUGCUGUUAACAUAUGGGCACUCAUCCUAUCAUGAUGGCCACAGCAUUGUUAAUUACUGCUGUUAACAAUGUUAACAAAAAAUUGUUAACUGUUUAUCCUGAAUUUUAAAAUAUGAAAAUAAAAAAGAUUAAAUUAUUAAAAAUAAAAUAUAUGAAAAAAAAUUUAAAAUUUUGAAAAGUACAUCGUCAAUCAUAUGGUCUGCUAAACCAUUCUUUCAUCACUCCUUCCACCACUCAUUUAGGUUGUUUUCUGUUUGAUCUAAGAUUUCCUACUUGGAAAUUUCCUUUGAUCUUUCAAGAUGUUUUAUUUUCUCAAAUUAGUGCGUUUUACUCACCUCUCAAAUCAAAACUUUUAUUCAACCUGAGUUGCAUUUGAUUUGGACUGGGUGUCUAUUUUCUAUGGCUUUGGGGUACUUGGAAAUUUCCUUCGACCUUGGAAGAUAAUUGUUUUUUGAGACAAGAGUGUUCGAGUCAUGUAUAAAUUUUGGUCAGAUUCCUGUGUUUUUGCAAAAUAUAAGUUCUAUUUCCUUUCUAUCUUGUCUUCUGGUUCUUUCUUCUUUGUGUUUUGUUGCAAAUUUCAUCAGCUUUCACUAAUCUGAAAAUUUACUGCCUAAUUUAUUACCCCCACAAAAAAAGCUAUGGAUGAGAGGAUGAUAGAAGCUGCCCACAUGGGAGAUAUUAACUUCUUGUAUGAGUUGAUUCUGAAUGAUCCAUAUGUUUUACAGCGUAUUGAUGAUGUGCCUUUUUUUAAUACUCAAUUGCAAGUAGCAACCUCUGUUGGGCAUAUUGAAUUUAUGAUGGAGAUGAUCAAAUUAAAGCCAACGUUUGCAAGAAAGCUAAACCAAGCAGGGUUUAGCCCCAUGCACUUGGCUCUGCAAAAUCACAGAACUCAUGCAGUGCUUCGACUCCUCAGGUUUGAUGAAGGCCUUGUUCGUGUCUAAGGGAGGGAGGACCUCACUCCUCUGCAUCAUGUGGUUCAAACUGAAAACUUUAAUCUUUUGAAAAAAAUUCUUGAGGUUUGUCCUGAGGCUAUUGAAGAUAUGACUGUUCGAGAUGAGAUGGUUUUCCAUCUUGCUGUAGAAAACGACACGUUUGAAGCUUUCCAAGUCUUGGUGGGGUGGCUUAUGAGAAGCUGCCAUGAGUCUGCCCAAUGGGAGAAAGAACUACUGAGUUGGGCAGACAUUGAUGACAACACUGUUUUACACAUUGCAGCUAUUAGAAACAGAGCUGGGGUAUAUGCUAAUUUUUGUCAUUAAGUCAGUUAUUGAUGUGCAUAUAUGGAUGAUAAAAGGGUUACUUAGAGGAAUAUUCUAAUUAACAGGUGGUAAAAGUAUUGCUGGAACACAUGCGGCGAGACCAAAUCAAUGCCAAAAAUUUGGAGGGAUUGACAGCACUAGAUAUCCAAUCACAAUACCCGUGGAAUGAAAGGCAAGCGGAUAGGAUUAUAGAUAUGCUAAGCAAAGCAGGUGGUUUGAGUGCUUCCUCUUCCUCGUUUCCCAAUACCUCCAUCUCUUCAUUCCACAUCGAAUCAUUAAAGAAAAAGAUGUCACGGUCUCAAAAAUGGGCGACAAGAGCAGGUCCAGAAAAGAAGGGUAUGCCACAUGAGAUCCGUAACACAUUUCUAGUAGUUAUGACACAUGCCCAUGUGAAGGAGGCACACGCCUAUGUGAAAAGAGGCACACACACGACUGUGUGCCCUAGAGACAUGACUGUGCGAAUAACCCAUGUUACUCUUUGUCCGAAAUUGUUAAAAUAAGGUGCAAAGCAGACACAGCCGUAUGAAAGUCUCACAUGCUCGUGUGCCACGGAACACUACUGUGUGCCCAGAACACACGCCCAUGUGAUUAUCAACUAAAAUCUCCAAAUCGAAACCACAAGAUCGUAUGACACCAAAAAUCAUCGAAAAACCCUAAUUCCUAAAUUCGCACAGCCGUAUGAACUGCCCGUGUGUGGCACAAGCCCGUGUGGUUACGAAACCACACCGAAACAAGCUACAGAACAUGCAUUUGCUACCGAAACAACCCUCAAUCCUCAUUAACAUAGUAAUACACCAAAAACAAAUAGUAUUUCAAGCAAUUCCAUAACAAUCUACACUUCGAUUGGUAAAUUUCAGAAACACACAAAAUAUGUCGAAUUUCACGGAGGCAAAUCAAAAUUUUAAAAAUGAAAAUGAUGAGCUUUCAAACCCACACCUAAAUUUGUGAUCAAAGCACGAGGAGAAAAACAAAGAAGAAAGCCAGAACGUAGGAGAAGGAAAUAAUAAAAUCUCCCCAACAAAAAUAAAAAAAAUUUGGAACAAAAAAAAAUGGAAACAAAUCUAACGUUUGGAAGAGGGAGGGAGAGGAGGAACGUGAAAAGAUUUUUUAGGAUAACUCCCUGUUGUAGACACAAAAUAAUAAUAAUAAUAAAAUAAAAAGAAUUAAAUUAAAUGAAAAUAACAAAUAAGUAUUGAAACUUUAAACAAGCUAAAAUAAAAUUGAUUCCUCUAAAACACUCAUGAGGGCUCAAACUUGAAAUCCGAAGGUAAACUAACACACUCGCCACUACCAACCAGCAGGCUCAUUCUAACAUUAAAACGCAAAAACAAGCACAAUUACUCAGCCUACUCACUAACCCUUACUUAAAACCUCAAAUCUUCUAACCCCAAAAUUUAGGAUGUUACAUGUAAUGUCCAUAUUUUUCUAAUACAAUUUUAUACAUGAAUUUUGGUUUUGUGCAGUUUUGCACAUGAUUUUUUUAUUUAAUUUAUUUUUCACAAACUACUAACAAAAUUAUUGAUAUAUAUCACCAUUUUAAGUUUACAUAUUAUAUACAUAAAUAAGUAUAUUUAUAAGAUAUCAAAAUAAAUCGAUGUCUUUAAACGUAACACCAAAACAAAGUUUGAUAUAUAACUCAACAUAUAAAAAGAAGUUAUUAAACAAUACAUAUAAUGUUUAGAACUAUAGUUCUAAUAUUAUUGGUAAAUUUAUAAUUUUCGGUUCACGUAAAUCUUAAUUAUAAAAAAUAAAAUUAUGACUUAUCUUGGAUUAAACUUACAUUAUAUUAUUUAAAUAAAUAAUUUACUAGUUUUUAAUGUCAGGUAGAUGUAUGUAAUUUUAUGCUUUUAAUAUUUAAUUAAUUUUAAAUAUUAUAUUUUUAAUUGAAAUAAUUAAUGUAAAAUAAUAUUUUUUAUUUGAAUUAUUGAAUGUAAUUAAAAUAUAUUAACUUAUCACUUCAAAUAUUAUAAUAGAAAUUUUUUAAAUCAAAAUUGCAUUUUUAACAUAAUCGACCUACAAUGUAAUUUUACUUUUAUGUAACUAAUACAAGUAACAUUAUUCAAAACAAUAACUAAUCAAUAUAAUUAAAUUUAGUAAUAAUUAAUUUUUAAUUAAGAUGCUUAAAAUUUUAGUAAUAAUUCAAUUUUACAUUGAUAAAUAUAUUAAUAUAAUUUUUUAUUUGUAAAUAUAAAUAUAAUAAUAUGAUAGAAAAUAAAAAGUAUUUUAAUAUGAAUAAAUAAAUUUUAAAAUUUAAAAUUCAACAUAUAUAUUUACAUAUUUCGCUAAUUCACCAACGUAUAUGCCUUGAUUUGAUAUAGUUAAUAUUCGGAUAAUGUUGUGAAUCACAUAUAUAUAUUUUGAAGUUUUAUCAUAUUUUCAUGGGUAAAAUACUUUAGAAGUUGUUGUACUCUUUGAAAAUUUAGAAUUUAGUUUUUAUGCUUUUAUUUUUAAGAAUUUAGUUCAUUUAUUUUUCAGAUUUUAAAAUUCAAAUCCAAUUGUUAAUAUUGUUAAUAUUUUUAAUUUCUUUAUGUUAAAUUCAAGUUCAUUACAACAUAUUUUUAGUUACAUGGUUUCCAAGUGUUUUUUUUUUUAAAUGUCACACCAACAAAUUUAACAAAAAAAAUUUGAGUGUUAACAAUUGGACCUGAGUUUUGAAAUUGAAAGGUAGAGGGACUAAGUUUUUGGAAAUAAAAGUAUAUGGAUUAAAUUUCAAAAUUUUGAAGAGUACAGAUACUUAUAACAUCUUUUAACCUAUUUUAAAAAUGUUUUGAAUCAUUACUUAACUUAUUUAGCUCUUCCAAUAAUUAUUUUAGAAUCUUUUUAAAUUUUAUCUUUCCUUAUAUAAUCUUUAUAAUUUUUUAAAAUUAAAUAUUUUGAAUUUAUUUUUUGUAAUUUUUGUUGAGAGAGAGACUAACCUACUCAUUUUCAAAAUUGUCAAGGACCAAACGAAUAUUUACAUCAAUCUAAUAUUUGAAUUAUUUGAAUCGAAACUCAAAUUACUAAUUCGAGUUGAGUUGAAAAAUCGAAUAACUCAGUUUCAUUAAAUAGAAAUUUAAUUUUUCUUUCUUUAUUCGAAUUAAAUUGAGUUUAAGUCGCCCUUAGUUUUACUCUAUAAAUAGGAUAUUUUUAAUAAUUUUUACCGUUCCUUCCACUUGCUUUUUGUUUGGUCCAAGGUUUUAUAGUUGGAAAUUCCCUUGGACCUUUAAAUAUGUUUAUUUUCUCAAAUUAGUGCGUUUAUGUCAUAAAUAAAAUCAACCUUUUUAUUUAAUGUGUAUUUCAUGUGGACUGGAUACCUGUUUUCUGUGGCUUUAGUUCUUGGAAAUUUCCUUGGACCUUGGAACAAAUUUGUUUCCUCAAACUAAAGUGUUCAAAUCAUGUAUAAAUUGUGGUCAGAUGCCUGUGCUUUUGCAGAAUACAGGUUCUAUUCCCUUUUCUAUAUUGUCUUCUGGUUCUUUCUUCUUUAUGUUUUGUUGCGAAUUUCAUCAGCUUUCAGUAAUCUGAAAAUUUACUGCCUAAUUUAUUACCCCAAAAAAAGCUAUGGAUGAGAGGAUGAUAGAGGCUGCCCAAACAGGAGAUAUAAUUAACCUCUUGUAUGAGUUGAUUCUGAAUGAUCCAUACGUUUUAGAGCGUAUUGAUGCUGUACCUUUUUCUCAUACUCCAUUGCAUAUAGCAGCCUCUGCUGGGCAUAUUGAGUUUAUGAUGGAGAUGAUCAAAUUAAAGCCAACGUUUGCAAGAAAGCUAAACCAAGCUGGGUUUAGCCCCAUGCACUUGGCUCUGCAAAAUGACAGAACUAAAGCAGUGCUUCGACUCCUCAGGUUUGAUGAAGGCCUUGUUCGUGUCAAAGGGAGGGAGGACCUCACUCCUCUGCACCAUGUGGUUCAAACUGGAAAUGUUGAUCUUUUGGUCAAGUUACUUAAGGUUUGUCCUGAGGCUAUUGCAGAUGUGACUGUUCGAGAUGAGACGGUAUUCCAUCUUGCUGUGAAAAACGACAUGUUUGAAGCUUUCCAAGUCUUGGUAGUGGCUUAUAAGAAGCCGCCAUGAGUCUGCCGAACGUUGGGAGAAAGAACUACUGAGUUGGGUAGACAUUGAUGGCAACACUGUGCUACACAUUGCAGCUAUCAGAAACAGACCUCAGGUUUGCUAAUUUUCCUAAUCAAGUCAAUUAUUGAUAUGUAUGUAUAUGAUAAAAGGGUAAUUUACAUUAAUUAAUUUCCAAUUAACAGGUGGUGGAAGUAUUGCUGGGACACUUGCGUCGAGACCAAAUCAAUGCCAAAAAUUUGUAGGGAUUGACAGCACUAGAUAUCCAAUCACAAUACCGAUGGAAUGAAAGGCAAGCGGAUAGGAUUAUAGAUAUGCUAAGCAAAGCAGGAGGUUUGAGUGCUUCCUCUUCCUCGCUUCCGAAUACCUCCAUCUCUUCAUUCCACAUCGAAUCAUUAAAGGAAAAGAUGCCAUGGUUUCAAAAAUUGGAAACAAAAACAGGUCGACUAAAGAACGGUAUUUCAUAUGAGAUGCGUAACACAUUUCUAAUAGUGAUAGUGCUACUUAUAACAACCACUUACGAACCCUCUUUAAACCCUCCAAACAUGCCUUAUGACAGUCCAUCCAUGAAAUACCAAGUCUCCUUAAGUCAAGAUCAGCCUCUCAAUUCCCACACAUUUUUGCAUAAAACCGACAUCAAUACUGCACCCAUACCCAGUCCCUCCGCAAUUGACGUUUCCAAAAAAGAUUAUUGGACAUCUAAUCACUCGUUUUUGGUUUUGAACAUGUUCAACUUUUCGGUUGCAGUUCUUUUAAUAGGACUUCUCCUACCAUAUCAUCCUUUCUCUUUGUUGAUUCACUUACCACUUUCCGGCUGUAUGGUAUCUUACACGGAGUUAUAUGCUUCCUUAUGUGAGUUUUCCAAUAAAAACGCACUUCUUUCUGGCGUUUAUAAUUUUUCCUUUACAAUGUUGCUGCCUUUUCUCGUAGUAUGCGGGUCAAUCUUUUAUGUUAUGGGCAAAGAGACAAAAUUUUCUAAGAAUCGGAAUUAAAUUGUAUAUUUGUUGAAGUUAGCUUCCAUGCAACACAAGCAGCAACAAACGUGUCCAUGCAAGCCACAUGCAGAAAAGAAGCAGCACAUGAAGGCAGCCGCUUGAGCUCGACAUUGCUGUCCAAAUUCAACUAGUUUUGUUGGAUUAAGUUUAUAUUUUGUAACUUAGUUCUUAUAGAACUUAGUUGGUAAACUUUUGAUGUAAUUUUUGAUGAUUGAUUGACUGAAAAUCCAGCCAAUGUAACUUAUGCAAGCUGAUUAACAAUUUCCAAUGUAUUAAGUGGAGUUAGGUAAGUGAUUAGGUAGUAUUUUGAUUUGUAAGUUUAACUCAAUGUUUGAUAUUUGUAAUGCCAACUUGCCAAUGUUUUGUUAAUGAAAAAUUAGCUUCUUUUUCAUUCAAAUUCUCUCCUUUCUUUGCUUUUGUUUUCUAUUUUCCACUUGCAAAGCUUUUCUUCUGUUUUGUUUCUUCCCCAAGCCACGAGGCUUGCUGUCCAAGCAAGGCUAGACCAGCUUGCUUACUGCCUUUAACACCAACAAUAUUUCUGUAAUAAUAAAAAUGAAAAUUUAUCAAUUUAAUAGUCUAUAUUUUUAUAUUUUUUAGAAGAUUAAAUCAAAAUUUUGUCAUUUAUAGGAGUCAAAAUAUAAUUUUAUCAUUACUAAUUUAAAAUUUUAUAAAUUAUAAAAGACUUAAAUAGAAAAAAAAAAUCAUUUUAAGGAGGCUCCAGCUCCCUGACUCCGCCUCUGCAGGUGGGUAACCAGUACCAAUCCAAAAUUCUCCAACCUCAUAAUAUAAUCUUUUACAUUGGCUUCCUCCUUUCUACACUGUGUCCAGUUUCGUGGAUCCUUCUAAUGUAAAUGCCGAAAGCGUAAUGAAGUUUUGGGGUUUGUAUUAGAGAUGGUGAUGGAGUAGUUAUUGGGUUGAGCUGGUUCAUUAGUUCCCUUCAUCUCUUCUACCGGACUCUUAUUCCUUUUUUAUUAUCAAGGGUGAAGGUCUGCACAUACUUUUGUUUAGGCCUAAUCGUCUCUUGAGGAAGAGCUAUGUUGUAAUGAUAAAAGAAGUGCGAAUUUGUUUGUCAAGUAGUUGUUGAAUAAGGAUCUUAACUAGGAUCUUAAAUAAAGGGAAAUGUAUUUGUUAUGUGCUCAUGAUACAUACCAUCGUGAUUCAUCAAAACAGCAUUCUAAAAUAUUUACUUUAAUUGUAAUUACUUGGUAUGCUUUACAAACGAGGUUGAGAUUUUGUUACAUAUUUUGUUUAUUUUUUCAAAAAACGAGGUUGAGAUUUUGUUACAUAUUUUGUUUUUUUUUAAAAUGAGAUUGAAAUUUUGUUACAUAUCUUAUUUAUUUUUCAAAAAAUUCAAUAUAAUUUAAAGGCACGUGACGAUAUAAAUUCUACUUGCACAAUUAAAAAAUUUCCAUUGGAAAUAUUUUAAAUAAUUAUCCUUAAUUCAAAACAAAUAAGUGUUGAGUGUAAUAGUAAAAUAUAUUGCAUUUCCAAGAAAAGAUGUAAGUUCAAACCUUGGAAAUAAUAUUAUUAGAGCGGCAGCCAUGAACUCCGAAUAUGGACCAUAAAAUAGAUAUAAAAAUAUGUAAAAUAUUUAGAAAAAUAAUAAAAUAUAAAACAUCACGUUAGAGUACUAUUACAUAUUACUAUAGAUUUAAUUUUAUGUGUUAUAAAUAAUAUAAUAUAUAAAAAUAACAAAAUAUUUAACAUUACAAACUUAUAAAAACGGGUUUAACCUGGGCUGACCUGGUCUUUAAAUGUUCAACCCCAUUUUUCAAAUCUAAUCUUUUUACCUAAAUCCUCCUCAUUUUUUAAACAAGCGAAUAUUCGGAGGAUUCUUCUAACCAAAAUAGAAAAUAUAUCAAAAAACUAAAAAGUAUAACAAAAAUAAUAAAUAAAAAAUUUACAUAUAAUUUGGAAUUUCUAAUUGUACUUAGAAUUGUAUAACGUAUAAUUGUAAUUUGUCAGCAAAGUUGUUUCUUUUUUUUUCCCCUUAAAAUUCAAAGAAUUCUUCUCCCUUUAUACAUAGGUCAUCGAUUCAGCAUUAGAAAAAGGGGCUCAAAUCGUUUUAUCGACAUGAGUGUUUUAUGUCGAAAAAAUAUUUUUGUUUUGAAAAUAUUUCUGUAUUUAGUAACAUAGUAGUAAAAAGAGUACCCAAUUGCAUCUGAACUUCAAACGGGUUUGGCCUUAACCAUGUUAAUGGUCCCAGAUUAUUGGUUAAUAAAGAAUCAAAGUCGAUGUGCCAAUGAAUCACGAAAUGCUAUAGUUCUAUAGUAUGAUUUUAAAAAUAUAUUCAGAAGUAAUUCGCGAGAUCAUGCACUCUUUUAUUUCCUAGUUAUAAUGAAAAAAAGUACAACUGGGUGAAUCCAGCUUAUUCUUGAAAUAAACAACUCACACACACUCACUUUCCAAAAAAGAUUAAUACACCAAGGACUACACUUAGAUUUAUUAGAUUUGUUGCUAAAAUAUCGGUAUUAACCCCGAAACUCUCGGCAGAUGGCCAGUGACCCAAGGAAACGAAAGAAUCGAUUACAUUUUUCAUAUGAUCUCCUAUUUUAUUUUAGAUAGACUAACAAAAAGAAUUCAGUUUUUUUUUGUAUUAUAUCGCUUUGACUCCUUUUCCAUUUAUUCUAUUCUAUCAUAUUUAUAUUAUUCUAAUUAUUCUAGUUCUAUGUAUUUCUUUAUUUGUUUUAAUAAAUUAUUAAAUUUAUUAUAAAAUUAUUCAUUAUUAUGAUUAUGAAUUUUCAUUUACCUAUGUCUAAACGGAGUUAAAAAUAUAUUCUAUUUAGCUAGUUAGCUAGAAAUGUAUUUUUUUAAUUGAAAAUUCCCAAUAAUAAUAAUUCUUAUUAGAAUUAGGGAGCAGGUUUCAUGUCAAUGGCAAAAUACCUCAUUUGAUGCUACACUCCUUUAAACAAUAAAUAAUAAAUAAGGGGUUCUUUUGAACUAAGAAGGAGAAGGAAGAAAGCGAGUUGGCGUGAUAAUUCUUCAGCCUCAAAUUAAUCCUUCCCACGGAUUAUUGUCCUAACGAAUAUUAAUUGUAGGGGUGAAAUCUUGAUAGAAUUCGAAAAAGCGAGGAGUAAGUCCCAAGCCAUAAAAUAAGAAAAACAAAUACAAAAUUCUCAUGUUUAUAGGAUUAAAUAAAGGGAUUCACAAAUAAGAGUGCCAGUGCUACAACCAGUGCAUAAAUUGUUAAAGCUUCCAUAAAAGCCAAACUAAGCAAUAAAGUACCUUGUAUUUUUUCCUCCGCCUCAGGUUGUCUCGCGAUACCUUCUACAGAUUGGCCCGCAGCAGUACCUUGACCGCCUCCAGGUCCAAUAGAAGCAAGCUCGACAGCCGACCCUGCAGUAAUAACGAAAGCGGCAGAAAUCAGUGGAUUCAUGAUAAGUUCCUCGCACCAAAAUAAAGAAAUAGUUAAUGAUACAAUCAUCCAAUGAAUUUUGACUUAAUUAUAUUAUAUCAUCCAUAUGUUUUACAGCGUAUUGAUGAUGUGCCUUUUUUUAAUACUCAAUUGCAAGUAGCAACCUCUGUUGGGCAUAUUGAAUUUAUGAUGGAGAUGAUCAAAUUAAAGCCAACGUUUGCAAGAAAGCUAAACCAAGCUGGGUUUAGCCCCAUGCACUUGGCUCUGCAAAAUGACAGAACUAAAGCAGUGCUUCGACUCCUCAGGUUUGAUGAAGGCCUUGUUCGUGUCAAAGGGAGGGAGGACCUCACUCCUUUGCACCAUGUGGUUCAAACUGGAAAUGUUGAUCUUUUGGUCAAGUUACUUAAGGUUUGUCCUGAGGCUAUUGUAGAUGUGACUGUUCGAGAUGAGACGGUAUUCCAUCUUGCUGUGAAAAACGACAUGUUUGAAGCUUUCCAAGUCUUGGUAGGGUGGCUUAUAAGAAGCCGCCAUGAGUCUGCCGAACGUUGGGAGAAAGAACUAUUGAGUUGGGUAGACAUUGAUGGCAACACUGUGCUACACAUUGCAGCUAUCAGAAACAGACCUCAGGUUUGCUAAUUUUCCUAAUCAAGUCAAUUAUUGAUAUGUAUGUAUAUGAUAAAAGGGUAAUUUACAUUAAUUAAUUUCUAAUUAACAGGUGGUGGAAGUAUUGCUGGGACACUUGCGUCGAGACCAAAUCAAUGCCAAAAAUUUGGAAGGAUUGACAGCACUAGAUAUCCAAUCACAAUACCUAUGGAAUGAAAGGCAAGCGGAUAGGAUUAUAGAUAUGCUAAGCAAAGCAGGAGGUUUGAGUGCUUCCUCUUCCUCGCUGUUGGAACAUUUGGCAGCAGCAAAAGAAGAGAACAGAGAGCAUAACAAUGAAGCAAGGUGCAAGAAGGAUUUUUACUUGCUCACAAAUGUGCAGCAAGGGAGCUUAUGGCUGAUAGCCUAUUCAGCUCAUUCAUUCAACUAGAAAAACAACAUAUUUAUAGUCAAAUACAUCACCAAAUACUACCUACUACCACUAGUUUUACUUUGAAUUAAGUAAAACUUAACUUGCACACAAGCUGAUUAUGUCAAUCAGCAACUAAAAACAUCAAAACAAUACCAACUUAGUUCAUUUUCAACUAAGUAGCUUAACAAAGAAACUAAAGAGAAAACCUUGCUGCUACAGCAAGUAUACGUGCUGCAGCAUGUCAUCAAGCUGCAUGCACUUCAAACAGCAGCAUGGUUGGCCAAUUUGAACACUCCUCCUUUGGACUCCAUGCUGCAAAUACAUAUCAUUCAGCAAGUUUUUGAACUAGGCAGCCCUUAGAUGCUUUGUUUCAAGCUGACCAAUUCAUUUUCAACCUUGGCCUCAUUCACAAACAAAUCUGACUUACACACUUGACUAUCCCAGUCUUUUGUGGCAAAGAUUUGUUCACCAAAUGGAGUCUUCUCCUCCUUCACAGCCUUGGUUGACAACUUGUUUCUUCUUGCACAAACAGUUCCUGAGUAUAGUUGCUUGCCUUCAUUCUGCCAUUUUGGCUUGCAACUAUACAACACACAUUAAGCUUCCACAUGUUGCUGAGCUCACACCUUUGACAGACUCACAUCUUUGCAUAUUGUCUUCAACAGGUGUCUUCAACAGGCUCGCACUUUGCUAAGCUUGCAGCUUUGACAUCUUGCUAAGCUUGCACAUUUGGAAAGCUCACACCUUUCUUUGAAACUCCUCCUUCAGCUUAUUCAAGCUUGUUUGGGGGUCUUAUAAGUUUGAGCCGGUGUUGAGCAGGGGAAACAAAAUCAAUGGUCCCUUAAGACUUAGGCUCUUGAUACCAUUUGUUGGAACAUUUGGCAGCAGCAAAAGAAGAUAACAGAGAGCAUAACAAUGAAGCAAGGUGCAAGAAGGAUUUUUACUUGCUCACAAAUGUGCAGUAAGGGAGCUUAUGGCUGAUAGCCUAUUCAGCUCAUUCAUUCAACUAGAAAAACAACAUAUUUAUAGUCAAAUACUUCACCAAAUACUACCUACUACCACUAGUUUUACUUUGAAACAAGUAAAACUUAACUUGCACACAAGCUGAUUAUGUCAAUCAACACCUAAAAACAUCAAAACAAUACCAACUUAGUUCAUUUUCAACUAAGUAGCUUAACAAAGAAACUAAAGAGAAAACCUUGCUGCUACAGCAAGUAUACGUGCUGCAGCAUGUCAUCAAGCUGCAUGCACUUCAAACAGCAGCAUGGUUGGCCAAUUUCAACACUCGCUUCCGAAUACCUCCAUCUCUUCAUUCCACAUCGAAUCAUUAAAGGAAAAGAUGCCAUGGUCUCAAAAAUUGGAAACAAAAAUAGGUCGACUAAAGAACGGUAUUUCAUAUGAGAUGCGUAACACACUUCUAAUAGUGAUAGUGCUACUUAUAACAACCACUUACGAACCCUCUUUAAACCCUCCAAAGAUGUCUUAUGACAGUCCACCCAUGAAAUACCAAGUCUCCUUAAGUCAAGAUCAGUCUCUCAAUUCCCACACAUUUUUGCAUAAAACCGACAUCAAUACUGCACCCAUACCCAGUCCUUCCGCAAUUGACGUUUCCAAAAAAGAUUAUUGGACAUCUAAUCACUUGUUUUUGGUUUUGAACAUGUUCAACUUUUCGGUUGCAGUUCUUUUAAUAGGACUUCUCCUACCAUAUCAUCCUUUCUCUUUGUUGAUUUACUUACCACUUUCCUGCUGUAUGGCAUCUUACACAGAGUUAUAUGCUUCCUUAUGUGAGUUUUCCAAUAAAAACGCACUUCUUUCUGGCGUUUAUAAUUUUUCCUUUACAAUGUUGCUGCCUUUUCUCGUAGUAUGCGGGUCAAUCUUUUAUGUUAUGGGCAAAGAGACAAAAUUUUCUAAGAAUCUGAAUUAAAUUGUAUAUUUGUUGAAGUUAGCUUCCAUGCAACACAAGCAGCAACAAACGUGUCCAUGCAAGCCACAUGCAGAAAAGAAGCAGCACAUGAAGGCAGCAGCUUGAGCUCGACAUUGUUGUCUAAAUUCAACUAGUUUUGUUGGAUUAAGUUUAUAUUCUAUAACUUAGUUCUUAUAGAACUUAGUUGGUAAACUUUUGAUGUAAUUUUUGAUGAUUGAUUGACUGAAAAUCGAGCCAAUGUAACUUAUGCAAGCUGAUUAACAAUUUCCAAUGUAUUAAGUGGAGUUAGGUACGUGAUUAGGUAGUAUUUUGAUUUGUAAGUUUAACUCAAUGUUUGAUAUUUGUAAUGGCAACUUGCCAAUGUUUUGUUAAUGAAAAAUUAGCUUCUUUUUCAUUCAAAUUCUCUCCUUUCUUUGUGUUGCGCGGAAGCGUGUAAAAGAGUAAAAUUAUUGUACUAAAAAAUCACACUAAGUUCAAUUCCUAGGAAAGAGAGGUGGAUCACGAGGAUCGCUUAAGUACCAGGUCUUUCCUAGCCAGAAUAUCCCUCUAUCUUAAUUUAGUAGCACAAUAAAUCACUACAAUCACACUCGCAAAAUAUGAAAAAUAAACAAUAAAGAACACUAGAAUUUUAACGAGGUUCAGAAAAUUUUGCCUACGUCCUCGUGCACUACCAAAUAUAUUUCACUCCAAAAUACAAGUGAAAGUUUACAAAUAAGGAGAGAGAACAAUUGCCUUAAGUAGAGAAUGGUAAAUGUGGGAUGUAGAAAAUGAGAAAUAGUUAGGCCUAUUUAUAGUUGAAGCUCAAGGAUCAACUUGCAAAGUCCCUAUACAAUUAGGGACCAAAAUUGCAAUUAUCCCAAGCCAAAUUUCAACCCUAAAAUCUAUGCCUUAAAUGUUUAGAGUUUCGGUGCCAAAUUUCUGACACCAUCCAUCGUUGAAAAGUCAAAGAUGGUUGCCAAUAAUCUCCACCUUGAAGAUUUGAUUAGGAUAAUCUUAUCUUCACACAAUUCUUUCUGCCUUUGACAACAAUACUUGAUAGUGCCUUCUUCAACUGUUAAACUUACAGGAUAUUGAUCAAGUUCAAACAAUGUUCGAACUUGAUUGUUGUUACCACUUUGGUCAUCAUAUCUGCAGGAUUAUCUGCAGUCUUGAUCUUCUGAAAUUUUCCCCCCAUCAAUAAUUUCUCGCACAAAAUGGAAUCGUACGUCGAUAUGCUUUGUACAUGCAUGAUAGACUUGAUUCUUUGCUAAAUGAAUAGCACUUUGACUAUCACAAUACACGUUAAUAUGCUUCUGAACAAAUCCCAAGGUUUUAACCAUACCUUGUAACCAAAUAGCUUCAUUUACAGCCUCUGUUACAGCCAUGUAUUCGGUUUCUGUGGUUGACAACGCAACUGUAGACUGCAGUGUAGACUUCCAACUUAUAAACACAUAACCGGUGGUUGAUCUUCGUUUGUCCAAAUCACCAGCAUAGUCAGAAUCAACGUACCCAAUAACACCUUUACCAAGUGUAGUAUCCUGCUUGAACAGUAAUCUAACAUCCACGGUCUUCAGAAUAUAUCGUAGAAUCCAUUUCACAGCUUGCCAAUGUCCUUUUCCAGGAUUAUGCAUAUACCUGCUCACUAUACUAACUGCCUGUGAAAUGUCGGGUCUUGUACACACCAUUGCAUACAUCAAGCUACCCACUGCAUUAGAAUACGGAACUUGUAACAUGUAUUCUUGUUCCGUAUUCGUCGAAGGAGAUAGUUGUGCAGAAAGCUUGAAAUGAGAAGCCAACGGGAUACUUACAGGUUUUGUUUGCUCGUUCAUGCCAAAUUGCUGUAGUACUUUCUUCAAAUACUGCUUCUGAGAUAAACUAACUCUGCCAUGAGCUCUAUCUCUACAUAUUUCCAUGCCAAUAAUCUUCUUAGCUUCACCUAGAUCUUUCAUCUCAAACUUGAGAUUGAGCUGAGUCUUCAAUCUCUCAAUCUCAACUUUGCUCUUAGAUGCUAUCAGCAUAUCAUCAACAUAUAAGAGCAAGUAUAUGAAAGUUCCUACUUGUAGCUUCUGAAAAUACACGCAAUGAUCAAAUUUACUUCUUGUGUACCUUUGUCCUUUUAUGAACUGAUCAAAUCGCUUGUACCACUGCCUCGGAGAUUGUUUCAAUCCAUAAAGCGACUUCGUCAGUUUGCAAACCCAAUUUUCUUUAUCAGCAACCUUGAAUCCAUCAGGCUGAGUCAUAUAGAUCUCCUCUUCCAAAUCACUGUGUAAAAAAGCCAUCUUUACAUCAAGCUGAACUAGUUCAAGGUCAUAUUGCACAACCAGGGCUAGCAAAAUCCGAAUAGACGAAUGCUUCACAACUGGAGAAAACACUUCAUUGUAGUCUAUUCCUUCUUUCUGAGCGUAACCUUUUGCUACCAAUCUAGCCUUGUAUCGAAUUUCAUUUUUACCAGAAAAUCCUUCCUUCUUUGCAUAUACCCAUUUGCAUCCAAUUGCCUUAUUUCCCUUGGGCAGUGUCACCAACUCCCAAGUCCUAUUUUUAUGAAGAGACUGCAUUUCUUCAUUCAUAGCCUGCUUCCACUUUACACCAUCAGGGUUACUUAUUGCUUCUGUGUAAGUAGAAGGAACAUCAUCAUCUGCAAUUGGAAGUGCAUAGGCCACUAUAUCAUUAAAGCGAACAGGCUUACGAAUCUCUCUUCUUGGCCUCCUAUAUGCAAUUGAAUCUUGUUGCUAUAGAAGUUCUUGAGUCGAAACUUCUUCAUCAUUUGCUCCUUUAGUAUUAGCUGGAUCAUCAUUAACCUUUUCAAGCUCCACCUGCUGCAAAGUGCCACUAGUUUUGUCAUCCUUUUGUGAAUCCUUGUUCUUCAUCAUGGUUGAUUCAUCAAAAGUCACAUCUCUACUGAAAAUAAUAUUUCUUGUAUCAGGACACCAGAGACGGUAUCCUUUUACUCCACUAGUUAUACCCAUGAAUAAUGCUUUCUUUGCUCUUGGGUCUAACUUAGAUUCUUUUACAUGAUAAUAUGCAGUGGAACCAAAAAACAUGUAAAGAAUCAUAAUCAGUAGCAGGUUUACCAGUCCACAUCUUCAUAGGAGUUUUUCCAUUUAUUGCAGCUGAUGGCAACCGGUUAAUUAGAUGGCACGCAUAUGUAACUGCCUCAGCCCAAAAUUCCUUGCCCAAUCCAGCAUUGGACAACAUACAUCGAACUUUCUCCAGUAUAGUCCGAUUCAUACGUUCUGCCACCCCAUUCUGCUGUGGUGUAUCUCGAACAGUGAAGUGUCGCACAAUGCCCUCAUCUUGACAUACUUGUAGAAAUGGAUCAUUUUUGUACUCAGUACCAUUAUCUGAUCGAAGUCGUUUGACCUUUCGACCAGUCUGAGUCUCCACCAUCUUCUUCCACUUCAGAAAUGCAUCCAAAAUUUCACUUUUUCUUUUCAUUAGAUACACCCAUACUUUUCUUGAAUAAUCAUCAACAAAAGUAACAAAAUAGUGCAUACCUCUCAAAGAAGCCACUUUGGUAGGUCCCCACACGUCACUGUGAACAUAGUCCAGAAUUCUUUCCGUAUUGUGAAUUGCUGAACCAAAUUUUACCCUCGCCUGCUUGCCCAGAACACAAUGUUCACAGAAUUCAAAUUUGCAAGAAUUUACACCUUUCAACAAGCCUUGCUUCGCCGAAGUCUACCAAGCUUUUUCACCAGCAUGUCCUAAUCGCAUAUGCCAUAACCUGGUAGCCUCUGAAUCUGCAUCUUUCGCAAAAGCUGUUGAUAUUGAUCCAAUAAUUGUACUUCCAUUUAAAUAGUACAAGUUAUUUCUUCUAGUGCCUUUUAUCACCGUCAAUACCCCAGCUACUACCUUUAGUAAUCUAUCUCUCAAAGUGACUGUGAGCCCUUUAGGUUCUAGGGCCCCUAAUGAGAUGAGAUUUUUCUUCAAGCUAGGUACAUAGCGAACAUCUGUCAAGACUUGGAUUGAGCCAUCGUGAUUCUUCAAUUUGAUUGUACCUACUCCUAUUGUCUUACAAGCACUGUCAUUGCCUAUAAAAACAACUCCACCUUCUAGUUUUUCAAGACUAGAAAAUCAAUCCUUAUUAGGACACAUAUGUUAAGUACAUCCCAAAUCCAAGAUCCACUCAUCCGUAUGACAUGUCAUUGCCAUGCCAACCAAGCUAAAGUCUGACUCCUCAUCAUGCUCCGUUACACAUGCAUCAGAAAUAGCCUUGCCCUUUUGUAACUUAAGACAAUUCUUUUUCCAGUGCCCUUUCUCACGACAAAAAGCACAUUCAUCUUUGGCGGGUCUCCCUUUGGACUUGCCCCUUCUACGAGGUUUGUUGCUGUGUGAACAACCUCUUACUAUUAAGACUACUGCAGUUGUAUCUCUGUGAUCUCUUUUAUCUUUCUUUCGAGUCUCAGAUCUGUACAAUGCACUACAAACUGCAUCAAAUGUGAUCGUAUCCUUCCCAUGAAGCAAUGUGGUGGUAAGAUGAUCAUAUUCAUCGGGAAGAGAAUUCUACAACAAUAAUGCCUUGUCUUCAUCUUCAAACUUCUCAUCCAAAUUUAGCAAGUCUGCUAAAAUUUUAUUGAAUGAGUUCACAUGGUCAUUCAUCGACAUACCGGGUGCAUACGUGAACCGAAAAAGUUUCUUUUCAUAUAAAGCCUAUUUUCAUGACUUUUCGUUAGAAACUUUUCUUCCAGUGUAUCCCACAACUUCUUCGCUAAUGUCUCCCUCAUGACAGAGUACUUCUGCUCUUUGGCCAAACAUAGGCGAAUUGUACCACACGUCUGUCUAUUGAUCUUGGCCCACUCCUUGUCAUCCAUCUUGUCAGGUUUUUCUUCAAGGGCUAUAUCCAACUCUUGCUGACAUAAGACAUCCAGGAUCUCACACUGUCACAUACCAAAAUUAUUGGUACCAUCAAAUUUAUCUACAAAUUUUGCAUUGGUCACGGUAGUCUUUAUUGAUGACGAUGCCUCUGCCAUUUUUCUCCUCAAUCCCAACUACUGUAUAUGUGAACAGUACCGUCUACGUGAAUAGUACAGUGGAUGAACAAUACCGUAUACGUAAAUAGUAUCGUAAACGGUCGUACUCCCCAAGUACGAAUCUAGCUUCGAUACCAAUUGUUGCGCGAAAGCGUGUAAAAGAGUAAAAUUAUUGUACUAAAAAAUCACACUAAGUUCAAUUCUCAGGAAAGAGAGGUAGAUCACGAGGAUCGCUUAAGUACCAAGUCUUUUCUAGCUAGAAUAUCCCUCUAUCGUAAUUUAAUAGCACAAUAAAUCACUACAAUCACACUCACAAAAUAUGCAAAAUAAACAAUAAAGAACACUAGAAUUUUAACAAGGUUCAGCAAAUUUUGCCUACGUCCUCGAGCAUUACUAAAUAUAUUUCACUCCAAAAUACAAGUGAAAGUUUACAAAUAAGGAGAGAGAACAAUUUCCUUAAGUAGAGAAUGACAAAUGUGGGAUGUAGAAAAUGAGAAAUAGCUAGGCCUAUUUAUAGUUUAAGCUCAAUGAUCAACUUGCAAAGUCCCUAUACAAUUAGGGACCAAAAUUGCAAUUAUCCCAAGCCAAAUUUCAACCCUAAAAUCUAUGCCUUAAAUGCUUAGAUUUUCGGUGCCAAAUUUCUGACACCAUCCAUCUUUGAAAAGCCAAAGAUGGUUGCCAAUACUUUGUUUUUGUUUUUUGUUUUCCACUUGCAAAGCUUAUCUUCUGUUUUGUUUCUUCCCCAAGCCACGAGGCUUGCUGUCCAAGCAAGGCUAGACCAACUUGCUUACUGCCUUUAACACCAACAAUAUUUCUGUAAUAAUAAAAAUGAAAAUUUAUCAGUUUAAUAGUCUAUAUUUUUAUAUUUUUUAGAAGAUUAAAUCAAAAUUUUGUCAUUUAUAGGAGCCAAAAUAUAAUUUUAUCAUUACUAAUUUAAAAUUUUAUAAAUUAUAAAAGACUUAAAUAGAAAAAAAUCAUUUUAAGGAGGCUCUAGCUCCCUGACUCCGCCUCUGCAGGUGGGUAACCGGUACUAAUCCAAAAUUCUCCAUCCUCAUAGUAUAAUCUUUUACAUUGGCUUCCUCCUUUCUACAUUGUGUCCAGUUUCGUGGAUCCUUCUAAUGUAAAUGCCGAAAGCGUAAUGAAGUUUUGGGGUUUGUAUUAGAGAUGGUGAUGGAGUAGUUAUUGGGUUGAGCUGGUUCAUUAGUUCCCUUCAUCUCUUCUACCGGUCUCUUAUUCUUUUUUUGUUAUCAAGGGUGAAGGUCUGCACAUACUUUUGUUUAGGCCUAAUCAUCUCUUGAGGAAGAGCUAUGUUGUAAUGAUAAAAGAAGUGUGAAUUUGGUGUGAAUUUGUUUGUCAAGUAGUAGUUGAAUCAGGAUCUUCACCAGAAUCUUAAAUAAAGGGAAAUGUAUUUGUUAUGUGCUCAUGAUACAUAUCAUCGACUCCAACACCCUUAAAAGUGAUUCAUCAAAACAGCAUUCUAAAAUAUUUACUUUAAUUGUAAUUAUUUGGUAGGCUUUACAAACGAGGUUGAGAUUUUGUUACAUAUUUUGUUUAUUUUUUUUAAAUGAGAUUGAAAUUUUGUUACAUAUCUUAUUUAUUUUUUAAAAAAUUCAAUAUAAUUUAAAGGCACGUGACGGUAUAAAUUCUACUUGUACAAUUUAAAAUUUUCCAUUGGCAAUAUUUUAAAUAAUUAUCCUUAAUUUAAAACAAAUAAGUGUUGAGUGUAAUAGUAAAAUAUAUUGCAUUUCCAAGAAAAGAUGUAAGUUCAAACCUUGAAAAUAAUAUUGUUAGAGCGGCAGCCAUGAACUCCAAAUAUGGACCAUAAAAUGGAUAUAAAAAAUACGUAAAAUAUUUAGAAAAAUAAUAAAAUAUAAAACAUCACGUUAGAGUACUAUUACAUAUUACUAUAGAUUUAAUUUUAUGUGUUAUAAAUAAUAUAAUAUAUAAAAAUAACAAAAUAUAUAACAUUACAAACUUAGAAAAACGGGUUUAACUUGGGCUGACCUGGUCUUUAAAUGUUUAAGCCCAUUUUUCAAAUCUAAUCUUUUUACCUAAAUCCUCCUCAUUUUUUAAACAAGCGAAUAUUCGGAGGAUUCUUCUGACCAAAAUAGAAAAUAUAUCAAAAAACUAAAAAGUAUAAUAAAAAUAAUAAAUAAAAAAUUUACAUAUAAUUUGGAAUUUCUAAUUGUACUUAGAAGUAUAACGUAUAAUUGUAAUUUGUCAGCAAAGUUGUUUCUUUUUUUUUCUUCAAAUUCAAAGAAUUCUUCUCCCUUUAUACAUAGGUCAUCAAUUCAGCAUUGGAAAAAGGGGCUCAAAUCGUUUUAUCGACAUGAGUGUUUUAUGUCGAAAAAAUAUUUUUGUUUUGAAAAUAUUUCUGUAUUUAGUAACAUAGUAGUAAAAAGAGUACCCUAUUGCAUCUGAACUUCAAACGGGUUUGGCCUUAACCAUGUUAAUGGUCCCAGAUUAUUGGUUAAUAGAGAAUCAAAGUCGAUGUACCAAUGAAUCACGAAAUGCUAUGGUUCUAUAAUAUGAUUUUAAAAUUUUAUUCAGAAGUAAUUUGCAAGAUCAUGCACUCUUUUCUUUCCUAGUUAUAAUGAAAAAAAGUACAAUUGGGUGAAUCCAGCUUAUUCUUGAAAUAAACAACUCGCACACACUCACUUUCCAAAAAAGAUUAAUACACCAAGGACUACACUUAGAUUUAUUAGAUUUGUUGCUAAAAUAUCGGUAUUAACCCCGAAACUCUCAGCGGAUGGCCAGUGACCCAGGGAAACGAAAGAAUCGGUCACAUUUUUCAUAUGAUCUCCUAUUUUAUUUUAGAUAGACUAAAAAAAAGAAUUCGUUUUUUUUUGGUAUUAUAUCGCUUUGACUCCUUUUCCAUUUAUUCUAUUCUAUCAUAUUUAUAUUAUUCUAAUUAUUCUAAUUCUAUGUAUUUCUUUAUUUGUUUUAAUAAAUUAUUAAAUUUAUUAUAAAAUUAUUCAUUAUUAUGAUUAUGAAUUUUCAUUUACAUAUGUCUAAACGGAGUUAAAAAAUAUAUUCUAUUUAUCUAGUUAGCUAGAAAUGUAUUUUUUUAAUUGAAAAUUCCCAAUAAUAAUAAUUCUUAUUAGAAUUAGGGAGCAGGUUUCAUGUCAAUGGCAAAAUACCUCAUUUGUUGCAACACUCCUUUAAACAAUAAAUAAUAAAUAAGGGGUUCUCUUGAACUAAGAAGGAGAAGGAAGAAAGCGAGUCGGUGUGAUAAUUUUUCAUCCUCAAAUUAAUCCUUCCCACGGAUUAUUGUCCUAACGAAUAUUAAUUGUAGGGGUGAAAUCUUGAUAGAAUUCGAAAAAGCGAGGAGUAAGUCCCAAGCCAUAAAAUAAGAAAAACAAAUACAAAAUUCUCAUGUUUAUAGGAUUAAACAAAGAGAUUCACAAAUAAGAGUGCCAAUGCUACAACCAGCCCAUAAAUUGUUAAAGCUUCCAUAAAAGCCAAACUAAGCAAUAAAGUACCUUGUAUUUUUCCCUCCGCCUAGGGUUGUCUAGCGAUACCUUCUACAGAUUGGCCCGCAACAGUACCUUGACCAACUCCAGGUCCAAUAGAAGCAAGCUCGACAGCCGACCCUGCAGCAAAAACGGAAGCGGCAGAAAUCAGUGGAUUCAUGAUAAGUUCUUCGCACCAAAAUAAAGAAAUGGUUAAUGAUACAAUCAUCCAAUGAAUUUUAACUUAAUUAUAUUAUUCCAUCGCUAAGAUUCAACCUGCCGAAGUAACUAAGAACUCCGAAUGGAAGUGAGAAGAUUAUUGAACUGUCAGAACUAUUUUGCAUCUUUUUUUAGGUCCUAUCCGCUAGAUUUUUUUUGAAUCCGCACAUAUUUUGUUCUUCCCUUUGUUUUUUCCAACCCAUUCUUUACUUUGAAUUCUUCGUUUUUAUCUUUAUUUUAUCUCUUUAUUCAUUCAAUUCAGAGUCAAAGACAAAAUAGAGGAACUUCUAUUCUUCUAUUAGAAUACCUAUCUAAGUCCACAGUAGUAGGUUGGAUUAGAUAUAUUUUAAGUUCGUAUAUAACUAGUCAAUAUCUCAUAUCUCAUAUACAUGUGUUUCUUACAUAACGUAAACCAACUAUUCAUGUCUUAGAUUCAAUUGGAUUCUAGAAUUAUUCCUCAAAGGAUAGACAAUAGCUGUCUUAUAGCCAUUAGAUUCCAUAUACCUAAUUUUACCCCCUUUUUUUCCUAAUAAUUUUUUAUAUCAUUUUUUUAUUGUAAAUUCGUCUCUUCCUUUUAUUUUUUUAUUUAGCAUUAUCUCACAUGGAUACAAUCUAAAUGGACGAAUUCAUUAGACCAAAUCAUUGCAUACAAAUAAAACAUCAAUAUCAGUAUUUGAUUGAGCUAAAUUCAUGCAAUUUAUUUUAUUAUUUAUGAAAAAAAAUUCUUUAGGUCAAUCAUUGAAUUGAAUGUAGAAAUUGACUAAAAUGGGAAUCAUUCUAUAUAAAGAACAACUUUUUUAAAAUCAUAGACCCUAAAUUGAUAAGAAUUCCUAUUCUAAUUAGGACUCAUAAUAUUGAAAUUGAAUAAACAAAAACAAUAUCAAGAUAAAGAUAAUAUUGAUUGAAGGUAAAUAUGAUAUAAAUAUAAGUAAUAAAAAAAUGGACCAACCCUGAAUUUUAGGAAAAAGAUCUUUUCAAUUAGAUCUCUUUCUUUUUUUUAUUACAAUUCUCUAAUAUCAUAAUCUUUUUUGUUAUUACUCUAGAUCGUCGUAUUUGUAUAUUUAAGGUCCCUAAGUAAGUAGAUUAUCCUGAGUUGUACAUACAUUGGAUUGGACCAAGCUAAACUAAAAAAGGGCUAGGCUAUUUCAAAAACAAAAACUAAUCAAUGAUGGCCCUCUAUGGAUUCGCUUAUAUAAGCCGCAGCUAAAGUUGCAAAAAUAAGAGCUUGAAUCCCACUUGUAAAUAAUCUAAGGAACAUGACAGGUAUAGGGACUACUGAAGGUACUAAAGAAACAAGAACAACAACUACUAAUUCAACAGCUAAUAUUUUCCCAAAAAGUCGAAAAACUAAGUGAUAAGGGUUUUGUGAAAUCCUCUAAAAUGUUAAUAGGUAAAAGAAUUGGAGUGGGUUGAAUGUAUUUACUAAAAUACCCCAAUUCUUUUUUUGAAAGACCUGCAUAGAAAUAUGCUACUGACGUGAGUAAAGCUAAAGCAACAGUAGUAUUUAUAUCAUUUUUGGGUUCGGCUAACUCUUCAUGAUGUAAUUGUAUGAUUUUCCAAGUUAACAGAGCGUCCGACCAGUUAGAAACAAAAAUAAAUAGAAACAUAGUUCCAAUAAAGGGAACCCAUGGACCAUAUUCUUCUCCAAUCUAAGUUUUGCUUACUUCUUGAGUGAAUUAAAGAACAUAUUCGAAGAAAUUUUGACCGACAGUUUGAAUUGUUUGUGGAUUCCGAACUGCGAUAACGACGGAACCUAAUAAGAUAGCAAUUAUAACCCAAGAAGUAAUAAGUACUUGGGAAUGGACUUGGAAACCUACUAUUUACCAAUAGAAAUGUUGGCUUACUUCCACACCAGAGAUAUCGUAUAACCCGUUUAGUGCGUUUGAUAUACCAUUCAUAUUGCCCUCUGACAGAAAUAGAAGUUUACUUUUAAAAAAAGGAAUUAUUUUUAUUCAAUCUUCUCUUGCCUACUCAAAUUCUAUAUUUUUGACACUGACGAAACUAAGCACACAAUAUUCACAAUUUUUUUAUCUCUUUUGUGCGAUUCAGGAUAUAGUAACUGAUUCCAUAGAUCUAUGUAAUUCCAAAAAAUAAUUUAUUUAUCUUAUUAUUAAUAAAGGAUUUCGUAUAUAACUAGAAUGACCCUCACAAAUUGCGACUACUAAUUUGUUAAGAAUUAAUCGAAUUAAAGCUAUAGAGUCAUCAUUUGCUGGAAUCGAAAUAUCUGCGAGAUUAGAUUGCUAUUUGUAUCGAUUAAACAAAUUGCUAGAAUUCCCAAAUUGAUACAUUCUCGCAGAGCCGUAUAUUCUUCUUGCUGAUCAAUGAUGAUUACAAUAUCAGACAAUCUCGUCAUAUAUUUAAUCCCGCCUAGAUAUGUUUGUAAGCGAGAUAAUUGUCUUUUUAACAUAGCUGUAUCUCUUUUCGGAAGAUAGUUGAGUCCCCCGGUCUUUUGUUCUGUUCUCAAGUCCCUGAACUUAUGAAGCCUCGUUUUUGUAGUGGGCUAAGUUGUUAACAUACCACCGAGCCAUUAGAAAAAGACAAUUGAAGAAGAAUUGUCCAUAAAUUUGCAGUCAAUAGUUAAUGGUUCCAAUUUAUUUGUCCUGAAUUUUGACUUUUGGAACUGAGAAUCCACAUUUUCUUUUUCAAUAGAAAAGAAAGGGAAAGUUUUUAGAUAUUGUGUGUCUUGAGAUACUAUAACCAAUUGAAGUUAUGGAUCCGAUCUAAAAAUGAAAAAGAAAAGGGAGAUACUCUCCUUUUUUUGUUUGUAGCCUUUUGGUGACAUGGCUGAGCUGUAAGGCGAGGGACUGCAAAUCCCUUAUUCCCCAGUUCAAAUCCGGGUGUCGCUUGAUCAACAAAAAACUCGAAAUCCUAACGUUUCCUAACAUCUAAGAUUCAAGGAAAAACUAAAGUAGUGGAAGGGAAUCGAUAAAUCUUGAUAUGGGAGCCCCCCUUACUAAUGGAGUGGCUACUAGAGGAGUCUUGAAUUAGAUUGGAUAACGGGAGUGUCUAAUUAACUAAUGAAUGGUUGUAGAAGGGUUGGAAGAUACUUUGUAUACAGACGGAUGAAAGUCUCUGAGUGUUCAGACAUCCAAUUAAUAUUAGAUUGGAUAGAUAAUUGACUUUUACUCUAUGAGAGACACCAAAAGAAAGAAUAAGUCUUAUUAUUGAUACAUGUGAGUAACAUUCUUUUGAUACUUCCAAAAGUGUUACUGCGCAUUUUGUUUGUGCUUAAUGGUUCUCGAUUUUACUCGAAAUCAUAUAUAUGUCUAAUUACAAUCUUAAUCCCCAUCAAAGUAGCAACAAAAUCAACAUUUAGUAUCUUAAUAAAGUCUAGGAUCUCUGAGAUAAGUUUUAAAGAGAUUUGAUCCUGUCUCCUUAAAAUAGGGGAUUCGAUUGUUUGAUCUAAUCCAAUAUUCAGGAUACAUUUUUUCUUCUAGAUCGAUUUCCAAUAUAAAAUAACACACGUCCAAAAUAACAAUAAAGAUCAUGAGCUAAAUGUUUUGUUUUAAAAACUUACCAACUCUAAAUAAAACAAGUUAUGUAAUUUACACAGCACAGAAUGCAGUUGUAACUUCCAUCCUCAUCAUUCCUUCAACAAUUUUCUCUUAAAUUUAACAUCUUUGAACAAAACACUAACAAAGGGGAAUCCCACAUUGUGCGGUUUCAUCAACGUUGGUUUCUCCUUGUUUUGGUUUAAAAUUAGGUCAUUUCAAGGGUUUUCCAUUAUAUGAAUGAAGUUUAACAUAAAAAAAAAGUACACAUUCCAAUAAAUAAUCAGAAAAUUAGCGUAAUUUUAAUAACUAGAAUAAAAUUUAUCAAUAUUAUAAAGAAGUGAUAAAUAGCGAUUCCGAAUUUGCUAUUAGCUGAUUUGGUCAAGAUUUAAUACUUCAAUUUAACCAUUUCCAAUUUCCUGGAAGGGAAGGGACCCCUUUUCCCAUACACAUUCAGCAUUGCUCACACUUUUUAGUGCAUGUUCUUUAAUGAAGUUUACUUAUAUUACAACAUCUAGACUUAAUUAUAAACAAAUUAUUUAUAUUUAUUUACUUAAAUAGAUUAUCCUUUACAAUUAAAGACAAAAACAUUCCACUAACCUUUCCUGUCGGAGCAGCUGCCAGGAAGGUACCAAUUGACAUAGGAGGAAAAUUAGAAGUUUAACCACCGAAAGCGAUUAAUUCAAAAAUUAAAGACUAGUAUGGUCCGUCAACAAGGAAACAAUAUAAAGUCAAAAAGGGCAGACAAACAAAGUAGAGAUUUAUGCCUAAAUGGCACCAUAUCAAAGCCAACUUGAUAUCAAGAAAAGAAAUCAUAAAUAAUAUAAUUGUUUUUUGAAAGUAAAAACAAAAUUGUGAUGAAAAAAAUAAAUUUACUUUUUUUUUUCUAAUUCGUUAUAAAUAAAAGGUGAAUUUAAUCUCUUUUACUAUAGAUUAUUAGUAAAAAUAAAAGUUAAAUUUAAAAGUUUUUUCAUUAUUAUAAAUAUAUUAUCAUUGUUUAUAUUUAAUCACAUUUCUAUUUUUUUUAAUAAAAAUGUUUAAAAUUAUCCAUAAUUCCUUCUCAAUAUUUUAAUAGGAGGAUAAAUACAUUCUAUCGUAAUCGAACCCACAUCCUCCUAUACCAACAAUAAUGCCGAUACUAACUGAGCUAACACUCAAUUAGACUAUUGAGUAGAGAAGUUCAUUAACCCAACUAGAUUAUUACUUAAAGUUCUUAGGCACAUCAUAUGUGAAUAAAUUUGAAAUAGAAAGAAAAAAGAACUUUCAAGGAAAAGUGAAAAAGCAAAGGGAAUGAUUAUUAUUUGAUAUAUAGUAGAAUCUUUUAAUUCUAUAAAUGAGAUCUUUUUAUAAUUUUUAUUUACUUUUUUGGAUUUAUCUAUUUUUUUUUUGAAUUUUUAGAAAUUAAUUUAAAUUGAUAGAAUAGGUAAACAAUAGAAUUAAUUUUGUUAUAUUUUUUAAAAUUAUCAAAUUUAUAGAAUAGGUAAAUAUUAAGAGCUAAAAACAUCAAUAUUACAUUAAAAAUUUAACUUAUGAGUAACCUCUUGAAACCGUUUUUUGAACAAAAUUGGCUUAUGAUAUUAUAGAAAACAUAAAAUUUUAAUUUUUAAACCGUUGGGUUUUUACUAAGAAAAUAGAAAUCGCAACCAUUCAUUUUAAUAAGGUGCGAUCGAUCACCUAAUAAAUUAACUUUUUAAAAUGAAAAUUUUUUGAAAUUCUCUUAAAAGGAUAAUUUUUUGAAACUACGUUUAGGGUUUGGGAUAUGUACAAGAAAAAUUAUAACACCUUCGUAAUGCCCAAAAAUUGAUAACUUGUUCAUUACGUGUUGUAUCAUAUCUUAGAAAUAUGAGUUCAAACUUUCAGUACUUAAUUGUCAUCCUUUAAAAUUAAAAUGAAUACAAAUUUAUUUAAUGAGCGAAUUUAAAAUUGAAAUUUGAAAAAUUGUCAAAUUUUGCAUUUUUGUUUAUUUAAAAGACAUUUUUUUUAUUCAUCCGAGUUUGAAAACAGCAUUCCAUCAUUAAACACAAUCAACAAUAUCAUAUUCCAAAAAUUUUGGUAUCGACCUCAUCAAUUUUUUAAUAUUGAAAUGUCAGCAAAAUAUAUUUAACGAAUAUACAUAAUAUCACAAUUAAAUGUCAAUCUCAAUCACGAAAUUCAACUAUAUUUCAAAAAAAAAAAAAUCUUCACAUGGAUUUUAUUUUAUGGUAUAUGUCAUGACAGUUAUUAUAUAACAAGAAAUUGGCAACCUAGCAAUGGCAUGGCGAUAUAAUUUGAACAAAAAAUUUGGGAUAUUCAAGUUUGAAGAGACAUGGAAUCACACUAUAAUAUUAAGGCAUUACAAUAUCUUCAAAAACAUCAGUCACAUAUCUCAACAACAUGAAGAGAAAAAAAUAAAGCUGCAUAAGGGAACUAUACCGAAGUGCCAAGCAUUGUAAUGUUGUGAGUGCUUACAUAUAUGGACGCAUAGAAAUUAAAUUUGAGAACAAAGACUCCUGGGGGAAACCAAAACUUCGAAUAUAGAUCUGGGUGAAACCAGAAUUUUGAAAUGACUAACUGGACGAAACUAAAAUUUGGAAAGUAGACUGAGCAAAACCAGAAUUUGAUUAUUUAGGUGAUUAUUUGAUGCUAAUGGUGAAUUUUAUACUCUUAAUCCUUUAAAUUCAUGUUUUAAUGCAUAAUAGAGCAUUUGGGUGCAAAAUGAGUGAAAACCGAAAAAUCGGAGCAAGUUAUAGGAGCCACAUGGGUUGACCUAUUCCACACGACCUAGACACAUGACCGUGUGAGCCACACAGCCAUGUAGUAGGCCAUGUUGAUUUCGUGAAUUUGCACCCUAAACUGUGGGAAAUCGCAUUUUUUAGAUUUUUCAGGAAUUCUAAGACGUAUAUAUGAUAAAAGUAAAAAGAUAGGAAUGAGUCGUCAUAGAAUACUCAAGAAAACAUCUCGACAAACACCAUUGAAACUAAUUCUAAAGUAGAUUUCCGUCAAGAUUGAAGAUUCUCAUUUGAUUUCUUUGGAGAUUGUCAUGAGUUUCUUUAUUUCUUUUCAAUUAUACUGUGUUUUGGAUUUUUUUAUUUUAUUUUCAAGCAUGAACUAAUUUUCUAAAUACCUAGGGGAGAUGAACCCUAUGAUAAAUUCUGUCUUUUGAUUUUUAUUUUUCGCAAUACAUAUUUAGAUCUUGUUUUCAAUUAUGUGUGCCUAAUUCUUGCUUUAAUAUUUCUAAAUUAUUGAUUUAUAUUUGAUGUACUUAAAUCAGAGGAGGAAAAGACCCUGUCUGAGAGUAGAUCUUGUGUAAUUGAGUGGAGUUACAUGCAAUUCUAGACAUAGAAUGACAUAAAUAUACUGGAUUAGAUUCAAAUCUAAUGGGCGAAUCCAUAGCACGAGUUAAUGCGAUAAUAGGGGUCUUAAUUAGAAAGAAAAUUCAAUUAAUCAACCUAGAGUCAGUUACUCUUCUUCUCGAAAGUGAUAUUAACAUAAUUUAGGGAUUUUUACAGAUCAAUAUACUAAGUAAAGAAAUAGCGUAAUUUAGAUUGAUAGUUACAAAUGAAAUUUAGGCGAAUUCUUUCCUGAGUAUUGUUUCACUUCUUGGUUAUUACUCUUUUUUUUAUUUGUUCUUUGAUCGUGUUCGUUAGUUAAUUAAUUUAGUUAAUUUUAGUUUUAAUCAUUCACUCGAAUUUAUCGGUUAAAUAAUAGAAAGACAAUAAUAACUAGUACUUUUAGUCUUCGUUGGAAUGAUAUAUUUGCUCAUUGUAACUAUAUUAUUAAUUGAUAAGUCCACUUGCCUUAGCCAAAUUUUUAAUUAAUUUCGUGAGACAUUAAUACUUUCUUGUUAUACUACUCUUACAUUGUUCUAUAAAAAAUUACUACAAAAAUACUUUAUAGAAAUUUAUUUUCUUGCUAUACUCUACUCAGUACUUAAUGAACUAUUUUCUUCAGUAUAAAACACAAACAAUCACCAGACUUCAUUGUAUUCUCAAAGUUUAUUUUUUCUUAAAACUCAUUUGCACACUAAGUAUAGGUGCGGUGGAUAGGACUUUAAAGAUAAUGACUUGAUACAUGUCUUGAAGCCUUAUCUUAUUGCUUUGAUUUUCUAUUCGUGUUGUUGUUCAUGCUUCGUUCAUAUGUUUGAGAUUUUCCUCACCAAAAUUCGGCAUUACCAUUUAAUUCUUCUUUAAGUCAUCCCAUAACUAUUUGUUCCAUUAAAUUUUGGUCAUAUCUACUUUCAUUUUUCAAGGGUUUGAUUAAGACUUCAUUAAUUUGUUAACCAUUACAGAAUUUGGGCCGAAGCCCAUAGAUUGUCAUGAAUAUUGGUUUAAUAAGCUCUCCUUUUGAAAACAUCACAACCACUUAUGCUCCUCAAUGAAUCACUACUUUCCCACUACACAAACAAAUUGUCACUCACACAUCAAACAAAUCACAUUCAAGAGACUACAAGGCCUUGUUAACAAAAGCAAACAAGACCUCAUACAAGAGAUGAAAGGGGACCAAUUAACCAGCUGAAACGAAUAAGAAUUCAACGAAGAUCACUCAAAGAAAUUGGAGUGCUUCAAUAUGGUUUCGGUAUUAAGGAUAGCUGGAACAAGAAUAAAAGCAAAGAGGAUAAAGGAAACGAUUUGUACGAGGACGAACAUCUUUGUUUUAGGCACAAACCUGCAGAAAACAUAACGGGCUAUCCGGUAUGAAACCAGCAGUGCUAGCGAUGUUGACAAGCAGUAAUUUAGAAUGCAGAGAGCACGAUAGGUCAAGGGUAUAGUAGUUUGAAGAGAAACCACAUACUGAAGUUUCCACGACCAUGUGGACACAGCAACUAAAAGCAUGUAACAGGUCCCAAACAAGGAAAGGGUUAUGAGAAGAAACAAGCUGAUUGAACGACUUGGUAGGAGAUAUGCUGUUAACCCGAUUGCUGCCCAAAAGGUUAAUGUGUUGUAUAACCAAAACAUGGAUGAUACGUCUAUUAAAUCUGACCAAUUAAUCUGAUCAUCGGCCAGUGGUGGCAGAGGACCUGGUAGGGGUGCAGUGCUGUCGGUUGAUUCUAAAGAUGCGUAAUACUUGAUAUGGUAUUUCAUGGAUGAACUGUUAUCAGCUUUCUUUGGAGGGCUUAAAGAGGCAGCGUAAGUGACUGUUAUAAUUAGCACUGUCACUACUAGAAAUGUAUUACGCAUCUCAAGCGGGAUACCCUUUCUUCCUCGACCUGCCAUUGUUGCAAAUUUUUGAAAACAUGACAUCUUCGGCCUUAAUGAUUUGAUGUGGAUUGAAGAGAUGGACUUAUUGGGAAGCUUGGAACCACACAAACCUCCUGCUUUUGUUAUCAUAUCUUUAACCGAGCCCUUAUAAUUAUUCACUUGCCUUUCAUCCAAUGGACAGUCUGGUUGGAUAUCUAAAGCAGUGGAUCCCUUCAAAUUUUUGGCAUUGAUAUGGUCUCGACGCAAGUGCCCCAGCAAUACUUGCACCACCUGUUAAUUAGAAAAUUCAUGUAAAUAACCCUUUUAUCAUAUACGUAUAUACAUCAAUAAUUGAGUUAACUAGCAAAUUAGCAUACCUGAGGUGAGUUUUUGAUAGCUGAAAUGUGUAGGACAUUGUUGCCAUCAAUGUCUGCCCAACUAAGCAGUUCUUUCUCCCAACGUUGGGCAGCUUCAUGGCGGCUCCUUAUAAGCCACCCCACCAAGACUUGAAAUGCUUCAAACUUGUCGUUUUUUACUGCAAGAUGGAAAACCCUCUCGUCUCGAACAGUCACAUCUUCAACAGCCUCAGGGCAAACCUCAAGGAACUUGAUCAAAAGAUCAACAUCUCCAGUUUGAGCCACAUGAUGCAGAGGGGUCAAGCCUUCCCUUCCUUUAACACGAACAAGGCCUUCAUCAAACUUGAGGAGUCGAAGCACAGCUUGAGUUAUGUUAUUUUGCAGAGCCAAGUGCAUGGGGCUAAACCCAGCUAGAUUUAACUUUCUUGCAAACGAUGGCUUUAAGUUGAUCAUCUCCAUCAUAAAAUCAACAUGCCCAGAACUGACUGCUACAUGCAAUGGAGUGUCAAGAAAAGGAACAUGAUCAAUACGCUCCAAAACAUAUGGAUCUUUCUGAAUUAGCAAAUACAAGACAUUAAUGUUUCCUGUUUGUGCAGCCUCUAUCAUUCUCCAAUCCAUAGCUAUGGAGAAGUGGAGGUAAUAAAUUACGCAGCAAAUUUUCAGGCUACUGAGAAAUGAUGAAAUUUGCAGGAAAACACAGAGAAUAGAGACACAUAAGACAAUAUAAAGGGAAUAGAAGCUAUAUUUAGCAAAACACACAGCAAUCCAACCACAAUUUUAUACAUGACUUUAAACGCGCUAGUCUGAAGAGAAACUUCUUAAAAAGUCGAAGGUAACUUUCACACUCCAAUUACGACUUGUUUAAAAGAAUAGAAAAUAUAGAACCCAUUUUGGUUGAAUGGAAAUCUUACUUCCGAAAAAAAAAAUCUAACCAAAAGGUUAGAGGUACAUAAAAUCGAAAUGAAACCCAACUCCUAGAACAGGAGGACAACAAACAGCUAUCAUCCUGGAUUAAAUAUAAAUGUUAAUUUCAUUCUAGAUACACAAUGCUUAAUAUAAUAUACUUCAACACACUCGAAUCCACGCCCUUCUGACAACAAUGUCAAUUGAACUAAUACGCAAUAAAUAACACCACUAUAUUUAAUUUUUUUAAAAAUAAUAACAUAUAUUUUAAAAAAUUCAAUUUAUAUGAGCCGGCCACCUUGCUAAGAUGAGAUUUUUUUGUUGUUUUUGGUCAUUUGCUUGUUAAAUUAACAAUUUUAUAUGAAUCUAUGUCAAAGCUGAACAUUUGGCAUACAUUCAUAUUAUAGAUGAGAUAGGUGAUUCACAUCAAAAUCAAAAUGUCGAGAGUCAAUAAGAAAUUUGAAAAAUACGAAAAGAGCUUCCAAUGAUAUCAUUGACGUUAAAGUAGGAAGAAGAAACUUGAUCUCUUUUUGUGAAGAAAAGGAAGAGAUCUUAUAUUGGUGGUGGAUUUAAUAAUGAGCCGGCCGUGGACCUCGAUGAAUGGUUGCUUUAUUUAUAUAGGAUUUGGUGGUAUGUAACAGGAUAUGGCUAGACCUCACUAAGAUAUGAUCAACCAUGCUGUAGAUAGUUGGUGGCAAGAUUUCUAUGAUGUGUAUUGGUAGGAUGAAGCUAGAAAAUUUUGUAGGGAUCAAAAUUAAAUUGUAUUUUUACGAUAAUAAAAAUAUAAUUUCAUCAUUUUAAUAGUCUACGUUUUAUAAUUUUUAAAAGAUUAAAUCAAAUUUUUAUCAUUUUUAGGGGGCAAAGUGCAAUUUUACCUUUACUAAUUUAAAAUUUUAAAGAGCUUAAAUGAAAAAUUUUCUAUUUUAGGGGAGACGGGCCCUGCCAGCCCCCUUAACUAGGCCCUUGUGUACUAGGAAGCAACAAAUGUAAUUGGAGGGUUCCGAUUGGAUUUGAUGGUGAUUCCAUAAGCAAACAAGACCCUAGUAAGGGGCGAACGUUUGAUUGAAUCGAGUAAAAAAAUUGAGUUAGUCGAGUUUACAAGCCUUGUUUUUAUCAUCUUAUCUCGACUUGAAUUUUUUUGCAUUCGAGUUCAUUGAAAUAAAAUUUCAUUUAAGUCGAAUCGAAUCAAGUGAAAUUGUUUGAGUUAAAUUUAAAAAAAUUAAACAUGUCAAGAUAAAAUCUUGUUACAAUAUAACUAAUUCUAUGUAAGAGCACAUAAAUUUGAAACAAUAUAUAUAUAUAUAUAUGAAAACUAUAAGAGAAAAAUAUAAUAUAUUUAAUACGAUAAACUUGAAUUGGUAAAUUUACUUGUUUAGAUCCUCAAAAUUAAUGUAUUGAAAAAUUUUAAACAUUUUUUUAUAUAUUCUUUAUUUUUUUUAAUUUUAAAAAAUUAUGAAUUUUUUGGAAUUUUUGAAAAAUAAUUUGAAUAUUUGAAAUUUAUUUUGAAUUGUUUUGUAAAUUUUUGUUGAGAGAGAUCGAUUUGAUCAUUUUUUAAAAUCGAUAGGGGUCAAAGGAAUAUUUACACUAAUCAAUUACACGAAUUGUAAAAUUCAACUCGACUCGAAUUCGAAAAAUUGAACUACUUGUUUAAGUUGACUUGAAAAAAUUGAAUAACUCGAUUAUUUCAAUUCGAUUAACUCAAAUUUUGAAAAAAAUAUUUUUUAAAUUAAAUCGAGUUUUGAUAAACCGCAUCUAUCUAGAUGAAAUGCCUUGAAAUUAGUUCAUCAUCAAUUAGAAAUUAGUUAUUUGACUCCUACUUUAUUUAAUAACAGAAGUCCAAUAAAUUUUAACUUAAUUAGAUCACUUUAAAUUUGGGCUAACCUUUUAAGAUAGUAAAUAAUAACAUGUAGUUGACAUUAUUAUAUAUGUUAUGUCCAUAUUUUUCCAACACAAUUUUAUACAUGACAUUUGGUUUUGUGCAGUUUUACGCAUGAAUUUUUUAUUUGAUUCACUAAAUCAAAGUAUCCACUGGAGCGAGCUCAAUACUAGCCUUUCACGUUCCGUAGGCCCAUUAAAUAAGUAGGCGUUUGCCACGAGUUUUAAAGUUACUCCAUACUUGGACACAGUUAUAUAUAUUACUUUAUUUUGUGUGAUGCACAAAUUUAAUUGUGUGGAUCAAUUAAAAUGUAUUCUCAAUGUUUCUAGUUGUUCGUGCAUUAUGCUACUUAAUCUUUGAUUUUGUCUGGUCGGUAAACAGUACGAAUAAAAAAUUCUUCGUCCUCGUACUAAUCGUUUACAUUGGCAUGGUUUCUAGCCCAAUCUAAAUACCGAAACUGUAAUGAAGUUUUGGGUUUUGUAUUAGUGAUAGUGAUGGGGUAGUUCCCUUCAUCUCUUGUACCGGAGUCUUUUUCUUUUUCUUUUUUUUGGUAUCAAGGGCGAAGGUCAGGUCACAAACUUUUGUUUAAGCCUAAUCGUCUAUUGAAAGGGUGAAUUUGUUUGUGAAGUCGUGGUUGAAUAAGGAUCAUAACCAGCUGUGCUUUUAUUGUAUUUUGUUCUUUUUGUAAUACAUCUUGAAGACAAUUCGAAGUCACAUAUCUUAUUUAUUUAAAAUCAAUAAGACUCAUGCCAAAAUUCCAUUUUCACUUGUAGGUUAAAAUUUUCAUGUUCAGUGUCUUAAAUAAUUAUUUUUAAUAUAAAAUCAAUAACGGUUAAAUACAAUGAUAAAACACAGUGCAUUUUUAAAAAAAGAUAUAAGUUUAAAUAUUGAAGAUAAUAUUGUUGAAUAGACAACUAUAAAAUUUAAAUAUAAAUUGUAAAACAGACAUAAAAAAGAUAUAAAAAAUUACCUUUAUUUAUUUAAUUAAAUAAAUUACCCUUUACAGUUUAAUCUAUACAAUUUCACUAGCCUUUCCCGUAGGAGCAGCCGUGAGGAAGGGACGAAAUGACAAUAGAAGGAGAAAAAUUGGAAGGGUUUAACAAGGAAACAAUAUAAAGUCAAAAAGGGCAGACAAAAAAUUUGCCUUUUCCAUUGAUUUUAGUUCUUGUCUUAUACUAAUAAAAUUAUGCCAUUGAUAUGUUCAUAAACAAAAGUUUCAAGGAAAUGGCACCCCCUGGUCUGAACCACAAAGCCAACUUGAUAUCAAGAAAAGAAAAGAAACCAUAAAUUCUUAUUUAUUGAAAAGGCUAAUAUUUAAAGUAUAAACACAAUUGUGAUGAAAAAAAUAAAUUUACCAUAAUUCCUCUUCAACCACAAUCUUUAAAUAAAAGGAUAAAUGUGUACCAACUAUUAAUCGUGCAUCUAUUUUGUUGAUUAGAGAAGUUCAUUGAACCAAUCAGGCUAUUAGGUAAAGUUGUUAGAGAUGUCUGAAAGAAUUGGGUAAAUAGAGAGAAAUAUCCAGCCAAACAGAGAAAUAUAAAAUGGAAAACUUCUUUUUGUUUGUUUAUUCCAAAAUCUUAACUCUCUGAAUACACAUGUUCAGUAUUUAUAGGCAUGAGUAACCGCUCCAUAUUGAGCAACAACCUUCACCGGAUACAUAACUAACUAACAACCUAUAAUACUCUAAUAUUCAUCCAUCUUCCCCACAGGCAAAACCCGUAGACAAUUCCGAAACCAAGCAAAAAUCGAUAGUGAAAGUGGCUUAGUGAGAACAUCAGCAACUUGAUCACACGCCGGAACCUCGCCAACGGCAACAGUACCAUCAGCAACCUUUUCACGAACAAAAAACAAAUCUAAUUCAACAUGCUUAAACUUUGAAUGAAGAACAGGAUUAGCAGCAACUGCAACCGCACCAGAACUAUCACACCAAAUAUUUGGAAUACUAGAAGACCGAACAUGUAACUCUUGAAGUAACGACAAAAGCCAUGUAACCUCACUAGUAACCGCAGCAAGACUCCGAUAUUCUGCCUCAGCAGUAGACCGAGCAACAACCUGUUGUUUCUUCGUACACCACGACACAGGAUUACAUCCGAAAUAAACACAGUACCCGGUAGUAGACCUUCGGUCAUCAAAAUCUAACCCCCAGUUUGCAUCAGCAUACCCAACUAAGGACAGAUUAGGUGACGGACGAAACAUAAUCCCAAACUCAAUCGUUCCACCUAGAUACCUCAAAAUACGCUUUAGAGCCGUCAUAUAGACAGAAGUGGGACAAUGCAUAAACUGACAUAUUUGAUUCAAAGCAUAUUCAACAUCUGGUCGCAUAAGAGUGACAUACUGUAGUACCCCAGCAAAGCUCCUGUAUUCAGUUGGAUCCUCUAAACACUCACCACCAUCUUUAGUUAAGAAAGAAGAACUAACCAUCAGUGUAUUAACACUCUUCGCAUUUUCCAUCGAACACCGAAUAAGAAUAUCACGUAUAUACUUCUUCUGACAUAGAUAAAGACAACCUGAUGAAGAACGAGUAACUUCUAUCCCAAGAAAAUAAUGAAGAUCGCCCAUGUCCUUAAGUGAGAACUCACUAUUCAGCAAUUUAACAAACCAUUCUAUAACAGAUGGCACAUCACCUGUCACAAUAAUAUCAUCAACAUACACAAGAACAUACAACGUUGAACCGGAAACAACCCGAACAAACAAGGAAGCAUCAGACUUCGAUACUACAAAGCCCACAGAUACUAGAAAUCCUUUUAGCUUCUCAAACCAGGCACGAGGGGCCUGACGAAGACCAUACAACGCUUUCUUCAAACGACAUACCAGAGGUCUGCCAUCGGAACCAUACUGUACAUAGCCAGGAGGUUGAUGCAUGAAGACUUCAGUAUCAAGAUCUCCAUUUAGAAACGCAUUAUUCACAUCCACCUGUCGAAGGGACCACCCCCUAGACAUAGCAAUAGACAGAAUAACUCUGAUAGUAGCCGGUUUUACCACCGGACUAAACGUUUCCUUAAAAUCACAACCUGAAACCUGAGAGCAGCCUUUCGCAACCAAGCGAGCCUUAUGGCGAGUAAUAGUACCAUCAGAAUUCCUCUUAAUCCUGAACAACCAUUUGCAUCCUAUAAUCUUACGAUUAGACGGAGCUGAAACUAGCUCCCAUGUGGAAUUGCGCAUAAGAGCAUCAUACUCAUCUUGCGCAGCAGCACGCCACUCAGCAGUAGCAAGAGCUUCUUCAAUUGUAGAAGGUUCUUUAACCUCAACAUGUAAAACCUUAGGCUUGUAAACUCCCGCUUUAGCUUAAGUGACCAUUGGGUGAGUAUUACCCACAGGUGGUCUACUAACUUGACUGUCAGAUGACGACGAAACGCCUUCAGACAGUCUUGAGAUAGACUGAGGAUGAUCAGUAAAAUCACCUAGUGAAGCCGACUCAUGCAAAAUUGAAAGAGCAUCCAACCCAGACCCAACAUCAUCCGAAGGAGCAUGAGAUUGCACCAAAUCUGUAUUUGAAGUAGAAACAUUAGGCUGAGACUGGAACCCUUGAAGAGAUGGUGACACAACACAAGGCAUAGGAGACGACGAAGAAGAAACAGUGGGCCACACAACGGGAACAACAUUCGAACUAGUCUGACUGGUCUUCGUCAUAGACUUAUCAGGGCUAGACUCAGCAAACAAAAAUCUCUGCUCAUCAAACACGACAUGUCUCAAAAUAAUAACCUUACCAUCCGGUAAAAGACACUGAUACCCCUUAUGACGAGGACUGUAACCCAACAAUGUAGACGGCUGAGACUGAAAAUCCAAUUUAUGACCAACAAACGGACGUAAAUAAGGAUAGCAGCAGCAGCCAAAAACUCGAAGAUGAUCAUAGGUCGGAUCAUUACCAUAAAGUGCCUUAAACGGAGAAUUUCCCUGAAGCACAACAGUAGGAAGUCGAUUGAUCAGAUGAACCGCGCAACAGAACGCAUACCCCCAGUACUGCAUAGGCAAACUCGCAUGAGCCAAUAACGUAAUACCCAUUUCAACAAUGUGACGAUGUUUACGCUCAGCCACUCCAUUUUGUUCAGAAGUGUACAGACACGUCAAUCGAUGAAUAAUUCCCUGGGAUUCCAAAACAGAUGUAAAACCACGGUAUUCUCCUCCCCAAUCACUCUGAAACUGCUUAAUAGACUUGCCAAAUUGUGUCUCAAUUAACUUUUGAAACUGAGUGAAACACUCUAUUGCUUGAGCUUUUUGACGUAUAAGAUAAACCCAGGUAAACCUAGUGCACAUGUCAAUAAACGAAACAUAAUAUCUCUUUUCAUCACAUGCAACAGAUGCGGGACCCCAAAGAUCAGAUACAACUAACUCAAAAGGUUGAUAACUAGUAGUAGAAGGUGAAAAAGGCAACUCAAAUUGACCUCCUGUAACACCUGAACUUGACGAUUCUCACAAUCAACCAACGCAUCAACCACACGCUUUAACGGCAGUACACCAGUCGACAAUCGAACAGACGAGAUGACCGCCUCAUAUUCCGACAGCAAUCCCGCAAGCACCACUUCAACCUUCUCUUCAUCAGAAAUACGCGAACCGGACGUAUCUAACAUAGCACAGAGAUCUUUAAUCUUAGCAACAUAAGUUUUAAUAGAGAGGUUACAUUUCUUCAAGGAAUGAAGCUCAUGCCGAAGUCUCGAUUGCUUGGCGCCAGUAUUGGUCGCAAACAGAUUAACGGCCAUACUCCAUACAUCACAAGCCGUGCAAGCAUCAUCAAAGGAAGAUUGAUGAGAAGAGCUUACUGUAGAUAAAAGCCAGGACGUCAGAAGUCGAUCUUGCUGCAUAAACACCUGAGCCGCCGGAUUUGGAGCACGCAAGCCAUCGGGUAGAAGAUUGAAACGUGAUGGUAGAGCAAUGGUGCCAUCUAAGAAGCCUGUAAGUCCAUAACCAUCAACUAUCAGUUUUACCUGUUUGCGCCAUUGAAGAUAAGUACCUUCAUCAAGUUUAACGACUUCAUGCCGAGGAAAGACAUUCGUGACACGAUCGGCAUCAAACACACCGGAGCUAGGUUCACCAAACUCAGAAUCAACGGAAGCCAUACUAAGAAAAAUCCAGAAUCAACCUGCGAAUGAUACCAUGAAAGAAUUGGGUAAAUAGAGAGAAAUAUCCAGCCAAACAGAGAAAUAUAAAAUGGAAAACUUCUUUUUGUUUGUUUAUUCCAAAAUCUUAACUCUCUGAAUACACAUGUUCAGUAUUUAUAGGCAUGAGUAACCGCUCCAUAAUGUCAUACGUGAAUAGAUUUAAAAAAGAAAGAAAAAAUAACUUUCAUCAUUAUAAAGGAAAAGUGAAAAAGCAAAAGGAAUUAUUAUUUGAUUUAUAGGAGAAAUUUUUAACUCUAUAAAUGAUAAUUUUUUAUAAUUUUUAUUUACUUUUUAUAAUUUUUAUAUUUAACAAAAUUAUUUUUUAAAAAUUUUUACAAUCUAAAUUAAAUUGAUAAAAUAUAUAAAUAAUAAGGUUAAAAUUUUUUUAAUUAUGAUAAAAUUGAUAAAAUAUAUAAAUAUUAUUAAAAAUUAAAUCAUCAACAUUAUUCUAUACUAACGAUUUAACUUAUAACCUGUUAGAAACAAUUUUUGAACAAAAUUGGUUUGAUGAUGGCUCCAAAUAAAUUUCAAGUCUAACGAACUUGUAUCAACAUCACGAAAUUCAACUAUAUUUCAAAAAUAUAUAUAUAUAAAAUAUAUAUAUUUAGGACUUUUUUAUGGUGCAUGUCAUGACAGUUAUUAUAUAACAAGAAAUUAGCAAUGUAAAAAAGGCAUGGAGAUAUAAUUAGAACAAAAAAUUUACAAAAUAGGGACGCUUGGGCUAUGAAGAUACUUAAAGUUUGAAGAGACAUGGAAUAUUAAGGCAUUAGAAUAUCUUCAAAAACAUCAGUCACAUAUCUCAACAACAUCAAGGGAAAAAAAAGAAAGAGCUGCAAAAGAGAACUAUACCGAAGAGCCAAGAAUUGUGAUGUUGUGAGUGCUUACAGAUAGACAUUAAAUUUGAGAACUUGAACACUGCUGCACUGCCACACAGAUCAAAUACUUGAUGGUUUAGUUUUAAGGAAGAAGGUAGUGAAAUUGUUGAUGGGAAAAUGGAGGUUCUAAUCCCGCUCCUUGUUGGAGACAAUUGUCUCAAGCUUUUUCCUUGUUUAAAGGUUCUCACCCCAAAACCCUUGCAUUCUUUUUUUUAAAACUCAAAAAGGAACUUUUAACUUCCUUUCUCCCCACCGCACCCAUGUAACUGCUUAUAUAUUAUAUGUACGUAAUAUGUAUAUAUUAUAUGUAUGUAAUACGUACAUAUUAUAUUAUAUAUUAUAUAACCCCACAUAUAUGUAUAUAUAUAUAUACACAUAUAGCAUUUUGUCCCUCAUUGCACAUCGGGGUUCGACAAGUGUUGCGGCUGAAGUAGUGAGAAUAUACAUUUUGUCUUGAUAGUUUUAAAAAGAUUGUUUUUAAAGAUAUUUUCGAUAUUUCUAAUUUAAAAAGAAAUUUAAUUUUAAUUACUUGUUAAUUUAAAGACAGCUUUAUUAUGACUUUUAAUAAUAGUAUUGUAAUUUUUAGAAAUUGUUCACUUAUCUAUAAAGGAUUGAUACAAAACAAUCUCUAUUUUAUCGAACUAAAGAUGUACACAAUGAUAGAAAUCGAAAUUGCAAAUAAGGAACUUAAAACUUUGUACUUUUGACAUUUGAGAUUGGGCCGUAUUAAGUAAGAAAAAAUUACUAACUUGUGAAAGAUGACAAUUUAAGUACACUUAGGGAAAUUUAUCUCCGACAAUGUGAAUCUUACUUGAAAAGUAAGAUUUCCAAGUAAUCUUUUAUUGAAAAAGGUACUAGAGUAAUUCAACCUUCAGAAUUUAUUCACACUAAUGCAUGUGGCCCCAAAAAUUUAUUGCGCGAAGCGAUUAUGAUUAUUAUAUUAAUUCAAAAUAUAUACAAUUGAUUUACCAUGCAUUGUAUUUUUCUUUAUGAUUCGUUUUACUUUUAGAUUAGGAAGGCCUACAAUAAGUAUGUAAAUGCAAAGAAAAACUGAGUCCAAUAUAUCAGGUAGGGAAAGUUUGUACAUUUAUUCAAGGUUCUUUAGUUGUAAACUAUGUAAUUUGGUUGGUGUUGAUUAAUAAUGAUCUAAAGUUUGUACAUUUAUAGAAGUGGAUGGUCUAAACCGGUGUUGAUUAUGGAUGGCAGAUAUGUGCAGUGCAGUGUUGCUAUCUUCGUCAUUUUUGGUUCAUCACUUGCCAAUGAAAGUCUUUCUUUUUAAGCAUUUGAAUCAACAGUUAAGAGAACAUCCAAUCUAUUGAUUUUAGUUUCUUAGCCGAAUGACGGCUUUUAGUUCAUAAUUUCCAUUGGCGAACCCAAUGCAGCAGCUAAGUGUAAUGAAGUGACAUCAAUGCGGCCUAAAAACAUUUCCAUCUCGGUAGAUUAAUCUAUACAAUUCGCCUUUCCUGUACGAGCAGCUGUGAGGAAGGGGCCAAUUGACAAUAGCAGGAGAAAAUUUGGAGGGGUUUAACCAUCGAAAGCGACUCAUUCAAAAAUUGAAGACUGGUAUGGUCCGUCAAUUACGGUCGACAAGGAAACAAUAUAAAGUAAGAGAAGGUAGACAAUUAUUUUGGUAGUGGUGAAGGUUAAAAGAACUGCUUCUUCCAUGGAUUUUAGAUUUUAAUCAUUCUGUACUAAUUGGAUGAUGCCUUUGAUAUGUUCAUACUUCAUAUUCAAAAGUUUAAACAAACUGGCACCCCGUGGUGUGAACGAGGAAGCCACCUUGAUAUCAAGAACAGAAAAUAAAUAUCAAAAUUAAGUUUUGUUAAUAAAUGAACUUCAUUUAAUUUUAAUUAAAAAAAUACUUUGUUAAUAUUAAUAAGAUUUUGAAAUAUAUUGUCUAAUAUUUUUAAUAAAGAAUAAAUCUUAAAAUCACAUAAAAUUUUAGUUCCAUGUGUAUUGUGUUCUAACCAGAAAUAUGAUAUAAAUAUUAAUAAACAAGGAUAUGUCAUGUCAAAUAAUACAGAAUAAAUUAAGAACAAAACUAAAUGUGAAAGCGUACUUGAAUUCAUUUAAAUAUUGUGGUUUUGAUCUUUAAAAUUAACACAUAAGUGUUUUAGAGAAGGCGAUACUCUCUUUUUUGAAUAAAUCGAUGUUUUUAUUUCUUUAAACUUGAAUAAUUGAAUCAAAAUUAAAAUUUCAAGUAUACAUUUAAACCACAAUCAAAGUUUCAUGUGUAUAAUGGCACCAAAUUAAAGUUCGUGUAUUGAUUUGCAUAUCCAAUCAAUGUUUAUGUACAGUUCUGAGAUUUAUCUCUUUUAAUAAUUUUGAAAUGCAUUUUUAAUAAUUUUAAUUUUUUUAAUUCGAAAAAUAUAGUUUAAGAAAAUCUCAAAUUUUAGGUUUUCUUAAGGAAAGUUCAGAAUUUUACAAAAAAAAAUUAGAAUUUUUCGAUUUUUUAGUAAUUUUAGAGAUCAUAAUGUGUUUUAUUUUUAUUUUGAAUUUUUUAAAAAUAUUAGUUAAAUACAUUUGUCAACCUCUUAAUCCCAAUUGUGGAGUUAAGAAGUUAUAUUAUAUGUGUAUCAAAUAAUUAUCCUUAGCAAAGGGAAGUGAGGAUUAUUAUUUGAUAUAUAGGGGUUCUUUCAACAAAGGAUGAGUGUUCAAUCAAAUCAAGUGAAAAAAAAUUAGAGUUAAUUGAGUUGAUGAGUCAUAUUUUAUCAUCUUAAAUUGAUUUGAUUUUUUUCAAAUCAAGUCGAGUGAAAUAAAUUCAAUUUAAAUCAAGUGAAAUUGUUUGAGUUAUUUUAAAAAAAAUUAAACAUGCCAAAUUGAAAUCUUAUUACAGUACAACUAAUUUUACAUUAAAACACAUAAAAUUGAAACAAUAUAUAUAUUUGAAAAAAAAAUUAAAGCAAAAUAAGAAAAAAAUAAAUAUUCUUUAGUAUGAUAAACUUAUUCAAUCAUCAAUUAUUUUAAUUUUGUAUAUAUAAUAUAUAAAUGUAAAAUGAUGUUAUGUGAAUAGUUUUGUUAAUAAUUUGUAUAUGUAAAAGUGAACACAUAUAUUAUACAUUUCCCUAAUUCACCAGCAAAUCUGCCUUAAUUUUGAUAUGGAUAUACUUAAUACUCGGAUAAUGUUGUGAAUCACAUAUAUUGUUUAAUUUUCUUUUUUGAAGUUUUAAUAUAUUUUAAUGGGUAAGAUAUGUCAUUUUUACUCUUUGAAAUUUUGGAAUUUAGUUCCUAGACUUUUAUUUUUAGGAAUUUAGUCAAUUUACUUUUUAGAUUUUAAAAUCAAAUCCAAUUAUUGACCCUCUUAAAUUUUUUUUGUUAAAUUUAAGUUUAUUAUAACGUUAUUUUUUUUAGUUAUAUCGCUACCAAAUGAGUUUCUUUUCAAAAUGUCACACCAAAAAAAUUUAACAAAAAAAGACAUUUAACAAUAUUAACAAUUGGACCUGAAUUUUGAAAUUUGAAAAGUAAAGAGACUAAAUUCUUAGAAAUAAAAGUACAUGGAUUAAAUUUCAAAAUUUUGAAGAGUAUAGAGACUUAUGGCAUAUUUUAACCUAUUUUUAAAUUGUUUUGAAUAUUUAUCUGCUUGUUUAAUUUUUAUAUUUUUUUGGAUUUUUAAUAAUUUUUGUGAAGUUUUUUAGAAUCAAGAUUAAAUUGAUAUAAUAUGCAAACAUUGAGGGUUAAAUUUAUUAAUUUUUAGAAUUAUGAUUAAUUUGACAGAAUGUGUAAACAUUAAAGGAUGAAUUUGUUAUUAUGUCAAUAAAAAAGUUACGUCAACAUUCUAUUAACAUUUAAUAGAUAAUUAACCAAAAAUAUUACUAUUGAUAACAUUGGUGACAAAACCAAAAAACGUGCUAAUACUUAGUGACUAACAACUCUUGGAUGCAAUGAUACGACUCAUUAUACUCUUAAGAAGAGAACACGAGUUUAAAAAUGAGACACAACAUUAUUAAGAGGGGGAUAAUAACAAACCUUAAACACUUACAGUAAAUAUAUAUCCAGAAUCAUAUGGUGCAUUAAACCAUUCAUUCAUCACUCCUUCAGCUAGCUUUUUGUUUGGUCCAAGAAUUCAUAGUUGGAAAUGUCAUGUAUAAAAUCAACCAUUUUAUUUCAUGUGGACUGGAUACCUUCUUUCUGUGACUUUGCUGCUUGGAAAUUUCCUUGGACCUUCGAAGAAAAUUAACUCCUUAAACUAGAGUUCUGUUCAAAUCAUGUAUAACUUGUGGUCAGAUCGGAAACAUGUGUUUCCGGAAAAUAUAGGUUCUAUUUCUAUUUCUAUGUUGUCUUCUACUUCUUUCUUCUUUGUGUUUGGUUGCAAAUUUCCUUAGUUUUCAGUAAUCUGAAAAUUUACUGCUUAAUUUAUUAAACCUCAAGAGAAAAGCUAUGGAUGAGAGGAUGAUACAGGCUGCCCAAACAGGAGAUAUUAACCUCUUGUAUGAGUUGAUUCUGAAUGAUCCAUAUGUUUUACAGCGUAUUGAUGAUGUGCCUUUUUUUCAUACUCCAGUGCAUGUAGCUGCCUCUGCUGGGCAUAUUGAGUUUAUGAUGGAGAUGAUCAAAUUAAAGCCGACGUUUGCGAGAAAGCUAAACCAAGCUGGGUUUAGCCCCAUGCACUUGGCUCUGCAAAAUGACAGAACUCAUGCAGUGCUUCGACUCCUCAGGUUUGAUGAAGGCCUUGUUCGUGUCAAAGGGAGGGAGGACCUCACUCCUCUGCACCAUGUAGUUCAAACUGGAAAUGUUGAUCUUUUGAUCAAAUUACUUGCGGUUUGUCCUGAGGCUAUUGAAGAUGUGACUGUUCGAGAUCUUGCAGUAAAAAACGACAUGUUUGAAGCAUUUCAAGUCUUGGUGGGGUGGCUUAUAAGGAGCCGCUAUGGAGCUGCACAACGUUGGGAGAAAGAACUGCUUAGUUGGGCGGACAUUGAUGGCAACACUGUGCUGCACAUUGCAGCUAUCAGACACAGACCUCGGGUAUAUGCUAAUUUUCCUAAUCAAGUCAAUUAUUGAUAUGUAUGUAAGUAUGAUAAAACGGUUAUUUAUAUAUGAAUAUUCUAAUUAACAGGUGAUGGAAGUAUUGCUGGAACACUUGCAUCCAUACCAAAUCAAUGCCAAAAAUUUGGAGGGACUGACAGCACUAGAUAUCCAAUCACAAUACCCAUGGAAUGAAAGGCAAGCGGAUAGGACUAUAGAUAUGCUAAGCAAAGCAGGAGGCUUGAGUGGUUCCUCUUCCUCGCUUCCCAAUACCUCCACCUCUUCAUUCCACAUCGAUUCUUUAAAAGAAAAGAUGACAUGGUAUGAAAAAUGGAUAAAAGCAGGUCGAAGAAUGAAGGGUAUGCCACAUGAGAUGCGUAACAUAUUACUCUGCUAAUUAUAACCACCACUUACGAUGCCUCUUUAAACCCUCCAAAUACGCCUGAUGACAGCCCAUUCAAGAACUACCAAUUCUCUUUAAGUCAAGACCAGCCUCUCAAUUCCCACACAUUUUUGCAUAAAACCGACAUCAAUACUGCGCCCAUGCCCAGUCCCUCCGCAAUUGACGUUUUCAUAAAAGAUGAAUGGUCAUCUGAAUACUCCUCGUUUUGGGCUUACAACUCGUUAACCUUUUGGGCAGCAGUUUUUUUAACAGCAAUUCUCCUACCACCUCAUUCAUUCUGUACGUUGGUUGAUACUCCUAGCACUUACCGUGUUUGGGAGAUCUUACAUGCAUUUAGCUGCUGUUUCGACGUGGUCACGGGUACCAUUACCAUAUGCCAGUGAAAAGGCAUACUCAUAUUUUUCUUCAGGCUCCGUUUAUAAUCAAGCAUUCUUAACGUUUCUGCCUGUCCUUAUGGUAUUCCGGGCAAUCUUUUAUGACCCGCAAACAUUACCAAACCAAAUUUCUCCAUGCUACUAUUAUUUGGUAAAGUUCUCUGGCAUUGUAUUCAAGAGAAGGUCACGGCGAGACGAGCCGUUUAUCAUUACGAUAGGUGUCAAGUGGAAGUGCAGUGAUGUAUGCAGCUGAGGCAUCCUAACAGACCGGUAGACUUGAACCUUGUUCCUACAUGACCCGAUCAAUUCGAUCAGGCACUCGCCAUCUAUUUUCAUUGUUCAACUCUUUGACAACACGAAAAAUCCAUUGUUCAACUCUUUGACAACAUGAAAAAACCAAAAGCUCUGCCCUCCCUCUCUAUCUAUCCAUGGGAUGGAAGGGCGGAGGCCUUUGGUGUCCCCUCCAGUCAAGAAUUGGGGCCUCAUAGAGAUAGCAAGCAAAACAGAAAAGAAUCAGAGAAACGAACUAGUAACUAGAAAAUAGAGAAAAGAGCUCAUUUUGUGUAUUGAAUCAGAUCAUCAAUUACAAUGUAGCAAAGAACUUAAGUAAUUAAAUUAGUUACUUAAGUUCUUUGCUACAUUGUAAUUGAUGAUCUGAUUCAAUACACAAAAUGAGCUCUUUUCUCUAUUUUCUAGUUACUAGUUCGUUUCUCUGAUUCUUUUCUGUUUUGCUUGCUAUCUCUGGUUGCCUUCCUUGCAACUGUCGCCGGAGCACUGCCAUUUUCACAUGGUAUCAAAGCAAAGGUUUUUCGACCAGUAGAUCGACGAUUACUCAUUUUUAUGGAUCCACCAUCAAUUCCCAUUGUUGCUUAGGUCAAUCUGUCUUUUACAAAUAACAAAAUCAGUGUUUAUCUUAAUGAUCAAUGUUUAUCAAAAAAAAAAUGGUGGAAAUCCACUUUCAAAAUGAAAAUCACCUAAAAAUUGAAUUUAUAUUUUUUUGAAGUUUGAAAAUAGAAAUAAAUCAUUUGGUUAUAUUGAAUCGUUGAAUAUGAGAAUAUUAAAUAUAUUUUAUUCUAGAUUCUUCUACGUAAAGUCGUCAUGAUUUUAAUGGAAUUAGAAUUGGAUUGAGAAAAUUAUUUAAAUAAAAAAUAUCGGGUUGAAUCGAAUUAUAAAAUAUUGGAUUAAAAGCUCAAAAAGUACUUGGACUUGGACCCAAUAUGGAAUAGUCCCAAAAGCCCUUUAUGUGAAAAGAGGUGGAAGUCUAACCCUAGUAAAAAUAGCUAGGGUUGUCGCCACCUAUAUUCUUAGUUGGACCAGGAGUUCGUUUUACUAGUUGAAAUAAACUUCUAUAAUUCAACAAGAAUUCUACCUUAUUUCCCUAUAAAUAGAUUACAUCAGUAGGGUUAUUUACAAAACUUUCAGAUAUUAUUAUUUUGCCUGAAAAUAGAGAGACUUUUAUUCUCUAAGAAUUAAAUAUAUUUUUUGGAAUAAUGAUUAUAUCGGUUUCUAUUUGAGAAGAGAUUUUCGUUUCCACAAAAAAAAAUAUUUCUAGUUCUGUGUUUGAUUCGAUUUAUUCGAGCCCACACUCAAAGUAGCUCGUGGUACGAGAAUAGCAUAAAAUAUCGUUUGGUUGAAAGUCGGGAACGACAAUAAUCCGUCUAUCCAAAAAUGCAGGUGCGAAUUCAGCCUAAAGUUUAUUACUAUAAAACCAUUUUUGAACCUAAUUUUUUUCAACAAGAAAAUCAUUUUCGAACCUAAUUUUUUUCAACAGUUAGUAUUAGAGCGUCAAGUUGUGCUAUGUUUAUAGUGUAAACCGAUAUCAAAAUUCUCUCUCUUCUUCAUGAUUAAUUAUAUUUGAUAAAAUGUGACAUUCUUGUGAUAAUAUGCAUGCAUGUUUACGGGAAUGUAUGCGGAUGAAUAUAUGAUAUUAUUUUAUUGCUAUGGAUGAUAAAGUAAAUUUGCCAAAGUUGUGAUUCCUAGAAAAUAAUAAUAAUUUAUUAUUAAUUUAGAUUGUGAACUAUCAUCUUCAUGCAAGAUUUAUUUUAUUUUAGAAUAAAAUAUGUGAGUAGGAAACGGAAAUAGGAAUUUCGUAACCUAAAUUUUCCCACCGAAACCCGAGAACUGAGAUAACGCAAAUUCAACCUAGCCAAAACAGCAAUGGCCGGAGGUGGUUCGAUGAAAGUGGUCGGUGGUGAUCCGACGGUGAUCGGCAAUGGUGACGACACAAAAACGAUGGCGGAAAGAUGAUGACAAAAACAUGAACCGCUAAAGCAGCAGAAGUCUGUGGUGACAAAAUUGAAGACUCAAAGUAUGCUUUGGGGUGAAUUUUGUAAUCUUAUUUUUAUUUAUUUUUGGCUUGUUAGAGUUGCGACCCAAAUUCUUUUUAAAAUAAAAUACCAGUGGCAAGAUGAGGGGAUCCACGAGGGCGACUUCUAUUAAAGUCAUGACGACUUUAUCAUACUAGAAUCUAUGAGUAAAUAAAUUUAAAUUGUCUUAUUUCGUAAAAUUGCAAUGACUAAUUGAUUUAAUUCCCACUUGAAACUUCAACUAUUUAAUUAUAACAAAUUAAUUAAUAAUUUAAAUAAAUUAAAUUAAUCAUUAAGUUAUCUUUUGUACCUCAUGAGAAAAUGCAUUCACUUCGAAUAGUGAUACAUGCAAUAUGUUUCUCUAUUUGUUGUUUUCAUUCACUCAACAUAUCAAUUCAAAUGCAAUUUAUAAAUGGUUGUGUUGAGCUAGCAAAGGGACAAUUGAAUAUAUAUAAUUAGGGCUCAAAUAAUUUAAAAUUAAGUUCUAACUCUUCCCUAUUAAUUACAACAUUAUUUAGUCAUAGAGUUAAUCCACUAAAAAUACCAUAACUAAAUUCUCUCUUAUUAUAUACCAUUACGAAAGCAACUGAAUUUAUAUUUGUCUAAUGACCUUGUCAUAUGUGUGUUGCCCUCAUAGGAUAUCAUUUAUCUCAUUGGGUUAAAUCUGUUCAAACAAUAUGAUCAUAUUUUAUCUCAUGAUGACCACCGCAUCUUCCACCAUGAAAAAGCCAAUUACUAAUACAUAGUAAUUAAAUCAUUUUUCCUAGACAAAUGACCCAUGACAACGUUACUUCUCCAUCAACCACGCAAUGUCAAAGAGAAGAUAUCAUUAACCAUUUAUUAGGCUAUGAAUUUCAUUGUUGUAAGUAAACCAAUGUCAUGCAUAAGUGUAAUACCCAAUAUACUGACUUUUGGCUCUAUUACAAAUUGAACUCUGGCUUUCAAUAUAUCAAAGUAUACAAGUUACAUACACAUAGUCAGUUACUUAUUCAGGAUUGAGGUAAGUCAUACUAUGAAUGUCACAAGCAAAUAAAUCCAUAAACAAAUGUAGGAUAAAUUCAACUUGGGUCUUGUCUGAUGUAUUAUCAAUCUAGACAAUCACACCUAUGUCUCUAUGUUUUGGGGAGUCAUACGUUCCAGUACCUAGGAUAAGAUAUUUCCCCAAUUGGACUUGAUAGACGACACAAUAGUCUCUUGAAUAAUUUUGCUCAAUUUUGAUUCUUUAGACCAUAUAGCAUUUAGAUUAUCUACCAAUAUAAGUUGUCUCAUAUCAUGAUCUGACCACAUGAUGCAACUUAAUAUUAGUUAAACAUUAAUUAAUCAGUGAGCCAAUAUUUACUUAUACAUUUUGGUUUUUAUGCAAAAAUCAUUGAGGAUAGAAAAAGGAUAAUAAUGUAAAUGAUGGAAUUUUACUAAAUAAAUUUAUUCAAAAAAUUACAAGCAUAUAUGACAAAAUAACUACACUAAAGACACUAGAUCAUAACGAAAGAAGCACUCUCUAUUUUUACAUUUCAUUUUAGAGUGACUAGCAUAAGCUUAUGGUGGAAAGUGAUAGCCAAAUCAUUUUGAAUCCAAUGUAAACAUGUUAUUUGUUAUGAUAUAUGGAAAAAUCUGACAAAAAUUAUAUAAAAAAAGGAAUGGUAAUAUUAUUAAAAGUGUAACAUUUGAAGUAUAAUGUAAUAGAAAAAAUAUUUUACAAAUAGACAAAAUAUUAAUUUUAGUUGAGAUGUACUUUAAAAAUAUAUAAUAAAAAAUGGAAGAAUUUAAUUCAAUAGUUAUUAUUAUUUUGUUUAUGUUCAAGUAAAAUGAAUUAAAAUCAUUAAAAAUAAGAGUAAAAUAAAAAAAAGGUGAUAUACCUUCUAAUUCUUUGGUAUUAUUGGGAAUAUAAGGUUACCUGCUUGUUAGUUGGAUUUUAUUUUUGGAUUGUAUUUUGUCCAUUUUAUUAAAAAAUGACAAAUUAAUCUUGUUAGAUUAAAGAGCAAAUUAGUACUAUUAAAAGUUGGUUCAUUUACAUUAGCAUGAGAUACACAUGGCACGACGCGUGUAACUGUUUGAUUAUGUCAUCAGUCAUACCAAUUUUUAACGGUAAAAAGAGAAAAAAAUUUACAAAAAGAAAUUAUUUCCUUUUUGAUCCAACCUAAAAGAAUUAAACAAUUACAUUGUUUUUAAAUAAUAGUUUAAGAACAUAUAACAAUUACAUUGUUCUAAGCAUUGUAUCAAUAAAAAAAGAAAUCAAAUAAUUAAUUGCCAGCUCAUCAAUAUAUAUAUUUCAGAAUGCCUAAAUGGACAAAUAUAAAGUUUUGAAGGGUGAAAUUUUUAUAAUUUGAAAAAUAAAAAACAAAGUUAAAAUAUACUAGCGGUUUGAGAAUUAGGUUAUUGCAUGGGAACCAUCUAUUGUAAGAAUGUUAUAUGGUCUAAGAGGGCAAAUGAUUCUGCUCAUUUUAUAAAAUAUACAUCAUGUUUUUUUUUCCUUAUGGAGUCUUCAUUUUUCUUUUAUUGGGAAUUAUCCAUAUUUAUGGAAAAUCAAAGAUAUGGGUAUCAAAUAAUAGAAAGUCAAAGAUAUGGAUAUCAAAUAUUGGAAAGUCAAAGAUAUGGGUAUCGAGAUAUUGGCAUAAUAAAAUCUGAGAUAUUUGCAAUAUAUGGUCCCUAAUUGUAAAGUGACUUUGCAAGUUGAUCCCUGAACCUCAACUAUAAAUAAGCAUGACCAUCUCUCAUUCUGUAUCUCAAACUUGCCAUUCUCUACUUAAGGCAUUGUUUUUUCUCUCUCUCUUUGUAAAUUCUCACUUGUAUUUUGGAGUGAAAUAUAUUUGGUAGUGGCCGAGGACGUAGGCAAAAUUUGCUGAACCUCGUUAAAUUAUUGUGUUCUUUAUUGUAUUAUUCUGCAUGAAUUGUGUGUGUGAUUGUAGUGAUUUAUUGUGCUAUUAAAUUAAGAUUGAGGGAUAUUCUGGCUAGGAAAGACCUGGUACUUAAGAGAUCCUUGUGAUCCACCUCUCUUUCCAGGGAAUUGAACUUAGUGUGAUUUUUUAGUACAAUAAUUUUACUCUUUUACACGCUUCCGCACAACAAUUGGUAUCAGAGCUAGAUUCAUACUUGGGGAAUACGAUCGUUCACGGCACUGUUCACGUACUGUAGUUGGGAUUGAGGAGAAAAAAUGGAAAAGGCAUCGUCAUCAACAAAGACUACUGUGACCAAUGCGAAAUUUGAAGUAGAGAAAUUUGAUGGUACCAAUAAUUUUUGUAUGUGGCAAUGUGAGAUCCUGGAUGUCUUAUGUCAGCAAGAGCUGGAUAUAGCCCUUGAAGAAAAACCUGACAAGAUCGAUGACAAGGAGUGGGCCAAGAUCAAUAGACAGGCAUGUGGAAUAAUUCGCCUAUGUUUGGCCAAAGAGCAGAAGUACUCUGUCAUGGAGACAUCAGGGAAGAAGUUGUGGGAUACACUGGAAGAAAGUUUCUAACAAAAAUUCUUGAAAAUAGGCUUUAUAUGAAAAAGAAACUUUAUCGGUUCACGUAUGCACCCGAUAUGUCGAUGAAUGACCAUGUGAACUCAUUCAAUAAAAUUUUAGCAGACUUGCUAAAUUUGGAUGAGAAAUUUGAAGAUGAAGACAAGGCAUUACUGUUGUUGAAUUCUCUUCCUGAUGAAUAUGAUCAUCUUACCACCACAUUGCUUCAUGGGAAGGAUACAAUCACAUUUGAUGCAGUCUAUAGUGCGUUGUAUAGAUCUGAGACUCGAAAGAAAGAUAAAAAAGAUCACAAAGAUACAACUACAGAAGUCUUAACAGUAAGAGGUCGUUCACGCAGCAACAAAUCUGGUAGAAGGAGUAAGUCCAAAGGGAGACCUGCCAAAGAUGAAUGUGCUUUUUGUCGUGAGAAAGGGGCAUUGGAAAAAGAAUUGUCCUAAGUUACAAAAAGGUAAAGCUAUUUCUGAUACAUGUGUAGCGGAGCAUGAUGAGGAAUCAGACUUUAGCUUGGUUGGCAUGGCAAUGGCAUGUCAUACAGAUGAGUGGAUUUUGGAUUCAGGAUGUACUUACCAUAUGUGUCCUAAUAAGGACUGGUUUUCUAGUCUUGAAGAACUAGAAGGUGGAGUUGUUUUUAUGGGCAAUGAUAAUGCUUGUAAGACAAUGGGAGUAGGUACAAUCCAAUUGAGGAAUCACGACGGCUCAAUUCAAGUCUUGACAGAUGUUCGCUACAUACCUAGCUUGAAGAAAAAUCUUAUCUCAUUAGGGGUCCUAGAAUCUAAAGGGCUCACAAUCACUUUGAGAGAUGGAUUACUAAAGGUAGUAGCUGGGGUAUUGACGGUGAUGAAAGGCACAAGAAGGAAUAAUAUGUACUAUUUAAAUGGAAGUACAGUUAUUGGAUCAACAUCAACAGCUUCUACGAAAGAUGCAGAUUCAGAGGCUACCAGGUUAUGGCAUAUGCGAUUGGGACAUGCUGGUGAAAAAGCUUUGCAGAGUUUGGCGAAGCAAGGCUUGUUGAAAGGUGCAAAUUCUUGCAAAUUGGAAUUCUGUGAACAUUGUCUUCUGGGCAAGCAGACGAGGAUAAAAUUUGGUUAGCAAUUCACAAUACAAAAGGAAUUCUGGAGUACGUUCACAGUGAUGUGUGGGGACCUACUAAAGUGGCUUCUUUGGGAGGUAUGCACUAUUUUGUUACUUUUGUUGAUGAUUAUUCAAGAAAAGUAUGGGUGUAUCUAAUGAAAAGGAAAAAUGAAGUUUUGGAUGUAUUUCUGAAAUGGAAGAAUAUGGUGGAGACCCAGACUGGUCGAAAAGUCAAACGACUUCGAUCAGACAAUGGUAUUGAGUACAAGAAUGAUCCAUUUCUACAAGUAUGUCACGAUGAAGGCAUUGUAUGACACUUCACUGUUCGAGAUACACCACAACAGAAUGGGGUGGCAGAACGUAUGAAUCGGACUAUACUGGAGAAAGUUCGAUGCAUGUUGUCCAAUGCUGGAUUGGGCAAAGAAUUUUGGGCUGAGGCAGUUACAUAUGCGUGCCAUCUAAUUAAUCAGUUGCCAUCAGCUGUAAUAAAUAGAAAAACUCCUAUGGAGAGGUGGGGUGGUAAACCUGCUACUGAUUAUGAUUCUUUACAUGUUUUUGGUUCCACUGCAUAUUAUCAUGUAAAAGAAUCUAAGUUAGACCCAAGAGCAAAGAAAGCAUUAUUCAUGGGUAUAACUGGUGGAGUAAAAGGAUACCGUCUCUGGUGUCCUGAUACAAGGAAAAUUAUUUUCAGUAGAGAUGUGACUUUUGAUGAAUCAACCAUGAUGAAGAACAAUGAUUCACAAAAGGAUAACACAACCAGUGGCACUUUGCAGCAGGUGGAGCUUGAAAAGGUUAAUGAUGAUCCAGCUAAUAUUGAAGGAACAAAUGAUGAAGAAGUUUCGACCCAAGAACUUCUACAGCAACAUGAUUCAAUUGCAUAUAAAAGGCCAAGAAGAGAGAUUUGUAUGCCUGCUCGCUUUAAUGAUAUGGUGGCCUAUGCACUUCCAAUUACAGAUGAUGAUGUUCCUUCUACUUACACAGAAGCAAGAAGUAACCCUGAUGGUGUAAAGUGGAAGCAAGCUAUGAAUGAAGAAAUGCAGUCUCUUCAUAAAAAUAGGACUUGGGAGUUGGUGACACUACCCAAAGGAAAGAAGGCAAUUGGAUGCAAAUGGGUAUAUUCAAAUAAGGAAAGAUUUCCUGAUAAAAAUGAAGUUCGAUACAAGGCUAGAUUGGUAGUAAAGGGUUACGCUCAGAAAGAAGGAAUAGACUACAAUGAAGUAUUUUCUCCAGUUGUGAAGCAUUCGUCUAUUCAGAUUUUGCUAGCCUUGGUUGCGUAAUAUGAUCUUGAACUAGUUCAGCUCGAUGUGAAGACCACAUUUUUACACGGUGAUUUGGAAGAGGAAAUCUAUAUGACUCAGUCAGAUGGAUUCAAGGUUACUGAUAAAAAAAUUGGGUUUGCAAACUGACAAAGUCGCUUUAUGGAUUGAAACAAUCUUCGAGGCAGUGGUACAAACGAUUUGAUCAGUUCAUGAAAGGGCAAAGGUAUACAAGAAGUAAAUUUGAUCAUUGCGUGUAUUUUUAGAAGCUACAAGAAGGAUUUUUCGUAUACUUGCUCUUAUAUGUUGAUGAUAUGUUGAUAGCAUCUAAGAGUAAAGUUGAAAUUGAGAGAUUGAAGACUCAACUCAACCUUGAGUUUGAGAUGAAAGAUCUAGGUGAAGCUAAGAAGAUCCUUGGUAUGGAAAUAUGUAGGGAUAGAGCUCAUGACAGAGUUAGUUUGUCUCAGAAGCAAUAUUUAAAGAAGAUACUACAGAAGUUUGGCAUGAACGAGCAGACUAAAGUUGUAAGUACCCCGUUGGCUUCUCAUUUCAAGCUUUCUGCACAACUAUCUCCUUCGACAAAUAUGGAACAAGAAUACAUGUUACAAGUUCCGUAUUCUAAUGCAGUAGGUAACUUGAUGUAUGCAAUUGUGUGUACAAGACCCGACAUUUCACAGGCAGUUAGUAUAGUGAGCAGGUAUAUGCAUAAUCCUGGAAAAGGACAUUGGCAAGCUGUGAAAUGGAUUCUACGGUAUAUUCAUAAGACCAUGGAUAUUGGAUUACUGUUCAAACAGGAUACUACACUUGGUAAAGGUAUUGUUGGGUACGUUGAUUCUGAUUAUGCCGGUGAUUUGGACAAACGAAGAUCAACCAUUGGUUAUGUGUUUACUCUUGCUGGAGGACCAAUAAGUUGGAAGUCUACACUGCAGUCUACAGUUGUGUUGUCAACCACAGAAGCUGAAUACAUGGCUGUAACAGAGGUUGUAAAGGAAGCUAUUUAGUUACAAGGUAUGGUUAAAACCUUGGGUUGGUUCAGGAGCAUAUUAAUGUGUAUUGUGAUAGUCAAAGUGCUAUUCAUUUAGCAAAGAAUCAAGUCUAUCAGGCACGUACAAAGCAUAUCGACGUACGUUUCCAUUUUGUGCGGGAAAUUAUUGAUAAGGGGAAAAUUCACCUUCAGAAGAUUAAGACUGCAGAUAAUCCUGCAGAUAUGAUGACCAAGGUGGUAACAACAAUCAAGUUCGAACAUUGUUUGAACUUGAUCAAUAUUCUGCAUGUUUAAUAGUUGAAGAAUCCACUAUCAAGUGUUGUUGACAAAGGCAGAGAGAAUUGUGUGAAGAUAAGAUUACUCGAAUCAAAUCUUCAAGGUGGAGAUUAUUGGGAAUUAUCCAUAUUUAUGGAAAAUCAAAGAUAUGGGUAUCAAAUAAUAGAAAUUCAAAGAUAUGGGUAUCAAAUAUUGGAAAGUCAAAGAUAUGGGUAUCGAGAUAUUGGCAUAAUAAAAUUUGAGAUAUUUGCAAUAUAUGGUCUCUAAUUGUAAAGUGACUUUGCAAGUUGAUCCCUGAACCUCAACUAUAAAUAAGCAUGACCAUCUCUCAUUCUGUAUCUCAAACUUGCCAUUCUUUACUUAAGGCAUUGUUUUCUCUCUCUCUCUUUGUAAAUUCUCACUUGUAUUUUGGAGUGAAAUAUAUUUGGUAGUGGCCGAGGACGUAGGCAAAAUUUGCUGAACCUCGUUAAAUUAUUGUGUUCUUUAUUGUAUUAUUCUGCAUGAAUUGUGUGUGUGAUUGUAGUGGUUUAUUGUGCUAUUAAAUUACGAUUGAGGGAUAUUCUGGCUAAGGAAGACCUGGUACUUAAGCGAUCCUUGUGAUCCACCUCUCUUUCCUGGGAAUUGAACUUAGUGUGAUUUUUUAGUACAAAAAUUUUACUCUUUUACACGCUUCCGCACAACAUCUUUAAUGAUAAAAGCUUAAAGAAUAAUCUUUAAAAUUUGGUUGUUGGUAGCUUUAUUUGGGUAGAAUUUGAGAUUUAGUUCAUAUAUUUUAAAUGUUAAAAUUUUAAUUUUUUUUACUUUUUCAAUUUAAUAUUGUAAAAUAAAACCAUAAAAAAUUGUGUACAAAUAGUAUUGAAUUUACAUAAAAAUAUAUAAAAAAUGCAGGAUAAAUUUGAAUAAUAAUACAUGAACACUUAAAAUGAUAAUAUAUGAAAAAAAACUUAAGAUAAUAAUAUACGAUAAAUUUAAACAAUAUUAAUAAUGAAUUUAAAAUAAUAUUAAGCAUAAAUAUUAAAAUAAGGUUAGAUUUAAAAAUAUAUAAAAAUAAUGGAAUAAUAAAUACUUAAAUAAAUUAGAAAAAUAAGCAAAUUAAAUCAAGCUAAUAAGGAUUAAAUUGGAUUUAAAACAAAAUUAGAAGGUAAAAACGUAAAUAAAAUAAAAUAAAGGACCCAAUUGAAAAGCGCGAAUAACUCAAAGGGACCAAAUGGGGAAAUAUCCCCGCCUUUUGAAAUGCAUCGUUUCACCAGGACCAAAUCAGAAACCAAAUAAAAUUUAAAGUAUCAAUUGAAGAAAAUAAAAAAAUUGAAUUAAAAUAAUAAAAAAUACGGAGGGGGCAAAUGCAUAAAUAUCCUUACCAAGACCAGAACAGGCAGAUCUAGCUGCCUCUGGGUCGAGUCAUCGGGUAUAGUCAAUACGGCACCGUUUUGGAGCCAUUGAAACAGACUUUAAAUGGUGUCGUUGCAUGGCCUUUAUAAAACAAAAAAAAAGAAAAAUAAACAAGUUUUUAGCCAUUUCGAAUCAGAUAAAAACCUUAGCCACACGCCGUUUAGAAGCCUGGCCAUUCAAAGGCCAAUCGAUCCCUGUCUGAACUUCGAUUGCGACAGAGUGAGCAAGGAUUCGACACCACCAAGUAAUUUUCUCACCUUAAAUUGUUUUUUUCUUUUUUUACACAUGAUGAGUAAACAAAUAGAUGAGUCUAGAACAGAAAAGAAAAACAACGAAAAGAAAAAAAAAGGUUUCAAAUCACCUUUAGAAAAUUCUGAUUCUUUGAUUUUUCGUCCCCUUUUAUAGAUUUGUAAUUGGCUUUUUAUAGCCGAAACGAAAAAAAGAAAAUAUGUAAAAAAGAAAUCUAUUAUGUUAUCUAGCUAUUUUCAUUUGCUGGCAUAUUGUUGCUCGCUUUUUACUGUUAUUCGUUUCUAUUUCAGGUGUACGAAGGAGCGAUGACGUGGAGGUGCAACACGCGUGGAGGCCUGGUUCCCAGCUGCGGCGUGGACUGUUCCAAAAACCCUAGGGGUUUCUGGAGAUUUCAAAUUGGGCCACUUCAAAUCGGGCUAGGGUUUAAUUAAGUCUAGGAUUGUAUUAGGUCUAGGAUUGGGUUAGAUUUUGGGUUUAGGCCUCAAUCCGAAUUUGGCCUAUUGUAACUGAACUUUUGGACUUAUUAAUGGUUAUUUUGGGUAUUGGGCUAUUAGGGUUUGUUGGGUUUGGGUUUUAGAUAUUUGGGCUGAUUUGUGUUUGUUUAUUUUGGGUUGUUUGUGUAAUUCUGGACUUUUUAUUUUAUUGGACUUUUAUUUUUUGAUUUGGUUUUUUUUGUGUGGGCUCGAGCAGAUUGGGCCUGCUACAAUAUUGAUGCAAAACUUUGUCACUAAAGUGCAAAUUGUAACAAUAGUUAAGUAGUCUUUUGUUCGAAUAACAUUAGAAGCACAUCAAAGUCAAAGCACAUAGACUUUAAGUUCAUUGUUGUUAAAAUAAAAGUUUAGGGUGGUUAGAUGUCUAUAAAGUAUAUUGAGACAAACUCCAUGGUUGUGGAUUCGCUUAUUAAGGGACUACCACCCAAAGCUUUUUUCCUGAGCACACUGUUGAUAUGUGUGUAAUGUCAUUCAAGGAUAUUUGAUUUUAGUAGGAGUUUGUACUUUUAAACGUUUUUAUGUUAUAAAUACAUUUUCAAUUAUUUUAGUUUACAAAUAUUAAGUUUUUUUUUUUUGUAGAAAGAAAGUUUAUUUGGUAAAGUUUGAUCUCACUAAGAUUAAUGUGGACCGGUUAGAAUAUGCAUGUUUGAAUCAUAUUACAUGUAAUUUUCAUGUUACACAUCCAUACUUAAUCUAUGUCAUUUGGUUGUGCUAAUAUAUGUGAUUAAGGCUGGAUUUAGUUAUGAUAUAUGUAACAAAGUUGCAUUCUUUCUAUGUUAACAUAAUUAAUGGACAGAUUGUUCGAAAUACCUUUUAGAUACGAUAGUAAAAUUUUGAGCUCAUAAAGUUAUAUAAUGACAUGUAAUUAUAAGGUAAUCGGUAUAUAUAUAUGUCAUCCAAGUGGUAUAUAUGGACAUCACAUAUAUAAUAAGCAUGUUACAUGUUAUUAUUUACUAUCAUAAAAGAUUAACUCAAAUUAAAAGUGAUCUAAUUUGGUUAAGAUUUAUUGGAUUUUAGUUAUUAAAUAAAAUAUAGGUCAAUAAUAUGUGUAGAUACUCUAGUAACUAAUUUCUAAUUUAUGAUGGGCUGAUUAGAAAUUAGGUUAAUGUGAAAAUGUUAUAUAUUAGGAUUUUGGUCUCCAAGUUAUGCAUAUGUAACUUUUCUAAUAUCCCAUCUUGAGAAAAGAGAGAGUCACAUUCUUUAGAUUACUUGUGAGCUAAUUUGGAAGAUCAAAACCUUAAAAUUCGUAGAUUUCAAGAAAUCGGUAAAUUCAAAUACGCUUCUGCAUUUAGUUUUGUUCUUAAUUAUUUGACAUGAUAGAUUCUGGUUUAUUAAGUUUUGUAAAAGAGUUUUACGGUUUUAAUAGGAUAAUUACGAAUCCCAAAUAUAAACUGUAAAACGGACAUGAAGAAUAUAAAAGAAAUAUUACAAGAAUUUUGAAAGAGAAAAUUAAAUUGAAAAUUUUAAUGUUAUUUUUAUCUUUCAUAAUUAUUUUUAUUUAUAUUUUAUUUACAAGAACAUUUUAUUAAGAGUUUAUUAGGAUUAAGUUUAUUUUUACUUUUAUUAAAUAAAUGUUAGACUAAAAAUAAACUUUUUUUUCCACUGUUGGUAUAAUGGAUAGUAGGCUAGGUUGUCCUUUUUUAUUUGUUUAGGCACCCGUGUACGAGAAUAAUUUAUAUUAGAAUAGUCCUAAAGGUUAAAGAUUUUAAUAUUAAUAAAAUUUUGUCACAUCAUCAAAUUUUAAAAAUAUAAAAUUAUUAUUAUACACUCGUUCAUAUUAAAUUUACUUUUUAACUUUCGUUCUUUUUAAACAUAAAUAAUUAAAAUAAAAAUAGAAAAAUAGAAUAUUUAAAAUUUAUACAAUCCUUAAAGAUUUAAUCCAAUAUUUUUUUUUGUUUUAAAAAAUGUAUAAUAUGAAAUAGAAAAAAAAAUUAAAAUGGAAAAACUCCAUUGCCUAUAAACUAAUUUUUAAAAAAAAAUUGGUUACAAAAAUUAAAAAUAUUAACUUCUGAAAAAAAACUAAAAAUGAUUAAAAUUUAUAAAAGAAGAAAAGAUGUUUAUUUAUAAUUUAAAAAAAUUAAUUAUUUUAAGUAAUUUAAUUAAAGUUAAAUUAAGUUAAAGAAGAAAGGAGAAAUGGAUAAGUAUAUAAUAAUACAUAAUUUGUUAAAUAUAUAAAGAAAUUUAUUUGAUUUAGUACCUAAAUAUUAAUAUUCGAAACUCUCGAUUUUUCACAAUUUAUUCAAUCAAAUUUAGAUCCAACUUUAAUUAUAUUACAAAGACAUUCUAUUUUAUUAUUUUAUUAACGGGUGAAAAAACUUAGUUCAACCCAUAAACAUUGACCACAAAGGGAAAUUUGAAACACUUACCACCAAUCCCCUAUCAGAAAGUCUUUCCCACAUUCAACUAGAAAUCAGAGCUCACCAAAAUGUUUAUUCUUUUCAAUCUGAACCGACUCUACAAUCACUUAUUGCUCAUGGUCUUCAGCCUAUAAACCCAGAAGCAUUAUUAACUUCUAAAUCCAAAACACUAAUAUCAGCAUCCAACCCUACAAUGGUAGUCUUAUUGACUCAUUUAAACAAGUUUCCUUUGUCAAUCUAUAUUCCAUAUUGGGUAAUCUCCAAUAUUAAUUCAGAAUUUAGGAUAGCUGGAACAAGAAUAACAGCAAAGAUGCAAAGCGAAACGACUUGUAGGAGGAGGAAGAACCUUCUUUUGGGUACAAACCUGUAUAGCAUAUAAUAGGAUGUCCUGUAUAAUGUCACGAGAGCUAGUACCGUUGCCAAGCAGUAAUUAGUAGUGCUGAGUUUAGAAUAGGAAACGGAUCCAGGAGUCGAAAGAUAGAAAAAAUACUGAAGUGCGAGUGUCCGUAUGGAAACAGCAACCAAAAGCAUGUAACAGGUCCCAAACAAGGAAAGUGUUAUGAGAAUAAACAAGGACAUUGAACGGCUGGGUAGGAGAUACGCUGUUAAAACAGUUGUUGCCCAAAAGGUUAAAGUGUUGUAUAACCAAAACAUUGUGGACACGUCUAGUAUAUUUUCUAUUUUUUUUUCUUCAGCGGGUGGAGGACUUGGUACGGGUCCAGUGCUGGUUGAACCUAAAGAUAUGUCAUACGUGAGAUGGAAAUUCUGGGAAUUUGAAAUGGUAUCAGGCUGCUUUGGAGGGUUCAAAGUGGCAGUGUAUGUGGCUGUUAUAAUUAGCACUGUGACUACUAAAAAUGUGUUACGCGUCUCAUGUGGGAUUCCCUUCUUUCCACGACUUGCUAUUGUUGCAAUUUUUUGAAGAACUGACACCUUUCCUUUUAAAGAUUCGAUGGGGAUUGAAGAGAUGGAGGCUUUGGGAAGCGAGGAAGAGGAACCACGCAAACCUCCUGCUUUGCUUAUCAUAUCUUUAAUGGACUCCUUAUAGUCCACUCUCCCUUCAUCCAAUGGGUAUUGUGAUGGGAUAUCAAGUGCAGUCAAUCCCUCCGCAUUUUUGGCAUUGAUAUGGUCUCCACACAAGCGUUUCAGCAGUACUUUUACCACCUGUUAAUUAGAAUAUUCAUACAAGUAACCUUUGAGUAUAUAUAUACAUAAAUAAUUUUACUAGCAAAAUUAUCAUACCUGAGGUCUGUUUCUGAUAGUAGCAACAUGUAAAACAGUGUUGCCAUCAAUGUCUGCCCAACUCAGUAGUUCUUUCUCCCAACGGUUGGCAGCUUUAUGGCGGCUCCUUAUAAGCCACCCCACCAAGACUUGGAAAGCUUCAAACCUGUCAUUUUUUACGGCAAGAUGGAAAACCGUCUCAUCUCGAACAGUCACAUCUUCAAUAGCCUCGGGGCAAACCUCAAGGAACUUGAUCAAAAAAUCAACAUUUCCAUUUUGAACCACAUGAUGCAAAGGAGUGAAGCCCUCCCGCCCUUUGACACGAACAAGGCCUUCAUCAAACCUGAGGAGUCGAAGCACUGCUAGAGUUUUUUGAUUUUGCAGAGCCAAGUGCAUGGGGCUAAACCCAGCUUGGUUUAGCUUUCUUGCAAACGAUGGCUUUAAGUUGAUCAUCUCCAUCAUAAAAUCAAUAUGCCCUGCAGAAGCUGCUACAUGCAAAGGAGUAUGGAAAAAAGGUACAUCAUCGAUACGCUGUAAAACAUAUGGAUCAUUCAGAAUUAACUCAUACAAGAUGUUUAUGUCUCCUGUUUGUGCAGCACCUAUCAUCCUCUCAUCCAUAGCAAGGUGCGGAAAUUUGCAGAAUAUAGAAAUGGAGUGAAGAAAAAACGCUUUAGCAGAGGAUAUGAUUAUGUUAAGGAUAUAAUGAAGUGUUUGAUUAUUUUUUCCAGAUGAAGUGUUAGACAUUUUAUAGCACUUAAUUAUUUUGGAUUUAUAUGUGAUGUCAGCCUCUACACGUAUAUACGUGAAUGUCACCUAUUAGAAAGAAAUAGUAAUUAAAUUCAUAUUUAAUAUACAUUUUUAAUCUAAUUUUUUUAAUUCAAUUUAAUUUUAGUUAAAACGUUUAAAAACAUUUAUUUAAUCUAAUUUCUUUAAUAUAUUAAAUAAAAAAGAAAUAUUAAAUAAAUUGGAUUAGAGAAUAUAUUGAAUAUGGAUGAAUACUGUAUCAUACUAAUUUUAUGUCUCUAAAAAUUUUAUAUAUUAUUUAGUGGUUUAAUUUUUUAAGAACAUUUGAUAUAAUUCAUAAAGAAAACAAAUAAUAAUUAAUAAUAAAUUUUUUAAUAAAAAAGGUGUGAAAAAUGGUAAGUAGAUAAUAGCUAUUAUCGCUUACAACAUGUUUGGAUUAAAAAGAAGAAAAAAGAAGGGAAAAUUAAGUAAAUUGAGGGAAAGAAAAUUCGGUUUCUUUGUUUAAGUAAAGAAAAUUAAGUAAAUUUUUUAUCGUAUCAUUAGAUUUUAUAUUUUAGAUUAUUAUCUCUUCUUCUUCUUUUUAACUUGUAACAAUCUUAUUUUUAUUUUCUAUUUUUUUAGGUUACUAGAAAUAUUUAAUUUUAAAUUUGUUUGAUAUAUAUUUUUAAAAAUUUUAACAAUAUUUUUUUAUUAACUAUUUUGUUAAAUUAUUAGGAAUCCUUCAUUUAUAAUUUGGUUAAGAUUUUUUUUUUAGUUUGAUCAAAUAAGCUUAUUAAAAAAAGAAUAUACCAAUAUAUUAUUGGUUAACAUUUUAAUUAUUAUUUUAUAUAGAAUAUUGAUAUUUUUCUAUAAAUUUAAUUUGCUGUGAUUUAAUUUUGUUAUUAUAUAUUAUUUAUGAACUGUUAAAAUUAAAAAAUAAAAGUAAAAUAAUUCAUUUUCUUUCCUUUUCACAGUUUAGCAAAACAAGUCCACAGGCUCGUCUCAUUCAAAAAAAGUAAAUUAUAUAUAUAUAUAAGGGCUAGUUUUAACAAAUGAAAAAUAUAGAAAAACUAUAUUAAAAGAAAUGGGGAAGGGAAAAGAACAGAGGGAGAAACAGAAGAGAAUGAAAAAUAAAGAAAAGUUAAAAUAACAUAAAAAAAAUUAAGGGUGGGUUUGGAUGGGCGAUUGGGUGCGGUGCGGUGCGUUUAGCUUAUUUUUUGUCUCACACUACAGUGUCGCUACAGUAUCUAAUCUCACCGCCACCGCUGUUUUUACACUAACUGCAGGUAAACGCACCGCCCAUCCAAACCCACCCUAAAUUGAAUUGCUCAAAACGAAAAAAUUAUAGGAAUCGGUUGUAUAAAUCACCCUAAAAUUUUUGUUUGAAAGAUGAUUUAACAUGUCACAUCAGUUUAUCGUUACACCAUUAACGGAAAUUAACAGCUCAGUGACUAAAAUGUUACAACGUGAUAACGUAAAUGACUAAAAUGUAACGUUUCAAACAUAAGUGACUAAAAUGUAAGCAAAAGUGACUAUUUUAAUAAUUUACCCUUGCAUUUAUCCAAACAUACGCUUAACGUAAACAUUUUUUUAAUUAUUUUUAUUUUAUUUUAUUUUUUACCAUUAUCCGUUAUCCUUAUUUUUAAAAAGUAUAAUUAAUAAAUAGUAUAAUUAUUUUUUAAAAUUAAUUUUAAGUAAUACACCAAAUAGAUUUUAUAACUUAAAUUUAAUAUUUAAUUUUAUAAUUUUUUUUUAUCAAACAACGUUUACUCCUAAGUAAAUAAAUAAAUAAAGGCCUUGUGUAAUUAAGAAAGUUGAGAAAGAGUUAGUCCUCACAUUGGCUAAAAUAACGGAGGAAAGAGAAAAAUUGGCCAAUAAUGGGGAGGCAAUGUCAAUGAGCAUACCCCACACAUACUAUUUACUGUCAAUGGUGAUGGCUGAAUUGGCUACUAUACAUGGAUUUUGUUUUCCUUUUCUUUUUUGUUCUUGUCCUGUAUUAUUUGCAUUUGUGAUCCCAAACUAUGUAAAAUUCCAGUCACUAUGUGAUCACAUUUUAAAAAAAAAAUUAUUUAUUAUCGAUUGAGUAUCAGCUUGAUUGGUAUAAAUAUUAUUGUUAAUGUAUAAGAACAUAAAUUUGAGUGUGUUAAAGCGCAUUAUCCUCUUAUUUAUAGAUUGAGAAGUGGUUAUUGGUAGUUCUAGACAUUGUGUAGAAAAGAAUACAUAUAAUCAGAAUCUAUAUUAAAAUUUUUCAAAAAAAUAUAUUUAUUACACAUGAAUUAAAAGAAAUCUAUUUAUGGGUAGUUCAAGAUUGUUGAAGCUAUAAAAUAAAAAUUCAAUUCGAAAAUAUAAAUCUCUUUUGUUUAACAAAAUAUUAAUAAUUAGUUGAGUUAAUAUUAUGAGUCAAUCGAACACCAAUUUAAUUAAGAAAUUACGAAAAUAUCGUUCCAUAAUUAAAAUAAAUUAUAUUAUUUGAGGAUAUUUUAAUAUUUUUUAUGUAAAAAAAAAUCAAUAAAAAUAUGAAUAUGAUGGGAUUUGAAAUAAAAUCUAGAAUUUACCACUCAACCAAAAUUUUAUUUUAUUAUAUUUUAUACAUUUUUAUUUUAAUAAGCACACUUUAUUAUCUCCGUCAGUUAUAUAUAUAUUAAUAAAUUUAUUGAUUGAGUUGAUAUCACAAGUCAACUCAAUACUAACCGACAAUUGAAGACAACACUUUGAUAGACAGUUGUAGUGCAUUUAAUUAAUAUUUUUAUUUUGAUGUAUUUAUGUGUUUAAAUUUUAUUUUUGCUCCCAAAUUAAUUUAAUUUUUUAUUUUAAUGUCAUACAUAUUUUAUAUAUUCUUAUGAUUAAUUAGCUUCAAACCAUAUGUUUUAUUAUUUAUUUUAUUUUUUUAAGCAUAUAUCUGUAUUCCAAAUCUAAACGCAAUUGCUUAUGUUAGUCAAUGUUACAAAUUGAGAAAUUUAUUAAAACUAUUGAAAUCUUCACAUCUAACCUGGUUUUAUCAUGUUUGGAAGACGCUAUUGAUCUUCUUCAAGUGGUUUUUUCACAAAUAUACUAUUCAUAUAUAUAAAAUAUGAUGAGUAAUAAUGUAUAGUGACGUGUCCAAACACUAAUUGAUGAAAAAAGUGAGUAAUAUUUUAUUACAACAUGAUGCCUUUUCAUAGUAUAAAAUGACUAUGCGAAUGAGGGCUUCCUACCAUUACCAGAAAGCUGAGGCUGUAGGAAUGAUGGCUUUUGCAAGUUGUGAUUUUAGGAUUUUGUGUUUGAUUAUUGUUUAGUUAUGCUAAAAUGUCACAUAUGGGUACUGUUUUAAGUUAUGUGUGAAUUCUAAGUUGAAUAUGUAGCCGCCUAAAAUAUUUAGGAGCGCUAAUUGAGAUCAUUACGAAAGAAAAUUGUAUUCUAACGGUGUAUGAAAAUUUGGACAAAAAUCUCAACUUUUUAUUUUUUUUUAAAUUUUAUUUUUGCUCCCAAAUUAAUUUCAUUUUUUAUUGUUGUACAUAUUUUAUAUAUUCUUAUGAUUAAUUAGCUUCAAGCCAUAUGUUUUAUUAUUUAUUUUAUUUUUUUAAGCAUACAUCUGUAUUCCAAAUCUAAACACAAUUGAUUAUGUUAAUUAAGGUUACAAAUUGAGAAAUUUAUUAACACUAUUGAAAUCUUCACAUCUAACCUGCUUUUAUCAUGUUGGGUAGAUGCUAUUGAUCUUCUUCAAGUGGUCUUUCACGAGUAUACUAUUCAUAUAUAUAAAAUAUGAUGAGUAAUAAUGUAUAGUGACUGUCCAAACACUAAUUGAUGAAAAAAGUGAGUAAUAUUUUAUUACAACAUGAUGCCUUUUCAUAGUAUAAAAUGAUUAUGCGAAUGAGGGCUUCCUAACGAUGGCUUUUGCAAGUUGUGAUUUUAGGAUUUUGAUUGUUUGAUUAUUGUUUAAUUAUGCUAAAAUGUCAUAUAUUUGUGAGCCCUACACUCACAUCAAAUUUAGAUAUGACAAACAUGAUUUAAAACAAAACCAUAUUAUAUUACUAGCUGUGAGCAAUUUAAAGAAAUUGAAUUUCUUUUUUACAAUUUUAAGUUAAUCAAUUAUUUGAUUUUUUAAAAUUAACUUGAAUGAGUGAUUUUGUUUUUCAAGUUUAAGUCAAGUUGAAUUUUACAACUCAAAUAUAAAUAUCUCUUGGGUCACUGAUAGUUUUAAAAAUGUACAAACUGAUCUGUCUCAAAAAUUUUAAAAAUUCAAAAUGAUCUUCUAAAACUCAAAAUAUUUAUAAAAUAUUUUCCCAAAAUUUUAUAAAUACAUAUAAAUUCAAAGAAUUUACCACUUAAAAAUAUAUAAAAAAUAUUAAAUUAUAUUUUUUGAAAAAAUUAAUAAAAUAAAUUUGAGGUCUUAAAUAAGUAACUUAUUAAUUCAAUUUUAUCAUACUAAUUAUCUUGUAUUCCAAGAGUUUUCAUAUAUAUCAGGGGCGAAGCCAGAAAAUUUUUUUUUAGGGGGGCAAAAUGAAUUUUUUAUUUUUAAUAGUCUAUAUCUUUAUAUUAAUAUUUGAACUGGUAUAAAUUAAGAUUGUUACGUCUAACAUUUAUAUCGAAUAAUUUUUACUAUAGAGAAAAGAAGUAAAAAUAAUAAUAUAUGAUGUAAAAUUAUUAAUUUGAGUCUUAACACAGUCGGUAUUUGUAUGUUGUUUAUGUAAUAUGGAGUGAGUUCAAGUAUGUUCAUGUGUAAUUUUUCUUUCUAUUUAAAGGUUGGAGAGGAGUUAGGGUGAAGCUAGAAUUUAUUUUUUUUGGGAGACGAAAUUAAGUUGUAUAUUUUUAUGAGAGUUAAAAUACAAUUUCACAAUUUCAAUAGAUUAUAUGUUUACAAUUUUUAAAGAACUAAAUCAAUAUUUUAUCAUUUUUUGGGGCUAAAGUACAAUUUUACCAUUUAUUAACUUAAAAUUUUAUAAACUUAAUUUAAAGGGUUAAAAUUUGAAUUUCACAUUUUAAAGGGAGGGAUAGAAACCCUUCUAGGCUCCCCUCUUGCCGCCCCCCUAAGAUGAUAUAAAGUAAAGCAAUAAGUGUCUAAAAUAUAUGAAUUAUGAGUACUGAUUACACUUGACCAAUUGCUUUUCUUCAAACAAAGCAAACACUAAUGCACAUGAAAAUGCAAAUUCACAUGCAACCUAGAUAUGCAUUCUAUAUACAAUGCAAUGCAAUGAAUAAAUAAAUAAAUAAAUAUAUAUUAUUUAAUCAUGAGAGUUUUGAUCCCCUUGUGAUUCUUUAACCAACCAUUCUCACACCUAAUUAUAAUUCUAGUAUAGUAAAAGUACGUGAGUGAGUUGAAUGGAUGGUGGUUGUUUGACAUAACAUGUAGAAAGUGAAAAAAUAGUUGAAAAUAAAUCAAGUAUUAAAACAAAAAAUUUAUGAAAGAAAUUCUAGUAUUAUCAAUUUUUCGUGAGGCUCAAAGCUAUUUGGAACAAAAAUAAAAUCAAUGUGUAUAGGCUUAACAAAAUAGCUAUCAUCUUGCAUUGUUAUUUCAUCCUAACCUCUUCCCUCAUAACUUCAUCUUCUAUUUUCUGUUUGACAUUAUCAAAAGUAAAACAUAGUUUUUUUAGGUUUUUCGACUAUUUAUGCAUCAAACUUUUAGGCCAUUUUGGACAUCUUCAUAAUGUUUUUGGGCUUUAAUCUAAGAAAUAAAUUUAGAUAGAUCUUUCAAGUCACAUCAACAUUUCAUAAAUGAUUUAAUAAAUGAGUAAUAAAAGGAUUUAGGGUUAAUGUGCAAAUUUGUCACUAUACUUCAAUUUGAUUGGUAUUUGAUAUUUGAUAUUGAAUUUUAUUGCUUUAAUUUAAUUGAAUUUUGCCACUAAAAUUAGAAUUUUUAUUGAAUUUUCUAUUCAAUUUAAAUUUAAAAUAACUUGAAGGCUAAGUUGAUUAAAAAAUAGUUUUAUAUUUCGCUUUAAUAUUAAAAAAUAAUAAGUUAAUUAAUAUAAUAUUAAAUUUAAAUAAAAUAGUUAUUUUAUAAAAUAAAUUUUUUUUUCUCUUUUAUGAGAUAUGGACUCAUUAACAAUAGAAAUUCUAAUUUAAUUUAUUAAUUUUUAAUAUUUAUAAGUUAAAUUAUUGUUAAAUAUUAAAAUAAAAUAUUUGAAAGAAUUUUUCUUAUUAUAUAUAUUAUGUUUUAAAAUCAUCAAAUUAAUAUUGAGUGGUAAAAAUUAAUUAAAAAAUUGAUUUGGAGAAAUUUUUUAAUAAAAUUGAAAAUUUAUAGUAAAAUUCAAUCACAUAAUAGUUGAUUGAUAAAUUUACACAAAAACUUAAAAUAUAGCUAUGAAUAUCAAUGAAAAUAAAGUAUAGUAGCAAAAUUCAAAGUAUAGUGACAAAUCAUAUAAGUUCAAUGAAUAAAAGAAAUAAAAAAUUAAAUAUAUGAUUAAAAAGAUUUUUUUUUUUUUACGAAAUUGAAAGAUCAAAUAAAUCAUUAUACGUAAUAUAAACAAAAUCACAAGUAUCCUUAAACUUGGCUUAAUUGCCAAUUAGACAAUUUAGGAUGUCAGAUGCAUAAUCAACAAUUUGGAGAUAAAAGGAUGAAUAACCAAGUAUUUUUAUAAAUAAAUUUGUUUUAGAAGAAUGGGAUGAGUUUUAGAGUAUAUAGAGAAGUAGGGUAGUUCUUCCUUCUCCGCAUAGUGGUUUUGCCUACAAUAAUGAAGCAAAGGGAAAAACACGAGGAUGAGAUGCAAUGAAUUCCCCUUGCAUACCCAAUACGUACUAUUUACUAUUUCUUUUCCCACUGAGAAGUUGGUAUUUUGGAAUUAUCGUUUUCAGCUCUACAAAUGUUCUUGGUGCUGUGUCUGUCUUUCUUUGGUGGGUUCUUGCUUUCUGAAUCUGGUUCUACUGUCGAUUUGGAUGGUUAGGAUACAGCGCUUCAGGCAACUGAUGUUCAAAAGGUUCGAUGGCAUUGGGGAUAUGAUGAUUUUAAGUUUAUUGUCGCCCCAUCAGUUGGUUGUUUGGGUGCACAACUAAAUUUUAGUAUUAUUUUAUUUUCCAUAAUUAUAUUUAUUUAAAUUUUAUAAAUAUUUUCUAAGUCUUAAGAUUUUAUUUUUUGCAUUUUAUGAUUUCUUUUUUUGGAUUUUUAAUGGUUUUUAAAUUUUUAUAAUUUUUCUAAAAUGUUUUAAGUAUUUUGAUUGUGUGAGGUUUUGUGAAUGAAGCGAAGGGUAUCUUUAUUGUGGUGAACUUUUAAUUAGCUCAAAAUGAAGUGAUUUAUUACGUCGUGUGAUUUACGGAUAAGUGUUAAAAAUGAAAUGAAUUGUUGAAUUUGAAAACAAUGGUGUAAUAUUGCAGGGAUUUCCAACAUUAUCAUAAAUUUUAGUGAAUUUAGAGACGAAAUCACAGGUCCACUGAGUUUUGUUCAAAUUUAGGGAUUUCAUCGUCAUAUACGGUCGAUUUGGAUAGUUAGCAUACAAAGCUUCAGAUCAUUGAUGUUCAAAAGGUUUGGUGGCCAUGGGUAUAUGUUGAUUUUGAGUUUAUUGUUGCCCCAUAAGUUAGUUGCACUAAAAAAAUGGGUAUUACCGAUGCUAAAAAUUGUUACUAAAAUUUUAUUGUAGCAAUAAAAGUUGUUGCGGGAUUGUUGUGUAUAUCUUUGUUGUCUAAAAUAUAUGCAACUCUACUCAAUUACACAAUAUUUACUCUUAAAUAUGACCUAUUCAACCACCGAUUUCAGCACAUUAAACACAAAUUAAUAAUCUAGAAAUAUCAAACCAAGAAUUAAAUACACAUAAUUGAGAACAAUAAAUUAAGUGUUUAUUGCAUAAAAUAAAAAAUAAAUGAUAGAAUCCAUCAUAGAGUUCACCUCCCUAGGUAUUUAGAAAAUUAGUUCAAGCUUGAAAAUAAAAACAUCCAAGAAAUAGUACAACCAAAAGAAAUAAAGAAAUUCAUGAUAAUCUCCUAAGAAAUCAACUGAGAAUCUUCAAUCUUGACAGAAAUUUGCUUCCAACUUGGCUUCAAUGGUAUUUUUCGAGUUGUUUUCUUGAAUAUUUUAUGACGGCACUCUCAUAUCUUCUUAAUUUUGUCAUAUAUACGUCUUAGAAUGCCCAAAAAACUUAAAAAUUGUGAUUUUAUGCUGUUUGUGUGGCAAUUCCACGAAAUCGACACAGCCUACUACACACCAGUGUGGGUCAUACGACUGUGUGCUUUCCUCGUGUGAAAUUUAGAAAAUGCAAAAGAUUCCCUAUGCACUAGCUGCUGGAAUCUAAUGUAUGCUCAAGUAUGUAUGCGUCCAGAUAUUGCAUACAUUGUUGGGAUGUUAGGCAAACAUUUAAGCAACCCUGGUAUAGACCAUUGGAUAACAACUGAAAGGGUUAUGAGGUAUCUUUAGAGAACAAAAUAUUACAUGCUCACAUAUUGGAUGUUUGAUAAGUUAGAGAACAUCAAGUUUACAGACUCCAAUUUUGAUGGAAUAUUGAUGCAACAUUUUGCCACUAGAGUGCAAACUGUGACAAUAAUUAGUAGUCUCUUAUUCCAAUAACAAUAAAAGCACAUCAAAGUCAAAGCACAUAGACUUUAAGUUCAUAGUUGUUAAAAUAAAAGUUCAGGGUGGUUAGAUGUCUAUAAAGUAUAUUGAGACAAACUUCAUGAUUGCGGAUUCGCUUACUAAGGGACCACCACCCAAAGUUUUUUUCAUGAGCACACUAUUGAUAUGAGUGUAAUGUCAUUCACUACAGAAUAAGUUUUUAGUGGCGUUAUUUUGGGGCUAUAACUGCCUUAUAAGCGUCGCUAAAACAACUUGCGGCGUUUUGAAAAGCACCGCUAAAAACGCCACUAUAGAACAUGACCUUUAGGGGCGCUUUUCCCACAAAUGCCGCUAAAAGUAUGACCUUUAACAGUGUUUGUGGGGCAAACGCCACUAAAGAACAUGACCUUUAGCGGCGCUUUCUCCACAAACGUAACUAAAUGUCAUGUUCUUUAGUGUCGUUUUUAGUAAAAGCGCCGCUAAAAUUCAUGUUCUUUGGCGACAUUUGUGGAAAAAUGCUACUAACUUUAGCAGAUUUUUACCAACCCAUUUUCAUUCAUAUAGAAUCCUAAUUGUUAACAUAAUUUCCUGUAACAUCAAAUCCAACCAAAAACUAAAAAUUUAAAUGAUACUUCAAUUCCAACGAAAGAAAUAUGUAUGUGAUCUAAAUCAGUAAAUGAAAUAACAAAAUAUAUUAUAUUCAAAAGUUAUAUUGUUAAAAUAUUCUCACAAUAAGAAAACAAACAUCUAAGAUGAUGGAUUCUACGACUGUUGAAACAUCUUCAUCAUAUUCUGAAGCUGUAGCUGGAGUUUGUCAUAUUUUUUGCUUGCCCCUGCUUCCCUUGCUGCCGCCUCCGCUUUAAGUUAUAGUUGGAGUUUUUCAUAUUUUCUUUAAGUCUUUGCUUUUCUCGAUGCUGCCUCCACUUUAAAUUGAGCAAUUUGCUCAACUGUGCUCGCUUGCAUUUGAACCAUCUGGUCUCUUAACCUCUGAACUUCAGCUUGAGCCUGAUUCUCUGAAGGCAUGUAUUGUUGCGAACUGGAUCCAAAAUAUUGGGUUGGGUUAACAAAAUAUCCUUGAAAUCAAACCCGACCAUACUUUUCGAGACCCAAAACUUCGGUAAUAAUUCAGUUAUCAAUGUCAUCAAUAUUAACAGAACUAUCACUUGAAGCGAUCGCUUCAUACUCUGCCCUUUUAUCCUUUAGUUUCUCCUAAUAAAUCAACCAAAGAGUUAGAAACGAAAUAUAUAAUCAAAACAAAUGCAAUAUAACUUUGGGAGUCUAAUGUAUGCUCAAGUAUGUAUGUGUCCGGAUAUUGUGUACAUUGUUUGGCUGUUAGGCAAACAUUUAAGCAACUCUAGUAUAGGCCAUUGGAUAACAAUCGAAAGGGUUAUGAGGUAUCUUUAGAGAACAAAAUAUUACAUGCUCACAUAUUGGAUGUUUGAUAAGUUAAAGAACAUCAAGUAUACAGACUCCAAUUUUGAUGGAAUAUUGAUGCAAAAUUUUGCCACUAUAGUGCAAAUUGUGACAAUAAUUAGUAGUCUUUUAUUCCAAUAACAAUAUAAGCACAUCAAAGUCAAAACACAUAGACUUUAAGUUCAUGGUUGUUAAAAUAAAAGUUCAGGGUGGUUAGAUGUCUAUAAAGUAUAUUGAGACAAACUUCAUGAUUACAGAUUCGCUUACUAAGGGAUUACCACCCAAAGUUUUUUUCAUGAGCACACUGUUGAUACAGGUGUAAUGUCAUUUAAGGAUAUUUGACUUUAGUGGGAGUUUGUAUUUUUAAAUUUUUUUAUGUUACAGACACAUCGGUUAUCUCAGUUUACGAAUAUUAAGUUUAUUUUCUUUAGAAAUAAAGUUUAUUUGGUAAAGUUUGACCUCACUAAGGUUAAGGAGGACCAUUUAGAAUAGGCAUGUUUGAAUCAUAUUGCAUGUAAUUUUCAUGUUACACAUCCAUACUUGAUCUAUGUCAUUUGGUUGUGCUAAUAUAUGUUAUUAGGGAUGGAUUUAGUUAUGAUAUAUGUAACAAAAGUCACAUUCGUUCUAUGUUAACUUAAUUAAUGAAUGAGAUUAUUUGGAAUACCUUUUGGAUAUGAUAGUAAAGUUUUGAGCUCAUAAAUUUAUAUAAUGACAUGUAAUUAUAAGGUAAUUGGUAUAUAUAUGUGGCCAAGUGGUAUGGACAUCACAUAUAUAAUAAGCCUAAUUACUCCAAAAUCCUUGCAGCCCUUUAAUGACUUUUAAGCAAUCAUAACCAUUUUAUUUACAGGUCAUUUGUAUGAAGGAACUUUGUGGUCAUGAUCGAGAGAUUCGAAUUUAGCAUAUUUACAGAGAAGGAAAUCUUGUUUCAGAUUUCUUGGCCCAUAUGGGAUUCCGGCUUUGAUCUAAGUUUACUACGAGAGCCACCUGGAAAUGCUCUCUCAAUUUCAACUAUACUAUGUGAUGAUAUUGCUAGUUCUUUGCCCUAUCGCCUGUGCUCAUUUGUGGUUAAUUAGUUUGUAAUAACCCAAAUUUGCCCAGGCUUACAACCCAAAAAUAAACAGAAAUAAAACCCAAAAAUAAAUAACAAGGCCCAAAUAAUAAUAGCCCACAAAACUUAAAAAAAAUCCAGCCAACUGAAACCCUAAUGCCCUCAUAUACGCCGCACCUCCUCCUCGGACACACUGCUCGUACCUCGUCCCAAGGUCUGACUCUUCCCAUAACAGCCCAAUUUUCAAUGAUAUCAGAAACAAUGAUUUUGGAUCACUAAAUCUGAUAAGUAAGCUUGAAAAUUUAAUAAUUAAUAAUUACGGGUCAAGUGUGAAUUUAGAAGAAUUUUUGAAUUAGUGAAUUUUGUUAUUUAAAAAGAAUUUAAUAGGUAAAUCGGGUCUAAAAUGAGGUAUCGAGACCUCGAAUCCAUAAGUCAACACAUAAAUAUUUUUAUAAAUAUUUAUGGAGUGCCAUUGAGUUAGUAUUAAAGUUUCAUCAGAAAAUUUUAACGUUUUGAUAGUCAAUUAAUUAAAAAGGACUAAAUAGAAAAGAUGCAAAACUUGCUAAAGUGAUUAAAUAGCCUAAAAAUUAAAUAAGGAAGGCCUAAAAGAUAAAAUGGACCAAUUUAAGUGGCUGAGGUGGCAUACGGUUAAAAAAAUUAAAGAUUUUUAUGUAUUUAAGGGCAAAAUUGGAAUUACAAUAAAGUUUAUGUGGCCAAAAUUUAUUUUAAGGAUUUCAAGACCAUUUCUUCUUGAAAUUUCGGUGUAAAACAGCCAUGGAAGAGGAUUGAGAGCUGAUAUUUUAUAUUUUAGCUUCAAGUUCAAUUCUUGUUUUUCCCUUGAAAUUUUUAUAUUUUUGGACUUUUACAAUUAGGUCCAACUUAGUAUUCUAUUAGUUUUUUAUUUUGUUGAAAGUUUUGGAAGAUACCAUUGAUAAGUUCAUAUGAUUUUUAUUAUUUGGUGAUGAAAUUGAGAUGUUAAUGGAUGUUUAAAGGUGUUUUAUUAAAUAAUUUUGGAUGAAAAUAUGUUUUAGGGAUUAAAUUGAAAAGUAUUGAAUUUGUGGAAAAUUCUAAAAUUUUAAGAAAUCCAUGGGCUUUCAUUGACAUGUAUGCGAAUGAUUAGGCUUGUAUCAAUGAUUAAAUUGAAAUAAUUUCAUUUUCCGAGCCUAGGGAUGAAAUCGUCAUGUAUUAAAAGUUUAGGGUCAAAAUGGUAAUCAAUAUAUUGCACUAAAAUAGUUUUGGGUAGUAGUAGUGUGCCAACUUUGAAAAAUCACCAAAAACUGUGGGAAUCGAAUUAGAAGAUGAGUAAAAGAUGAAAUUAAAGCUUAUUGUGUCUAGUUUCUCAUAGAAGAAACAGUGUAAGCAAUGGAAUUAUAAAUCAUGAGAUAUAAUAAAUUUUGUGAGACAGAGUCAGAAUAAUUUUGGAAUCCCCUGUUCUAAUUUUGGAAAAUCAUUAAAAAUUGUAUAAAAAUAAUUAUGAGUUAUAGUUUAUAUGUUUAAAAUCCUGAAAGAGUUUAUUUUCAAGAGAAACAAACAAGAACAUCACCCAAACUCUGUACAAUGAGAUAAUUACUUUUUGGUGAAGAGAGGUCAGAACUGUCAAACAGUGAAACAGGGGAGAAUUUAAAGAAUAAACUGUAUUUAUUGGCUAAGCCAAAAAUUCUAAAAAUUUUAUGGUAAAAUGAUAUAUGAGACUAGUUUCUGGAAAAAUUAACAAAUCUUAAUUUAGAGCUUCGUAGCUCGAGAUAUAAAUAAUUUAGUGACUCUGACUCGGAUAGACAACUUUGAAUUUAUGUAUAAGUAAAUCGUGAAAAUAUAGUUAAUGUUAUUUAAGCAUGUUAUAUACAUUAAGGAUGUGGAAUGGAGAGGAGGAGGAGGAAAAUUGGAAAAUAUAUGAAUGACUUGUGUAUGAAUUGGUCAUAUGCCUGAUUAUAAUCGAUAAACGUUGAAUUUGAAAUGAUAUAAUGUUUUAUUUCAAAUAGUUAUUAUGAAAUUAUGAUUAUCAUUAUGUUACAAAAUUUAAUUGUAAGUUCAUAUGGCAGAAUUUUAAUGAUUAAUUGUUAAUUUCAUAAUUAUAUAAUAUAUGAUGGGAUAUAAUUGUUGAUGAAUUGAGAAUAAAAUAACAAUGCGAAAAUCGAAUAAAUGAUCAAAUUUAGUGGAACGUCGGAUUUGAGUACUUCUGAUCAGUGACAAGUGAUAUAUGAUUUCCGUGUAAGACCAUAUUUGGGAUAUGGCAUCGUUGUGACAUGUGUUUCCGUGUAAGACCAUAGCUCGGCUAUGGCUUCGGUGUGUGAUAUGUAACGAUGUGCAAUACCAUAGCUAUACUAUGGCAAUGUGGAAACAAAGUACUCAAUUCCAUAAGACGUUCUCUAAUUUAUCAAAUUGUGGUAAGUGUUAAGCAAAUUUUAUGUGAUAAAACAUAUUGAACAGUGAAAUUGAGCUGAAUUAUGUGAUCUCAUCAUUCAGAGAUUGUGUUUGAUAGGUUAUGUUAAUAAAUUAUGUGUAUGUGAAUUUAAGUGACAGAAAUUAAACAGCUAAUGAUAUUGAGCUCAUUUACAUGAAUCUGUCAUUUGAAAUUGUGAUUGACAGAAAGAAAUAGUGAAUUGAAUAUGAAAAUGUGAAUAGAAAGCACAAACUAAAUGUUCUUGCGAUAAAUAAUGGCUCAAUGUGAUAGUAAAUGAUGUUAAUCUAAUGAAAGUUAAAUUGAAUUGUAAAUGACUUGAAUUAUCCGAAAAUGUUCUAUAAUCUCUGGUAAUGUCUCGGAACCCUAUUUCGGUGACAGAUACGGGUAAGGGGUGUUACACUUCCCCUGGCCACCUUGCCUAGCCUUGUAAAACAAAAUAGAAGAAGAAGAUAGAAGCGAAAAUAGCAGGGGAUAGCAGAAAAUAGUAGCAUAAUCGGCUGUAAAAGCCCCAAUGAAAUGUAAUUUAUUUUUUUUCUACGGAUAAUCAAAUAUUAAGAGAACAAAAUAUCAAUCGAAAAUCCUGAAGGUUUACUUCUACUGUUGUUUUAAGUUUUGGUUCAUUUUUAUUCUGCCUUUUAUUUUUCAUUUUUUUACAUACAAAGAAAGGAAAAAGAAACAGAAAUAAAAUACCAUAGUUUUAAAACAACAAAGGAAUUUCUUUGCAUAUUUAUCGAAAAUAGAGCAUAUAUACAUAGAUAUAUUCAAAAAAACACAAGUUUUUUUAACCUCUGUUGUGACUGAAGAAGGUGGAACCAAAUGGUUUUUUUUCGCCUUUUCUGAAUUUCAAAGGGGUUUCUUAGGAUUUUAACCUCGGAUUGAGAUUUGGGAGGCCGAAUAGGUCGAAAAGGGGCCUUUUUUUGAACUCCGGUCGACGUAUACGGCGGCAUACGGUGGUGGAUGACGGUGGACGGACGGUUGCCCAGUGACUAGGGUACAGCUAGACCACGACCGGAGGAAAAGGGAUUGAGAGAGAAUCCCCUGAUUUUUUUUGGAAAAAGAAGAAAAUGAAAUUUUUAAAAAAAAAUUGACUUAACUAGGGCCCCUAAACGGCGCCAUUUAGGGCUGGUCAUAAUAGCCCUAAAACGAUGUCGUUUUGCCCAAGACCCGCGCAUGUGACCCGACCCGCCAGAGGAUCCGCGUGUUUUUAACUUUUGGGCUAUUUGCGCUUUAGGCCCUUCAUCAUUUUUGGUCUAUUUCAAUUUAGUCCUUUUGCAUUUUUUCUUUAUUUUUUAAUUUAGACCACAGAUUUGUCUCGGUUUUCAAUUUGGUCCUCAAUUCGUUGGACCCCUGGGGAGGAGAUGCGUGGCCUGGAAAACUGGUUUAUUACCCAUUUGGCCCUCCUCCCUCUCGCGCUCUUUCAUUUUGGUCUUUCUUUAUUCAUUUUAUUAUAGCUUUGACCUUUAAAUUUCAUUUUUAUCCCGAGUUAGUCCAUCUUUGUUAUUUUUGUUAUAUUAUUAAUUAAUCUAAUUAUUAUCAUACUUAUAUUUUCUUUUUAUAUUUACUUAUUAUAUUAUUAUAUUAUACUAUUAGUUUUGUAUUAUUAUUAUUAUUAUAUUAUUAUUAUAUUUAUAUUUAUAUUUACUUAUCUAAAUUUUAAAUAUAUUUUGUCUUAGUAUAUAUUAUUAUGUAAUUACUUAUAUCUUUUGUAUUUUUUUAACUCUAGAUUAUUCGCUAUUCUAUUAUUAAUAUUAUUAUUGUUAUUAUUUACUUAUUUAUAUCCUUUUUAUUUCAAACUUUGUUAUAUAUAUACAUACAUACAUAUAUUAUUUUUUAUAUUUUUAUAAUCUUAUUUAUUUUCAUUAUUGUUAUUAUUGUUUUACUUGAUAUUUAUUUAUUUAUGUGUCCAUUAUUAUUUUAAGAAACAUUUUAGUUCUGUUUGUUUAUUUACUUGUUAUUUUAUGUAUAAUUGAUUUGUCCCCUUUUUUUAUUUAUUUAUCUUAUUUUCGUUGUUGUUGCUCGUAUUAUUUAUGCUUACAUCAUUGUAUUUAUUAUUGUUUUGUUACGCAUAUUAACCCCGUGUUUUAUUUCUACCAUUUCGUGUUAGAUUAAUCUCAUUUGAUGCAUAAAUCAUGACUUUAAAACAAGUAAAACUAGAUAUUUUGAGAUCCGAAAAGGUCGUGCCCUAACUUACGGGGCUUUGAUUUUCUCGAUAAAUUCAAAUACACGAAUCUUUUCAAACAUAAGUUUUUUAAGUGAUCUCGGGAAUUAAUAAAAGAUCGGGUUCUAACUUACGGGACUUGAUUUCUUUUCCAAACCCGAGAUAAUCAAAUCGAAUAUCCUUCAAAUAAAUAAAGCUUUUGGCAUUUAUUCUCGAAUCAAGUAUUUAAAUAUAUUGUGUCCUAACUUACGGGAUAUAAUUCUCUUUCUCGAUUAACGCGAAAUAUGCCCUUUUCUUGAAAACUUUCAGCAUUUUAACAAAGGAUUGUAUUUUGAAUCUUUUCAAAGUUUCCAAUUCUCGACACUAAGACACUAAUUAAUCAACCAGGUACCAAUUUCUAGGCGUUAUGAGGGUGCUAACCCUUCCUCGUAUGUAACCGACUCCCGAACCCAUCUUUCUGAAUUUCGUAGACCAAAAGCGUUGUUUUAAUAAAUCGAACCGUUUUGUUAAAAAUAACCAUUUUUUGAGUUGACCUGAUCACACCUCCUCAAAAAAGGAUUGGUGGCGACUCCCAUAUUCAUUUUCGUUUUAAAAAUCCAAGUCGACCUCUUUUAUCAAAAAAUGGUUUCGACAUAGUUGUUAAGGCUUUUGCCUCUUUCUUUUAUUAAAAAAAAAAGCUGGGCACGAUGAAUCGACCUUAGCUAGUAAAAAACUUCAAUCACCGAAUUGCAUAAAAUUCUAACUUAAAUUCAAAUGCAGAAGCAGGAUCGUUUAUCAAUCCACAAUAUCAACAAAUCUCAAUUCAAACACAAAAUUAACCGGUGAAAAAAAAUAGUUCAACCCAUAAACAUUUACCACAAAGGGAAAUUUGAAACACUUACCACCAUUCCCCUAUCAGAAAGUCUUACCCACAUUCAACAACUAGAAAUCAGAGCUCACCAAAAUGUUUAUGACGAAGCCAUUUUUUUGAAAAGGGUCGACUUUUUAUUUAAAAACGAAAAAGGGAGUCACCACUAAUCAUUUUUAUGAGGUGUGAUCGGGUCACCUCGUAACGGUUUAAUUGAUUAAAAUAAAAAUUUUGGUCUACAAAAUUUAGAAAAAUGGGUUCAGGAGUUGGUUACGUACGAGGAAGGAUUAGCACCCUCGUAACGCCCAAAAUUGGUACCUAAUUGAUUAAUUAAUGUCUUAAUGUUGAAAAUUAAAAACUUGAAAAGAAUUUAAAAUACGAUCCCUCUUUAUUAAUGUUAUUUUUUAGUUAAAAUUUCUUGGAUAAAUCAAAAUGUGUGCUUAAGACUUUCUCGUCCCAAAGUAGCAAAAAUAUUAUGUCCCGUAAGUUAGGACACAACACUUUGAACUUUGGAGAAUGAACUUGCCUUUAUUUUUUAUUUUAAAUCUUAUUAUUUUGAUUUUAAAAGGAUAUUCGGUUAUUUGAGUUCAACGAGAGAAUCGAAACCCCGUAAGUUAGGUACGAUUUCCUGAAUCUCCAAAAUAUGAAUUAUUGCCUAUUCUUUUGAAAAUUUUCCAUUUUUAUGAAAUUGGAUGAAAAUUAAUGAUAUUUAAAAUGAUAUGCAAUAUAAAAUAAAAUAUUAUAAUAACCAUGACGUAAUUACAAAGAUGAAUGCAAUAUUGUUUGGUGGAAAAUGUUUUCCGAAAAAUAUUUUCUGAAUUUUCCAGCGUUUGUUUGGUGGAAAAUGAAUUCCUAAAGUAAAACAUUUUCCAAACACGGGUAAAAUUAGUCCCCAAUUUUUGGAAAACGUCUUACUAAUUUGGAAUCAGUAAGAAAUUUUCCCGUUCUCCCUUCUCUACACUCUCGUUCUCCCUGCCUCUCUAAACCAAUCUUAGGGCUCAUUGAGCUGGUUCCGGGCUAUUUUUCCCCCUUGAUUUCUUCUCCUUUUUAUAAAUUAAUUUGGGGCUUUUCAUCACUGUGUGUUGUUUUUGUCUGGGAUCUCUUGCAUGGGUUUUCUGCUAGUUUGGGUUCUCUGUGCUCAGGCUUUCUACAAAUUCUGCUCUUCCUCUCUUGCUUGGGUCGGGUUUUUGUUACCGUUUUGUAGCCUGUGGCGUUUGGCUUGUCUUGGGCAAACUUUCUUCGCUGACUUUCUUUAGAAAGGUAUAUUUUCUAUUUUCACUUCCAUUUUCUACUUAUUUUUUAGACGCAAAAUUUCUUAGCAAUUCUUUUAUCUUGAACAAACAAUGUUUUGAGGUUUUGGGUCGUUUCAUAAAGUAGAAAAGGAAUCGAACUGUUAAUAUUCUUAAGAUUGAGAAAUUGAGGACACGUUUGGUUCGCUGUAAUGGAAUAGAGGCGUAAUAGUAAUUCAACUGUUUGGUCGAAUGGAAUGGAAUAGAGCUAUAAUAGUAUUCUUGUGUUUGGUUGAAUGGAAUUAUGUUGUAAUAGCAUAAGGAAAAAAACUAAAAUGAGUAUACCCUUAGCAGAAUUUUUUUAGGUAGAUGAUUAUUAUUAUUCUUAUUAAAUUUUAAUAAGAUUAUUAAUAUAAAUAAUAAAUAAUAUAAUCAUAUUUAACAUAAUUAUUAUUAAAUAUAAUUUAAUAAAAAAUAUAUAAUUUAAUAAAAUUCUUAAUAUAAUUAUUCUUAUAUUAAUUUCCUAAAAUCAUAAUAUAUAAUAAUCACUACACCAAAACAGGUUUUUAGCGGCGUUUGGAUAAAAAACGUCGCUAAAAAUUGAGCAUUAGCUGCGAUUUACGUCAAACGCAGCUAAAGAUCGAGCAUUAGUGGCGCUUCCAAGAAAGCGCCUCAAAAAAUGAGCAUUAGCGGCGUUUAUCCAAAAAACGCCGCAAAAAACGUAAACCCAACGGCAUCGUUUUUGACCUUUCGGGGCUUUAGCGGCGCUUUUUCAAAAGCGCCGCUAAUACUCGGGUCUUUAGCAGUGCUUUUCCCAAAAUGCCGCUAAUGCUCUAGUCUUUAGCGGCGCUUUUUCAGAAGUGCCGCUAAUGCUCGGGUCUUUAGCGGCGCUUUGUCAAAAAUGCCGCCAAAGCUCGGGUCUUUAGCAGCGCUUUUUCAAAAAUGCCGCUAAUGCUCGUGUCUUUAGCGGCGCUUAAUCCCAAAUUGAUCCUCCAUACCAAAAUGAGUGGAAAUGAGUUUAAAAGAUGUCCAAAACAUUAACAUUUAAACAUUUGUUAAGAAAUUUUCUUUUGUUUUCAAUAUAAAUGGCUUAAAAAAUGAAAAAAAAGUCUUAAACUUUGUUUGAUUAAAAAUUUUCGUAUAUAAAAAGGAACAUAUUUAAAUUUAUGUGGAUGGUUUUUAUUUAGUUUCAUUAAUAUAGGGAGAUUAAAGAUUGGUGGAGAUUUUACCUAACAAAUUAUUAUAGAAAGAGAGAAGAUGGAUUUAACACCUUUUGAGAAUCCAUUCCCCAAUGAGUUGUAUGGUGUAUCAAUUACGCAUGUAUGAAUAUAUUUUCCUUCCACCAUGUGCUGCCACGAAACUUAGGGCCAAUAUUGUGGAUUCCCGGAGAAUUAGAAGAUAAAAGAAAACCUAUAGGAGAUUCUUGUAAGAGUUACUGGUUUAAGAUUGGUUUUGGAUUUUGUAGGAAAGAUAUGCUGCAUCAAUUACACAUGGGGAUUUAAUACAAGUUGGAUCAUUUUCCUCAUCAGCUAACAUUUUCUUAUGCUAGUUUAGAUCCAAAUCCACACACCCAAUUUUGAUUUGCGCUUCCAUCAAACUAAUUCUUUUUACUGUGAAAAACAUAUUAUUUCAGUAAUAAAUGUUGAAUCAACAUUAUUUUAAUAAUAAAUUAUUUUAUUCCUUUUACUAUAGUAUUUUUUUCCCAUCAUGUUGAUUUAGGUAUAGUUUGGAUAGACAUUGCGUUUACUUGUGUUUAGUAUAAAAACAACAGUGACGAUAAAAUUAGAUAAAAGUGAACUAAUCGCACCGCACUGGCCAUCCAAAUCCAAGUACCAUACUCUUCUUUUAGUUUUUUUUAAACCCUAAAUAAGAAAGACAACCUCAUUUAGCGAAGUCAUUAACCCCUUUCUUAAAUUUCCAUAAUAAAACUCAUACCCUAUUCAAAAACCCUAUUUUAACAAAAUUCAACUAUCUUUGAAUUAUUCGUAACCCUAUAUUUAUAAUACAGACGUGGUGAUCAGUUAGACCUUUAAUUACUUAACAUACUUUUUUUUUAUUGACUAACAUCUCUUGUUUUUAUUGACUCCUUUAAUUUUAAUUUAAUAAUUUUAUAAUUUAAUCUAAAGAGGUCAAAUUCGAAUUAUUUUUUUGAUAUAAUUUUUAAUUUAACAAGAGCUGAAUCAUACUUUAUAGGAUUUGAACCUUGGACGAUAGGUUUGAAGACCCACAUGCUACCGAACUAAACUAAUAUCACUUUCUUAUCAUAAUAAAUAAAAUUGUAAAAAAAAUCCUUUUAUUUUAUAACCCUAAUACAAUACAUUGUAUGUCGUAUAUAUAUAAUAUGAGAAAAUGAUAGAUUGAGCAAAAUUGCAUCAUAGGUUGUGUUCAAAAUUCAAAUUCUUUUUGGUUUAGAGGGUUUUAUGUUUGGUUAGUGAUAAGUUUUUUUUCUUUCGCAUGUGAUUUAUCUUUUCGAUAUGUAGGGUGAAGGAUUUAAAUUGUGGAAUGUUUGGUUUAUAUAAGCAGCUUAAGGUAAGAAAAGAAAAGCAAGAUAAAAUUUGAAAGAUGAUCCCAUUGUUGACUGAUUCAUUUACUGCGAGCUUCUCCCUCAUAUUGUAGCGACACUGAUGUACAAAAUAUUUCAAAGAUGUACAAAUUUUUCGAGUUUAAAAACUACAUUGAGUGUAUUUUCGUAGGAGUUCAGUUGAUUUAAAAACUACAUUAAAUGGUUUAGGAUUUAAGGUUUACUUCAGAUUUGUUAAAUGAUGAAAUUUUAUACAAUAAAUUAAUACUUUUAUAUUUAAAAAUAUUUAAUCUAAAAUAUUCGAUAUAUUUAAAUAUUAGAUUUAAAAAAAUUGAUAAAUAAAUAAAGUCACUUAACUAAUAAUUUUUGGUAGAUAAAAUAAAAAAUUUUUAACAGAGCAAAACGACGUUAUUUUAUCAAUAGAUAAGCAAUAAUGGCGUUUUUUGUAAAAACGCCACAAAAUUUAUUUUACUUAGAAAAAAAUUUGGCGCUGAUUUUUCCCAAAUUUUCCCCCUAAAACCCCUAACUUUGCAAACAAAAUGAAAAAAAGAAGAGGAAAAUGAAGGUACCAAAGACGAUUCAGCACAAAACCUCUCCAAUCUACUUACGAGUUCUACCGUUUGUUUCCCUGGAAAAUAUAUGAGACUUAAUAUUUUCUGUUCCAUUUUUCCUCUUUAUUUUCUAAUUUUGGGUAUUAUUUACUCAGAUCCCCUUUCUUUUUAUUAUUGUUUUUUUUUUCUCUUAUAUUUUAGCUAGAAAUCGACGAUGCAAGUUACUGCUGGUAACAAGUUAUUGCUUAAAAUUCAUCGUAACAAAUCUACUUCAAAGGAAGUUAUUCAUAUUCCUUCGUAUCGAAGCGAAGUUAUUUACGGUGGAACUUGGUUCUCCAGCUCUCGUAAGUUUGUUCCCAGUUUUGUAUUUGCCAUCUAUACCAGGUUUACCUCUCUUACUUCUCUUCGUCUUCAUCUCCCUUUCAUUUAUUCUACCAAAAACGCCUCUUACUUGUCAUUUUUUUCUCACAUAUCGUGCAAGACUCAUUUUUCUUUCUUUAUGCUCUAGUCUUAACAGUGCACUUCAACUGUUCAAUAUAAUGCUUCUUUAUACAAUUUGUUUCUGGUUUUCAGGGGGUGUUGUUUGUAAGAUGUUGAAGCAAGCGAUAUGGAAGGUGUUGAGCAAAAGGGUAGUUUCAGAUUCUGGUGAUAAACUUCUUUUGCCUUGUUUGUACUUGCCCACGACUUCUUUUCACGCUGGACAGGUAGGUACUCUUUUUUUUUCUUUUAACUCUUACUUUAGUUUUUUUUAUGGAUACCCAAUUGUUAAUUUAUUAAAUAAUAAAUCUUUAAUAAUAAACCUAAAUUUAUGGCAUUUGAAUUAUUUGUAGAAUUUGAAUCAUAAAAACAUUGUCAAGUAUCUUGGAUCAUUGAAGACAACAAGAAGUUAGGUUUUGUAGUCUCUGUCUGGAAUUCUUGCUCUGAAGUUUGUCUAUUUUAUACGAGUUGAGUUUUCAUGGUUUGCUGUUGCAUUGUUUCUUCUGUUCUUUGUUUUGUUAUUGGAACUAUUUCCAAUUGUCUGGUUUACUUGAAAUCCGAUAUUUGAUUAAAGGGACCAAGUAGAGAGCACAAGUGAGAGCGAAGGCAGUGCAAGUGAUGAAGUGCUUGUUGUUCCUUAUGAUAACUUAGCACCUAUUUCUUGUGGUAAUAUUUUCUCAUUAUUCUUCUACUUUUGAAUUUAUUGUAUUCCAAAUAUAGCAUCAAGAAAAAUAUAAUAGUACAUUAGAGUUCAGCUUGUAUAAUUUGUUUGGAUUCUUUCUGUCUUGAAGCAGAUAUUACUGAAUCUAAGCAGCUUUUAGAUAAGCUUGUUGUGGUGAAGUAUAAUAGAGCUUUGGGAAAGAAUAUGGGUUUCGUUGGUCCCAAGUAAGCAAUUAUCUAACUUCUGGAAGUUUGAUACUUAUUUUUUUCCAAGAAAAGAGAAGCAUUUCUUGAUGAUUCCAUAGUUAUAUAUUAAAGACUUGCCUCUACAUAAAUGAAUAUAGUUUCUAUGACAUACAUAUAUUUAUGUAUGCUUUUUAUAUAUGCCUCUACAUUCAUAUAUUUAUAUAUGCUUUUUAUAUUGUAUUGUGCCAAAUAAAGAGAAUAAAAGUUUUAAUUAUUGAUAGAUUCUGCUACUUUUUUUAUGUACUUUUUAUUAAAUCACUCUUUAAUCAAAUGUAGAAUUAUAAAAUUAUUAAAUUUUACUAUAAAUAAUUAUCCUUAUAUAAUUAAUUAUUUUAGUAAAUUUUCCAACUAUCAAAACAGAUCACUCCACCAUCCCACGUCAAAAUUUUGUUAAGGGUAGGAGUUGAGAGAGGUAGAUACUUUGAUGAAUAUUUUCUUUUACAUGAUAAUUAUAUACUUCUUUAAGUUUGUUUUGGAUGUUGGGACAAUGUCAGUUGAUGCCGAAAUUUGAUAGUGCUGCAAAUUGAAGUGUUUAAGUGCUGCAAAUUGAAGUAUUUAGUUGCUGCAAAUUGAGAUGUUUUAUCGCUGUAAUUGAGGUGUAUAAAUGUUGUUAAUUGAUAUGUUUAAGUGCUGCAAAUUGAAGUGUUUAAAUGCUGUAAAUUGAAGUGUUUAAGUGCUGCAAAUUGAAGUGUUUAGUUGCUGGAAAUUGAGAUGUUUUAUUGCUGUAAUUGAGGUGUAUAAAUGUUGUUAAUUGAUAUGUUUAAGUGCUGCAAAUUUAAGUGUUUAAAUGCUGUAAAUUGAAGUGUUUAAGUGCUGCAAAUUGAAGUGUUUAAAUGCUGUAAAUUGAAGUCUUUAAGUGCUGCAAAUUGAAGUAUUUAGUUGCUGGAAAUUGAGAUGUUUUAUCGCUGUAAUUGAGGUGUAUAAAUGUUGUUAAUUGAUAUGUUUAAGUGCUGCAAAUUGAAGUGUUUAAGUGCUGCAAAUUGAAGUGUUUAGUUGCUGCAAAUUGAGAUGUUUAACGCUGUAAAUUGAAGUGUUAAAGUGCUACUUUCCAUUGUCACCUCCCCCAUUUCUUUAUGCAUCAAUAACUAUAUUAAUGAAAUCAAGUACUACAAUUAUAUACUAUUGCAGAUGGGGGUUGGAGAAUAUGAUCAAGGGGAAAACAUCAGAUAUGGUGAUUCCUAGCCAAGCAGUGGCUUCUUAGACACCCAACAUUUUGCACAACCAAACAUGACCACAACUUUUAAACCUACAUGUUGAGGUUGCUACACACAAGUCCCUUCCUUUUUUUAGUUUAUGUGCUAUGUGAUGAUUGUGUUUUAAAAUUUAACUUGUUUUAGUUCCUUACAUUCUUAUACGAUUCACACUCAAGGAGCUAGAUUUGGAGCUUAAACUGUCACUGUAAUCAGUAAUUUUUUUUUUGCUUCUUUAAAUGCAUGCUCAUGGAACUACAUCUUAUGCUUUCCUAGAAUUGUAAGUUCAAAUAAGGUGUUGAUCUGCAAUUUAUACAUACAACUUGAGCAAGUUGAUAUGAACUAGUUUCAAUUUUUUUUUUUAAAUGAAAGGAAUGUUAUGUAAUCAAAGGCAAUUUGACUUGUUGCAUGAGAUAUAGUGAAAAACAUUUAUCUUCUUAUUCAUGAAUUUCCAUUUUAAUACGUCUUCAAAUUAAAUUAUACAUUUUUUAAUUGGUAGAAUCUCACUUUUGCUGUUGCUGCAAUCUUUAACCAAAGAAUGGAGUGAUGUAUGUACUGAUAACAGUUCUAAAGGAUUUGUUUAAGCAAGUAAAGAGAUUGGCGUUUUUAUAAUAAUUUAGGAUAGGAAUGGAGCAAAUCCAAAGAAUGGAGUGGCAUUUUUAUAAUAAAUUUUUUUAUUUUUCGUGACCUUUACUAGCGUUUUUGGAGAAAGCGCCGCUAAAGGUCUUGUUUUUUAGCGGCAUUUUUGGGAAAAGUGCCGCUAAAGGUCUUAGUCUUUAGCGGUGUUUGUGGUAAAAGCGCCACUAAAGGUCUUGGUCUUUAGUAGUUUUUGUGGGAAAAGUGUCGCUAAAGGUCCUGGUUUUUAGCGGCGUUUGUGGGAAAAGCGUCGCUAAAGGUCUUGGUCUUUAGUGGCGUUUGGGGGAAAAGCGCUGCUAAAGGUCUUAGUCUUUAGCGGUGUUUGUGGGAAAAGCGCCGCUAAAGGUCUUGGUCUUUAGCGGCGUUUGGGGGAAAGCACCGCUAAAGGUCCUGGUUUUGAGCGGCGUUUGUGGGAGAAGUGCCGCUAAAGGUCAUGGUCUUUAGCUGCGUUUUUUCCGGCUAAAAAAGUGCCGCUAAAAGCCUGUUUUGGUGUAGUGAAUAUAAAAAUAAUAUAUAAUCUCAUUUAUUAUUUUUAAAUCGCAAUACAUAUUUAAUGUGCUAAAAUAUCAUUAGUGAAUCAAAUAAUUUAAUUAUUCUACAAAAAAAUAGAAGUAAUAAAUAACUUGAAAAUUAUAUUUUGCAUAAAUAUAAUAUUCAAAUAUUAACAAACAUACCCUAAAUCAAAUUUCAUGUAUAAUUUUAAAAUUUACCCCAAAGAUUUAGUGUACUUCUUGACCUGAACUUGACAAUUAAGUUUAUUUUAGUACUUGUAUAUUUUUUGUCCACUUUAAUAAUUGAACUUGACAAUUAGAUAUAUUUUAAUCUUUGAACUUGAAAUAUAUAAAAUUUUAUUGACAUAACACUUUAAGAUUGUCUCACAUCAUUAAAUUUGGACGGAAUAUAAAUUCAUAGUCAAAAUAGACCUACUUGUAAAGUUAGAUACUAAAGUAGACCCCAACAACAUAUAUAAGUAUCAAAAUGAAACUAGCUUACAAAGCAAAACUUCGUAUAAAAGAAGAUAAACAAAUUGUGCUACUUGAAGGGAACAACACUGGCACUGGAAAAACAUUCCGUGUUUGAGGACAUAAAAUCUCUUAAGCACUGCGUCCAGGUUAUGAGCUACUCACAGCAACACAGAUCGCUGGGAAAUAGUGUGCCAAAUUACCUUUUGUAUCUCUUCUUGGAACCACAUGGACAGGGAGCAUUACGGCUCAUUUCUCCACUCUUUACCAUAUUAAACUUGGUAAGAUCCAAUGGUGUUAAACCCGUUAGCUUUUGCACCUGCAAAAGAUAAAAAAAAACUAAUGACAUUUCCAAUGGAGAAAGAGAGAGAUGCAUAAACUAAUACUUGUCAUUGAUGUUUUAAACUGUGGGAGAAACAUUCAUCCGAACUCAAAUGCGAAUUUCAGCAACUGAAGAUGAAUGAAGGCAGACAUCUCAGUCUUUUAAGCAAUCUGGCAUUGAACCAAAAAAGCAUAACGCAGAUCAGCAGACCAAACAUCUGUAACUCUAUGUUAGUUCGACUCUUUCUUUUCCUUUAUGCAUCCAUGUUUGAUGCAAGUCUGGGACCAGAAUGAAUAUAGGGAGAUAAUCCUUUAAAAAUCCUCCAAAUACAUUAAAAAACUUGGACAAAAAAUGAACACAACACACCCGUGUCAAACAUAUAUAUCAGACACUCAAACUAUAGUCUGAACAACAAGAUAUACAAUCAUCAUUUUGACUCAGAUAAUAUGCAUAACUAACUCCCCUACCUUCUUAGACAAAUAUCUUACUUAUCUUUCAAAUAGCUCAUCCUACAUUCAACAUCAUAUUCACCGAGCAGCAGCCAAAAGACAAAAAUACAUUAACUUAGAGAAUUUAAGAUCAGACAAAUUGAGCAAUAGGCAUAAAGACACUAGCUCAUACGUUUUAAUCAUUCAACAUAUUAUCAGCAAAAACAUAACUGAAAAAAACCAGUGGUGAACCUACCACAGCAAAGUUCUUUGGCAUCGGUUUGCCUUCCUCUUUCAGCUUAACCAUCUUCUUAUGAACUUCUUUAGCCCAUGUGAACUUCGCAAGCGCAUUCUCAACAUAUAAUAAGGUACAAUCACACUGUUUUGCAGCUUCUUUCUUUUGACUCAGUUGGAGAUUCUAAAAAAAAAGUCAAAAUCUAAAUCCACAAUCAGCGAAUUCACCUACAGGGCUCCAACCAUGUUUUAUAGUUUGGACGAGAAAAGGCAGCACCUUCUUACAUGCAAUGUCAGUGGUCAACAGGACUGGAAUGCUCGCCUGUUUAUCAUGGUGGAAAUCAAAUUCUUAUAUAAAACAUAGUUAACAUUUCUCAGCAUAAAGCCUUCAUCUUUUGUGCAAACAAAUUUUAAAUUAACAGAACUCAACUAGUCGAAAUCACAAGCCAUUCAAAAAACAAUAGAAUCAGACAAACAUGUAAUAGAAUAAAAAUUUUCAUCUGUUCAAUCUGUUCAAUCGAACAAACAUUGAAAACAUUGAAAGAAUUUUCAUCUGUUCAAUCGAACAUGCAAUACAAAGAAAAGCUGAAUGGAAAACGCUAGAAACGAAUCAAAAUUAGGAGAACAAAAACAAAUAUUCCAGAUUUGAGCAAAAGCAAAACUAAAUCGAUUUUACAGAAAAGAGAAGAAAAGAAAAACAGGGAAAGAGUGUGAGAAUUUUUCGUUGUUGAUAAAAUGGAGAAAAGAAAAAAAACGAGAGAAGAAAAGAAAUGUACGAGAAUAAAAGAAGCAGAAAUCGAUGGAAGGGAAAAAAUUACCUUGCAAAACGUCGGAGAGGAUGAGCGCAGAAAACGAAAAAGAUGGUAACAAAUUGGGAGGGAAUCCCUAUUCCGCGCUUAAACAUCAGAAUGGCUAUUACAGCCAACGUGGGUAAUAGAUGCGGAACGGAACCAAACAUCCGUUUGGUGGUGGGCCUAGGGAAUUGGGGGGAAUGCAUACCGAUUCCCCCCAACCAAACAUACCUUGAGUUUGUUCUCUUAAGAGGAAAUGGUAAUGAGGUGUAAAAGCCAAGAGGAAAUGAUUAUCUUUACCGCUAGAAAUGAACAAGGUAUGUUAUUCAUAUUUUUCUCCGGAUGCAGGUUUUAAUUGGGCAAUAGUUUUACUUUUGUUAUAGCUAGAGGUUUUACUUGUCAUGCAUCUUACUGCAUUUGGUUAGUUUUAUGUUUUAUUGUUUUAUCUUUCUGGCAUUUUAUAUUUAGUUCUCCUAUUUUUUUAGACAAUUUCUGCAACAUUGGUUUCCUAUGACGUGAUAGUAUUUUUUUGUUGUAGUAGUGAUAACAUUUGUGGUUGGCAAGAUUCCUUUAACACGGUUUAUCUGGAAAGGUCUAUCUUUGGGUUGCUGAUAGUGUCACCGAGUGAAAUAAAUGCUAGUUGUGGCUCUUAUGAUUACAAACUAUUAGCUUAUUGGUAAAUUGAAUGUUCAGAUGUCAUGACUGAUGUAAAUUCACAUACUUUUAAACAUUGUGCAUCUUCUAAUUUUAUGAAUUUUAACAACAAAAAGUUUUCUAUACAUAAUGAUUAUUUGAUUACUGUAUGUUUGAUCUUGGAUUUCUGUUGCUAAACAUGAAUUGGAAUAAAAUGAAUGCUAGUUGUUCAUUUGAAUAACAAGAAUGAAAUAAAUGCUAGUCAAGGCCUCUAAAAGACUAAUUUAGUAAUUUGGCUGAAUUGAACCCUUAUAUCAUUAGGGAAUAUAACAGAAGAACUACUAAUAGUUUGAAUAGAACAUAAUGAACUGAUUAAUAAUACAUUUAAGAGGUAUGUUAGUAGCUGCUAGUCUCUAGUUCCUUGAGAGUUUGGUUGUUCAGAGUGUCGUCUAGGAUUGUAUUCUGUGCUGUCCAUGCAAGUGUAAUAAGAUUGACUAAGGUCUUUUCCCUUUGAAAUUGUUGAUCACUCAAUUAAGCUCAGUUGACCGGCUAUCAUGUCCUUGCUCAAUUAAGCUCUGCCAUAACUGCACGAAAGAACAACAAUUCCAUACACUCAUUACAAAGAAUACAAGUAGUGGAGUUCACGGACUAGACAAUUAAAGAGAACUUUACACAUGUAACCAAAUUCACCAAUAUGAGCAUUGAUAUCUCAUUUUUAUGAGAUCUUAUUAGAUUAUUGAUUAUGAAUAUGUUUACUCGAUCAUUUCAAGAUCAUGGUUUCAUUACAUGGAGUUGUUUGAUGGUGAAGGCAAUAAUACAUUUUUAAGAUUACUGCAGCCAAAAGAGUUGUUGCAAAGGAGACCAAAGUCCAGAACUCUUUUUCUUUUGUGCUUCCACAACUGAGUUCUCCAUUACCUCAACUUUCAGCUUCAAAUCUUGAGCUACUUGUCUCUUUCUGUCAUUGAUUGUUACUUUUAUGUGGUCUAAUAUUAGUUAUGCACUUGGACAAUGUUGUUGUUAUUAUGUGGUGUACUACUAAUUAUGCAUUUGGAUAAUAUUAUUAAUUUCUAGUAUUAAUUGUGGUUUGGAAGCUAAUUUAUAAUUAUUCAAUCCUUAUUUUUUAUUUUUUAACACAAUUAUAAAUAAUUUAUUUGACUUUGGUUGUUUUCAAUUUAUGACGGUUAAUAUUGUAGCUUAAUAAUUGAGUAUUUUGAUUUAUUUAUUUAUAAAUAAAUCAUUUCAAUAUAUGUAAAAAUAAUUUAAAAUAUAAAAAUUUAUUAAUAUGUAUAUAAAUUUAUUAAUAUAUGUAAAAACAACUUUUUCGGAAAAUAUUUUCAGGAAAUCUACCAAACAACAAAAAAUAUUUUACACAGAUUCAUCCAAACACUAGAAAAUAUUUUCAGUAAAUCAUUUUCCAGAAAAGUAAAUCAUUUUCAGGAAAUCAUUUUUCGAAAAACAUUUUACUGGCAAACAAACGAACCCUUAUUGCUCAUGGUCAUCAACCUAUAAACCCAAGAGCAUUAUUAGCUUCUAAAUCCAAAACACUAAUAUCAGCAUCCAACCCAACAAUGAUAGUCUUAUUGACUCAUUUAAACAAGUUUCCUUUGUCAAUCUAUAUUCUGUAUUUGGUAAUCUCCAAUAUGAUUUCAGAACAUACGAUAGUUGGAAGAAGAAUAGCAGCAAAGAUGCAAAGGGAAAUGACUUAUACGAGGAGGAAGAACCAUCUUUUGGGUGCAAACCUGUAUACCAUAUAAUAGGAUGUCCUGUAUAAUGUCACGAGAGCUAGUACCGUUGCCAAGCAGUAAUUACUAAUGCUAAUAUGAUGAACAGAAAAGGAUCCAGCCGUAAGAUAGUAUGGAUACUGAAAUGCGAGUGUCCGUAUGGAAACAGCAACUAAAAGCAUGUAACAGGUCCCAAAACAGGUCCCAAACAAGGAAAGUGUUAUGAGAAUCACUACACCAAAAUAGGCUUUUAGCGGCGCUUUUUUAGGCCUUUAGCAGCGCUUUUUAGCGCCACUAGCGCCGCUAAAAACGCCGCUAAUGACAGUGUCGCUAACUUUAGCGGCGCUUUUUCCACAAACGCCACUAAAGACCAAGACCUUUAGCGGCGCUUUUACCACAAACAUCACUAAAGACCAAGACCUUUAGCGACGCUUUUCCCACAAACGCCGCUAAAAACCAUGACCUUUAGUGGCACUUUUACCACAAACGCCGCUAAAGACCAUAGCUUUUAGCGGCGCUUUUCAAACAAACGCCACUAAAAAUAUAUCUUUUAAAAAAAUUAAUUUUUUUCAAAUAAUAUUUAUUUCUAUAAUAAAUAUUAUAUUAUGUUUUAAGGAUAAAUAAAAAAUAUUAUUUAAAUUAAAUUUUCUACAAAAAUUUUAACUUUAAAACUAAAUAUAAAUAUAAAAAUUAAUGAAUUUAAAUUUAGAAUUUAAAAUAAUAAAUUAAUAACACAAUUAAAAUCCAAAAGUUAGAACACUUAAGUAAAAAUAAAAAUUUAGAAUCAAAACUAAAAUAAAUGAUACAUAUGCAAGGUAAUAAAAUAUACAAUGCAUUUUCUUAAUCAAGUAAAUCUUGGUUACAAAACUAACACAGAAAAUAACACAGUAUACAGUAUGUUUUGUCUUUCACAUUUUAAAAAUAAUAAUAAUAGCAUGUUUGUUUGCAUGCUACCAUGAUCAAAACACAAAAAUGAAGUUCUCCACCUAAUACAAAUUUCUCCUACGAAUGUGCAGAAUCAGAUCUCUAGAUUCUCGGAGUUCUUCAUCUGGUGCUGUCUCGAUGGUUUUGAUUAUUGUGUCAUCUAGCUGGAUUCAAAAAAAAGAAUAGAAUGCAAAGCAUGUUAUACAUUUGGACUCCAAAUUUUUAGCAACUCAAAAGAAUGCUAAGAAUGUUGUCCAACCUUCCAGUACUCACAAGGAUCUUGAAUAAAAAUGAAAUCAGACCUCACCACUUCAUAUAAGAAGCCUACACAACUAAUUACACAAAAGAAAAAGAUGAGAAAAAAUAACAAUGUAAAAAAGACGUUUGAAUGAGAUAAUAUAGAACCCAGAGUUAACUCUGUGAAUACCUUCACUUUAGAGUGGGUGUACACAGUUCGAUAAAGAUCAGCACGAGUAGCAAAUAACUUGUGGAUACUAAGAUCUAGCAAGAGCACCCAUUACCAUUAUUAAGGAGUAAAAAAACACUAAAAGAACUAAACAUGUAUUUUGCAAGUAAAUGAAUUAGAUGAUACUAACAGUCUUUAGCACGAUAGCAGAUCUCAUCACCCAAAACUCGCAGUCUCCAUGAACCUGCAGGUGGUGUAGUAUGUAUAUUAAGUUUCACUUACUUAUCCACAUCAAUUCCAUUCUAACCAUUUGCAACAAUAUCAUAUAAGAAUUGCUUCUCCUUUGCACUCUUCAAAGUAAGCACAAAAUAGUGUAUGUGUUAGAUAAAGAAAAGAAACAAAGAAUGUUUGUACUUCAUACUGGAGCAAAAUAUAAAAAAUCCAGUGAUCAACAUGUGCCUACACUUAAAAUAUAAAAAAUCUAGUGAUCUACCGAAAUUAAACUAUUCAUCAAAAUGAUUGCAAUUAACUGAGUUAAAACAUGAUUUUUUUUCUUUUCUUGCAAAUAUCUAAAGUUUUUUAUACCUUCCCAAAUGGUGAAACAAGCUGGUGAAGUGCUGUAAUUCUGUCUCCUAAUUUUUCUUUCCUCACCUGCCAUAUAACAUAUAUAUGUAUAUAUACAAGUCAGAAAAAAAGAAAAAGUAGGUGAUUAAUUUACUAUUUUACUUUCACUUAAACUAUAUUCUCUUUUUCAUACAUUAAUAGAAUAUGAUAGUUACAGCAAAAAAAAAAGAAAAAGAAUCAUCCCUCUAGAAAUCGACAACCAAACAAGGACAACAGUUUUUACCACCCCACAUGUAUUUUGUGUAUGUGUAUAUAUAUAUAUGCUUGUGAGUGUGCGUGUGCGUGUGCGUGUGCGUGCAAUCUGUAUUGAGAUAAAAAAAAACAUAUAUUUAAUUAUAUAAAAAUUAUGAUAAAAGUAUCAUGGAAGUCCCUGUACUAAAAGGUGGAUUACAUUUUGCCCUUUUACUCAAAUGGUUUAAUUUAAACACUCAUUCAACAGCUAUUACCUAAAAUGCUACCACUUUUGAGGUAUAAAAUCAGUGGAAGUCUAAAUGAACAAAGUCCUAAGCCAAUCAAAACAAAGUCACCAAGAAAUGAAAAAACAAUCUGUUCUUAUCCUUUCGAAACAGUGACCAAAUACAAUGAAUUCAAAAGGUUGUCCUUUUCAUAUCUGCUUAUCAACCAAAUACGCAAUGAGAAAAAAAAAUCAUGAUCCGCCAGCAGAAAAGCUUGAAAUUUGAAUGGAUCAAAUGAAACAUAAAUCUAAUGUAAAACACACCUGGAGAAAGCUUAAAAGAAGAGCUUUGAUGAGAUUUUCUGGUGUGAGCUCUGGCUGACGCUGCUGAUAUCUUCCUUCUAACUUCCCCAUUAUCGUCCCUCAAAACCCAAUAAUCUGUAAAACGAAGACUCCCCCAAAUUACUUCAGAUGUCUCUCUUAAAUUCUAUUUAAAAAAAUUAAAAAUCUAUAAAAAAAAUCAGUUACUAUAAAAAAAAGAGAUAAGUGUGAAUUAAAAAUAUAAUCCCAAAUACUGAUUCAAUUGCAGACUGGGAUUUAUUUCUUACCUCAAAGGUACAGCAAUGGUUGUAACCUCUGUAACCUGUUUGUGAAACCUCUGUAACCUGUUUUACUAGUAAAGCCGAUAAUAAUCCAGAAACUGGUUGUAACCUCUUUGUAUUUGCCUGGGAAACCAGAAAUCUUCUCAUUAUCAGCAUAUGUUGAUUUUUUUUAUAAUGUCGCAGGGAGGGAGGGAGGGACAGAAAGCAAGAGAGACGGCGAAGAGUUUUAGGAGGGAAAAUUAGGGGUUUCGGGGAAAUUUGGGGCUAAAAUGGGGGGAGAAUUUUUAAAAGUGAAAUUAGGGUUUUUAGAGGGAAAUUUUGGGAUAAAACGGCGCCAAGUGAAAUUAUUUUUGCGACGUUUUAAAAAAAAAGCCGGGAAUGUACCUUUUGUGGAUUUUUUUUGAAAACGUCACUAACAAAUUUAAAUUCUUUUAUUGAAAUGACGUCGUUUUGAGAAAUAUUAAUACAUAGUAACGGCGUUUUUUGCUAAAAACGCCGCUAAAGCUCUCAUAUUUUUUAUAUUCAAUUAUUGUAUCUUUCAUAUAAAUUAUACAUAAAAGAAUUAUUAAAAUUUUAAGUAAUAUUUAAAAGAAUUAAAUAAUAUUAUAAAUUUAGUUUUCUUAUUUCAUUUUUAUUUUUGUAUUUUUUUCUUAUAAUUUGGUCCUAUCUAAAUUAAAUAAUUACCUAUAUAUCCAUAUCAAAUAUAUCAAAUGGUUUAAAUUAAAUAUUUUUAAAUAUAAAAGCAGUAAUUAAUUGUAUAAAAUUGUAUCAUUUAACAAAUCUCAAAUAAACCUUAAACCCUAAAUUAACCAUUCAAUAUACAUAAAGUCUAUCUAUUAUAUAUCUCUUACAUAAUAUAAACUAUACUCAUAAUUUCAAUAUAUUAAAUUUAUUAUUAUCUCUUUUACAAUUAUAUAAGAACAUAUUUAAUAUAUAAAUUAAAAAAUCAAUUAAUCUAAACCCUAAACCUUAACCCGACCCUUGAAACCCUAAAUCCCUAACUCCUAACCCCUAACUCUUAACCCCUAAACCUUAAAUCCCAACCCUUAAACCAUAAUCCCUAAAUCUAUAUAUAAUCCCCGAACCUUAAAAUAGUAACUCCUAAACUGGCUUUAAAUAUUAAAUUAACCAUAUACCGUAAACCAUAUAAACCCUAAACUAUAAUGAUAAUUAAUUAAAUAUUUUAAAAUUAAUACUAUCUUAUCUUUUUCAAUUAUAUAUGAAAUUAUUUAAUAUAUAAAUUAAAAAACAUCAAUAAAAUAUAAAUUAAAAUGCUUUUUUUUGGAUAAUUUAAUGAAUAUGGCAGGAUUAACUCUAAACCCCUAACCCCUAAAUUCUAAACUUAGCCCUAAACCUUAAACCCCAACCCUUAAACCAUAAACCAUAAACAAUAAUCCCUAAACUAUAAUGAUAAUUAAUUCAAUAUUUUAAAAUUAAUACUAUCUCUUUUACGAUUAUAUAAGAUAUUUUUAAUAUAUAAAUAUCAAACACGUCAUAGACACUUAAAACUUUGAGAUAGUUAUACUAUUUUUUAUUUCACUUAUAGGAACCUCAUACACUCAAGCACUGCAAGUCUUUUGUGAAUUAACCAAUGGUUAUGAAGAUCUACUACUUACGGUUAUCAAUGCCAGCUGGAAUCACAAAUAUUAACAAGAAUCAGACAUAGAUAGCAAAAUUAAUCAAGCACUUUCAAGGGACAUUCUAGCAGUUCUUUAAAGAAAUGGAUUUCAAUCCAAAAUUCAACAGUUCUGUAACUAGCCUAGCAGACAGAUGGAAAAAUAAUAUUUAUUUUAGAGAUCAGUCUACCUCUUAAGUGGAAUAACUUUCUAUAAACUUUAACCUUGUGAACUUUUUUAUUAAUAUAUUUCUUCUAAUACUUCUUAGAGAUAAUCACAGUCAAGAGAUUCAACCAUUAAGAUUCAAUGGAUGGUUAAUAUAAGACCAAACAAAGACAAUGCAUCUAAUUUAAUAAGCUCAGCAGUGCUCACGAAUAAAGCAAAACAGUGUAUAAGAAAUUAUUUAGUAUGUAAAUUAAAAAACACUCAGUAAUGUACCCAAAAAACUUAAAAACUAUUUUAAAUAAUAGUAUUUUAAAUCAUGUACCCAAAAAACUUAAAAAUAUUUUUUGCGGCGCUUUUUAAAAAACGCCGCUAAAAAUAGAGCAUUAGCGGCGCUUUAUCAAAAACGCCGCUAAAGACCAGAGCAUUAGCGGCGCUUCUUCAAAAAUGCCGCUAAAGACCCGAGCAUUAGCGGCGCUUCUCCAAAAACGCCGCUAAAGACCCGAGCAUUAGUGGCGCUUAUUCAAAAACGCCGCUAAAGACUCGAGCAUUAGCGACACUUCUUCAAAAACGCCGCUAAAGACCCGAGCAUUAGCGGCACUUCUUCAAAAAUGCCGCUAAAGACCCGAGCAUUAGCAGCGCUUUUCGAAAAAUGCCGCUAAAGCCCUGAAAAAUCAAAAAACGAUGUCGUUGUGCUUGGGUUUUUUGCGACGCUUUUUGAAAAAUGCCACUAAUGUUCAUUUUUAGCGGCGUUUUCCAAAAAACGCCGCUAAUACUGGAUCUUUAGCGGCGUUUUUCCUAAAGCGCCGCUAAUGCUUGAUUUUUAGCGGCGUUUUUUGUUCAAACGCCACUAAAAACGCCGCUAAAAGCCUAUUUUGGUGUAGUGAAUAAACAAGUAGAUUGAACGGCUGGGUAGGAGAUAGGCUGUUAAAACAGUUGUUGCCCAAAAGGUUAAAGUGUUGUAUAACCAAAACAUUGUGCACACGUUUAGUAUAGGUUCUAUUUUUUUUUCUUCAGCGGGUGGAGGACUUGGUACGGGUCCAGUGCUGGUUAAACCUAAAGAUGCGUCAUACUUGAGUUGGAAAUUCUGGGAAUUUGAAAUGGUACCAGGCUGCUUUGGAGGGUUCAAAGUGGCAGUGUAUGUGGCUGUUAUAAUUAGCACUGUGACUACUAAAAAUGUGUUACGCAUCUCAUGUGGGAUUCCCUUUGUUGACACCAUUUUUUUUAUAAAACAAGGUCGACUUGGGUUUUAAAAAUGAAAACAAACACGAGAGUCGCCACCAAUCCUUUUUGAUAAGGUGUGAUCGGGCCACCUUAAAAGUGGUUAUUUUUAAUAAACAAUUUAAUUUUAUUAAAACAACGAUUUCGGUCCACGAAAUUCAAAAAAUCGGUUCAGGAGUCGUUUACGUACGAGGAAUGAUUAGCACUCUCGUAACGCCCAAAAUUGGUACCUAGUUGAUUAAUUAACGUCUUAAUGUUGAAGGUCGAAAGAUUUUAAAAUACGAUCCUUAUAUUAAAAACUUGGAUAAAUCAAAUUAGCCGUUAGGACCCUCUCAUUUCAGAGAGAGAAAAUAUUAUACCCAAUGAGUUAGGGCAUGAUAUUUCACCUCUUCAAAAAUGUGCUUGUCUAAACAACUCGUACAGUAAAAUUUAAAAGGAUAUUCAAUUGUUUAAGUCAGGUGAAAAAAUUGUAGCCCAAUACGUUAGGGCACAAUUUCUCAAAAUUCUAAACAUUGAAUAUUGCCUUUAUUUAUUUUUUAGAAAAAUUCACGUCUCGAGAAAACAACGUGUCAUAUCCAAUGCGUUAGGAUUCAACGUAUUGAAUUCCCGAUAAUGAGUUUUUAUUUAUGUUUUUGAUUAAAGAGCAUUCUCGAUUAUUUAGAUUCAACGAAGAAAAUUAGAACCCAAUACGUUAGGGCUCAAUCCUCUCGAAAAUCCCAGAUAUUGAGUAUUGCUAUUAUUUUAGAAAUUUUCCUUUUUUCCAAAUCUGAGUAAAAAUUGAUGUAAUGGAAUAACAAUUAUGAUAAUAUAAGUAAAAAUAAUAAGAGCAAAAACAAAAAGAUAAAUAAAUAAGAAGACAAAUAUUAAUAUAUAAAAAAAUCAUUCAUGUAUACACAAUAAACAAGUAAUAAGCAAAUAAAAGUGAAACAUUCUUUUAAAAUAAUAAUGAAAGCGUAAAUAGAUAAAUAAAUAAAGAAAAUGAAUAAAAUUAUAAGAAUGUAAAAAGAUAUAUGUAUGUACAUAUAUAUAUAAAUUAUAAGAUAUAAUAAGAAAUAUAUAUAAGCAUGUAUAUAUAUAUUUAUAAAAAUUAAAAAAUAUGUAUAUAGAUAUAUAUAUGCAUAAAAAUUAUAAAUUAUAAAAUAUAAAAAAAAUAUAAGAAUGUAUAUAUAUGUAUAAAUUAUAAAUAAGUUAUAAAAAUAUGUACGGGUAUAGGUAUAUAUAUAUUAUAAAAAUGUAUGUAUGUGUAUAUAUAACAAUAUAUGCAUGUGUAUAUAGAUAACAAAAUUUGAAGUUUAAAAAGUAUAGAUAAUAAUAUUAAUGAUGUAAUAUAAUAAUAAUAAUAUAUUAAAAUGAUCAAUUUAAUAAUAAAUAACUAAAAUACCAAGCAGAGGACUAAAUCGAAACUAAACAAAACUUUAGGGCCGAAAUCAAAAAUGAAGAGUAGAGAAAAGGACUAAAUCAUAACGCGUCUGAAAGGAAAAGGACCAAAAAAGAAAUAAACCAAGUCACCCAAAACGCAGCGUUGCAAUGGACUAAAAUGAAAUCAGUGAGAAAUUAUGCAGUCCAAUUUGAAGAAUAAAAAAAAUCAAAUUAAAACAAAGUGCAAAGGUGGAGGGCUUAAUGCGCAAAUAUCCCUCCAAAGUAAAAAAACACGCGGAUCCUUCUCAGGGUCGGGUCACUGCGCGGGUCAGGGCUAAAACGGCAUCAUUUUGGCUCCUGACCCUAAACAGCAAAACGCCGCCGUUUAAUAACCUUUAUUUAAAACAUAUUUUUUCUUAGAAAAAAAAUCAUUUUUUAGGGUUUUAGAAUAAAAUUGCAGAGGAAGAAACUCUCCUGUCGUCAGCCGAAUGGGCCACCAUCGGCCCCGCCGUGGGCGGUGGGCAGAAGGCCAAAAGUUGGGUUUUUUAAACCCCGCUUCAAGGGCCGUCUGAAGAUCGAGUUUUCAUGACCCUAAGGCCAUAGGAAGAAACCCCAAACGUCGCCUUCCCCAUCCGCUUUCGGUGACUCGAAGGACUCCGGUGACGACACUUACACGGCGAUUCAGGUAUGUUUUCCUUUCUCUUUUUAUUCUAUUUAUUUCGUAUGUAAAAAAAAAGAAGAAAUGGACCGAGAGAAAAAGCCAAUCGGAAAAUGUAAAAGGAAUCACCUUUAAAACUGUUUUCUUUUUUUAUUUCUUGAAUGUUCGUGGAAAAAAAAAGAAAAAAGACCCCCUUACAGAUGUAAAGAUCGGUUUUUAAAUCGAUUCUCCCCCCAAAAAAAUACAAAAAGUUUUUUUUUUAUUUCUUUCUAUUCUUCCUGUCACUGCUUCGGUUGCUUUGCAAGUACUUGAUGGUGGCAAGUGGCGGUGGGUAGGUGACAGAGGGCAAGUGAGCGGCGAUGUGACAAUGGCGGCUAAUCAGGGCAAGUGGGCGACAGAGGCUGCGACGCUAGGCUAGGGUUUCAGAAAAUUGAAACCCUAGUUUGACUGGGUUUGUUGGGCUGGUUUUUGGUCUGUAUUUGGGUUGUUUGUUUGGGCCAAGUUUGGGUUGAUAUGGUUAUAAUGGGCCCUUUGUAAUUUUUUGGGUUUGCCUGGGCAAAAUUCGGCUGUACACCCUUCUUUCCACGACUUGCUAUUGUUGCAAAUUUUUGAAGACUGACACCUUUCCUUUUAAAGAUUCGAUGUGGAAUGAAGAGAUGGAGGCUUUGGGAAGCGAGGAAGAGGAACCACUCAAACCUCCUGCUUUGCUUAUCAUGUCUUUAAUGGACUCCUUAUCGUCCACUCUCCCUUCAUCCAAUGGGUAUUGUGAUGGGAUAUCAAGUGCAGUCAAUCCCUUAGCAUUUUUGCAUUGAUAUGGUCAGCACACAAGCGUUUCAACAGUAAUUUUACCACCUGUUAAUUAGAAUAUUCAUACAAGUAACCUUUGAGUAUAUAUAUACAUAAAUAAUUUCACUUGCAAAAUUAUCAUACCUUAGGUCUGUUUCUGAUAGCAGCAACAUGUAAAACAAUGUUGCCAUCAAUGUCUGCCCAACUCAGAAGUUCUUUCUCCCAACAGUUGGCAGCUUUAUGGCGGCUCCUUAUAAGCCACCCCACCAAGACUUGGAAAGCUUCAAACCUGUCAUUUUUUACAUGAUUCUUUACAUGUUUUUGGUUCCACUGCAUAUUAUCAUGUAAAAGAAUCUAAGUUAGACCCAAGAGCAAAGAAAGCAUUAUUCAUGGGUAUAACUGGUGGAGUAAAAGGAUACCGUCUCUGGUGUCCUGAUACAAGGAAAAUUAUUUUCAGUAGAGAUGUGACUUUUGAUGAAUCAACCAUGAUGAAGAACAAUGAUUCACAAAAGGAUAACACAACCAAUGGCACUUUGCAGCAGGUGGAGCUUGAAAAGGUUAAUGAUGAUCCAGCUAAUAUUGAAGGAACAAAUGAUGAAGAAGUUUCGACCCAAGAACUUCUACAGCAACAUGAUUCAAUUGCAUAUAGAAGGCCAAGAAGAGAGAUUUGUAUGCCUGCUCGCUUUAAUGAUAUGGUGGCCUAUGCACUUCCAAUUACAGAUGAUGAUGUUCCUUCUACUUACACAGAAGCAAGAAGUAACCCUGAUGGUGUAAAGUGGAAGCAAGCUAUGAAUGAAGAAAUGCAGUCUCUUCAUAAAAAUAGGACUUGGGAGUUGGUGACACUACCCAAAGGAAAGAAGGCAAUUGGAUGCAAAUGGGUAUAUUCAAAGAAGGAAAGAUUUCCUGAUAAAAAUGAAGUUCGAUACAAGGCUAGAUUGGUAGUAAAGGGUUACGCUCAGAAAGAAGGAAUAGACUACAAUGAAGUAUUUUCUCCAGUUGUGAAGCAUUCGUCUAUUCAGAUUUUGCUAGCCUUGGUUGCGUAAUAUGAUCUUGAACUAGUUCAGCUCGAUGUGAAGACCACAUUUUUACACGGUGAUUUGGAAGAGGAAAUCUAUAUGACUCAGCCAGAUGGAUUCAAGGUUACUGAUAAAAAAAAUUGGGUUUGCAAACUGACAAAGUCACUUUAUGGAUUGAAACAAUCUCCGAGGCAGUGGUACAAGAGAUUUGAUCAGUUCAUGAAAGGGCAAAGGUAUACAAGAAGUAAAUUUGAUCAUUGCGUGUAUUUUUAGAAGCUACAAGAAGGAUUUUUCGUAUACUUGCUCUUAUAUGUUGAUGAUAUGUUGAUAGCAUCUAAGAGUAAAGUUGAAAUUGAGAGAUUGAAGACUCAACUCAACCUUGAGUUUGAGAUGAAAGAUCUAGGUGAAGCUAAGAAGAUCCUUGGCAUGGAAAUAUGUAGGGAUAGAGCUCAUGACAGAGUUAGUUUGUCUUAGAAGCAAUAUUUAAAGAAGAUACUACAGAAGUUUGGCAUGAACGAGCAGACUAAAGUUGUAAGUACCCCGUUGGCUUCUCAUUUCAAGCUUUCUACACAACUCUCUCCUUCGACAAAUAUGGAACAAGAAUACAUGUUACAAGUUCCGUAUUCUAAUAUGCAAUUGUGUGUACAAGACCCGACAUUUCACAGGCAGUUAGUAUAGUGAGCAGGUAUAUGCAUAAUCCUGGAAAAGGACAUUGGCAAGCUGUGAAAUGGAUUCUACGGUAUAUUCAUAAGACCAUGGAUAUUGGAUUACUGUUCAAGCAGGAUACUACACUUGGUAAAGGUGUUGUUGGGUACGUUGAUUCUGAUUAUGCCGGUGAUUUGGACAAACGGAGAUCAACCAUUGGUUAUGUGUUUACUCUUGCUGGAGGACCAAUAAGUUGGAAGUCUACACUGCAGUCUACAGUUGCGUUGUCAACCACAUAAGCUGAAUACAUGGCUGUAACAGAGGUUGUAAAGGAAGCUAUUUAGUUACAAGGUAUGGUUAAAACCUUGGGUUGGUUCAGGAGCAUAUUAAUGUGUAUUGUGAUAGUCAAAGUGCUAUUCAUUUAGCAAAGAAUCAAGUCUAUCAGGCACGUACAAAGCAUAUCGACGUACGUUUCCAUUUUGUGCGGGAAAUUAUUGAUAACGGGAAAAUUCACCUUCAGAAGAUUAAGACUGCAGAUAAUCCUGCAGAUAUGAUGACCAAGGUGGUAACAACAAUCAAGUUCGAACAUUGUUUGAACUUGAUCAAUAUUCUGCAUGUUUAACACUUGAAGAAUCCACUAUCAAGUGUUGUUGACAAAGGCAGAGAGAAUUGUGUGAAGAUAAGAUUACUCGAAUCAAAUCUUCAAGGUGGAGAUUAUUGGGAAUUAUCCAUAUUUAUGGAAAAUCAAAGAUAUGGGUAUCAAAUAAUAGAAAUUCAAAGAUAUGGGUAUUAAAUAUUGGAAAGUCAAAGAUAUGGGUAUCGAGAUAUUGGCAUCAUAAAAUUUGAGAUAUUUGCAAUAUAUGGUCUCUAAUUGUAAAGUGACUUUGCAAGUUGAUCCCUGAACCUCAACUAUAAAUAAGCAUGACCAUCUCUCAUUCUGUAUCUCAAACUUGCCAUUCUUUACUUAAGGCAUUGUUUUCUCUCUCUCUCUCUUUGUAAAUUCUCACUUGUAUUUUGGAGUGAAAUAUAUUUGGUAGUGGCCGAGGAUGUAGGCAAAAUUUGCUGAACCUCGUUAAAUUAUUGUGUUCUUUAUUGUAUUAUUCUGCAUGAAUUGUGUGUGUGAUUGUAGUGAUUUAUUGUGCCAUUAAAUUACGAUUGAGGGAUAUUCUGGCUAAGGAAGACCUGGUACUUAAGCGAUCCUUGUGAUCCACCUCUCUUUCCUGGGAAUUGAACUUAGUGUGAUUUUUUAGUACAAAAAUUUUACUCUUUUACACGCUUCCGCACAACAUCUUUAAUGAUAAAAGCUUAAAGAAUAAUCUUUAAAAUUUGGUUGUUGGUAGCUUUAUUUGGGUAGAAUUUGAGAUUUAGUUCAUAUAUUUUAAAUGUUAAAAUUUUAAUUUUUUUUACUUUUUCAAUUUAAUAUUGUAAAAUAAAACCAUAAAAAAAAUUGUGUACAAAUAGUAUUGAAUUUACAUAAAAAUAUAUAAAAAAUGCAGCAUAAAUUUGAAUAAUAAUACAUGAACACUUAAAAUGAUAAUAUAUGAAAAAAAACUUAAGAUAAUAAUAUACGAUAAAUUUAAACAAUAUUAAUAAUGAAUUUAAAAUAAUAUUAAGCAUAAAUAUUAAAAUAAGGUUAGAUUUAAAAAUAUAUAAAAAUAAUGGAAUAAUAAAUACUUAAAUAAAUUAGAAAAAUAAGCAAAUUAAAUCAAGCUAAUAAGGAUUAAAUUGGAUUUAAAACAAAAUUAGAAGGCAAAAACGUAAAUAAAAUAAAAUAAAGGACCCAAUUGAAAGGCGCGAAUAACUCAAAGGGACCAAAUGGGGAAAUAUCCCCGCCUUUUGAAAUGCAUCGUUUCACCAGGACCAAAUCAGAAACCAAAUAAAAUUUAAAGUAUCAAUUGAAGAAAAUAAAAAAAAUUGAAUUAAAAUAAUAAAAAAUACGGAGGGGGCAAAUGCAUAAAUAUCCUUACCAAGACCAGAACAGGCAGAUCUAGCUGCCUCUGGGUCGAGUCAUCGGGUAUAGUCAAUACGGCACCGUUUUGGAGCCAUUGAAACAGACUUUAAAUGGUGCCGUUGCAUGGCCUUUAUAAAACAAAAAAAAAAAGAAAAAUAAACAAGUUUUUAGCCAUUUCGAAUCAGAUAAAAACCUUAGCCACACGCCGUUUAGAAGCCUGGCCAUUCAAAGGCCAAUCGAUCCCUGUCUGAACUUCGAUUGCGACAGAGUGAGCAAGGAUUCGACACCACCAAGUAAUUUUCUCACCUUAAAUCGUUUUUUUCUUUUUUUACACAUGAUGAGUAAACAAAUAGAUGAGUCUAGAACAGAAAAGAAAAACAACGAAAAGAAAAAAAAAGGUUUCAAAUCACCUUUAGAAAAUUCUGAUUCUUUGAUUUUUCGUCCCCUUUUAUAGAUUUUUAAUUGGCUUUUUAUAGCCGAAACGAAAAAAAGAAAAUAUGUAAAAAAGAAAUCUAUUAUGUUAUCUAGCUAUUUUCAUUUGCUGGCAUAUUGUUGCUCGCUUUUUACUGUUAUUCGUUUCUGUUUCAGGUGUACGAAGGAGCGAUGACGUGGAGGUGCAACACGCGUGGAGGCCUGGUUCCCAGCUGCGGCGUGGACUGUUCCAAAAACCCUAGGGGUUUCUGGAGAUUUCAAAUUGGGCCACUUCAAAUCGGGCUAGGGUUUAAUUAAGUCUAGGAUUGUAUUAGGUCUAGGAUUGGGUUAGAUUUUGGGUUUAGGCCUCAAUCCGAAUUUGGCCUAUUGUAACUGAACUUUUGGACUUAUUAAUGGUUAUUUUGGGUAUUGGGCUAUUAGGGUUUGUUGGGUUUGGGUUUUAGAUAUUUGGGCUGAUUUGUGUUUGUUUAUUUUGGGUUGUUUGUGUAAUUCUGGAAUUUUUAUUUUAUUGGACUUUUAUUUUUUGAUUUGGUUUUUUUUUUGUGUGGGCUCGAGCAGAUUGGGCCUGCUACAAUAUUGAUGCAAAACUUUGUCACUAAAGUGCAAAUUGUAACAAUAGUUAAGUAGUCUUUUGUUCGAAUAACAUUAGAAGCACAUCAAAGUCAAAGCACAUAGACUUUAAGUUCAUUGUUGUUAAAAUAAAAGUUUAGGGUGGUUAGAUGUCUAUAAAGUAUAUUGAGACAAACUCCAUGGUUGUGGAUUCGCUUAUUAAGGGACUACCACCCAAAGCUUUUUUCCUGAGCACACUGUUGAUAUGUGUGUAAUGUCAUUCAAGGAUAUUUGAUUUUAGUAGGAGUUUGUACUUUUAAACGUUUUUAUGUUAUAAAUACAUUUUCAAUUAUUUUAGUUUACAAAUAUUAAGUUUUUUUUUUGUAGAAAGAAAGUUUAUUUGGUAAAGUUUGAUCUCACUAAGAUUAAUGUGGACCGGUUAGAAUAUGCAUGUUUGAAUCAUAUUACAUGUAAUUUUCAUGUUACACAUCCAUACUUAAUCUAUGUCAUUUGGUUGUGCUAAUAUAUGUGAUUAAGGCUGGAUUUAGUUAUGAUAUAUGUAACAAAGUUGCAUUCUUUCUAUGUUAACAUAAUUAAUGGACAGAUUGUUCGAAAUGCCUUUUAGAUACGAUAGUAAAAUUUUGAGCUCAUAAGGUUAUAUAAUGACAUGUAAUUAUAAGGUAAUCGGUAUAUAUAUAUAUGUCAUCCAAGUGGUAUAUAUGGACAUCACAUAUAUAAUAAGCAUGUUACAUGUUAUUAUUUACUAUCAUAAAAGAUUAACUCAAAUUAAAAGUGACCUAAUUUGGUUAAGAUUUAUUGGAUUUUAGUUAUUAAAUAAAAUAUAGGUCAAUAAUAUGUGUAGAUACUCUAGUAACUAAUUUCUAAUUUAUGAUGGGCUGAUUAGAAAUUAGGUUAAUGUGAAAAUGUUAUAUAUUAGGAUUUUAGUCUCCAAGUUACGCAUAUGUAACUUUUCUAAUAUCCCAUCUUGAGAAAAGAGAGAGUCACCUUCUUUAGAUUACUUGUGAGCUAAUUUGGAAGAUCAAAACCUUAAAAUUCGUAGAUUUCAAGAAAUCGGUAAAUUCAAAUACGCUUCUGCAUUUAGUUUUGUUCUUAAUUAUUUGACAUGAUAGAUUCUGAUUUAUUAAGUUUUGUAAAAGAGUUUUACGGUUUUAAUAGGAUAAUUACGAAUCCCAAAUAUAAACUGUAAAACGGACAUGAAGAAUAUAAAAGAAAUAUUACAAGAAUUUUGAAAGAGAAAAUUAAAUUGAAAAUUUUAAUGUUAUUUUUAUCUUUCAUAAUUAUUUUUAUUUAUAUUUUAUUUACAAGAACAUUUUAUUAAGAGUUUAUUAGGAUUAAGUUUAUUUUUACUUUUAUUAAAUAAAUGUUAGACUAAAAAUAAACUUUUUUUUCCACUGUUGGUAUAAUGGAUAGUAGGCUAGGUUGUCCUUUUUUAUUUGUUUAGGCACCCGUGUAUGAGAAUAAUUUAUAUUAGAAUAGUCCUAAAGGUUAAAGAUUUUAAUAUUAAUAAAAUUUUGUCACAUCAUUAAAUUUUAAAAAUAUAAAAUUAUUAUUAUACAUUCGUUCAUAUUAAAUUUACUUUUUAACUUUCGUUCUUCUUAAACAUAAAUAAUUAAAAUAAAAAUAGAAAAAUAGAAUAUUUAAAAUUUAUACAAUCCUUAAAGAUUUAAUCCAAUAUUUUUUUUUGUUUUAAAAAAUGUAUAAUAUGAAAUAGAAAAAAAAAUUAAAAUGGAAAAACUCCAUUGCCUAUAAACUAAUUUUUUUUAAAAAAUUGGUUACAAAAAUUAAAAAUAUUAACUUCUGAAAAAAAACUAAAAAUGAUUAAAAUUUAUAAAAGAAGAAAAGAUGUUUAUUUAUAAUUUAAAAAAAUUAAUUAUUUUAAGUAAUUUAAUUAAAGUUAAAUUAAGUUAAGAAAAAGGAGAAAUGGAUAAGUAUAUAAUAAUACAUAAUUUGUUAAAUAUAUAAAGAAAUUUAUUUGAUUUAGUACCUAAAUAUUAAUAUUCGAAACUCUCGAUUUUUCACAAUUUAUUCAAUCAAAUUUAGAUCCAACUUUAAUUAUAUUACAAAGACAUUCUAUUUUAUUAUUUUAUUAACGGGUGAAAAAACUUAGUUCAACCCAUAAACAUUGACCACAAAGGGAAAUUUGAAACACUUACCACCAAUCCCCUAUCAGAAAGUCUUUCCCACAUUCAACUAGAAAUCAGAGCUCACCAAAAUGUUUAUUCUUUUCAAUCUGAACCGACUCUACAAUCACUUAUUGCUCAUGGUCUUCAGCCUAUAAACCCAGAAGCAUUAUUAACUUCUAAAUCCAAAACACUAAUAUCAGCAUCCAACCCUACAAUGGUAGUCUUAUUGACUCAUUUAAACAAGUUUCCUUUGUCAAUCUAUAUUCCAUAUUGGGUAAUCUCCAAUAUUAAUUCAGAAUUUAGGAUAGCUGGAACAAGAAUAACAGCAAAGAUGCAAAGCGAAACGACUUGUAGGAGGAGGAAGAACCUUCUUUUGGGUACAAACCUGUAUAGCAUAUAAUAGGAUGUCCUGUAUAAUGUCACGAGAGCUAGUACCGUUGCCAAGCAGUAAUUAGUAGUGCUGAGUUUAGAAUAGGAAACGGAUCCAGGAGUCGAAAGAUAGAAAAAAUACUGAAGUGCGAGUGUCCGUAUGGAAACAGCAACCAAAAGCAUGUAACAGGUCCCAAACAAGGAAAGUGUUAUGAGAAUAAACAAGGACAUUGAACGGCUGGGUAGGAGAUACGCUGUUAAAACAGUUGUUGCCCAAAAGGUUAAAGUGUUGUAUAACCAAAACAUUGUGGACACGUCUAGUAUAUUUUCUAUUUUUUUUUCUUCAGCGGGUGGAGGACUUGGUACGGGUCCAGUGCUGGUUGAACCUAAAGAUAUGUCAUACGUGAGAUGGAAAUUCUGGGAAUUUGAAAUGGUAUCAGGCUGCUUUGGAGGGUUCAAAGUGGCAGUGUAUGUGGCUGUUAUAAUUAGCACUGUGACUACUAAAAAUGUGUUACGCGUCUCAUGUGGGAUUCCCUUCUUUCCACGACUUGCUACUGUUGCAAAUUUUUGAAGAACUGACACCUUUCCUUUUAAAGAUUCGAUGGGGAUUGAAGAGAUGGAGGCUUUGGGAAGCGAGGAAGAGGAACCACGCAAACCUCCUGCUUUGCUUAUCAUAUCUUUAAUGGACUCCUUAUAGUCCACUCUCUCUUCAUCCAAUGGGUAUUGUGAUGGGAUAUCAAGUGCAGUCAAUCCCUCCGCAUUUUUGGCAUUGAUAUGGUCUCCACACAAGCGUUUCAGCAGUACUUUUACCACCUGUUAAUUAGAAUAUUCAUACAAGUAACCUUUGAGUAUAUAUAUACAUAAAUAAUUUUACUAGCAAAAUUAUCAUACCUGAGGUCUGUUUCUGAUAGCAGCAACAUGUAAAACAGUGUUGCCAUCAAUGUCUGCCCAACUCAGUAGUUCUUUCUCCCAACGGUUGGCAGCUUUAUGGCGGCUCCUUAUAAGCCACCCCACCAAGACUUGGAAAGCUUCAAACCUGUCAUUUUUUACGGCAAGAUGGAAAACCGUCUCAUCUCGAACAGUCACAUCUUCAAUAGCCUCGGGGCAAACCUCAAGGAACUUGAUCAAAAAAUCAACAUUUCCAUUUUGAACCACAUGAUGCAAAGGAGUGAAGCCCUCCCGCCCUUUGACACGAACAAGGCCUUCAUCAAACCUGAGGAGUCGAAGCACUGCUUGAGUGUGUUGAUUUUGCAGAGCCAAGUGCAUGGGGCUAAACCCAGCUUGGUUUAGCUUUCUUGCAAACGAUGGCUUUAAGUUGAUCAUCUCCAUCAUAAAAUCAAUAUGCCCUGCAGAGGCUGCUACAUGCAAAGGAGUAUGGAAAAAAGGUACAUCAUCGAUACGCUGUAAAACAUAUGGAUCAUUCAGAAUUAACUCGUACAAGAUGUUUAUGUCUCCUGUUUGUGCAGCACCUAUCAUCCUCUCAUCCAUAGCAAGGUGCGGAAAUUUGCAGAAUAUAGAAAUGGAGUGAAGAAAAAACGCUUUAGCAGAGGAUAUGAUUAUGUUAAGG
rnacentral:lncRNA from 1 species